ACAAAUUGAAGGCAAGUCAGAGGUCCAUCUCCAUUAAUCCAUUAAUAGAUAGAGUUCCACUUGCAAACAGCAAGAGCAUUGCCUUUCAAGCAAAAGGUUAUCCCGGGUGCAACUCCCUCUGCCCUUGAAAGUACUCUGGUUAAGUUGCCUGAACAACUUCUGAAGGGUAAACCAAGUCUGGAUACUAACUUAACUGCUGGAGUACCUCCGGCUGAAAUUCUGGCCAGAUGUGGGUUUUUGGAGCCAUUAUCUGAAGCUACAUUGUCAAAUUAUGAGUGGCUGGUUGCUAAUCUACAAAAACCUGCUCCUGUCUUGAUGAAAAGGGUGCAACAUUACAUGUCAUCAUUAAUCCGAAGCUUUCUAGCAAAAGCUACAUUGAAAAGUUAAUGGCACCGCAUGCCAGUCAUUAUAAUGCUGUCAGGGCAAUUGGGUCAGAGCAUAACUUCAUUGGGAAAAGAGGAUUCAGCUAGGUUACCUAUUACAGGACGUACUGAGAUGGCUGAAGUUCUUGAGGUUUUAUGAGAAAUGAAAGAUGAGUGCUUGUUUGAACAAAGUUGUCACCAAUCUCGUAAAGUUCAAGAAGAAAGAUCACAGAGCUAAUGCCACCAAUUUCUUCAUUAUUGCAGCCUCCAUUGUUGAAGUUUCCUCAUUUGAAGCUGUUUAUGCAUAUGCUUCUUCCCUGCUCAAGUACAGGAAAUUGAAGAAUUAGCCAGAUAUGAUAUGAUGAAAGAGGGAAGUUUUCUUCCUUGAAUAUGGCCUUGUAAUUUGUAGUGAAGGAGUAGGAUGAUCACUAGCAAGAACCCUAUCAAGGUAGAUUUUAUGAUGUUAACAUAUUACUAAGCAUUUGUUUCUUUAGCAAUGAUACUUUCAUAGCAUGAAUUUAAUUAUAUGAUCCUGAUUAAUCAAUUAAUUUUCAUGAGUUUUAACCUAGUUAAAACGAAGUACAAUCAUCGUUAACAAAUACUGAAAUUGGGUAAAUAUGAUCUUGACAUUGAAGAAGAAUUUGAAAACACAACCCGCAGAGGAAAUUACCUAUUGCAUGGGGAUGGAGAUGUAUAUUGCAGCGAUAUAGAAUAUGUGCCAGGCGUUGUCUACUGCUCUUUGGGUUAUGGUGUGAUUUGCGAAUUCAAUGUUGCCCUGAAACAAUGGAAAAGAUUAACAUAUCCUCCAAUGAAUGAAAACGGCUUGACUAAUUUUGACUACCUACUUGACUCAGGAUCAGGUGACAAUAAUGGCGGUUUAUUAACAUUGCACGGCCCCAGUACUCUUCCAGGAUCAGAUACGAAGUAGUCUAAAGUUGAUAAUAAGAGUUUUAUUAAAUGACAAAUCAUUGUUGUUGGGUGUUGGUUAUAUACGUCAUUACAACUACAAGUUGAAGAUGAAGGUUAUGCAAGUGAUUUCAGAAAUACAAUACAUUCCAAGAGAUGCUGGUCUACAAUUGCAUGCCCCCAGAUAUAAGAAUCUUUUGAUUGGGGCAUUGAAAAUGAAGAAUUGAAAAUGAAGUUGCAAGUUGCCGCCUAUAGCUGCUGAGUAAUAAUAAAACGAGAUAAAUUAAUUAAUCUCAGACCUCUAUGUAUAUGUUAUCCUAACUUUACUUACCCUUAUUUGUUAUAUUCACUUAAAACUUGAUGCCUAAACCAUUAAAAUCAAAUGACCAUAGGGGUAUUUACAGUAUGUAAAAACAAACAAAAACACGUAAAAAAUUUCAAAAAAUUAAUAAUCACACUCUAAACUUACCACUCAACUCCUAAGAAUAGUCAUAAUCUAAAACAAUUUACAACUUUUGAAGGGAGUAGCUAUGAAGAUGGGGGAAAAUCCUUUUCUCAGUGGAGUGCCAUUGCCCAAGAGUUGCAAUGAAAACGGACCACAUACAGCUGUGCCGGAAGAUUCAACGAGGUAUGAAAAAGAUGAUAAUUUAAGUGAUAUGGGCAGUAAUUGUGAUGUCAGAAAGCAUUAGUAUUCUAUAUGUGAACCAUUAUUGACGACAUCAUUGGUUUUAUCUUAUUAAAAUGUGGAUGACUUCCAGUUACUAUUUUAUUAGAAACAAUCUUAUUCAAUUAACAUAUAGUUUAAAACUAUUAUGUAAAUCAAUCUAUUAAUUUUCAUGGUAUUUAACUGAGUUAAAACUAAGUGCAAUCAAUAAAUCUUUUUUUCUUUAAAAAACUGCUACGCUUUGAUUUUAUUACUUAAUAUUUAUUGAACUCUGGUACAGGAAAUUUGAAAUCAAACUCGUAACUACAGAUUAUCUAAUUGCGAGUUACUGUCCAUGGCUGCUGAUUUGUAGUGAUUGUCUAAUUGACUGAGGUGACAAUAUUUUUUUUUUAAUUUUCAAUAGCACAAUGUGAAAUUCAAUAAUUAAAUUCUCCUGUUUAAUUUGUUUCAAGUUAAAUUAUUAAUUACUUAAACUCUUUUUUAAGUCUUUAAUUUUACGUCAAGUGACUUGGACAUGACGUACAAUGAGAGUGACAGUAAACAAACAUUAAAACGUGUGGACUCCGGUAGCUGACCUACAAGUCUACAAUAAUAAAUUGGGCCGGGGUUAAGUUACAUGAUCACGUAACAAACAUUACAUGAAUGAGGGCCGUUAGAUGUGAACAGUAAAAUCGAAUGGAUGGGAAUGAAAUGAACAGAAAAAAAGAAGUGAUGGGAAACUGGGAAAACUGGUGAACGAAAACCGCUUGGGCCACCGGGUCAAAACAAGGGUUAUUGUUUGAAUUCGAUUCAGGAGGCAAGAAACCUGAUUUUUUGUAAUUCGAUUCAGCGCCAUUAAAGCUGGUUUUCACAGCAACUAUGAUUUUUUUUUUUUAUAAUAGCACCAACUCCUACCCUUAAUUUAUAAUCAAACAUUACAUCUUCAAGAUUUAAUUUAUACCAAUAUUCAGGGGCAGACGACCAUGAAAAGUUCCUUGGAGCUUCCAUUAAUGGAGUUAAAAAUUAAUAUCUCGUUGAUGACUACUCUCAGCACAAGCGGUGAAGUGGCUUUGGCUUUAGCAAAAACCUUCUAUGCAUCUUCAUCUUUUAAAAAGCACACCCUUUCUUGCUCCCCAGUUAGUCCACAUCAAAAUUACAAGCGAACAAGCGAUUCUUUUUUGAGUUAUUUGAUGAAGAGGCAGCAUAAUUCAUAAAAUCCAUAAGUUAUGUCCAGUCCUUUUAAUCAACUCAGGAAAAAAUUAGAAUGAAUCUAAUUAAACUUUUGAUUUUUUGCAUCCAAUACGAGCAGGACAUAAAACUGCAUCUUUCACCGGCUUCAGAUGGUCAGCAAAAACUUUCUUUUUUUAAGCGUUUGGGAGCAAAUCGGAUAAAGCUCUUCAUAAAAAUCAAAAAGUAACCCCAAGGAUCAUCCAGGUCAAUCUGCAUGAGUUUUGCUGUUCAUACAUGAGCCAUAGAAGCAAGUUGAACCGCCAAACCGGGCACUAUGGUAAGACGUGGAAACACCGGAUCCCAUUCGUACCUCGAUCUGUUCGUUUUCUCGUUCAGAACGGGCCGAUAUGCGCAAGUAAGAAGUUUCCUCAGCCUGAGAGUUCAAAGAAAUCAUGUCACUUUGGGUUGCACAGGCUAUAGGAGAAAUUAUUCUUUUCGACUUACUUUUUUCAACCGGCUACAAACCGCUUCAAUCGGUAAAAUUAGAAUUAUAAUAGUUACACGUGUUGUAAUGUUGUUGAUUUAUUUGUCAAUUUCUUUAAUGUUUGUUACAUGUUAUGUAAGGUAACGAGACCCAUAAUUGAGUGCAUAGAAUUUCAAUGAAUUUCUGCCCCGUUGAGUUCACCGACUAAACUUUUGUAAAAUUAAAAAAAAAAAAAGUACAUAAAAUUUCAGAAAGGCUAAUACUAAGUUAUAUGCAUGUAACUUACAACCCUCUUACAUAAAUAAUGAAUAAUAUGAGCCCACUCAUUAUUUAUGUAAGAGCAUUAUAAGUUACAUGCAUGUAACUUAAGGUGAUCCUUUCAGAAAAUACAAAACGCGCGGAAUUAACCAAAAUAUAAUUUAACAAAAAAGGAAAAAAAAAGUAAGAUUUUUAAAAUGUGUGGAAGGUAAUCCAUAUUUUAUUGAAAUGACUUGUCUCGAAUAUUAAAAUGAUUGAUUUUUUUUUUUAAUAAUAUCAACUUCCAUAUUUUCUACCCCAGAACAUGCUCACAUUCAAGUCAAUCUCGCUAAUUUGAAAUACAAAAUCAAAUCAACACCAAAGCAAUGAAAAGUAAAGCUUUUAAAUUUUAACUCCAGCUAGCAAACGUAUUCAGCGUUUUCAAAUUCUUCCCAUUGCAUCUUCCUCCAUCAAUGCAAUAUUUGAACGAUUAAGAAAGAGUUUGAGAACAUAAAAAAUCCCCAAGGCUUAUACGGUAUUAACAAAUUUAAAUUCUCAAUUAUAAUAGAUAAUAAUUAAACUAAUAAUUAUUUAUUUUUUUAUUUUAGUAAUUUCACCUAAGAAUAAUAUUGUAAUUAGAAAAAAAAUCUAAUAAGUAGGGUGGUCUUAUACAAAAUCAACUGCAUAUACAUAUAUAUAUAUAUAUAUAUAUAUGCAGAUGCAAAUGAUAAUUUUUAAUUCUUUUUUUUUAAUAAGAAAAUUGUGUAUUGAGAUGAAUGAGAUGUUUAAUUUAAUUAAUUUCCUUACUUUCAUAUACAUUGUCUUUCUAUCUAAAGAAAGCUUGGUGUUGAGAUCGACAUGAAGUUGCAAGUUGCUGCCCAUGCCUGGCUGCUGAUUAAUAAUAAAACGAGACAAACUAAUUAAACUCUGGCCUCCAUGCGUAUGUCAUCCUAACUUUACUUGCUCUUGUUUGUUAAUAUUCAUUCUUAGAGAGGUGAAAAAAUUACAAGUCUUGAAUAACAAGGAGUUUAAUUGCCUCUAACUUCACUUGGUCUAUCAAUUCCCCUGCAAUUUCGGAAGCCAAGCGCAAAAUCAUACAGAGAAUUAAUUAUCUUUUUAUUAUCAACCCAUCUUCAAGAAGAUUUUCCUCAAUUUGCCCCAGAGGAGUUGGAGCUGUGUUUCUGAUAAGCCAAAGAGAUAGUAGCAAUUAAUAUUGAUAUUGCCUACCCAAGAAAUAUGAGUGAAUUAAGUAUUAGCAAGACUUCAUUCAGAGGAGCAAUUAAACCACUUCCUUAUCAAUUGCGGCAGCCGUCUAUUAACUAAAAUGCCAAUCUAAUACAGGAAGAAACAACAUUUACAGAUUCGGCAAUUGAGUUCAUUAAGAAGUAGCAUCAUAUUCGGGUGAUGAGUUUCAUUUUUUUAAUAAUUUUAGUCUAAUUUCAAUUGUACUGUGACCGCUACUCAAGGGAAGUGAAAGUUACAGAUGUGGCAAAAUAAAUAAUUAAAUUAACAAAAAUGCUAACUAAUUUUCCUGAAUACCUAGGGUUGCACAAUUUCACCAACCUGGAAGAAUUGACAUUAGUGGACUGGUCUCCUCCCCAUAUAAUUAUAAUCCUUCUAGAAAGCUAAUUUUUAUUAAAUAUUUGCUUUUAAGUUAAUUUCAAUUAAAAAAUGUUUUAAGUUAUAUAUACUCUAAUGAGAUUCUGAAUUCCUUUCUUCCAAUAAUAAUGAAAACUUAUUAAAUUAGAAAUGAAAAAAUGGGCGUUGAUGAUUCAUCCUGAUUUGGAUAGAUUACUUGUAUAAAAUUGACAAUUUUGAUUUAAUUUUUGUUUAUUGUUAACUUUCAGGCUAUCUUAAUUUCAAGAAUUUAGAAUAUUAAUUUGGUCAUGGAUUUCAACCCGUGACUGUUAUAUUCUAUACUUAAUGGUACCAUUCUUGAUUGAGGGCAAUGACUCUCACUCCUCUUGUAAAAAAAUAUUUUCAACUAUUUUGAUGACUUAAAAAUUGAUAGAUUUAUUGUUGUCAUGACCAAAUUAUUCAUUCGGCAAAGCUUAUCUUACAUCACCUGUAACAAACAGCCAAUACAUAUGGGUGGUUAGAUUUUGAUAUUUCUUAAUCUAAUGGAUGAAAAUAAUUUUAACGCAAAACAAGGUAUGGGUGUAAUAGCUAUUUACAAAAAAAUUUAUUUUGAAUCACAUAUUACUUAUUUUUUCAAAUAAGUCCUCAUUAAUUUUUUAUAACUAAAUGAUUUUAUCGUCCAUCUCUUUUACAUCUAUUUUUAAAAAUUGUUAAAGUUUUUACUAAAUUUUUAUAAAGAUCUAAAUGAUUAUCAUGUUUAUAAAAAUCUACAAAUUCUAAAUAUAUAUUUGCAUUUACAUUUAUAAUUUUUUGUCUCUCUUAAAAUAUAAACUAGAUUUUUUUUUCUUUUAUAUAAUUCAAGAUGCUAAAUUUAGAUAAGAGAUAUUAUAUGUGAUAAAUAUAUUAUGACUCUAAUAAAUUACUAGAAAGAUGGUAAAAUGAAUAAAUUAUUGGAACCUCUAAUAAUUUCACAAAAUAUAAAAAUUAAUAAAUUAUCACAUUCUAGCUAUACACAAAGAGGAUUUUCGUAUGAAAGAUUAAAAUCCUUUGACCUAAUCAAUGAUUCAGACAUGCGGAGAAAUAAUCAAUUAAAUUAAAUUUCACUAUAUUUAUCAAAUAAAUUAGGAAAACCCAAAUUUAUCUAUAAAUGAUAUAAAAAAAAUGAAAUAUUAAAAAUUAAAAAUUUCAAUGAAGAAAACAUACAACAAAUUAAAAAGUUAGGAGUUCAAAUGAGUAAAAAGUCUGCGCUCUUACCAUUUGAGUUAGCCUUCGCCUCAACUUGAACUUUAUUAUUUUUUUGUAACCCUAAUUGACAUCAACUUUAACUUUAUUAUGUUAUUAUUUCAAUCCCCCAUUAUGCCUUUUUAAUACUCCAUUAUACCAUUUUUAUAGUGCAAAUUUAAUUGCACAUCUAAAUAAAUUGAUUAUUGUUACUCCACCACCAAUAUUUCGAAAAGUCACUAGACCAUUCCUGCCUUUAGUUUCCCUUAAGUUUAACCAUUGACUGUUUUUAGCAUCUUAAAAUAUACAUUUAUUCCUUGAUUAUGUGAUAAAUUUAUGAAAAUAUCCAUUUAACUUAAAUUAAUUGGAAUAACCAUGCGUAACAUAAAUUAAUAGAACAAAAUUAUCAAGUGUAUGUUCUAUCUUACUUUUUGAAGAAUUUAACAUAUAUAAUGCUAUACUAUUAAUUAUAUCCUGAUUUUCAUCGAUUAUAGCGAGAGUUUCUCCAAAUCAACUCCCUUAUUCAAAUAAUACAGAAAAAAUAGUAAUUUAAUUGUAAAAAAAACAGGUGUUGAUUAUAUAUCCUAAGUUUCGUCGAUUAUGUGAUCAAAGCGGCAUUGUUGAUUUAUUUCUUUUUCAAUGUUGAUUUUUAGGUUAUAUAAAUUUCGAGGAUUUAAAAUCUUUGGUCAUGGAUUACAUGCUUAUUAAUUUUUCUGCCAUUGACUGUCAUAUUCUAUACUUAAUGGUACCUUUCUUGAUCAAGGGUAAUUACUCUCUCUUCUCCUCUUAUAAAUUCCUCUUCCAUUAACAUCACUAGGAGUAUGUUGAUCUCUCAGACGUUAACUUGAGUGGAGAGUUUCCAAAUUGAUUGUUAUAAAACAACACAAAAACUAGACAUACUUGAUCUGUCUAAUAAUUCUCAUUCGGUAAAAUUAAUUAAUUUUAGGAGAAUAUUGGGCCAAACUAAUUGCACUCAAUAAAUCUCUUUUCCUUUAAAAAACUGCUACGCUUUGAUUUUAGUGCUUAAUAUUUGCUGAACACCGAUACACGGAAUUUGAAAUCAAACUCGUAACUACAGAUUAUCUAAUUGCAAGUUUCUGUCCAUAGCUGCUGAUUUGUAGUGAUUAUCUAAUUGACUGAGGCGACAACAAUUUUUUUUUUUUAAUUUUCAAUAGCACAAUGUGGAAUUCAAUAAUUAAAUUCUCCUUCAUAAUUUGUUUCCAGUUAAAUUAUUAAUUACUUAAACUCUGUUUUAAGUCUUUAAUUUUAUGUGUUUAUGCAGAAUUGGAUUCUUGAGCGUGUUGGACACGACCAACAAUGAAAUUGACAGUAAACAAACAUUACAACGUGUGGACUCCGGUAGCUGCCCUACAAGUCUACAACUUUACAAAUAAUACUUGAGUAAGCACCUUUGAUUCUCCGGACCCUUCAAUGAAUUUCUAGCCCCGUUAACUCCACCGACUAAAGUUUUGUAAAAUAAAAAAAAAAUACAUGGAAUUCCACCAAAUGCAAAACGCGUGGAAUUUAAUUUUCGGCCGUGUGGACCAAAACAUAAUUUAAUGAAAAAGGAAAAAAAUGAUAAGAUUUCUAAAAUGUGUGGAAGGUGAUCCAUAUUUUACUGAAACGACUUGUUAAAUUUUUUAAGAAUUUAGAAUAUUUGAUCAUAAAUUACAUGCAUGUUAAUUUUUCCGUCAUUGACCAUCAUAUUCUAGACUUACCUUUCUUGAUGAAGGGUACUUAGUCUCUCUUCUCCUCUUAUAAAAAUUAUAUUAAUUGAUUUCUUGUUAUAGUUAAUAGUCUUUAAGAACGUAUAGAUUUAUUGUUUUCAUGACCAAAUUAUGCCCGGCUAAGGUUGCGACUAUUAAUAAAAUUAAUAUUUAAUGUUUAUGUUAAAAGAUAUAAGAUUUUGUGCAUUCAUUUUGUGCAUUCAUUAAUUGUUAUUAGCUAAAGGAUGAAUUUUUUUUUCAACCCAAUCAGUUGAUACAUCUGCAAGAGUUUUUUCUUUCAUUGACCAUAAUUAUAUUCCGGGUACAACAAAUUGUCUUUGGUGCUUGGAAAAUAUGACUUCUUACUUCAAGUUUGAUACGUCUCUCACCAUAAGCGUACUGGAAAUAUAUCCUCAUCUUCUGUCAUUUAUCUAGGACCUUGCUACGUUACAGACUCUGUAUGUAACGCAGCAAAUGAGGAGCAUCCACGCGUUGCAGGAGAGAGGAAAAGUUGUUGGAAUUUAGCUGAUACAAGACUAAUUUCCAUUGAGCUGUUACAUACAGAGUCUGUAAGGUAGUUUUGUCCCAUUUAUCUAAUAUCAAUUGAAGAUCUCACUUUUUCAAACUAUCACUUCCAAGUAUCAUUGUCACUUGGCCAUUCUUGGACCAUUCAAAACCAAUCAAGUGUUGAAAUAAUCAAAUAUAUGCAAAAUUAGAGUCAUGAUUUUCGGUCCCCCAAAUUCUAAUUAUAUAACUUCUAUAUAUCUCAUUGUCAGGUCACGAACUUGUUGGCACAUUUUCCAAAUUCCUCUUCCAUCAGCUCUCACAUGUUAACUUGAGUGGAAAGUUUCCAACUUAAUUGCUAGAAAGCAACGCAAAAUCGGACACACUUGCUCUGUCCCAUAAUUCUCUUUUCUACGUUGAAAAAGAAAAAAAAAAGAAAAAAGAAAAUAUAUCUAUGUAAAAUUAAAUAAUAAACUGAGCAAAAGUACAUUUGUUUAAUUAACAUCUGAUCGGGGCAUUUUUGGUGUGAUUUCGUGCUGUGUAAGCCACAACUAAAAUCAAACAGCCCCUUAGCAUACUUCUUCCAUUUUAUCUGCUACUUUUGUGGAUCUUAUAGGGUGGGCAUGUGGACAGAAUUUAAAAGUUUUAAUAGUCUCAAAGAAUAAAAUAUGUUAAAGCUGAAGUUGAAAAAAUGGGUGUUGAUGAUUCAUCCUGAUUUGGAUAGAUUACGUGAAUAAAAUUGACAAUUUUGAUUUAAUUUUUGUUUAUUGUUAAUUUUCAGGCUAUCUUAAUUUCAAGAAUUUAGAAUAUUAAUUUGGUCAUGGAUUUCAAUCCGUGAGUAUCAUAUUCUAGACUUAAUGGUACCAUUCUUGAUUGAGGGCAACGACUCUCACUCCUCUUGUAAAAAAAUAUUUUCAACUAUUUUGAUGACUUAAAAAUUGAUAGAUUUAUUGUUGUCAUGACCAAAUUAUUCAUUUUAAUGAAAUAUAAUUAAUGCAUCAAAAUUAGCAGGUGUAUGUUCUAUCUUACUUUUUCAAUACUGCACCUUUUCAAUACUGUUUCUCUUGUAAUUUUCUUUUUCCUUUUUUCAAUGAAAAAAAAGGGAAGGUUUUUCCGAGUAAUCCAUUAUUUGAUUACCGUCAAUCAAGAAAACGACCAAAUUAAUUUCUCUCCAUGAGCUAGAAAAUUUUGUUAUUUGAAAAUAACAUCAUUAAUUAUAGAGUGGAUCAAACCGUGUUAUUGUCUUUCAUAAAAUUGAUGUCUUUUUAAGAGUCAAUACUUUUUAUUUACGCAAACCAGUCGACAUCAAUUUAAACUUCCAUAUUUUUAUUAUUAUUAUGUUAUUUAUUUUAUCAGCGGCUAUAUAUCAAGAAAGCGACAAAAUUUAUUUCUCAUGACUUCCAAAAACUAGAAAACAACAUCAUUAAUUGGGGUUGAUCAAACCGCAUUAUUAGUGUCACACUAUAUUUGUACAACCAAGUCAACAUCAAUUUUUUUAAAUUUUAUAAAUUAAGAAGAUCAUUUUGGCCUUACAGAGUCUGCGCUCUCACCAUUUGAUUUAGCCUUCGCCUCAACUUGAACUUCAUUAUUUUUUUGUAACCCUAAUUGACAUCAACUUUAACUUUAUUAUGUUAUUAUUUCAAUCCCCCAUUAUGCCUUUUUAAUCCUCCAUUAUACCUUUCUUAAAGUGCAAAUUUAAUUGCACAUCUAAAUAAAUUGAUUAUUGUUACUCCACCACCAAUAUUUUGAAAAGUCACUAGACCAUUCCUGCCUUUAGUUUCCCGUAAGUUUAACUAUUGAUUGUUUUUAGCAUCUUAAAAUAUACAUUUAUUCCUUGAUUAUGUGAUAAAAUUAUGAAAAUAUCCAUUUUAGCUUAAAUUAAUUGGAAUAACCAUGCGUAACAUAAAUUAAUAGAACAAAAUUAUCAAGUGUAUGUUCUAUCUUACUUUUUGAAGAAUUUAACAUAUAUAAUGCUAUACUAUUAAUAAAUUUAUCAUUUAAUAUAUAUGUUCAAAUAUUUUAUAUAUUUAUUAAUUGUUAUAUAGUCAAAGGAUGAAUGAUUUUUCAGGUCUACAUGAGUUGGUGCAUCUGCAAGACUCAAUUUUGACAACAAUGAUCUAAGGGGUAAUUUACCUUGCUGUUUGAAAAAUAUAACCUCUCUUCAUGAUUUACUUCCAAUCUACUUACUGUAAAUAUCUCCUCAUCUCCUCUAACUUAUAUGAUAACCCUUGAAGAUCUCACAUUUUCAAACGAUCAUAUUAGGGUUUUUAUUCUUAGCAUCAUCGUGUCAAUAAUAUAUGUUGCAGUAAGAUUUUUUCAGACCAAUUCCCUUCUUCAAAUAAUAAUGGAAAAGUAUUAAUUUAAAAAUAAAAUGAAUAUGCAUUGAUUAUAUCCUGAUUUUCAUCGAUUAUAGCGAGAGUUUCUCCAAAUCAACUCCCUUAUUCAAAUAAUACAGAAAAAAUAGUAAUUUAAUUGUAAAAAAAACAGGUGUUGAUUAUAUAUCCUAAGUUUCGUCGAUUAUGUGAUCAAAGCGGCAUUGCUGAUUUAUUUCUUUUUCAAUGUUGAUUUUUAGGUUAUAUAAAUUUCGAGGAUUUAAAAUCUUUGGUCAUGGAUUACACGCUUUUUAAUUUUUCUGCCAUUGACUGUCAUAUUCUAUACUUAAUGGUACCUUUCUUGAUCAAGGGUAAUUACUCUCUCUUCUCAUCUUAUAAAUUCCUCUUCCAUUAACGUCACUAGGAGUAUGUUGAUCUCUCAGACGUUAACUUGAGUGGAGAGUUUCCAAAUUGAUUGUUACAAAACAAAACAAAAACUAGACACACUUGAUCUGUCUAAUAAUUCUCAUUCGGUAAAAUUAAUUAAUUUUAGGGGAAUAUUCGGCCAACCUCUAUAAUUUCAUAGUGAUCAUUAAUUAAUUAAACGAUACAAAUAUCUAAAGUGAUUAGAUGUUUGCUGACAAUACAAGUUCAUGGCUUGAAAUUUGAUCUCUAUCGAUUGAUUUACAAAUGGAAGUACUUGUGCCUUUGUGGCGAUAAUUGAACCAGAGAUGUGAAGCUGUAAAGAUUUGGCAGUAGUAAAUUGUUAAUUAUAAAGACAUAAAGAAAAGUUCCCAUGAUUAUUAUUUUUCCAAAAACUUUUUUACAACAAAUUCAUCUCGCCAAAAAUUAUAUUUUGCUAACAAACAAUAAUUGAGUACUUGGCCGUAUUGACUUCACGUCUCCACCUGCUUUCUAAGUGAAAACAUGGAAAUGUGUAAUUUCCACAAAAUGCCAAACGUGUGGAAUUUAAUUUUUAGCCUUGUGGACUAAAAUGCAAAUGAAAGAAAAAGGGGAAAAAACAAAAAAGAGCCCAAAGACUUUUAAAACGUGUAGAAGUCUUUGGGCCCCAAAGACUUCUAAAACGUGUGGAAGUCUUUGGGCCUUUUUAUAAUGGUGGAUUUUUUUUUUUUUUUUUAAAUUGGAAACUUCAUUAAGAGGCAAAGAUUACAGAGAAGUCCCCAGUUCGAGUCGCAGGAAAGUCGCCUUUGUUGGGAGAACCUGUGCCUCUCGGUUCGAGUGGGGACUUCUAGUCUAGGUUGUGGUACGGACUUAAAGGUGUCUCCCACAGUUGGGGCCCUCCCCAGAAUACCUCGUGGUCAAAACAAAAAAAAAAAAAAAAAAAGAUUACAGAGAAGUAAAUAACCAAGGAGGUGGGACAUGACUCCACUCCUCAAAGCCUGACAAAGAACCCCCCACCCGAGCGGUAACAUGGGCGGCAGUGUUCAAAGACCUUCGAAUAAAAGAGAACUCAAUAUCUCCUAUAGACUUAGCUAAAGCUAGACAAUCAUCAAGAAUAAGACCAUACCCAUUCGGACAAGAAUAGCUUGCUGUGAGAGCUUUAAAAACCUGGAAGCAGUCCAUUUCUACUACAACACAAGACAAAUGCCGCUUCUUAAUCCAGCUGAGGAUCUCACGCACACCAAGCGCUUCAGCAUCCCUUGCACCAAAACUACCCAGGACAGAUGCACAGCAAGCUGCCACAAACAGCCCAUCAGAGUUGCGAAUGACCCCUCCAUAACUUACUUUUCCCUAAGCUGAAAAUGUUGCGGCAUCAACGUUACACUUAAGCCAACCUAACUGAGGAGGUGUCCAGCAAAUUGCCCCAUGACGGCCUUGGAAACAAGUAGCAUUAUUGACAUCAGAUUUCUGCCUCGCAAUUUGACAUUGAAACAAAUAAUUUCCAGCAGAGUUGAGGACAUGACGCACACUACAGACUUUGUUAUUCCAAACUUUGGAUUUUUUAAAAGAAAAAAAUAACAACACUUCUAUGGUUUGUUUUGAUAAUCAUAUUUACAUAUACUCUCUAAUUUUCAAAAUGGACAUAUAAUUUUUUUUUACAAAUAUAUAUUAUUCGUAUUUUUUAUUAUUUUUAUUAUCAUAUUUUUAUUUAUUAUAAAUGUUUAAAGUAAAUUUUUAGGUUGAAAUAUAAUAAAAGGGUAUAAUCGUUCUCUUAUUAAAGACACAUACUUUUAUUUUCUAUCCAUUUGUCAUCUCAAUCACUCUCAAUUAUUCUUUAUUGCUAGCUCAAAACGUGUUGCUGUUGCAAAUUAUAGCAAAAUGAAAAAUAUGGAAAAAAAAAAGGGAAGAAAAUUAAUGCAUGAAAGACUUGGAGAAAACAACCAAAUAAGUCAACUAUAAUCAAGCUGGGUGUAUAAAUUGUUUGAUGUGUCAUAAGCAAAUAGAGAGACGGACAGUGUGUGCGUUUUUUAAUAGUUAAAGAUAUAGAUAGAAUGGGUGGUUCAAAAUCAAAAUUGGUGAUAAUGUUUGUUCUGUUAUUAAUAAUAUUAGAAGGUGGGGGGAGUGAGAGAUGUUUGGAUCAAGAGAGAUUUGCUCUUUUGCGACUUAAACUUUUCUUUGAUGAUCCUUUUAAUUCGCUUCACCACUGGGUAGAUGAUGAGGGAGCUACUGAUUGUUGUCAAUGGGAAAGGGUUGAGUGCAGCAACACCACAGGUCGAGUGAUACAACUAGACCUUUCUUUCAUUGGGAAUUGGGAUUUGAAAGAGCGGUAUCUGAAUGCUUCUUUGUUUACUCCCUUUCAACAACUUGAGUCACUUUAUUUAAAAUACAACAAUAUAGCCGGUUGUGUUGAGAAUGAAGGUGCUUCGUUUAAUUUAAUUAAUUUACUUUCUCUCCCCUAAUUUAUGUUGAAUAUCAAGACCAAGCAAUUAUAUGCAUAUUCAUUCAGUUGACAAUUUUGACUAAUUUUUUUUAAAUGAUUAAUUUUGAAAUUACACGAGUACAAUUUUUAAAUGAUCUUUUUUUUUAUUUUACUUGCAGGUAUAGAGAGGCUAUCAAGAUUGAGCAACUUGAAGAUGCUUGAUUUAAGUGAAAACUUGUUCAACAAUAGCAUCUUAUCAUCUGUAGCUCAUCUUUCAUCAUUAACAUCAUUAUAUUUAUAUUCGAAUAGAUUGGAAGGAAGUAUUGAUGUUAAAGGUACAUAAUUAAAAUUUCAUCUCUUCUCCAAGCUCUUUCAUUAACUUGCUAAAAUAAGAUUCAAGGUUUUGAAUUCAAUUUUUUUUUAUGAUUAAUAUUGAAGAAAAAAAUAAUUUUAAGCAAUUCAUAAAUACAAGUUCUAAUGUUUCUCAUAAUUUUAUCUUGUACUUUUUCGUAUGUCUUGAAUUUAAGAUUAAAAAAAAACUCUAAUGGGGAACCAAACACAUCCACAACUUAUUAUUAUUAUUUUCUAAUUUUUCUGUGUGUUUUGAAACAUUCAACUCAAUUUGUACUUUUUACAGAAUUAGAUUCUUUGAGAGAUUUGGAGGAGCUAUACAUUGGUUGGAACAUGAUUGACAAAUUUGUGGUCCCAAAAGGUACUACAAAUACCAUUAAAAAAUUUAAAUUUUUACAAAUUAGGUAGAUUCUUUGCCAUUUGGUUCAUUAUUUUACAAAUUAGCUAGAUUCUCUGAAUUUAGACAAUGAAUUUUGAUUUUCUUAAAUCCUAUUAUAAUUACUAUUAAAAAACAGGUUACAGAGGUUUGAGGAAGUUGAAAAGCCUAGGUCUAUCGGGAGUUGGAAUUACAAAUGGAAGCAAGUUGUUACAGUCAAUGGGAUCAUUCCCAUCCCUCAACACUCUUCACCUUUCGUUUAAUGAAUUUACGGAAACAGUAACAACUACUACUCAAGGUAAGUAAAUGGUACAUAUGUCGCCAAAUUUAUAAAUAAACUGUUAAUUAAUUAAUUAAUUUUUUCGUAUUAUUAAGAAAGCUAAAUUCGUUGCUCCUUCCUUUUAAAUCUAAACAGAGUUGCACAAUUUCACCAACUUGGAAUAUUUGACAUUGGACUAUUCCUCUCUCCAUAUAAGCCUUCUGCAAAGCAUUGCAUCAUUCACUUCGUUAAAAAAUCUGUCGAUGUCUUAUUGUGAAGUCAAUGGCGUCCUAAGCGGUCAAGGUAAAAGAAAAGUGUUGAUUGUGAAUAAGCUGUUAAUUAAUUAAUGUUGUUGCUCCUUGCUUCUAAACAGAGUUGCGCAAUUUCACCAACUUGGAAUAUUUGAAUUGGACUCUUCUUCCUCGCUUGUCAAAUAUUGGACUCUUCCUCGCUUGCGCAAUUUCAUCAUUCACUUCUGCAAUUUCUUGAAGAAUGAAUUUAUUUAUUUAUUUAUUAUUGUUGUAGUUGUUGUUGUUGUUGAAGUGGGGUGGGCAAGCGUUCACUCAAUUAAUAUGUGGGGAAUUAAAUAUUAACAUCAACGUAGAAUUGUGGAAAAUUAAAGUAAAAUGAGAAAUAUGGAAUGAAAGGAAGAAAGUUAAGAGCAUGAAAGACUGGGAGAAGAAUAAAGACCACCAAAUAAGUCAACUGAAAACAAGCUGAGGCCUGGGUGUACAAAUUGUUAGAUGUGUUUAUUAUAAAUAACAUAGAGCCCUCUUGUUGGUUGCAGAGGCAGAGAGACAGAGAGUGUGCAUUUUAUUAAUUAAAAAUAUUUAUAGAAUGGGUGGUUGCAAAAUCCAAAAUGGUGAUAAUGUUAGUUUUGUUAGUAUUAAUAAUAUUAGAAGGGGGGUAGUGUGAGGGAUGUUUGGUGCAUGAGAGAUUUGCUCUUUCGAGACUUAAAACAUUUCUGCAAACCUCCUUAUAAUUUUCGUCACGAAUGACCGCUGUCAACACCACAGGCUGAGUGGUAUCUGAAUGCUUCUUGGUUUACUCCCUUUCAACAAUAUAGUCGGUAGUGUUGAGAAUGAAGGUGUUUCGUUUAAUUUAAUUAAUUUACUUUCUCCCUCCUAAUUUAAGUUGAAUAUCAAGACCGAGCAACUAUAUGCAUAUUCAUUUAGUUGACAAUUUUGACAUAUUUUUUUAAAUGAUUAAUUUUGAAAUUACACCAAACAGAUGCGAUCUCUGUUUUGAUUUUACUUGCAGGUCUAGAAAGAUUGGCCAACUUGAAGAUGCUUGAUUUAAGAGGAAACUUGUUCAAUAAUAGCAUCUUAUCAUCUCUAGCUCGUCUUUCAUCAUUAACAUCAUUAGAUUUAUCUUACAAUCGAUUGGAAGGAAGUAUUAAUGUUAAAGGUACGUAAUUAAAACGUCAUCUCUUCUCCCAACUCUUUCAUUAACAUGCUAAAAUAAGAUUCAAGGCUUUGAAUUCAAUUUUUUUAUGAGUAAUAUUAGAAAAAUAGUUUUAAGCAAUUCAUAAAUACAAUUUUCAAUGUUUCUCAUAAUUUCAUCUUGUACUUUUGUAUGUCUUGACUUUAAGAUAAAAAAAAAAAUUACUCUAACUAUGAAGCAAAUACCCCAUGACUAAUUUAUCAUUUUGUCCAGUUAAAAAUGAUAAAAUUUAUCAUUUUGUUUUUAUUGAUUAAUUAACUCUGUUUUAAGUCUUAAGUCUUGGCUUCUUGGCAUGUUUGCAGAAUUUGAUUCCUUGAGCAACUUAGAGGAGUUGGACAUGAGCGGCAAUGAAAUAGACAAUUUUGAGGUUCCUCAAGGUAAACUAUUAAAAUAUUAUUCAAUUACAUUAAUUUAAUUCGUUUGAUUAGGGAAGGCCCAAAAGGUACAGAAACAUAAUUGAAAAAAAAAAUAAAGAAACAGAGAAUUCAUAUUAUUUCAAAAAACAAAAGGUAAUACUAUUAUUUCAAAAAUAGAAUGUAAUAAAGAUUUGAUUUCGGUUCUUUAAUCUUUACAGCAAUUGAAAAACAAUGUUGCUCUAAAUAUGAAAUGACUCCAAAUUGAAUUAGUCAUUUAUUUCGUUUAGCUCUAAAUUUAGAAAAAAUGAAUUUUGAUUCUCUUCAAUUCUUUCAAAAUUAUUAUUAAUAAACAGGUUACAAAGGUUUGAGGAAGUUGAAAACUUUGUAUCUAUUGGGAGUUGGAAUUAGAGAUGGAAGCAAGUUGUUACAGUCAAUGGGAUCAUUCCCAUCCCUCAACAAUCUUGACCUCUCUUAUAAUAAUUUUACCGAUACAGUGACCACUACUCAAGGUAAGUAAAAGGUAUAGAUGUGGUCAAAUUCAUAAACAAACUCUUAAUUAAUUAAUUAAUUUUCCAUAUUAUUAAUAAAAGUGAAAUUUGUUGCUUCUUCCUUCUAAUUCUAAACAGAGUUGCACAAUUUCGCCAACUUGGAAUAUUUGACAUUGCACGGUUCCUCUCUCCACAUAAGCUUUCUGCAAAGCAUUGCAUUAAUGUUUCCUUCGUUAAAAAAUCUGUCGAUGCUUGAUUGUAAAGUAAAUGGUGUCGUACGUGGUCAAGGUAAAAGAAAAGUGUUGAUUGUGAACUCAUUGUUGUCCUACGUGUUCAACAUUUUAUUUAUUUAUUUUAUUGUUUAAUGUUUCUGCUAGGUUUUCCUCAUUUCAAGAGUUUGGAACAUUUGGACAUGGAUGACUUGCGCAUUGUACUCAACACCAGCUUUCUUCAAAUCAUCGGUGAAUCGAUGCCUUCUCUUAAGUACUUAUCACUGUCAUAUUCUAGUGCUAUCACUAACAGCAGUGGGAUUCUUCAAGGUUAAUAAGAUGCUCCCACCGUUCCCUCUUAAUCUAUAAUAUUAAUUUUUGAUUAAAUAUAUAAUUACAAAAACCAAUCACUUAUAAAAGAAUGCUAUGUAUUUGUUAAUUUUUUUAUUGUACUGAUGGAUAAAUUAAUAAAUUUUCAGGCCUCUGUUCGCUGGUGCAUCUGCAAGAGUUGCACAUGGCUGAUAAUGAAUUAAGAGGUAGCUUGCCUUGGUGCUUGGCAAAUAUGACAUCCCUCCGAAUAUUAGAUGUUUCUUCCAAUCAACUUACUGGAAGCAUCUCCUCAUCUCCCCUCUUUUACUUGACAUCCAUUGAAGAGCUGAGCCUUUCAAACAAUCACUUCCACAUCCCAAUUUCACUUGAACCACUUUUUAAUCACUCAAGACUCAAAAUUUUCUAUGCUGACAACAACCCAAUAAAUGCAAAAAUAACUAAGUCACAUACUUUGACCACCCCAAAAUUCCAACUAGCAUCUCUUUCAUUGUCUUCCAGUUAUGGAGAUGGUGUCACAUUCCCCAAAUUCCUUUACUAUCAACAUGACCUGGAGGAUGUUCAUUUCUCACGCAUACAAAUGAAUGGAGAAUUUCCAAAUUGGUUGUUGGAAAACAACACAAAAUUAAGACAACUUUCUCUCGUCAAUGAUUCUCUUGCAGGACCUUUUCGAUUGCCAAUUCAUUCACACAGGCAUUUAAGACUGUUGGAUGUCUCCAACAACAACUUCCAAGGCCACAUUCCAGUAGAAAUUGGAGAUAUUUUACCACGUUUAAUAUCCUUCAACAUUUCAAUGAAUGCUUUGGACGGUAGCAUUCCCUCUUCAUUUGGUAAUAUGAACCUUCUCCAAAUUCUGGACUUAUCCAACAACCAAUUGACUGGUGAAAUCCCCGAGCACUUGGCCAUGGGUUGCGUCAACUUGGAGUUUCUUGCAUUAUCAAACAACAGCUUAAAAGGUCAUAUGUUCUCCAGAAACUUUAACCUGAUAAACUUGAGAUGGUUACAAUUGGAAGGCAAUCACUUCGUAGGAGAGAUCCCACAAAGUUUGUCUAAAUGCUCCUCACUAGAAGGAUUGUAUCUUAAUAAUAACAGUCUCUCGGGUAAGAUUCCACGAUGGUUGGGUAAUCUCACAUGGUUAAUACAUAUUAUAAUGCCCAAGAAUCACCUUGAAGGUCCUAUUCCAGUGGAGUUUUGUCAUCUUUAUUCGCUUCAGAUUUUGGACAUUUCAGACAACAAUAUAUCUGGAAGUUUACCAUCUUGUUUCCAUCCUCUCUCUAUCACACAAGUUCACCUAUCGAAAAAUAUGUUACAUGGACAGCUAAAAGGAGGUACUUUCUUUAAUUGCUCUUCCCUUGUGACAUUAGAUCUUAGCUAUAACCUCUUGAAUGGCAGCAUUCCAGAUUGGAUUGAUGGGCUUUCUCAGUUAAGCCACCUUAUCUUAGGUAACAAUAAUCUUGAAGGUGAAGUGCCAGUUCAAUUGUGUGGAUUGAACCAACUACAAUUGUUAGAUCUUUCUAAUAAUAAUCUUCACGGUCUUAUUCCUCCUUGUUUUGAUAACACCAAACUUCAUGAAAGUUACAACAAUAGUUCUAGUCCUGAUGAGCAAUUUAAAAUAUUGUUUUCCAUCAAAGGCCAUCAGGGACAUGUAGAAAAGAAAAUCCAAGAAUUUUUUGAGUUCACAACAAAGAACAUUGCGUACAUUUUCCAAGGAAAAGUGCUUAGCCUCCUAUCAGGACUUGAUCUUUCUUGUAACAAGCUAAUCGGUCAUAUUCCUCCUCAAGUUGGAAAUUUGACAAGGAUUCAAACAUUGAAUCUAUCACACAACAACUUGACAGGAUUGAUCCCAUCAACAUUUUCAAACUUGAAGCAAAUCGAAAGUUUGGAUCUUUCCUACAACAAAUUGAAUGGGAAAAUCCCUCAUCAACUUGUGGAGUUAAAGGAAUUGGCUGUUUUCAGUGUGGCAUACAAUAACUUAUCAGGCGAAAUUCCAGAAUGGAAAGCACAAUUUGCAACCUUCAACGAGAAUAGCUAUGAGGGAAAUACUUUUCUUUGUGGACUGCCAUUACCCAUUUGUAGAUCACCAACAACUAUGUCGGAGGCUUCAAUCGAAAAUGAACGAGAUGAUAAUUUAAUUGACACGGACAGUUUUUUUAUCACAUUUACAACAUCGUACGUAAUUGUGAUAUUCGGAAUUGUUACUGUUUUAUAUGUAAAUUCUUAUUGGCGACAUAGAUGGUUUUACUUUGUUGAAAUGUGGAUAACUUCAUGUUACUAUUUUGUUGUAGACAAUCUUAUUCCAACAAGAUUUUGUCAUUGAAAUUAAUUAGUAGUUUAAUUACAAUUCUUUAAGUACUAAUCAAGUUUGCUUAGGAAAUAAAUUUAUUUUUAUUUUUAUUAAAAUUGUAGUAGUAUUUAGCAUUAUAUAGCUUCCAACUUCCAAGCACUUCACAUUUGUCUCUACACUUAAAAAGCUGAGUGAUCAUGUUUUACAGAUAUGGAUCUGGAGUAGGAUAGAUCCAAACACCAAACUCAUAUCUGUCCAUCAUAGCUUAUAGCUUCCCUAUACUGUGCAGCAUACUUAAAUAAGAGAAUCAUCUCCAAUGUUAAAAGCAGCCACUCUAUAACAUUCAUUUAGAAACUAUAUUCAGAAUAGUUUUAUAAUCAUACACAAGAAAUGAAACACCUAGAUGCACUUGAUCGCCUAUUUUACUCUGAAAAAGAACAAUUAUGGUGCUAUCAUCAUCUUCUCAAUUAGCAACAUUAACACUAAAUCCAGCGAUGGACCCAGACAUUUCAUCAAGAAAGGUAUAUAUCUAAUAAAGUUGAAGCUUGACAAAAAAUUCAGGAAGAUUAAUGCCUCGCCACAACAAGGGGCACAACAACAUCAAAGUAGAGAUAAAACAGUAUUCUCAAAGCUAAAACUCUCAAAUCCACCCACCAGAAUUUCAUAUCUCCUCAACAAUUUUAAAAACUAAAGGUAAUUAGGAUUUAACAUUAAUUUUUUAUAUAUUAGUUUCAUAAUUUACAAAUCAAUGAAGAUGAAGAUUAUGCUAAUGAAUUCAAAUUAUACCAUACAUUCUCUAGAUUUUACCAAAAAUUUCCAAGUCAAUCCCACAUAUUUCAUAAUUUUAAGACUGGAAAGUGUUAUGCCAAAACUCAGUAAAGAACUGACAAUGGCUCCCCAAGAUCCACUCAAGAAGGGUUCUUGUAUCUAAAACUAUUGUGAGCCCAAGCAAUCAAAGCAAGUCAAUGAAAGAAUUAAAAGAGGCAGAAAGAACAAUACACAGGAAAGCUUAUAGUGGUUCGGCUAUGGAAGCCUACAUCCACUGUGAAAGGGUGAAUCCAAGUUUGUAUUCAAUGAGUGUCUUACAGAGUACAAGCUUAUUAGAGAAGCUUAACCAUUCAUGAACAACAUGACAUAUUCCAGAAUACCCAGCUAUAUAUAUAAGCAAUGCUCGAUCAUCACCUGCAAGCUUCCCCUGUUAUCCGUGAAGAAGAACAGCAGCUUCCCGCGCUAAUUAACGGCUUAACAGACUCCUGAUAAGCCUCCCUCACACGUGUCUUCAUCUCUAUUAUCUUAAGUACUAAAACGACACUUCAAGCAGCCGUUUUGGUUAAGUGAAUCACGUGCAAACCACAAGCCUUCUUUGCGCACACAGACGACACAAUUUUCUUGUCAUAUAGCUAUCUCAGGACUGUCAACCAACGUGUAAUGGUGUUAACAAAUCUUCAACCGACUUGUCGCACUUGACUAUAAACUGAUUUGCAGUUCAUAUUCAACAUUCUCCACCUUGAGCUCAAAUCAUCCAUCCCUCAGGUUCACCCUUCCACUUCUUUCCUGCAGUCUAUAUCCUGCAGAUGCCAGCUGAGUUCAAACAGAACUCAAACUUGGCUCCUGGUACAGCUUUGGUAAGCAUGUCAGCAAUGUUGCUAUCAGUGUGUAUUUUAGCCAGCUUAAUCACACCCUUUGAUAUUUCCAAUCUGACAAAGUGAAGCUUGAUGUCAAUAUGCUUGGUUUUCUCGUGAUGUAUCUGGUUCUUACUCAGACAUAUAGCACUUUGGCUGUCACAGUGAAUUGUAAUUUGGUUUUGUUCAAAUCCCAGUUCUGUCACUAUCCCUCUGAGCCAGAUAGCUUCUUUGAUUGCCUCUGCAGCUGCUGUGUAUUUUGCCUCAGUUGUUGACAGAGCAACAACACUCUGCAGUGAAGCCUUCCAGUUUAUGGUGCAGCCAUUAAGCAUAAACAGAAAACCUGUUAAAGACCUUCUUUUAUCCAGAUCUCCAGCAUAAUCUGCAUCCACAUAACCCUCCACACUAACCUCUUCAUAUUUCUCAGCUCCAUAGAUCAGACCAUAACCAGUUGUACCAGCCAGGUAUCUUAAGAUCCAUACAACAGCCCUCCAAUGAUCUUUCCCUGGGUUUGCCAUGUACCUGCUUACCACACUCACUGCAUGAGAGAGAUCAGGCCUAGUCAGGACCAUUGCAUACAUUAAACAUCCAACAGCACUUGAGUAUGGAUAUUUAUUCAUUUCAGCCUUUUCAGUAUCAGAGUUUAGACACUGUUGGCAGGACAGUCUGAAAUGAGAGGGCAGUGGUGUCUGUACUGGUUUACAUUUAUCCAUAUUGAAUUUCUCAAGUACUUUCCUGAUGUAUUUGUGCUGUGUUAGGCUUAGGAUACCAUUCUUUCUGUCUCUCUUUAGCUGAACUCCAAGGAUCUUCUUUGCAGCACCCAGAUCCUUCAUCUCAAAUGUAUUGCUCAGCUGCUGUUUCAGUUCAUUGAUGAACUCCAUCUCCUUACAAGCUAUUAACAUAUCAUCUACAUAGAGUAGCAGGUAGAUCUUGUCACCACCUUCUAUGGUUUUAAAAUAGAUACAGCAGUCAAAACUGCUCCUUUGAAAACCAUGAUCUGACAUGAACCUGUCAAACCUUAGAUACCACAGUCUUGGAGACUGUUUUAAUCCAUAUAGUGACUUCCUUAGAUGACAUACAUGAUCAGUCUUUUCUGGAUCCUCAUACCUUUCAGGUUGUGACAUCACUAUCAUCUCAUCUAUUUCACCAUGCAAGAAGGGAGUCUUCACAUCCAUCUGUUCAAGAUGCAUGUCUUGUACAGCCACUAGAGAUAACAAGAUCCUCAGGGAGGCAUGUCUCACCACUGGGGAGAAAACUUUUGUAAAGUCCACCCCCUCUUUCUGAGUGAAGCCUUUUGCAACCAAUCUGGCUUUAUAUCUUUGUGGCUCAACAUCUGGUAUUCCCUCCUUAAUCCUGUAGAUCCAUUUGCACCCUACUACCUUCUUGUUUGCUGGUCUUUCAAUGAGAUUCCAGGUGUGAUUCUUUUUCAAAGACAUCAUUUCCUCAUCCAUGGCCUUGAUCCAUUCUUCUGCUUUAUCACUGUUAAUAGCUUCUGAGUAUGUUCUUGGUUCAUCUGUUGCUACUUCAUGUGCUGCUGUUAAUGCAAAUGCUAUUAGGUCUGCAUAUGCAUAUCUUCUAGGAGGUCUUAUUACUCUCUUUUCUCUGUCCCUUACUAACUGAUAAUCUCCACUUCUUCCCUGAUCACUUGCUGCUUCAAUCUCAGUGUCAUGCAUUUCCAUGUCUGCUAUGUCUCCAGCCUCUGAUCUUGGUUUCAGUUUCUAGUUUGAGUUUGACAGCUCCACCUCAAGAUAAGAUUUCUCAUCUUUUUCUUUCAUUUCUGCAUUUGUAGUUUUUAAGGAUGCUGAGUGUUGGAGCAUUUCAGCUUCAUUAAAAACUACAUCUCUGCUUAUGAUUGCUUUUGGUGGCUUCAUGUCUGUGCACCACAGUUUAUACCCUUUUACCCCUUCAGGGUAACCAAGAAAUACACACUUCAAUGCCCUAGGCUCUAAUUUGCCUUGUCUAAUGUGAGCAUAUGCUGGACAACCAAAUAUCUUCAAACUGGAGUAAUCUGCUGGUUCACCAUACCAAAGUUCAUAUGGUGUCUUGAAGUUAAUUCCAGUUGAAGGGCUUCUGUUCACAAUGUGACAAGCUGUUGACAGAGCCUCAGCCCACAAGGACAUAGGUAGCUUGGAGUGAAUGAGCAUACACCUCACUUUGUCAACUAAGGUUCUAUUCAUCCUCUCAGCUAAUCCAUUUUGCUGAGGUGUAUAUCUUACUGUUCUGUGCCUCAUGAUCCCAUGCUUGCUGCAAAACUCUUCAAACCUCUUGUUGCAGAAUUCUAAUCCAUUAUCAGUUCUGAGCUUCUUAACCUUCCUAUUGGUCUGAGUUUCAAUCAGUGUUUUCCAGUUCUUGAAAUGUUCAAACACUUCAUCUUUGUUCUUCAGCACAUACACCCAAACCAUUCUGGAAUGGUCAUCAAUUAGAGAUAGAAAAUACCUUGCCCCUCCUAAAGAUGUUGUUUGUGCAGGUCCCCACAGAUCAGCAUGUAUGUAUUCUAGAGUUCCUCUUGAAACAUGUGCACCUGUGCUGAAUUUGACUCUUGAUGAUUUGCCUAGGACACACUCCUCACAAAAUUUCAAGUACUCUAUUUUACCUUCACCCAAGACUCCCUGUUUUGAUAGUUCUCUCAAGCCUCUCUCACUCAUAUGGCCUAAUCUAAAGUGCCACAAUAAGGUUUUGUUUAGGUUCUGGUUUGAAACUCCAACAUCUCCUGUGACUUCAGACCCCUGGAGCACAUACAGGCCAUUGUCUAAGUUUCCUUUCAUCAACACCAUAGACCCUUUUAUCACCUUUAAAGUGCCUGACUCAAGCUUGAUUACACACCCCAUUCUGUCAAGCAUGCCAAGAGAAAUUAGGUUCCUCUUUAAAUCAGGGAUGUGUCAAGCAUUUGUUAAUUCUCUUAUUGUGCCAUCAAGCAUUUCCAGAAUACCCAGCUAUAUAUAUAAGCAAUGCUCGAUCAUCACCUGCAAGCUUCCCCUGUUAUUCGUGAAGAAGAACAGCAGCUUUCCGCGCUAAUUAACGGCCUAACAGACUCCUGAUAAGCCUCCCUCACACGUGUCUUCAUCUCUAUUAUCUUAAGUACUAAAACGACACUUCAAGCAGCCGUUUUGGUUAAGUGAAUCACGUGCAAACCACAAGCCUUCUUUGCGCACACAGACGACACAAUUUUCUUGUCAUAUAGCUAUCUCAGGACUGUCAACCGACGUGUAAUGGUGUUAACAAAUCUUCAACCGACUUGUCGCACUUGACUAUAAACUGAUUUGCAGUUCAUAUUCAACAGAAAGUUUCAUUAGUUAGAAGUUUCAUUACCUUCAAGUGGAAGAUGAAGAAGAACAUUAUGCAAGUGAUUCAGACUACAUCAUACAUACUCCAAAUGCAACUAGAAAUUAAGAAGUUCAUGCCCACAGAUUUCAAAACAUUAUGAUUGGAAAGUUUCACAAAUACAGACAAAUUUUAAAUUCAAUCUCUUACAUCAAGGUAGUUUGAUUGAUAUGAGUUACUUUCUGAUCAAACUACUAAUAUAACAUUCAAUUCAGGGAGAAAGUAAAUUAAAAUUGGGAAGAAAUGAUAGUAAAAAUUUGUUGCUAAACAUGAUGUGUAUUUGUUUUUUUUAGGCAAUUUGGAAACACAGUUGUUACUACAGAUAUUCUCCUCAACUUGGAGGUAAAUACAAAUAUUAAAAUGCAUAUGAUCACACAUAUUACUUGGAGCUUAGUAAGAUUUGAUUAAGAGAAGCAAUCAAACCGCAAUCAAAGCACUUAUCAAUUGCCGCAGUCGUUAUAUAAACUAAAAUGGCAAUAUAAUACAAGAAAAAGAACAUAUAGAUACUUGGCAAGAGUUCAUUAAGAAGUCGCAUCACAUUCGGGUGAGGAGUUUGCUUUUGAUAUCUUGCUAGCUGGGGCUUUUUCUUGUCUUUCUAUGUUUGCCGAGGGAAACCAACCAGCUUGGCCCUGGCAUUCACCUUCCGACCGUCCAGUAAGAGCCACCUUGAGAAGUUAUAACUAAAAAGGUGAAUUAAACAAAAGUUGACCGUUCAAAGACCUAAGGGGAAAACUAAUUCUUUUACGUAGGAGUGAAUUAGUUGUGAUUACUGAAAUUACAGCAUUAACCAUGAAAGCAUAACAAGAUAUAAAUUCAUAUAUCUAUAAAGGUAAACUGGGUGGUUUAGAAUUGAGCUAGCAACCCUACUAUAUUCUGAUUUGCACUUCAAUGUAAAAGGGAAUAUAUAGUAGGAAGAAAGAAAACCAACCAUUAUUUUUUAACUCAUUGUUUUUCAAUCAAAAUUUUAAGAACAAAAUGUCAUGUGCUUUGAACAUCAAAUAAGUAUAAGCAUUAGUUCUAAAUUCCACAUAUUAUAAGUUGUUAGAAGAAUAAGUUAAUAGCAUACUAGAAAAAUCUAUGUGUUGUUAUUUAGAGGGGAAAGUACCUGGCGAACCACAACAUAAUCAUCAAUUGAAAGACUUAGCUCCCCAUUUGCUUGAGCGUCAAAUGGAUUUAUAACUUGCAAGAUAAUGGGAUAAAUAGAACUUAAUCUUAAAAAAAACAUAACAAAAGCAGCAACAGUAGCAGCAGCGUUCAUUGUAACCACUAUGAUUAUGGCCAACAAAGAUAUAUUAGAAAAAAUUUCCAUUUUUACUACGACAUUAAUAUGUACUAUACGAUAUCAUGACGAUUGGGUUACCAAGAGCUAUCAAAGUUCAAUAAGUUCUGUAUAACUUUAUGUAGUUAUUUAAAUUAUGGAUCGGAUUUUAAAUUUGAAAUUUUGACUGCUCUCCACAAAACAUGGCCUAUGCAUAAGAAAGUCAUAGAUAAUGACGAUUACAAGUGUCCGACAUCUUUUGAGGGAUGGAUUUAACAUGACAGCUUAUGGUCAGUCAAUUUCCUCUGCCUAACAAUAUAAGCUUUCUCGGCCAGAUAUAUCAUCAAAUACAUAGAUUGCCCCCAAGUCACAUCCAUAUAAACAUAGUUUUUAUAGGUAAACCAAGUAAGGAGAAUCAUAAUUCAGACAUAAUCACAAAAAGGCCCAUCUAAAUUAAGAGAAAAUCUCAAAAAGAGGGAUGUUGAGCUAUCAGUCAUGUAUCUAUAAGCAAUAUCAAGACCUUACAUCACCUACUACAUCGUGAGUAUCUACACAACUUUCAGUGGUUUGUCUUUCUUUGGCAUGCCUAACUCAGCUUUGAUGUUGCUGAGAUAUUGAUGGUAGAGACACAUGAUACUUCUAGCUCAUGCAUUCUAUCUAGCUCAUCCGACAGCUUUCUCUUUUUUAAUUCAUUAGUGUUUGUUAAACCUCAUGCUUCAAAGUCUUGUUCUCUAAAACAAAGUUUCCUAAGAAUAACUUCCUCAGCACCACAUUUGGACACUUUUAGAGCAAUUUUAUUUUGUGGAAAAGAAUUUUCAAGGUGUUAACUAAUAAAUUUUAAAAAAUAAUUACAAUUUGUCCUACGAUCAUAUGAUAAUUUAUUUGGGAUGAAAGGAUACAGGCAGACAUCUUCCACUUUCAAGACUAAUCACUACUUCCGUAGAUGUUGUACAAUAAUACAAAUACUUGACCAGAUGGUAGUGAUAGAAGAAAAAAAUUUUAUUGCUCCAAAAUUAAAAUAAGGGUCAAUCUAUAAUGCCGUAACUAAAUUUACGACAUUGAUACCGUAAUGUACGUGGACCGUUAGAUUUGAAAAAAAAAUCUCUACCAUUAAUUCUAAAUAAAUAGGUAACCUGUUACCUAAGUAGCAGGUAAUUACUAUUUUUUGUUCAAGUUCCAUGUUACAUUUACCAAUUUUAUGUGUGAUUUACAAGUUUUAUGAAACUUUUACAAGUUUUAAGCAACAUUUACAAGUUUUAUGCAACAUUUACAAGUUUUUGUUUUAUUUACAAGUUCUUCUCACAAUUACAACUGUAACAUUAAUUUACCUAUUUUUCCAUUAAUUUAUUAGUUUUAUGUGUGGUUUACAUAUUUUAUGUUUUAUUUCACACUUAAUGUGAAUUUACUAGUUCUAUGUCAUUUUUCUAAGUUUUUGUUUUGUUUACAAAUUCUUCGUACAAAUUACAACUCCGGCAUUAAUUUACUCAUUUUUUCAUCAAUUUACUAGUUUUAUGUGUGAUUUACACAUUUUUUGUUUUAUUUCACAAUUAAUGUCAAUUUACUAGUUCUAUGUCAUUUUUAUAAGUUUUUGUUUUGUUUACAAGUUCUUCGUGCAAAUUACAAUUCCAACAUUAAUUUAUCAUUUUUUUCAUUAAUUUACUAGUUUUAUGUGUGAUUUACAUAUUUUUUGUUUUAUUUCACACUUAAUGUGAAUUUACAAGUUCUAUGUCAUUUUUCUAAGUUUUUGUCUUGUUUACAAGUUCUUCUUACAAUUUACAACUCGAAUAUUAAUUUACCAUUUUUUCCAUACAUUUACUAGUUUUAUGUGUGGUUUACAUAUUUUUUGUUUUAUUUCACACUUAAUGUGAAUUUACAAGUUCUAUGUCAUUUUUCUAAGUUUUUGUCUUGUUUACAAGUUCUUCUUACAAUUUACAACUCGAACAUUAAUUUACCAUUUUUUCCAAACAUUUACUAGUUUUAUGUGUGGUUUACAUAUUUUUUGUUUUAUUUCACACUUAAUGUGAAUUUACUAGUUCUAUGUCAUUUUUCUAAGUUUUUGUUUUGUUUACCAGGUUUUCGUACAAAUUACAACUCCAACAUUAAUUUACUCAUUUUUCCAUUAAUUUACUAGUUUUAUGUGUGAUUUACACAUUUUUUGUUUUAUUUCACAAUUAAUGUCAAUUUACUAGUUCUAUGUCAUUUUUAUAAGUUUUUGUUUUGUUUACAAGUUCUUCGUGCAAAUUACAAUUCAAACAUUAAUUUACCAUUUUUUUCAUUAAUUUACUAGUUUUAUGUGUGAUUUACACUUUUGUUUGUUUUAUUUCACACUUAAUGUGAAUUAACAAGUUCUAUGUCAUUUUUCUAAGUUUUUGUUUUGUUUACAAGUUCUUCGUACAAGUUACAACUCCAACAUUAAUUUACUCAUUUUUCCAUCAAAUUACUAGUUUUAUGUGUGAUUUACACAUUUUUUGUUUUAUUUCACAAUUAAUGUCAAUUUACUAGUUCUAUGUCAUUUUUAUAAGUUUUUGUUUUGUUUACAAGUUCUUCGUGCAAAUUACAAUUCCAACAUUAAUUUACCAUUUUUUAAUUAAUUUACUAGUUUUAUGUGUGAUUUACACUUUUGUUUGUUUUAUUUCACACUUAAUGUGAAUUAACUAGUUCUAUGUCAUUUUUCUAAGUUUUUGCUUUGUUUACAAGUUUUUCGUACAAAUUACAACUCCAACAUUAAUUUACUCAUUUUUCCAUCAAUUUACUAGUUUUAUGUGUGAUUUACACAUUUGUUGUUUUAUUUCACAAUUAAUGUCAAUUUACUAGUUCUAUGUCAUUUUUAUAAGUUUUUGCUUUGUUUACAAGUUCUUCGUGCAAAUUACAAUUCCAACAUUAAUUUACCAUUUUUUUAAGUAAUUUACUAGUUUUAUGUGUGAUUUACACAUUUUUUGUUUUAUUUCACACUUAAUGUCAAUUUACUAGUUCUAUGUCAUUUUUAUAAGUUUUUGUUUUGUUUACAAGUUCUUCGUGCAAAUUACAAUUCCAACAUUAAUUUACCAUUUGUUUAAGUAAUUUACUAGUUUUAUGUGUGAUUUACAUAUUUUUUGUUUUAUUUCACACUUAAUGUCACUUUACUAGUUCUAUGUCAUUUUUAUAAGUUUUUGUUUUGUUUACAAGUUCUUCGUGCAAAUUACAAUUCCAACAUUAAUUUACCAUUUUUUUCAUUAAUUUACUAGUUUUAUGUGUGAUUUACAUAUUUUUUGUUUUAUUUCACACUUAAUGUGAAUUUACAAGUUCUAUGUCAUUUUUCUAAAUUUUUGUCUUGUUUACAAGUUCUUCUUACAAUUUACAACUCGAACAUUAAUUUACCAUUUUUUCCAUACAUUUACUAGUUUUAUGUGUGGUUUACAUAUUUUUUGUUUUAUUUCACACUUAAUGUGAAUUUACAAGUUCUAUGUCAUUUUUCUAAGUUUUUGUCUUGUUUACAAGUUCUUCUUACAAUUUACAACUAGAACAUUAAUUUACCAUUUUUUCCAUACAUUUACUAGUUUUAUGUGUGGUUUACAUAUUUUUUGUUUUAUUUCACACUUAAUGUGAAUUUACAAGUUCUAUGUCAUUGUUCUAAGUUUUUGUCUUGUUUACAAGUUCUUCUUACAAUUUACAACUCGAACAUUACUUUACCAUUUUUUCCAAACAUUUACUAGUUUUAUGUGUGGUUUACAUAUUUUUUGUUUUAUUUCACACUUAAUGUGAAUUUACAAGUUCUAUGUCAUUGUUCUAAGUUUUUGUCUUGUUUACAAGUUCUUCUUACAAUUUACAACUCGAACAUUAAUUUACCAUUUUUUCCAAACAUUUACUAGUUGUAUGUGUGGUUUACAUAUCUUUUGUUUUAUUUGACACUUAAUGUGAAUUUACAAGUUCUAUGUCAUUGUUCUAAGUUUUUGUCUUGUUUACAAGUUCUUCUUACAAUUUACAACUCAAACAUUAAUUUACCAUUUUUUCCAAACAUUUACUAGUUUUAUGUGUGGUUUACAUAUCUUUUGUUUUAUUUCACACUUAAUGUGAAUUUACUAGUUCUAUGUCAUUUUUCUAAGUUUUUGUUUUGUUUACAAGUUUUUCGUACAAAUUACAACUCCAACAUUAAUUUACUCAUUUUUCCAUUAAUUUACUAGUUUUAUGUGUGAUUUACACAUUUUUUGUUUUAUUUCACACUUAAUGUCAAUUUACUAGUUCUAUGUCAUUUUUAUAAGUUUUUGUUUUGUUUACAAGUUCGUCGUGCAAAUUACAAUUCCAACAUUAAUUUACCAUUUUUUUCAUUAAUUUACUAGUUUUAUGUGUGAUUUACAUAUUUUUUGUUUUAUUUCACACUUAAUGUGAAUUUACAAGUUCUAUGUCAUUUUUUUAAGUUUUUGUCUUGUUUACAAGUUCUUCUUACAAUUUACAACUCGAACAUUAAUUUACCAUGUUUUCCAUACAUUUACUAGUUGUAUGUGUGGUUUACAUAUUUUUUGUUUUAUUUCACACUUAAUGUGAAUUUACAAGUUCUAUGUCAUUUUUCUAAGUUUUUGUCUUGUUUACAAGUUCUUCUUACAAUUUACAACUCGAACAUUACUUUACCAUUUUUUCCAAACAUUUACUAGUUGUAUGUGUGGUUUACAUAUCUUUUGUUUUAUUUCACACUUAAUGUGAAUUUACAAGUUCUAUGUCAUUGUUCUAAGUUUUUGUCUUGUUUACAAGUUCUUCUUACAAUUUACAACUCAAACAUUAAUUUACCAUUUUUUCCAAACAUUUACUAGUUUUAUGUGUGGUUUACAUAUCUUUUGUUUUAUUUCACACUUAAUGUGAAUUUACUAGUUCUAUGUCAUUUUUCUAAGUUUUUGUUUUGUUUACAAGUUUUUCGUACAAAUUACAACUCCAACAUUAAUUUACUCAUUUUUCCAUUAAUUUACUAGUUUUAUGUGUGAUUUACACAUUUUUUGUUUUAUUUCACACUUAAUGUCAAUUUACUAGUUCUAUGUCAUUUUUAUAAGUUUUUGUUUUGUUUACAAGUUCGUCGUGCAAAUUACAAUUCCAACAUUAAUUUACCAUUUUUUUCAUUAAUUUACUAGUUUUAUGUGUGAUUUACAUAUUUUUUGUUUUAUUUCACACUUAAUGUGAAUUUACAAGUUCUAUGUCAUUUUUUUAAGUUUUUGUCUUGUUUACAAGUUCUUCUUACAAUUUACAACUCGAACAUUAAUUUACCAUGUUUUCCAUACAUUUACUAGUUGUAUGUGUGGUUUACAUAUUUUUUGUUUUAUUUCACACUUAAUGUGAAUUUACAAGUUCUAUGUCAUUUUUCUAAGUUUUUAUCUUGUUUACAAGUUCUUCUUACAAUUUACAACUCGAACAUUACUUUACCAUUUUUUCCAUACAUUUACUAGUUUUAUGUGUGGUUUACAUAUUUUUUGUUUUCUUUCACACUUAAUGUGAAUUUACAAGUUCUAUGUCAUUGUUCUAAGUUUUUGUCUUGUUUACAAGUUCUUCUUACAAUUUAUAACUCGAACAUUAAUUUACCAUUUUUUCCAAACAUUUACUAGUUUUAUGUGUGGUUUACAUAUUUUUUGUUUUAUUUCACACUUAAUGUGAAUUUACUAGUUCUAUGUCAUUUUUCUAAGUUUUUGUUUUGUUUACAAGUUUUUCGUACAAAUUACAACUCCAACAUUAAUUUACUCAUUUUUCCAUUAAUUUACUAGUUUUAUGUGUGCUUUACACAUUUUUUGUUUUAUUUCACACUUAAUGUCAAUUUACUAGUUCUAUGUCAUUUUUAUAAGUUUUUGUUUUGUUUACAAGUUCGUCGUACAAAUUACAACUCCAACAUUAAUUUACUCAUUUUUCCAUUAAUUUACUAGUUUUAUGUGUGAUUUACACAUUUUUUGUUUUAUUUCACACUUAAUGUCAAUUUACUAGUUCUAUGUCAUUUUUAUAAGUUUUUGUCUUGUUUACAAGUUCGUCGUGCAAAUUACAAUUCCAACAUUAAUUUACCAUUUUUUUCAUUAAUUUACUAGUUUUAUGUGUGAUUUACAUAUUUUUUGUUUUAUUUCACACUUAAUGUGAAUUUACAAGUUCUAUGUCAUUUUCUUAAGUUUUUGUCUUGUUUACAAGUUCUUCUUACAAUUUACAACUCGAACAUUAAUUUACCAUGUUUUCCAUACAUUUACUAGUUGUAUGUGUGGUUUACAUAUUUUUUGUUUUAUUUCACACUUAAUGUGAAUUUACAAGUUCUAUGUCAUUUUUCUAAGUUUUUGUCUUGUUUACAAGUUCUUCUUACAAUUUACAACUCGAACAUUACUUUACCAUUUUUUCCAAACAUUUACUAGUUUUAUGUGUGGUUUACAUAUUUUUUGUUUUAUUUCACACUUAAUGUGAAUUUACAAGUUCUAUGUCAUUUUUCUAAGUUUUUGUCUUGUUUACAAGUUCUUCUUACAAUUUACAACUCGAACAUUACUUUACCAUUUUUUCCAUACAUUUACUAGUUUUAUGUGUGGUUUACAUAUUUUUUGUUUUCUUUCACACUUAAUGUGAAUUUACAAGUUCUAUGUCAUUGUUCUAAGUUUUUGUCUUGUUUACAAGUUCUUCUUACAAUUUAGAACUCGAACAUUAAUUUACCAUUUUUUCCAAACAUUUACUAGUUUUAUGUGUGGUUUACAUAUUUUUUGUUUUAUUUCACACUUAAUGUGAAUUUACUAGUUCUAUGUCAUUUUUCUAAGUUUUUGUUUUGUUUACAAGUUUUUCGUACAAAUUACAACUCCAACAUUAAUUUACUCAUUUUUCCAUUAAUUUACUAGUUUUAUGUGUGAUUUACACAUUUUUUGUUUUAUUUCACACUUAAUGUCAAUUUACUAGUUCUAUGUCAUUUUUAUAAGUUUUUGUUUUGUUUACAAGUUCGUCGUGCAAAUUACAAUUCCAACAUUAAUUUACCAUUUUUUUCAUUAAUUUACUAGUUUUAUGUGUGAUUUACAUAUUUUUUGUUUUAUUUCACACUUAAUGUGAAUUUACAAGUUCUAUGUCAUUUUGUUAAGUUUUUGUCUUGUUUACAAGUUCUUCUUACAAUUUACAACUCGAACAUUAAUUUACCAUGUUUUCCAUACAUUUACUAGUUGUAUGUGUGGUUUACAUAUUUUUUGUUUUAUUUCACACUUAAUGUGAAUUUACAAGUUCUAUGUCAUUUUUCUAAGUUUUUGUCUUGUUUACAAGUUCUUCUUACAAUUUACAACUCGAACAUUACUUUACCAUUUUUUCCAAACAUUUACUAGUUGUAUGUGUGGUUUACAUAUCUUUUGUUUUAUUUCACACUUAAUGUGAAUUUACAAGUUCUAUGUCAUUGUUCUAAGUUUUUGUCUUGUUUACAAGUUCUUCUUACAAUUUACAACUCAAACAUUAAUUUACCAUUUUUUCCAAACAUUUACUAGUUUUAUGUGUGGUUUACAUAUUUUUUGUUUUAUUUCACACUUAAUGUGAAUUUACUAGUUCUAUGUCAUUUUUCUAAGUUUUUGUUUUGUUUACAAGUUUUUCGUACAAAUUACAACUCCAACAUUAAUUUACUCAUUUUUCCAUUAAUUUACUAGUUUUAUGUGUGAUUUACACAUUUUUUGUUUUAUUUCACACUUAAUGUCAAUUUACUAGUUCUAUGUCAUUUUUAUAAGUUUUUGUUUUGUUUACAAGUUCGUCGUGCAAAUUACAAUUCCAACAUUAAUUUACCAUUUUUUUCAUUAAUUUACUAGUUUUAUGUGUGAUUUACAUAUUUUUUGUUUUAUUUCACACUUAAUGUGAAUUUACAAGUUCUAUGUCAUUUUGUUAAGUUUUUGUCUUGUUUACAAGUUCUUCUUACAAUUUACAACUCGAACAUUAAUUUACCAUGUUUUCCAUACAUUUACUAGUUGUAUGUGUGGUUUACAUAUUUUUUGUUUUAUUUCACACUUAAUGUGAAUUUACUAGUUCUUUGUCAUUUUUCUAAGUUUUUGUUUUGUUUACAAGUUCUUCGUGCAAAUUACAAUUCCAACAUUAAUUUACCAUUUUUUUCAUUAAUUUACUAGUUUUAUGUGUGAUUUACAUAUUUUUUAUUUUAUUUCACACUUAAUGUGAAUUUACAAGUUCUAUGUCAUUUUUCUAUGUUUUUGUCUUGUUUACAAGUUCUUCUUACAGUUUACAACUCGAACAUUAAUUUACCAUUUUUUCCAUACAUUUACUAGUUGUAUGUGUUGUUUACAUAUUUUUUGUUUUAUUUCACACUUAAUGUGAAUUUACUAGUUCUAUGUCAUUUUUCUAAGUUUUUGUUUUGUUACAAGUUUUUCAUACAAAUUACAACUCCAACAUUAAUUUACUACAUUUUCUAUCAAUUUACUAGUUUUUUUCUAUUUUUUAUUUUUUUUAAUUUUGUAGACCAAUUUACCACUGUAACGCUAAUUUACCCGUUUUACCUUCAAUGUACGAGUCAUACGUGUGGUUUAGAAAUUUUUUUUCUUAUUUCACAUUUAUUUGGAAUUUAGGUUAUUUAGUUUAAGUCAAUUGCCUCAACUUAAAUCCAACGUGAAAAUGGUUAAAGAGUUGGAUUAUUGACAUUUUAUGAUUUAGAUAGAAUGAUAUAAGGGUGGGCAUGAGUUGGGUUUGAUAGGGUUAGUGAAAUUCUAACAUGGUCUACUUUUUAAUGAGCUGAUAUAAAAUUCAUCCAAUUUAACUAAAUAAACUUGUUUAACUAAAUUCUACCCAAACCUUAUAUCGUCUGGUUAAGUUGAUUAGGUUGAAGCUCAAAUCAAAAUUUUAAAUUGAACAAUGAAAAUGAUAUUAAACUUAUUAAAAUCAAAUAUAAAUCUUUUAUAACAUGAAAUUUUCAUUCACUAUCUAGUGUACGUAAAGAAAGUUAAUAAAUUAACUAUCUUUAAAUUAAGAAAAUUUCCACAAAAAGCAUAUAGACUUUAUUUCUCUUGCAUCUCCUUUUCCAAUUCCAAAUUAAGACUUUUUAGAUAAUUAGCUAGCAUCAUAUACAAAAAUAAAAUGAAAGUGAUAUAUAAUUAUGUGCCGUUAAGUAUUCACUAAAAAAAUAAAAAAAAAUUAAAACCAACUUACUUUUAUAUUAAUCUUAUAAAAUAAUAAAUUUACUUAUAAGAGAGUGUGAUUUUGGUUUUGGAAUUGUAGUCUAAAGCAGCAGAUGCAAGAAUGAAAUAUCCUCUUGUAUUAAAAGAUUAAAAAGAAUAAAAAAUUAGAUAAACCAUUUAAGUCGUUAUAAUCUUGCAAUUGAGAAUUAACACAUUAUCAUUUUCCUUUUUCUUCUUCUUCUUCUUCUUCUUCUUCUUAUUAUUAUUAUUAUUAUAGAUUUGGUUGGGUUAGACUGGUUAAUUAUAAUUUAUCCAACCCAAACUAAUUAUUAAUUAGGUUUGAAAAAAACAGACCCAAUUAAACCACAAUAAUCUGCUCAUGGUGCAUUUACCAAUCAGUAAUCAUAACGGGCUACAAUCAGAAUCAAGAAUGUGAAUAAGAAUAAGUUAUUUAUUUGAGCUGUAGAAAUUGAAGUCGGAAUGAGAUUCAUUUCCAUCAAUGUGUUUAAUUUGUCUUGAAAUCGGAAUGAAUUAUCAUAAUUUCUUAAAUGCCCUUUGUUGAUUAUUGUCAAUUGGUGGUAAUAAUAAUCAUAAUAAUAAUAAUAAUAAUAAUAAUAAUCAUCAUCAUCAUAAUAUUUAUUAAAAUAGUAUUAUAAUUAUGAUUACUAAUUCAUUAUUGAUAUUAUUUAUUAAUUUCAUGAUUUUGUUUUAUGAUUAUUAUUUAUGAAAAUAUUAUUGUAAUCAAACUUUAUAAUAAUUAUUAUAAUAAUAAGUUAUUAUUAUUAUUAAUAUUUUAUUAUAUUAUUAUUUCGUAAAAAUAUUAUUAUAUUUAUAAUUUUAUUGUUAUUAUUAUUAAUAUGAAAUUAUUUCAUUAUUGUUUAUUAUAAUAUUAUAUUAAUUAUAAUUCAUUAUAAUUUAUUAAUCUUUCAUUAUUGUUCAUGUGCGUAGGAGUUAGAUUUGAGAUAAUGUUCUGAAAAUAACUCGGUUAAUGUUUGAAAUCUUGUUUAUAUUAGGUCUUAUUUUUCUAGCUAGGUUACUAUUAUGCUUGCAAUUUUAUUUUUCUAAAUAAUUAGAUUAUCAUCAUGCUAUCGCAGCAAGUUUGGACAGACAUGAUGGUUGCGUAAAACCUCAACUAUUUUUUAUUAUUGACUAGGCCUUGCUUGCUUCUUGUUUUUCAAUUUAGGCAGUGAUGGUAGUAAAAGCUUUUGGAGUUUUGGACAAUGAUGAUGGCAACUCACAGCUCACAAUGUCAGAACACAUUCAAUUUUACACAACAAUGAUAAGUAUUGACCAUGAGGCAGGAUACUGAAAAUUUGUUGUGUCCGUCAAUGGUAAAAUGAUUACAAUUGAGAUGGUGAUUACAAUUGAUUUUUUUUUAAUGAAACCAUAUGUUUUAAUUAUUUAUGCUUGUAUCCGUCAAUGGUAAAAUUAUUAUGGUAUAUUUGUGUUAGAAAUUAUAUUUAUUUCAUUUGUUGCUGUAACAACAUAAAUAUAAACUAUGCUGAUUAACUUGAAUAUUUCGUUUGGAGUCAAACAAUGAUAAAAACAAAAUAAUACAUAAAAAUUGGAGUGUUGUGGUUGAAAGCAAAUAAAGGCAAAGCUCACACACGGUACAACUGCAAUUAAAAGAAAAAGGCAAAGCAAAACGCACUGAUAUCAAACUUUAAUCACAUCUCGAAUUUACACAAUAAUCAAUAGCAGAUCCUAAAAAAUUCCAAAAGAAAAUCUUAAAACAAAUAGUCAACAAGAUAUUAGAAUCAUUAUAAAAAUAAAUAACCAAGAAUAAUACUAAUUUCAAAUAAAAUAUAUAGAAUGGUAGUAAAACAAAGAACUAUCGUUACUACUGCUCCCCAACAAAGAUGAUCCACUUUCCCACAAGAUGUUACUAAAGAGGAAAUUGUGAGCCACCUGGAGAAUAAAGGAAAACUUGCAUUAAACAUUGACUAUUUCCAGUCCACAUUCUGCUUAUACUCGGUACGCAAUUGCAAAUUGGAAAUUGUUUCUAAUUAAUUUUAUGUGAAACAACAAUUAUAAUUGCAAUAACUAAUAAAUAACUACUACAAAUCAUGAAAUGUAAUAGGAGCAAAAAAAAAGCAAGAAAGAAAUAGUUAAAGAGAACCUACUUUUAACAUGCUGCAAGCUUUUGGACUCUACUUUUUCUUCUUCAAAUUCUUUUGACCAUUAACUUUGUUCGUCACUUUGUUCGGUGGAAGAUUAUUCUUGUGCGAAUCAUAAAUUCUUCAGCCUUACAUCUGAUACUAUCUCUCACUUUAUUUGUAUCUCCGUUGACAAGGUGGAGUGCAAUGCGAUAUCUUUCUAUUGUUGAGUUAUACUAAAUAUAGUACGAGAAAAAAUAAAAAAGUGAGAAACAGAGUCAUCAUUCAUUUUAAAACUUUAAAUCAAUAUGAUAUAAAAUUAAUGUCACAUACAUGUUUUAUAGAUAAUAGAUCACAUUGCGUCUCCAUGAACUUGAUCACAAACAAACCGCAGUCAGUUCCAUUUGGUUGUACUGGGACAUUAUCUGGAUAUGAAAUUUUAAAACUAAAAAAAUCCCAACAUGAAUAAAAUUUUCCCAAAAAAUCAUCGAGGAAAACUUCAUUGAGUCCCUGUAACUGUGAUAAUGAUGAUAAUAGUCAGCAUACAUUUGCAUUUAUUGGUAAUAAUACAGGUGAAAUGCAAGCUUCACUUACAAUUGCUCUAACAAUUUCCUCUCGAUGUGAAUUCGAACUAUUACUAGGUAAAGAGUCCCAAAUUUCAACGGUUUGCGUUUUAACAAUCAACACCGCUAGAUACCAAUGUGCAGAGCCAUCAUUUAUAGGAACAUAGAUCUACAUGACAAAUGCAUAAUUUUUAAUAAUUACCAUUAAAUGUCUUAAACAAUGGCAUGAUUUAUUGUAAUUUUGCAUUUAAUUUCUUACCUUUUCACAUACUGCUAGUUCUGACAUGUAUUUAUCUCGAAUAUUAUGAUUUUUGACAAAAUCUUCGAUGCUUGAUUUCUUAUUGCAGGCCAUGUUUGCCACUAUUUUUUGCUGCAAAACUCAUAAAAUAAAUACAAAAUUAGUAUAUUAUCAACAUAUAGGGUCAACUGUCAAUAAAAAAAUUCACAGUAUAACAUUUACAACUUACCGAAAAGAUGGUGGGCAAAUACCAAAUACGCAUCUUUAGGCUCGUUUUUGCACGUUCUUUGUUUGUCAAGUAGUUGACGAAACAAUCUAUGACCUACGAAUAGAGCCAUUAAACAAGAAGACUUAAAUACUUAGAAAGAAAAUAAAUAAAUUGAAUGAUUAAACUAAAUAUAAAGAAGGUAUGCUUACUGUGUCAAUGAUCCAAGUAUUAGGAGCCAAAGAAAACAUCUCUUGGCGAGAGACGAAAAAACUAAUUCCAUCAACAAUAUGCUCACUAUAUUAAGAAUCCAAAAAUAUAAUUAAAACUAUAGCAGUGUUAAUGCAAAAAUAAUAACAUAUGGAAAGUGGGUCAUGAGAAAAUCUAAUUACUCCAUAGGCAAUUCUCCUUGAAAUAUAUAUUGCAGCAACUUCAUAUCUUCCUCUGAAAAUGAAUUUAGUAGAGUGAUUGAAUCAUGAAAAAAUUUUUGUUUGCUUCGUCUUUUGGGAAACUGAUUAUAAGGGGAUUUUUGGUAUGGACUAGGCUUUCGCUUUCGGGAGCGCAUAUCUUUAACCUCAAAUACACUAAGUUGGUUUGAUGAUUCCUCUUCAAUAGAACAAUCAUCAUUCGGGCCAUUAUCCUACAAAAAUUAUGAUUUAUAACUUAAUACUCAUCUAUGCACUAUUAUGUUUUACUUGUGCAAAAAAGAAGAUCACAGUUUAUUGCUAAAUACUUGUAUAGCUGCAUUGUAGAAAAUUUGCUUACGCUUUCCCUCAUUUAGGUCUGACUCACCCGUCAAAAUUCUCUCAUCAUGUUUCUCUUCAACAUUCUCCUCAUCCACUAAUUUCUUCUCAAGAAUAUCAUCUCCAUCUGGCCUUUCUUUGGCUCUCUUCAUUAGUUCCGCAAAAGUUAAAAUUUCAUGGCUUGAUUCAUCGUUCUUUUGUUGCUUUCGGGAAGGAGAAGUAAUUCCAACAGCAGCGCCAUUAUUCUCCUUUUUCUGCUCAACUUGCUUUUGUGUUAAGUUCUCUUUAAGGGUUUCCAUUACUUGUUGCAUUUGCUGCAUCCAGCUACCCAUUGAAUGCUUUAAACCAUCAAGCUCCAAUGCCAUACGGCCAAUAUCUUUUCGAACAAGUGAUAAUUCCUUCUGAUGUUGACAAUUAUGUAUGCAUUCUUCAUUCUUCCGACUUAUUCCAUCAAAUGUUUCAUGGGCCGUGUUUUGUUGAGGAUGGAUUUCUCGCAAAUUAACCUAAUAAAUACCACAUACUAUUAAAUACAUGUCAUUUCAAUAUGAUACGUUAAUAUUUAAUUAAUAAAAAGUAGAUGUCCUACCUUUGAGCUCCCAUAACCGCCAUUUUUCUUAACAAAACUCAAUAAGUUAGUUACAUCUCGAUUUGUCCAUGUUGUUAUUGGACUCAAAGAUUUAUCAAUAAAUUUUCGUGCAAAUGAUAUAGAAUCCAUGUAAAAAAGCUACAAUAUUAACAAAAUGAUCAAAACAAAGCAAAAACAAAAUAACACAAUAAAACUGAUGAAAUCAUUUUUAAAAAAAAUUACCUCCAAAAAUAGUACACAACCAUUAACAACUUUAUGUUGUCCUGCCUUGAACUUUUGUAUGCCCUCAACUAGCCCUUUAAAAGCCCACGUUGCCCAAUUUUUUUUAUUUAUGGCACUGGUGUCUUUCAAAAAAACCAAGUAAUACGGGGCUAAAUUCAACCCCGAUUUAGGAAAAAUAAUUGUAGCUAUAGCAAACAAAACAAAGCUUCUUUUAAAGUCAUCAUUCACCUCCCUUUGAUUCACCAAUUUUGACUCUAAAGUUUUCAGCUUAAUGUAUCCACUGUCAUCACAAUAUUCAUUCCUCAAUUUAUCUAUGUCAUCAAUAGCAAGAUCCACAUCAAUGUCGACUCCACCAUCUUUUAUUCCCAUAAUGUACUCAAAAUCUCGAGGCGACAGAUUGAUACUCUUACCAUGCAAAAAAAUACAUGAAGUAAAUGGAUCAAAAUUUUGAACCAACCAUGAACAUAAAUCUCGUUUCAGUCGACCACAUUUUAUGUGCAGAAGACUUUCAAAUCCUAACUCCACAACAACUUUUUUUUGAUUUUCUGACAAUUUUGCGACCAGUUUUGUAAAACGAUCUGGAGCGCAUCUAGUUUCCAUGGCUUUUUGAGUUCCCUUCACAAAAUCAUCUUCUUUGUCUUUAUUCUGUGCUAUAUCACUAUCAACCAUUCUAAAUUUAGCCUUUUCUUCUUCACUCAAAUUUUUUAAACAUUUCCCUAAUUUAAUUCUGUUCUAAAAAAUUAAAAAAAAAUAUGACAAUAAGUUAUUGCUUGUAACACAUCCCAAAUUUAAUGGAAAUUAAUUAUCGCACCUACACUCACCAUUUUUUUCCUUGUUCCCAUAAUAUUUUUGCUUCUUGCUUGCUGCAGUCAAUUAAAUAUUUUGAAAAAAAUAUAUAUAAUCAGUGCAUGUUAACAUUAUUAUGCUCGGCUUUACUAAAUAUUCAUAAAUUUACCAACAGUCAAACACAUAAUAUUUAAUGUAAGAAGACUUACAAAUACUCAAUGAAAGGCCGAUUUCUUCUUAAAUUUUCAUUUUCCUGGCUCACAUUAUCAUUCUCCUUGAAAUCAUUCUCAUUACCCUCAUCUACAUUUUCAGCCAUUUUCGAGUUUACAAGAACCUGUACAUGAAGAUUUAGCACAAAAAGAAAUGUCAAAUAUCACAAGUUUUGGAUCCUGUAAAACAACAGAAACUUUAACCCAAAAGCAGUAAUAAAUUUAUCCAGAAACAGCAAAAAAUGUAACUAAAAAACAGCAGUAAAUUUUACCCAAAAAUAAUAGAAAAUUUAACCCAAAUACAGCAGCAAAUGAAGCCCAAAACACCAAAAACAUUUACAUGUAAACAGCAAAAAAUUUAGCCAAAAAACAGUCGUAAAUUUAUCCAAACAGCAACAAAUUUACCCAGAAAUAGCAAAAAAUUUAACACAAAAAUAACAAUAAAUUUAUCCAGAAAUAGUGAAAAAUUUAACUGUAAAACAGCAGCAAAUUUACCUAGAAGCAACAGAAAAUUUAACCUAAAAAGAGUAGCAAAUGAAGCCCAAACACCAGAAAAAUUUACCUAAACACAGCAGAAAAUUUAACCCAAAAAUAGCAGUAUAUUUACACAGAAACAGCAAAAUAUUUAACCAAAAAACAGCAGCAAAUGAAGCCCAGAACACCAAAAAAACUUACCUGGAAACAGCAAAAAAUAUAACCCAAAAACAGCAGUAAAUUUAUCCAAAAACAGCAAACAAUUUAACUCAAACAAAAGCAGCCAAUUUACCCAAAAAUAGCAGAAAAUUUAACCUAAAAAUAGCUGCAAAUGAAGCCCAAAAUACCAGAAAAAUUUAACCAAAAACGGCAGCAAAUCAUCACAAAUGCAGCAGAAAAUUUAUUCAAAAACAGCAAAAAAUUUAAGUGAAAAACAGUAGUUUAUUUACCCAGAAACAGCAAAAUAUUUAACCCAAAACCAGCAGCAAAUGAAGCCCAAAACACCAAAAACAUUUACCUUAAAACGGCAGAAAAUAUAACCCAAAAACAGCAGUAAAUUUAUCAAAAAAUAGCAAAAAAAUAAACUAAAAACCAGCAGUCACCUUACCCAGAAACAGCAGAAAAUUAAAUCUAAAAAUAGCAGCAAAUGAAGCCCAAAACACCAAAAAAAUUUACCUUAAAACAGCAGAAAAUAUAACCCAAAAACAGCAGUAAAUUUAUCAAAAAACAACAAAAAAAUAAGCUGAAAAAUAGCAGCCACCUUACCCAGAAACAGCAGAAAAUUAAAUCUAAAAAUAGCAGCAAAUGAAGCUUUAUCAAUAGGAAAGUUUAAAAUAUUUUUUUUCUGAAGCCAAAGCAAGAAAUCUAUAAAGUCCUUGUGAUCUUCAACUUGAGAAUUGUUACUCAUCCUAUUCUCAUGUUCUUGAAUGACUACCUCAAGAAAAUUAUCAACUCCUUGGUCACUAAAUUUUUCUACUCUAACAUCACGAAAAGAAUAAUGAAUCCUUUUGUUACUUAAAAGUUGUACAACAAAUAAGAUUUGAACUUUUCUUAAGUACUCACCAUAAGGUGUCAUAGAGACAUCUACACAACCGUUUAAAAGUUUUACAAAUGGGGUUAAUUUUGGUUGAUUGCAAAGAUUACAUUUCUAACGAUCUCACAGGAUAGCUUGUCAAAGCGGAACUAGAUUAUCGUUACAAUAAAUUAAAAUGCAUUUAUGGUUUUAUGCAUUUUUGUCAUUUAUUGUGAAUAUUAUUUCAAAUUAUUUAUGCAUGGAUGUUUUAUUUUUCAGAAAAUGUCUUCCCUGAGCCCACUUACUAUUAUUCUGAGUCAAAACAAACUCACUGGAGAGAACUAUAUAGAUUGGAAAAGAAAUCUAUUCAUUGUCCUGACUGCUGAAAAUUAUAAAUAUGUCUUAACCCAGCCAUGCCCCCCAGUUCCAGCGGAUGAUGCUCAUAGAAAUCAGAGGAGGCUUUAUGAGAAAUGGCAAAAGGCCAAUGAAAUGGCAAAGUGCUACAUUUUAGCCUCGAUUUCUAAUAUUCUGCAGACCAAACAUCAGAACUUGGAGACUGCCACUGAAAUAAUGGAUAGUCUCCAACAGAUGUUCGGUCAGAGUACUCGCUCUGCGAGACAAGCAGCGCUGAAAGGAAUUAUGAACAGUAAAAUGGGGAAAGGCACAAGAGUUCGUGAUCAUGUCCUCAAAAUGAUGGACUAUUUGAAUGAGGCUGAGAUUCAGGGAGCACAAAUCGAUGAUAACUCAAAGAUUGACAUGGUGCUAGAAUCUCUGCCAGAAACAUUCAAGGAGUUUAAGGUCAAUUAUAACAUGAACAAAAGAAACAUGACCUUAACUGAAUUGAUGAACGAACUCCAUUCUGCUGAAGAGAUCUAUCGUGCUGAGAAAUCUCUGGGAAGCAUAAAUAUUACUGAAAAAAGUUCAUCUUCUGGGCCUAAACCGAAAGGCAAAGGUAAGAAGAAAGCUGGGAAAAAGAGACCGUCUACCAAGCAAGAUGGCAAGCCGAAAGGCAAAUGCUUCAAGUGUGGACAGAAAGGUCACUGGAAAAAGGAUUGCCCUAAGAUUGUGAAAUCAGGUAUGGGAAAUCUUUUUGUAAUUGAGGCCUGUUUAGUUCAAAAUCCUAUUGACACUUGGGUGUUGGAUUCAGGAGCAACUAAUCAUAUUUGUAAUUCACUUUAUUGGUUUCAGGAAACCAGGAAAAUAAGUGAAGGAAGCGUCAACCUGCAGUUAGGGACAGGACAGUUCGUGUCAGCAGUAAAGACUGGAUCUGUUUUAUUAUCUUUUAAUAAUAAGACUUUAGUUUUGAAUAAUUGUCUUUAUGUUCCAGACAUUAAGAGGAAUUUAAUUUCAGUAGCUUGUUUGUCAAAGCAAGGGUACACUGUAAAUUUUGGAUCCUCUGUUUCUAUUUUUCAUAAUAAGAGACUUAUUUGUUCUGGUACAUUGGAAGAUAAUUUAUAUCAUUUAAGUCCAAUGAUCCAUUCUAUGCAUGACACAGUGAUAAAUAAUGAUGAGCAUACACAUUUAUCUAAGAAAAGAAAUAUUUCUUCCAACCAAUGUUACCUCUGGCAUUUACGCUUGGGUCAUAUAAACCAAAAUAGGAUACAGAGAAUGAUCAAAGAUGGGCUCUUGGGUCCAUUAGAAAAUGAAUCAUUGCCACUCUGUGAAUCCUGUUUAGAAGGGAAAAUGACCAAAAGGCCAUUCUCGGCCAAAGGAGUACGUGCAACAGUACCACUUGAAUUGGUACAUACAGAUGUAUGUGGACCAAUCAAUGUACAAGCUCGAGGAGGUUAUGAGUAUUUCAUCACUUUUACUGAUGAUUACUCAAGAUACGGUUAUGUUUAUCUAAUGCGUCAUAAGUCUGAAGCUCUUGAGAAAUUCAAAGAGUAUAAGGCUGAGACAGAAAAGUAAUUAGAUAAGAACAUAAAGAAACUUCGAUCUGAUCGAGGUGGUAAAUUUCUCUCAGGAGAUUUCAAAGAGUAUCUGGUUGAAAAUGGGAUUAUAUCUCAAUUGACUGCCCCGGGAACACCACAACAAAAUGGGGUAGCUGAAAGAAGAAAUAGAACUCUUUUGGAUAUGAUGAGAUCUAUGCUUAGUUAUUCGUCAUUACCAAUCUCUUUUUGGGGACUAGCACUGGAAACUGCAGUUUACCUUUUGAACUUAGUUCCAUCUAAGUCAGUGCCUAAAACCCCAAUAGAAUUAUGGUCAGGUCGCAAACCAAGUUUACGACAUGUCCGUAUUUGGGGAUCACCAGCACAUGUGCUGAAACCAAAGGCAGACAAAAUGGAUUCACGUUCUGAGGUUUGUAUGUUUGUGGGGUAUCCCAAAGGAACAAGGGGAGGUUUAUUUUAUAGUCCUCAAGAUAGGAAAGUGAUCGUGAGCACACAUUUCACUUCCCUUGAGGAAGACUAUAUGAAUAACUUCAAACCUAAGAGUAAGGUAAUACUUGAAGAACUGUCAGGUGAUCAGGUUGAUGCUCAGCUUUCAAUGCCUAUUACAGAACAGGAAGAACAGCAACAACCAGAUGAUCAACACAGGAUUAACCCUGAACAACCAUCACUUUUAGAACCUCGUCGUAGUGGGAGGGUAACUAGGUUACCUGCGAGAUACAUGCUUUUGGGAGAAACCUAUACGGCUAUCUCAGAUGAACAUGUACAAGAUCCCACUAGUUACAACGAAGCUCUAAUAGAUAGAGAUGUUGAAUUUUGGAAAAAGGCCAUGAAUCAAGAAAUGGAAUCUAUGUAUUCCAAUCAAGUCUGGGAACUUGUAGAGGCACCAAAUGGGGUAAAACCUAUAGGAUGCAAGUGGAUCUACAAGAGAAAAAGAGGAGUAGACGGAAGGGUGGAAACAUUUAAAGCAAGAUUAGUAGCCAAAGGGUUUACUCAGAAAGAGGGAAUCGAUUAUGAGGAAACUUUUUCUCCGGUUGCUAUGCUUAAAUCCAUCAGGAUUCUGCUCUCCAUUGCUGCAGUGCUAGAUUAUGAAAUUUGGCAAAUGGAUGUCAAGACUGCCUUUCUCAACGGGCAUCUUGAAGAAAACAUCUACAUGCAGCAACCAGAUGGAUUUAUACAAAAAGGCCAACAACACAUGGUAUGUAAGUUGCAGAGAUCCAUUUAUGGAUUGAAGCAAGCAUCCCGGUCAUGGAACAUCAGAUUUGAUCAAGCGAUAAAAUCGUUUGGAUUCAUUCAGAACAUUGAUGAACCAUGUGUGGACAAGAAAAUUCAAGAAAAAUCUGUAGCCUUCCUAAUUCUUUAUGUAGACGAUAUUCUCCUAAUUGGAAACGAUAUAGGAGUACUGACUACAAUAAAGAGUUGGUUACCAAAACAAUUUGAUAUGAAAGACCUGGGAGAGGCAAGUUAUAUUCUUGGUAUCAAAUUACUACGAGACCGGAAGAAUAAAACUUUAGCCUUGUCUCAAGCGGUCUAUAUCGAUAAGAUAUUGGCUAGAUUUAGCAUGGAAAAUUCCAAGACUGGUUUAUUACCAUUCAGACAUGGAAUUACAUUCUCUAAGGAUCAAUCACCUAAAACAUCUGAAGAGAUAGAGAGAAUGAGACGAGUUCCCUGUGCAGAAGCUGUGGGAAGUCUUAUGUAUGCCAUGCUUUGCACUAGGCCAGACAUCUGUUUUGCGGUAGGGAUGGUUAGUAGAUAUCAAUCUAAUCCUGGACCUGAACACUGGACUGCGGUCAAGCAUAUAAUGAAGUAUCUGAAAAGAAAUAAAAAUUAUAUGCUUGUGUAUUCUGGUGUUGAACUCAUUCCAGUGGGUUAUACUGAUUCUGACUUUAUGUCAGAUAAGGAUUCUAGAAAAUCAACUUCCGGCUAUGUGUUUGCAUUGGGAAGUGGAGCUAUUAGUUAGAGGAGUGUGAAACAAUCUUGUAUCACAGACUCAACAACUGAAGCUGAAUAUGUGGCUGCAUCUGAAGCUGCAAAAGAAGCUGUAUGGCUCUGCAAGUUCCUACGAAAUCUUGAGGUGGUACCUGUUGUAACUGCACCCCUUAAACUAUUUUGUGAUAAUGGUGGUGCGGUAGCUCAAUCUAAGGAACCAAGGAACCACAAGAAACAAAACAUAUUGACAAGAAGUAUCAUCUUAUAAGGAAAUAGUGUAGAAAGGUUAUAUGACAGUACCCCAAAUGGCAUUAGAUGCUAAAUGGCAGAUCUUAUUACAAUGGCCAUUAGUGGGAAACCUUUAUAACUUGCACUUAGAGCCCUAGAGCAUGUGCAAUAUGCCAGAUAUGCUUUGAGAGCUAGUGGGAGAUUGUUGGGAAAAUAUGCUCUUUAAAAGCAUAUGUGUUUAUUUAAUUGUAAUAAACAAUUUUUCUGAUUAAUAAAAUAAAUGAGGUAUUUUAUUCAAAUAUCUUAAUUGCAUUAAUAUUUGUAUUAAAGUCCAUUUAAUCAUAUUAUAUGUAUUUAUGUGAUCACCAUGUGGAUUCACAGAAGACAUAAAUACAAGUUAUCUUAUGAUUAAAUAAAUUUAGUUCGCAGUUGAUAAAUAAAGUUGGGCACUUUAUUUAGGUAUAGACUGUAAUAAAUUCAUUGAAUGAUUUGUCUUAAUCAUGUAUGAAUUUAUUGAUGUAGUACGACUACAUUGAACAGGAUCACAUAUGAGAUUUAAUUAACUUUGUAAUAACUGUCAGACUUAUUAAAUCUCAUAGGCGUUGAUUUUACUGUAAUCUUAAUCUUGAGUUAAUUAUGAUUUCAUGAUUGUGAUUGUUAUUUCAUUUGAGUUACCAAUGGGCACGACACAUCCUUGUGGUCAAGAUUACCCGGUAUCUUGGUGGGAGCAAUUAUGAGUAUUGGAGUUAUGGAUUAACAAUAUAGAAUUUGUACAACACAUCUCUUGAUAGGUUUUCGGUACUUGAUCAUAGAAUUCUCUGGCCAGAGUGUGUCAACAUAUUUAGUAUGUUGAAAAUGAUCAUUAGAGAAAACCAGUAAGGAUCAAGGAAUAAGAUGUUAUUAAAUUGAUUGGACAGUUGAGAUAUCAAUUUAAUUAACGAUGUGGUACAAAGGAUUGUGCAGUAAAGAAAUCAAUGUGGCUUGGGACGAAUUAUUAUUCGAGCAUACAAUUAUGGAAGUCAGUUCUAAUCUUUUAGUGGAGUAGAUUUGGAAUUAAAUAAUUGGGCUAGUUUAAUUACAGGCCUAAUUAUUGUAGCCACUAUUGUAUGUUCCCAAAUGAUCCCCGGGUUAGCUCAUUUAAUUGACUGCACCACUACUGGACUAAUAAGUAAGAUAACUAGCUAUUUGGGUCAAAAGCCUAAAUAUAUCAUUUAGUGGGAGGCUCCAUUUAAUUAGCUUUUGUAUAAGGGGCCUUAUGUUAUUUUACAAGGUGGGUCCCCUAUUGAAAAAGCAAAUAAACGUGAGUUUUGUUUUUUGAUUAUUUGGAGCCCAGGGUUUUCACUAAAGGGUGAUAUAAAAGGCUUAUUUUUCCCUAAAGAAAAAAAGAGAAGCCAUUUUAUACAGAUCAGAGAAAAAGAUUUUUAUCUCCAUUGUUGAGAGAAAAAUUUUCUCGUGCUAGUUGCUUUGGUAGUGAUAAAGGCGCCCACACGUCAAGUGCAUAUCGAACCUGAGUCAUAACCUGGAAGAUCAUUGGAGACAGUUCGUGAUCUAACAAGCGUGGUGGUGACGGAUCGUGAUCUAACAGGAGUGGUGGUGGCGGAUCGUGAUCUAGGAGCCUAAAUCACUUCAACGGAAAAAGUCCAAUCGGAUUUUCAAGGUACGAUUUCUAGAAUACAAAUUCUUAUAUAUUAUAUGAGAGCGAUCUUCAAAAGGUUUUAUAAAAAUUUAAAAACCGAAUUUUUCCCCAACAUAAAUAUCCUUUGAAAAUAUUGCCAUCAGAUUUUGAAUUGGAGAACCUGAUUGAACUCAGCUUGCCUUGUAGUAAGGUUAAGCAAAUUUGGAAAAGAGAAAAGGUAUAAUGUAUUACUAUUACCAAAGUAUCUAUUUUUCUUUCUUUAAGUAUUUAUAAUGAAUAACUUUGAAAUUGAAUGAUGCUCAUUUAGUAUAGUUGUGUAUCUUUGGUUAUGGGAAGCUGUCAAGUUAAAAUCUAUAGAUCUUCACCACCCCCUGUAUCUCAAUAGGAUCCCAAAAAUACUAAAUCUUAAAAAAAUAAAUCUUUCAAAAUGUGAAAGCAUGCUUACGUUACCCGCGUAUAUCCACAAUUUCAACUAGCUCAGUAUGUUGUGUUUCAUGGGAUGCAAAAUUCAUUUUGUUUCUCAUGAAAGGAUUGACUUGUCCGGAUGUAUUAGGGUUAAUGAACCAACUAAUCCCAUAAUUUGUUGAUGUAGGGUCCUAACAAAUUAUUGCAGUAGAUUGUAGAUCAAUACACUAUUCGAAAACGUAUUUGAUCCACACAGUGAAUGUUUGAGGGUGCAUUUCUCGCGAACUAGCCAUACCCUAAACGAGGAGCCAGUCUCCUUGUAAUUGAGCAGACAGGUGAAGUCUGGUAGCAAAUAUCCAAGAGCAGGAAUUCUAUGCUCAAUCACAAGGACAUCCUCUUUUGGACUAUAAUUCGAACAUGGUUCCUACUAGGAGCCGAGAGCCUUUCCUGCUGGAGAUCGGGGUCGGCAGACCUAGUCUAUAACGGUUAACGAGACGUGCACUCCUAUUUGAGAAUCUAGGCACGAAACCAACUCAGCCGCAACUACGACAUUCAGGCAUCCACUUCCGUAAGCUGAGGGAGGUGAUGGACGUGGAUCGUGGGGCGUUGGAUUCGUAGGAAGGCUAUAAAACGGUAAUCAACGAAGGUAAAGGGGUUAGACACUUUUACACUAGAACUUAAGAAAUAAGAGCAUUUACUAAAAAAGGAGAGAAACACUCAUAGGUGUUCCACUGCCUAAGAGAUCAUGAGAGAGCCACGAGAUCAGUGGCCGAGUUUCCCAAAAAGUAAACUUAAAUUUUUGACUUGAGCGUAGGAGGAUUUUUCCUGCGUGCUCUGACCAGUUUUUGUGUGCGCAGGAGUCUGCUAAGUCAUACGAGGCAUAGCUCUGCUCGGUUAGAAGAGUUACGUGAAGUAUCCUAGGUUGGUCGUGAGUUCGGGAGUUGAGGAGAGAUCCUGGUUGCAGACGAGCAGACACCAGAAUCUCGCAUCAACAGUGAAGAUAGGGAUGGCAAAAGUCCGGGUCGGGUCCGGGUUUGGGGGUGCCCGAGACCGACCCGGAUUUCACACAUAACUGCCCGGACCCGGACCAUGCCCGGAUUUUUUCUAUGCGGGCCGGGUAUAUACCCGGCACUAUCCGGGCAUGGGUUUUUUCCAGGUUUUCUCUACCCGCAUUUUCAAAACUGACUAAAAAAAAAAAUUUGAUAAAAAAUGCUAAAUAAGUAAACAGGGCAGUGGAAAUUCACAAGGUUGAAAGCUUGCGCAAUUGGGCCUGAAAAUUCAUAACUUAUCCCCGAAUUAGCACUUAGCAGAAAACUCCCUUUCAAACUGUAAAGAGAUUUGAUGCCCAGGAAUCGAUUUGACGAAAGAAGAAAAAUGCCUUGGUCUUUUUGUUCUCUCUUCUUUUUCCACAGUGAAGAGGAAAGAAAAAUGCCCAGGAUUAUCUUGUGGACAGCAAAGUUGAUUUCAUGUGCUUUGUUGUCUUCUUAUUUUCAAAUCCCUUAGAAACAAAGUCAGAACCUGAAAUCACUAUCCUUAAACCUGCAAUUCCCUAUGUUGCAAGUCAUUUUCAGCUUCAUAGUUUUCGGUAUCAGCCUCCCUUUCCCCUUCUCCGUCAUCAUGGACGCUUCCAUUUUCUUCUUCCUCAUCUUCAUCUACUUCUACUUCAUCUUCCUCGUACUCCCCUUCUUCUAGUUCCUAGAUGUCAUCCAAGAAAAUAAUUAAGCAUGCUGCAUAUAUAUAUAUAACACCUAACAACAAUAAUGCCAAUUACUUAAUUUCUUCAUUUUUUUUUGAAAAAAACAGCCAAAAAAAAUUAAUAAUACCUCGUGGUCGUGGGUCGUGGCUGUGUUGGUGAAGUUGCAGCUGAACAAGAACAGCUGAUGCCGUCGCGUGGUGGCUGCUGCUGAGAAGAUGAACAAACGGUGAAGAGCCCUGUGACAGGACGGCUGUGCUUUGCGAGGAGAAAUAGAGUUGACUGAGGAAGGUAAGAGUUUCGGGGAGGGAGAGGCACGGUCAACACUGCAUCAGUGCCGGUGGGUGGUGGAGAGACGGAGAGAGGUGCCGCCGAUUUGGAGAUUUCUGGGUGGGUGCUGACUGCUGCAGUGCUGCAUUGUUCACUUGCAAAGUUGCAAUCGCGUUUUAGGGUUCAGUUUUGGGGGCAAUUAGGCAAAGCAAAUUUUAUUUUCGGUUUUAUAUUUUCCUUUUUUUUUUUACUUAAUAAAAAACCGGGCACAGGUCCGAGUUCCGGGUUCUUGGUGCUGUGACCGGACCCGUGCCCGGAAGCAUCCGGGCAUUGAAAAUCAAUGCCCGGAUUCGCUUUUUUCAUUCAUGCGGUCCGGGUAAAACCCAGACCGCACACACCGGGUCCGGGCCGGAUCCGGUCCGGACGGGUUUUUCUGCCACCUCUAAGUGAAGAUGAUUCAAUAUUAAGCAUGUCAUAUAAUCUAGAAGUGGAUAUUGGACCAAUUUGAUGAUGAAUUUCUUUCAAUCUCAAUCUUUUUCUUUUUAGCAACAUGACUAGUCAUUGUGCAAAUUUAAACUCUGACAAUGAUUUCUCAAUCGGUUUCUAAAAUGAUGACCAUGCAUGUAUAUGUGUGUGUGUAGAGAGAGAGAGAGAGAGAUCACACGUGUGUGAUUUCCUUUUGCCAAUAGGAUAUGCAGAGAGCUUGAUCUUACCCAAUAGCGAAACAAACUUCCUAAUAAGUGAAGGUAUAGUAUAAAUACUUAUACUUUCAUGUUAUUUUGUUCAUCAGUAGCUUGAUUAUUUUAUAUGCAUCUUCGAUUUUAAUUUUCUUUCCCUAUAAUCGCUAUUAUCUUUGAACUGGUCAUGAUUUGCCUAUAAGAUUUCUCAUGUUGUUUUGAGGUGCAAUGGAUUUUGAAUUUAGUGACGAGCAGUGGAAGCCAGAAGGCAAAUUAUGAAAAUGGAUAAAGAUCUAUAAUUAGCUGUUAUGGGAUGUCACAUAUCAUAUUGAUGGUAACAUUAUAUAUAUAUAUGUACAUAUAAUUAAUGGGGUUGGCUCACGAGCCCAUUAAUAAUCGUAUAUUAGCUUAUAUACUUCAAACAAUGUACUAUGAAGCAAUUUCACAAAUACUUGUUAGCUUAUGUUGAGCUUUAUUGAAUCAGUAGUUCACAGUUCAAUAAAAUGCAGGUUUAAUGUGACAGAGAGAUGUAGAUAACAGCCGCAAAACACUGAGAUUGAAAAUCAGGGCUACUAAAUUCUACUAAAAGCCCUUAAAAUAGACAGCGAUCACCCUGAAAUGUAUAUACUGAAACUAAGAAAUAUUAAUCGCAAAGUUAUGCAUUAAUAGAACUAUUGACUACUUAUCUUUAGCAUAAGGUAUAUUUUUAACUACAGCUUUAUGCUUUGUUUUAAGAACUAGGCAAAAAUGGUGUAUCUUCAAUCCAAUCAACAUGUAUACCACUUAUCUUCCUCUUCACUUCUGUCUAUUUUGAUUUGCACUUCAUAUCCUGCACUUGCUGCUUAGAAAUAGUCUUAUUCUGGACAUUGAAAGUAGAAAAAGUGCUUGAAACAAUCAUUGGCAUAGCCCGAGAUUCCAUUGAAUCGUGGACUCCAAGCUUUCAUAGUUCUAUAAAGAAAAUGACAAAACUUCAUACAAUUGGCAUUCUGCUUUUAACAUUUGCACAACCUGAGCGAGUUAGCAAGCCCCUUGUUGCGUUCCCAUUGAAUAGACCUACUUCUGUUAUCCACAGAAGAUCCACAACUCAAAAUGUUUAUCACCAGGCUAUUCUUAAACUGAGCCUAAACUGAGUAGAAACUUCCGCACAUCUCUCAGCAUUUACAUGAAGAAAUCGACAACUAUCCUCAUCUCUCAGCACAUCUCUCAGCAUUCUACAAAGUUGCAUUUCACUAAGCAAUCUAUCCUCUCCAUUCCUAGCAAAGUGACAUUGAUUCCCGUAUUUGUAAUCGCCUAACUUGGGUUUUGGGCAUAGCUUGGUCUUAAAAUUACCACCCAUUACUUUGUUCAGUGCCACUGGCAUCCACAAGCUCUAGCCCUGUUAGCUGAAUCAUAUUCAAUGGGACAGUGAGGCAGCAUUUCACUAACAUAUUCAAUUUGACUACUUAUAUUGACGCAAAUAUUAGAAUUUGAAAUCACUUCUUUUCUUGGAAUAUUAUAUUAAAAUGAACCCAAAUGAAAGUUCUUGAAUGGAAAUGAUUUUUAUUUAAUUUUCGAACAGAUUCAAGAAAACCCAGAGAACACAAAUUUUACACAGUAAUAUGAUUAAGAGCUGAGAACGUACAUGUAGUAAAUGUCUAUCAAAAAACACCCAAGGGUUUCUUUAAAAUUAGAAACUAGUAAACAAAAAGAAAGAAUCAUUUCACAUUUUUAGCAACUUUGGGGUGAGUGAGUGAGUGAGAAAUUGAAACCCUAAAGUGAUGACAAUAGUAAGAUUCAGUAUGAAGUGAAACCCCAAUUUGAAAUGUAGGCAUGAGUUGCUGAGUCAGUAGAUGAAGCUAUAAAUAGGCAUUCGGUUUCCUUCUUUUCGGUUUGGAGGGCCAUGGAAUAGUGUAUUGGAGUGGGCUCCAAGUAAUAGCCUCUAUCACUGGAACGACACAUCUGUAAAACGUGAUACAUGGGGAAGGAUUGGGCAUUAUAUUCUUAGAGUUAGAUUAGCGCCUUAUUUAGGGUGUAUAUUAAGCAGAUUAUACAUUACAUGGAGAUGGAGUUUAUGAAAUAGAUUAAAAAGAAAAGAAAAUUUCGGUGUCUAAAGUUUGCCACUUGGAAUAUUUCGGUGUCUAAAAAUUCACUCACCACUUAUGUCAUGUUUGAUUAUAUGUUGAAAAGAUAUUAAAAUAGUAUAAUGCUAUUAAGGCUUAACGUAUAUUUUUUAUUAGUAGAGUGUAGAAUUUUUAAGAAAUAAAUUAUUAAAUUAUUAUAACUAACAUAUUAUUUUAAAGUUGUGUUAUGAAAAAAAAAUAAAAUAAAAACAUACAGUAAAUAAGAAUAUUCUAAAACUUUUAUCUUUUUAAAAUUAGUUUUUAACAUAAGGUGAACUAUUUUUUUUUAAAUCACAUAUUCUAGUUAAAAUCAAAUAUGUAUUUAUAUGAAGCUUGUAAAUUUUUUUUUUAGUACUGAUAUUUGAAUAUUAUCAAUAAAAAAAAAAGGGUAAUGUUCAUGCUGCAUUAUUUUUGUAGCACACAAUAGGACAACACCGUUUAUGUUAUAAUACUAUCGCUUCUGUUAUGAUAAUAUUUUUUUGUGGCCAAAUAUCUUUUUUUUUUUUUUUAAGUAAAAGGGUGGACAAAAUACAAAUCAGUUUUUAAUCCUCAAUCUCUCCCAAAAUUUAAAUUCGUAGUUAACAAAACAAAAUUGUUGGAAAACCAUUAAGCUAGGUCCAUGGGUUGUUAAAACUAUAUAGCUGACAAAAAGUUACUAACAAAAACAGAAUGUCCAUUUUAUAACUUUCUUUAAAAACAUUCCUUAACUUUUUUAAAAAGUUACCAACAAAAAGUUAUUUCCAAUUUUUAUUUUGUUAUAAUUUUUAUAACAAAAUUCGUAGUUAACUAAACUCUUCUUAUUCCCUUUCUCAACUGCCAUACCCUAACCCACUAAACCACGCUCAAUUAAGGCCAUCAGAUUCUCCCGGGCCCACAUUAAUCCAACUGCUCACAGAGACCGACAGCCUCUCUAUCUCCGUUUCAAGCUCCCUCUUCAACUGGCUUCUGCUACCGUCCUACUGUUUCUCGGCUUCGGAGGCCGUAUUUGCUCGGCCGGUCCCACGAAGCUCCCUCUCACUCCAAUUGUCGCCCCACAAGACCAAUUGCUUAAUCAAGACACCGAACAAGAAGAGGAUGAGAAGUUGAAACAAGAAUUUGAGAUUGAAGUAAUUUGAGGAUAGACUGCCUAUCCUCUUUCUUUUCGGAAUUCAGUGCCUCAAUCUUGGGUUAAGGAUUUUAUGCGAAGUCAGGGAAAGAGAUUGAAGUUUCAGAUGAAUUUGUGUGCUAGCAUUGAUGGGAUCUUUAACAAUUUAUCUGUGCCCUUUAACAAAGUUAAGGCUAAGUCAGCUUCGUAUAUGGCUGCUGAUUUGGUUAGUGUUGGUGAUUCAUGGCUCAGUUUUGCAAUUAAGAUUGGUUCAAAUGCUUAUGUCACAAAUGGAAGGUAACAUCUUUAUCUUUGACCCGAUAAUUUUUAUUAUCUUUUUAAUUGCAAUGAGAAGAAAUGCCACUGUAGCAUGUAGUGAUGGCACUUAAUAAGUGAGUUGCUCGGAUGUGAACUAGAAAAAUUAAAUAUUGUCUCCUUGGGUAUGCUAGCUUGUAAGUCAGGGUUAAUAUCAGAGCUUAAGAUACUAUAACCGUGAGAAGCUAUUGACUGCCAAUUAAAAUAUCCAUUAAAAUGUCUAGGGAGUUAUGAAGGUGGAGGUAACUUCCAAUUUCUAAGGCCACAGAGUAGACAUCAUCCAGGAUCCUAGGAAAGUCCAGUUAACCUCCUGCUUGAUGCAAUUAAUAAAUUUGGUCAAUGCCACUGAAACCUGCUAACUGACGUCACAAUGUGACAUGAGCACUUCAAAAUGGGACAGACGGUCAGUAGCACUAAAUUUUUCUUGCCUAAGAUUGAGCAAUUGGUCUAACUACUAAUCCCUAUUGUAGGUUGAUCAUUAUUUUUUCAAUUAUGUUCAGUUUGACCCAAAAAGUUGCAGAAUCUUGAGCAGAAUAUUGUCACCGAACACUGUCAAUGUCGUUUAGCAUAGCCAACUAACUUGAUGUUAAAACAAGCACACAAUGUGUCUCAUGUCUCACAAAUCAAAUUAUCAUCUGUAAUGAUGGAGAAUUUUUCCAAUGUAUGAAGUAUGUUUUGAUACGUGGGUUACCUUGGAGAAGAUAUCUCAAAAUAAAGAAUAUGGGGAGAAAACAGUUCAGUAGUUUAUUAUUCUGUAGUCAAGUUUUGUCUUGAAAAUGGUCAAAAUUUAAAUGAAUAAGGACAGGGGAUCUUCAUUCUUUUUUCCCUUUUUUAUACCAAGAUAUCUCUCAACCUUUAUAUAAUCCCCACUGGAUAUCUGCUUCUAAUAAUUAAAAUAAAAAUUUCACCGCUCUAACAAUAAAAAGUAACAUCUUUAGUCAAAUAAUUUACAGUUCCUCAUCAUCUUAGUGUGAGACUAUCAGUACAUUCCAAAAACAUAAUAAAACUGGUUUGAUCCUGUUUAUUGAUGUUUAAAUGUUGUUCAUUGUGACAUGUAGAAAUGAUGAGGCAAAGUUUAUUUGGACAUCAAUUAGUAAGAUCUUGUUUGAAGUUGUUUUCUGAAAUGAACUGCCAAAUGGUAGUUUUUUGGGGACAUUUGAUGGCUCUUUUUUUUUCCUCAUUUUCAACAUGCGCCUGCUUGGAACAGGAAGAAUUAGGCUGCAGAGUUGUUAUAUAUUUUGAGAUGCUCUGGUCAUUGCACAAUUUGUUCACACUGGAAAUUAGAAUGAGAAAUUUGUUGAUGCUGUUUUGAGAGAUCUGCAUUCUAUGCACAAUAACAUGAUUAAUGAAAAUGCAUUGUAGGACUGGAAAGAUCUGUGGCAGCCUGAGCUCGCAAGAAGAAUUUCAAUGGUUAAUUCUCCCCGAGAGGUUAUUGGUUCAGUUUUGAAGUAUAGGGGAGCAUCAUACAAUUCAAAUGAUAUUGAUUCACAAGUUGCUGGUGGGAAGAUUGCUGUUCAGCAGAAUCUGGCAUUACUGGCAAACCAGGUACUCUUACAGAAAUGAUAUCUGGUCAUUGCAUGUUAUUGCCUGACAACUGAUUUUGUUUGUAAAAGUCUGCUUCUUCAUACAUAUGAAUGCAUAUGUUAGUGUUUUCUUCUCCUUUUCAUACAUAUAAAUGCAUAUGUUAGUGUUGUCUUUUCCUUUUCAUACAUAUUAAUACAUAUGUUGGUGUUCUCUCCUGAGAUGGAUGCAAUAAAGGCUUUUGCUCCUAAAUUUAGCUGAAGAAAUGGCAAGGGAUGUGAGAUUCUGUCUCUUUAAAUUAAAAAAAACCCAAAACAAUGAAAAUCCAUAAUAAUGUGGUGUGGAUAAAUUGGCUCCAUUUGGUUCGUUUCCUUAAUGUGAAUGCGCGAGCAAUAGAGACUAACAAAAUGAAGUGACAACAAGAAGUCAGUGUCCUUUGAUGGAUGCAUUUUUAGGCAGAAAUAUGUUUGUAAUUGACCAAAUUUGUCUGGCAUGCCAAUUUCAAAAAAAUUAAAUUAUGUGGUUAUUAGCGGUAAUGAAGGGGGAUAGUAGGUGCAAUCAGGUGGAUCCAGGAAAGUUCAACAAAGUUUUGGUAUGGCGUAGUGAAAUUGGUUUGUGCAACUCAGGAGUCUUUCAGGUGAACGAUGAUAGGUUUUGAUUUAUGAAUAUUAUAAAUAUACUGUGCAUAGUAUUCUAGUAGAAUCAUCUAUAAGUUCUAGUUAUUGAAAUUGUAUACUUUGCCCGGUUUGAGUUAAGGGCACAUGUAAUAUGAAAGAUAGUUGUCGCAUCUUUUAGGUUACCUAACAUUUGAUCAAUCCUAUUAUGGGGGCUUCAAGAUGUCUAACAAUAUGUAGAAUGCCCAUGCUCCUACCCAUUGUUUAUCUUCUACAAUAAUUUGUUUUAGAUGCUAAUAUCUUUGUCGAUACCGGUAACAAUAUUACAAUAUCAGCGUUUAUUGGGUUUUACAUAGGUUCGACUGGUUGACAGUACACACUAUCUGAAGGCAUUUGCAAUUGGAGAUGUAUGGGUUGCUGUUGGGUGGAUCAGUGAUGUUCUUCCUGCUGUCAAACAUAUGUCUAAUGUUGCUGUGUUGUUCCCAAGUCUGGUGCUAGCUGCCUGCCAUUCUACUUCGAUAUUCACAUUGUUAUCUCCUUCAUAUUAGCGAUCAGUAAACACGAUAAUGUGACUAAUAAGUUCGUAUUCUCUUUAUAGGCAAUCCCUGCUGCCUCAAGACUUGAAACAAAACAAAUUGGAGGGCGAGUCAGAGGUCCAUCUCCAUUAAUCCAUCAAUGGAUAGAAUUCUGCUUGCAAACAGCGAGAGCAUUGCCUUUCAAGCAAGAGGUUAUCCUGGGUGCAUCUCCCUCUGCCCUUGAAAGUACUCUGGUUAAGUUGCCUGAAGAACUUCUGGAGGGUAAACCAAGUCUGGAUACUAACUUAAUUGCUGGAGUACUCCCGGCUGAAAUUCUGGCCAGAUGUGAGUUUUUGGAGCCAUUAUCUGAAGCUACUUUGUCAGAUUAUGAGUGGCUGGUUGUUAAUCUGCAAAAACCUGCUCCUGUCUUGAUGAAAAGGGUGCAACAUUACUUGUCAUCAUUAAUCCAAAGCUUUCUAGCAAGAGCUACAUUGAAAAGUUAAUGGCGCUGCAUGCCAGUCAUUAUAAUGCUGUCAGGGCAAUUGGGUCAGGGCAAUUAGGUCUGAGCAUAACUUCAUUAGGAAAAGAGGCUUCAGCUACGUUAAAUAUUACAGGAUGUACUGAGAUGGCUGAAGUUCUUGAGGUUUUAUGAGAAAGAUGAGUGUUUGUUUGAACAAAGUUGUUGCCAAUCUUGCAGAGUUCGAAAACAAAGAUCACGGAGCGAAUGCCACCAAUUUCUUCAUCAUUUUAGCCUCCAUAGUUGAAGUUUCCUCAUUUGAAGCUGUUUAUGCAUAUGCUUUUUCCCUUCUCAAGUACAGGAAAUUGAAGAAUUAACCAGAUGUGAUAUGCUGAAAGAGGGAAGUUUUCUUCCUUGAAUGUGGCCUUUGUGAUUUGUCUUGAUGGAAUAGGGUGAUCACUGGCGAGAACCCAAUCAAGGUAGAUUUUAUGAUGUUAACAUAUUAUUAAGCAUUUUGUUGCAUCAGCAAUGAUGCUUUCAUAGAAUGAAAGUGUUUAAAUUUAACUGAAUGAUCUUGAUUGAUCAAUUAUGAGUUUUAAUCGAGUAAAAACUAAAUACAAUGAUCGUUAACAAAUAUUGAAAUUGGGUAAAUAUGAUCUUGAUAUUGAAGAAUUUGAAAUCACAACCCACACAGGAAAUCACCCUUCGCGUGGGGAUGGUGAUGUUUACUGCAGCGAUAUUGAAUAUGUCCGCUGCUCUUUGGGUUAUGGUGCGAGUGCGACUUGCGAUUUCAAGGUUGCCAUGAAACAAUGGAAAAGAUUAACAUGCCCUCCAAUGAAUGAAACUAUUAUGUUAUUAACAAUGCACAGUCCGAGUACUUUUCCAGGAUCAGAUACGAGGUGGUCUAAUGUUGAUAAUAAUAGAUUAUCAAAUGACAAAUCGUUGUUCUUGGGUGGUGAUUUCAGAAAUAAAAUACAUUCUGAGAGAUGCUGGUUUACUAUUGCAAGCCCCCAGAUUUAAGAAUCUUUUGAUGAUAAUUUAUCACCUGCAGCUGUGCCGGAAGAUUCAAGUAGCACUGAAAAAGAUGAUAAUUUAAUUGAUAUGGACAGUUUUCAUAUCACUUUUAAAUCAUCUUAUGUAAUUGUAAUGUUAGGAAGCAUUAGUGAUCUAAAAGUGAACUAUUAUUGGUGUAAUUGGUGGUUUUAUCUUGUUAAAAUAUGGAUGACUUCCUGUUACUAUUUUAUUAUAGACAAUCUUAUUCAAUUAACAUAUGGUUUAAAACCAUUAUGUUUUAUGUAAAUCAAUCUAUUAAUUUUCAUGAUACUUAACUGAGUUAAAACCAAGUGCACUCAAUAAAUGUCUUUUCCUUUAAAAAACUGCUACGCUUUGAUUUUAGUGCUUAAUAUUUCGUAACUACAGAUUAUCUAAUUGCGAGUUGCUGUCCAUAGCUACUAAUUUGUAGUGAUUAUCUAAUUGACGAAGGUGACAAUAAUUAUUUUAUUUUCAAUAGCACAACGUGGAAUUCAAUAAUUAAAUUCUCCUGUUUAAUUUGUUUUAAGUUAAAUUAUUAAUUACUUAAACUCUGUUUUAAGUCUUUAAUUUUCUGUGUUUAUGCAGAAUUGGAUUCUUGAGCGUGUUGGACAUGACCAACAAUGAAAUUGACGUAAACAAACAUUACAACGUGUGGACUCCGGUAGCUACCCCGCAAGUCUACAACUUUACAAAUAAUAAUUGAGUAAGCACCUUUGAUUUCUAGCCCCGUUGACUCCACCGACUAAAGUUUUGUAAAAUAAAAAAAAAAUGCAUAGAAUUCCACCAAAUGCAAAACGCGUGGAAUUUAAUUUUCGGCCGUGUGGAUCAAAACAUAAUUUAAUGAAAAAGGAAAAAAAAUGAUAAGAUUUUUAAAAUGUGUGGAAGGUGAUUCAUAUUUUACUGAAACAACUUGUUAAAUUUUUCAAGGAUUUAUAAUAUUUGGUCAUAAAUUACGUGCAUGUUAAUUUUUCCGCCAUUGACUAUCAUAUUCUAGACUUAAUGGUACCUUUCUUGAUGAAGGGUACUUAAUCUCUCUUCUCCUCUUAUAAAAAUUAUAUUAAUUGAUUUCUUAUUAUAGUUAAUAGUCUUCAAGAACGGAUAGAUUUAUUGUCUUCAUGACCAAAUUAUGCAUGCCUAACGUUGCAACUAUUAAUAAAAUUAAUAUUUAAUGUUUAUGUUAAAAUAUAUAAGAUUUUAUGCAUUCAUUAAUUGUUAUUAGCUAAAGGAUGAAUUAUUUUUUCCCAAUCAGUUGAUGCAUCUGCAAGAGUUUUUUUUUUCUUUUAUUGACCAUAAUUAUAUUCCGGGUACAAUAAAUUGUCUUUGGUGCUUGGAAGAUAUGACAUCUCUCUGUCAACUUACUGGAAAUAUCUCCUCAUCUACUCUCAUUUAUCUAAUAUCAAUUGAAGAUCUCAUAUUUCCAAACUAGGACCUCCAAAUCUCAUUAUCAUUUGAGCAUUCAAAACUAAUCAAGUGUGGAAAUAAUCAAAUAUAUGCAAAAAUCGAGUCACAAUCUUUGGCCCCUCAAAAUUCUAAUUAUAUAACUUCAUAUCUCAUACAUUUUCCAAAUUCCUCUUCCAUCAACAUCACUAGGAGUAUGUUCAUCUCUCACACAUUAACUUGAGUGGAGAGUUUCCAAAUUGAUUGUCAGAAAACAAUACAAAAGCUAGACACACUUGAUCUGUCUAAUAAUUCUCUUUCGGUAAAAUAAAUUAAUUUUAGGGUAAUAUUCAGCCAACCUCUGUAAUUUCAGAGUGAUCAUUAAUUAAUUAAUUAAACGAUACAAUAUCUAAAGUGAUUAGAUGUUUGCGGACAAUAUAAGUUCAUGGCUUGAAAUUUGAUCUCUAUCGAUUGGUUUACAGAUGGACGUACUUGUGCCUUUGUGGUGAUAAUUGAACCAGAGAUGUGAAGCUGUAAGGAUUUGGCAGUAGUAAAUUGUUAUAAAGGCAUAAAGACAACUAUUUUACAACAAAUUCAUCUCGCCAAAAAUUCUAUUUUGCUAACUAACAAUAAUUGAGCACUUGACCGCAUUGACUCCACGUCUCCAGCUACUUUCUAAGUAAAAACAUGGAAAUGUAAUCUCCACAAAAUGCCAAACGUGUGGAAUUUAAUUUUUGGCCUUGUGGACCAAAAUGCAAAUGAAAGAAAAAGAAGGAAAAAAACAAGGCCCAAAGACUUCUAAAAGAUGUAAAAGUCUUUGGGUUUUUUUAUAAUGGUGGAUUUUUUAAAAGAAAAAAAAUAACAACACUCCUAUGGUUUGUUUUGAUAAUCACAUUUACAUAUACUCUCUAAUUUUCAAAAUGGACACAUAAAUCUUUUUUUUUCCUACAAAUGUAUAUUAUUCGUAUUUUUUAUUAUUUUUAAUAUCAUAUUGUUAUUUAUUAUAAAUGUUUAAAGUAAAUUUUUAGGUUGAAAUAUAAUAAAAGGGUAUAAUCGUUCUCUUAUUAAACACCCAUACUUUUAGUUUCUAUCCAUUUGCCAUCUCAAUCUCUCUCAAUUAUUCAUUAUUGCUAGCUCAAAAUGCGUUGCUGUUGCAAAUUAUAGCAAAAAGACAAAUAUGGAAAAGAAAAAACGGUAGAAAAUUAGUGCAUGAAAGACUUGGAGAAAACAACGAAGUAAGUCAACUAUAAUCUAGCUGGGUGUAUAAAUUGCUUGAUGCUUUAUAAGCAAAUAACAUACAGAGACAGACAGUGUGUGUUCGUUUUUUCAUAGUUAAAGAUAUAGUUAGAAUGGGCGGUUCAAAAUCAAAAAUGGUGAUAAUGUUUGUUAUGUUAUUAAUAAUAUUUAAAAGUGGGUGGAGUGAGGGAUGUUUGGAUCACGAGAGAUUUGCUCUUUUGCGACUCAAACAUCUCUUCGAUGAUACUGGUAGUUAUCCUUACGACUGGGUAGAUGGUGAGGGAGCUAUUGAUUGUUGUCAGUGGGAAAGGGUUGAGUGCAGCAACACCACAGGCCGAGUGAUAGCGCUAGACCUUUUUGAAAUGUAUUCGGGAGAGUACAGCUGGUAUCUGAAUGCUUCUUUGUUUACUCCCUUCCAACAACUUGAGUCACUUGAUUUAACUGACAACAAAAUAGCCGGUUGUGUUGAGAAUGAAGGUGCUUCGUUUAAUUUAAUUAAUUUACUUUCUCCCCCCUAAUUUAAGUUGAAUAUCAAGACCGAGCAACUAUACGCAUAUUCAUUUAGUCGACAAUUUUGACUUUUUUUUAAGUGAUUAAUUAAUUUUAAAAUUACACCAAUAUCUAUGAUCUUUUUUUUUUUUUAAUUUUGCUUGCAGGUCUAGAGAGGCUAUCAAGAUUGAACAACUUGAAGAUGCUUAAUUUAAGUGAAAACUCGUUCAACAAUAGCAUUUUAUCAUCUCUAACUCAUCUUUCAUCAUUAAGAUCAUUAAAUUUAUUUUGGAAUAGAUUGGAAGGAAGUAUUGACUUUAAAGGUACAUAAUUAAAACUUCAUCCCUUCUCCAAGCUCUUUCAUUAACUUGCUAAAAUAAGACUCAAGGCUUUGAAUUCAAUUUUUUUUAUGAUUAGUAUUAAAAAAAACAGUUUUAAGCAAUUUAUAAAUACAAGUUUUAAUGGUUAUCGUAAUUUCAUCUUGUAAUUUCAUAUGUCUUGAAUUUAAGAUUAAAAAAAAACUCUAAUAGCGAACCAAACACCUCCACAACUUAUUAUUAUUAUUAUUAUUAUUAUUAUUUAUGGUGAGGUUGGAAACAUUCAACUUAAUUUGUACUUAUUACAGAAUUUGAUUCUUUGAGAGAUUUAGAGGAGCUAGACAUUGGCGCGAACAAGAUUGACAAAUUUGUGGUCUCAAAAGGUACUACAAAUACCACAAAAAAUGUAAACUUUUACAAAUUAACUGGAUUCUUUGCCAUUUGGUUUAUUAUUUUAUAGGUUUGAGUAAGUUGAAGUCUCUUGAUUUAAGUGGUAUCAAACUCAACCGUAGUAUCUUAUCUUCUCUAACUGUCUUUUCUUCAUUAAGAGAAUUACAUCUACGUGAUAUCGGAUUCAAAGGAACAUUUGAUGUUCGAGGUAAGCCUAAGCCUUGCUUUCUCAUUUUCUAUAUGCCAACUAGAUUUGUGUAUCAUCGACAUAAUUUAAUAUUUAAUUUGAUAAGUCUGAAGGAAUUACAUGCUAAUUUAAACAUACUUUUAUUUACUUUGUCAAUUAAUUAAUUAAUUAAUUACUAUUUGACAUUGGACGGUUCCUCUCUCCAUAUAAGCCUUCUGCAAAGCAUUGCAUCAUUCACUUCGUUAAAAAAUCUGUCGAUGUCUGAUUCUGAAGUCAAUGGUGUCCUACGUGGUCAAGGUAAAAGAAAAGUGUUGACUGUGAAUAAGCUGUUAAUUAAUUAAUGUUGUUGCUCCUUGCUUCUAAACAGAGUUGCGCAAUUUCACCAACUUGGAAUAUUUGAAUUGGAUUCUUCCUCGCUCCAUAUAAGCCUUCUACAAUUGCUUGAACAAUUUAUUUAUUUAUUUAUUUAUUAUUAUUGUUGUUGUUGUUGUUGUUGAAGUGGGGUGGGCAAGCGUUUACUCGGUUAAUAUGUGGGGAAUUAAAUAUUACAAUCCAAGGUAGAAUUGUGGAAAAUUAAAGUAAAAUGAGAAAUAUGGAAAGAAAGGAAGAAAGUUAAGGGCAUGAAAGACUAGGAGAAGACUAAAGACCACCAAAUAAGUCAACUGAAAACUAGCUGGGGCCUGGGUGUAAAAUUGUUAGAUGUGUUUGUUAUAAAUAACAUAGAGCCCUCUUGUUGGUUGCAGAGGCAGAGAGACAGAGAGUGUGCAUUUUGUUAAUUAAAAAUAUAAAUAUAUAAAAUGGGUGGUUCAAAAUCCAAAAUGGUGAUAAUGUUAGUUUUGUUAGUAUUAAUAAUAUUAUAAGGGAGGUGGCGUGAGGGAUGUUUGGUGCAUGAGAGAUUUGGUCUUUCGAGACUUAAAACAUUUCUUCAAUUCUCCUUCUAAUUUUUGUCACGACUGACCGUUGUCAAUGGGAUGGGGCUGGGUGCAGGGUUGAUUUACGUUAGAACAAUAUAGCCGGUAGUGUUGAGAAUGAAGGUGUUUCAUUUAAUUUAAUUAAUUUACUUUCUCCCUCCUAAUUUAAGUGGAAUAUCAAGACUGAACAAUUAUAUGCAUCUUCGUUCAGUUGACAAUUUUGACAUAUUUUUUUAAGUGAUUAAUUUUGAAAUUACACCAAACAUUAUUUGUGAUCUCUGUUUUGACUUUACUUGCAGGUCUAGAAAGAUUGAGCAACUUGACGAUACUUGAUUUAAGUCAUAACUUGUUCAAUAAUAGCAGCUUGUCAUUUGUUGCUCGUCUUUCAUCAUUAACAUCAUUAGAUUUAUCUUACAAUGGAUUGGAAGGAAGUAUUAAUAUUAAAGGUACGUAAUUAAAACGCCAUCGCUUCUCCCAACUCUUUCAUUAACAUGCUAAAAUAAGAUUCAAGGCUUUGAAUUCAAUUUUUUUUAUGAGUAAUAUUAGAAAAAUAGUUUUAAGCAAUUCAUAAAUACAAUUUUCAAUGUUUCUCAUAAUUUCAUCUUGUACUUUUGUAUGUCUUGACUUUAAGAUUAAAAAAAAAAAUUACUCUAAAUGUGAAGCAAAUACCCCAUGACUAAUUUACAAUUUUGUCCAAUUAAAAAUGAUAAAAUUUAUCAUUUGUUUACAUUGAUUUAUUAACUCUAUUUUAAGUCUUAAGUCUUGGCGUCUUGGCAUGUUUGCAGAAUUUGAUUCCUUGAGCAACUUAGAGGAGUUGGACAUGCGCGGUAAUGAAAUAGACAAUUUCGAGGUUCCUCAAGGUACACAAUUAAAAUAUUAUUUAAUUACAAUAAUUUAAUUCGUUUGAUUAGGGAAGGCCCAAAAUGUACAAAAACAUAAUUAAAAAAAAAUAAAGAAACAGAGAAUUCAUAUUAUUUCAAAAAACAAAAGGUAAUACUAUUAUUUCAAAAAAAGAAUGUAAUAAAGAUUUGAUUCCGGUUCUUUAAUCUUUAUAGCAAUUGAAAAACAAUGUUGCUCUUUUCCUAAAGCAUAAAAUAUGAAAUGAGUCAUAAUUGAAUUAGUCAUUUAUUUUGUUUAGAUAUAAAUUUAGACAAUAAAUUUUCAUUUUUUUUUCAAUCCUAUCCUUAUUAUUAUUAUUAAACAGGUUACAGAGGUUUGAGGAAGUUGAAAAGCCUCUAUCUAUCGAACGUUAAAAUUAGAGAUGGAAGCAAGUUGUUACAGUCAAUGGGAUCACUCCCAUCCCUCAACACUCUUUACCUGAAGCAUAAUAAUUUUACCGGUACAGCGACAACUACUACUCAAGGUAAGUAAAAGGUACAGAUGUGGCCAAAAUUAUAAACAAACUGUUAAUUAAUUAAUUUUUCCGUAUUAUUAAUUAAGCUAAAUUUGUUGCUCCUUCCUUCUAAAUCUACACAGAGUUGCACAAUUUCACCAACUUGGAAUAUUCGACAUUGUCCGGUUCCUCUCUCCAUAUAAGCCUUCUGCAAAGCAUUGCAUCAUUAUUCCCUUCAUUAAAAAAUCUGUCGAUGUCUUAUUGUGAAGUCAAUGGUGUCGUACGCGGUCAAGGUAAAAGAAAAGCGUUGAUUGUGAACUCACUCAAUGGUGUCCUGCGUGUUCAACAUUUUUGUUUAUUUAUUUUAUUGUUUAAUGUUUCUGCUAGGUUUUCCCCAUUUCAAGAGUUUGGAACAUUUGAACAUGGAACGCGCGCGCAUUGCACCCAACACCAGCUUUCUUCAAAUCAUCGGUGAAUCGACGCCUUCUCUUAAGUACUUAUCACUGUCAGAUUUUACUCUCAGCACUAACAGCAGCAGGAUUCUUGAUCGAGGUUAAUCAGAUGCUCCCACCCUCCCUUCUUAAUCUAUAAUAUUAAUUUUCAAUUAAAUAUUUAAUUACACAAAUGAAUCACUUAUUAUAAAAGAAUAAUACGCAUUCAUUAAUUUCUAUAUUGAAUUAAUUGAUGAAUUUAAUAAAUUUUCAGGCCUCUGUUCGUUGAUGCAUCUGCAAGAGUUGUACAAGGUUAAUAAUGAUUUAAGAGGUAGCUUGCCUUGGUGCGUGGCAAAUAUGACAUCCCUCAGGAUAUUAGAUGUUUCUUCCAAUCAACUUACUGGAAGCAUCGCUUCAUCUCCCCUCGCUCAUUUGACAUCCAUUGAGGAGUUGCAUCUUUCAGACAAUCACUUCCGGAUCCCAAUUUCACUUGAACCACUUUUCAAUCACUCAAGACUCAAGAUUUUCGAUGCUGAAAACAACGAACUUAAUGCAGAAAUAACUGAGUCAUAUUCUUUGACCACCCCAAACUUCCAAUUACAAUAUCUCUUGUUGUCUUCCGGUUAUGGAGAUGGUGCCACAUUCCCCAAAUUCCUUUACCAUCAACAUGACUUGGAGUAUGUUGAUCUCUCACACACAAAGAUGAAUGGAGAAUUUCCAAAUUGGUUGUUGGAAAACAACACAAAAUUAAAAACUCUUUUUCUGGUUAAUGAUUCUCUUGCAGGACCUUUCCGUUUGCCAAUUCAUUCACACAAGCGGUUAAGACAGUUAGAUGUCUCCAACAACAACUUCCAAGGCCACAUUCCAUUAGAAAUUGGAGAUAUUUUACCAAAUUUAAUAUCCUUCAACAUUUCAAUGAAUGCUUUAGACGGUAGCAUUCCCUCUUCAUUUGGUAAUAUAAACUUACUCAAAAUUCUGGACUUAUCCAACAACCAAUUGACUGGUGAAAUCCCUGAGCACUUGGCCGUCGGUUGCGUCUACUUGGAUUUUCUUGCGUUAUCAAACAACAGCUUAGAAGGUCAUAUGUUCUCUAGAAACUUUAACCUAAAAAACUUGAAAUGGUUACAAUUGGAAGGCAAUCGCUUCGUAGGUGAGAUCCCACAAAGUUUGUCUAAAUGCUCCUCACUAAAAGGAUUGUACCUUAACAAUAAUAGUCUUUCGGGUAAGAUUCCACGAUGGUUGGGUAAUCUCACAUGGUUACAAUAUAUUAUAAUGCCCAAUAAUCAUCUUGAAGGUCCUAUUCCAGUGGAGUUUUGUCAACUUUAUUCGCUUCAGAUUUUGGACAUUUCAAACAACAACAUAUCUGAAAGUUUACCAUCUUCUUUCCAUCCUCGCUUUAUCAAACAAGUUCACCUAUCGAAAAAUAUGUUACAUGGACAACUAAACAGAGGUACAUUCUUUAAUUGCUCUUCCCUUGUGACAUUAGAUCUUAGCUAUAACUGCUUGAAUGGCAGCAUUCCGGAUUGGGUUGAUGGGCUUUCUUAGUUAAGCCACCUUAUCUUAGGUCACAAUAAUCUUGAAGGUGAAGUGCCAGUUCAAUUGUGCGAACUGAACCGAUUGCAAUUGUUAGAUCUUUCUAAUAAUAAUCUUCACGGUCCUAUUCCUCCUUGCUUUGAUAACACCACACUUCAUGAAAGUUACAGCAAUAGUUAUAGUCUUGAUGAGCAAUUUGAAAUAUUUGUUUCCAUCGAAGGCUCUUGGGGAUCGGUAGAAAAGUAAAUCCAUGAAAUUUUUGAGUUCACAAUAAAGAACAUUGCGUACAUUUACCAAGGAAAAGUUCUUAGCCUCCUAUCAGGACUUGAUCUUUCUUGCAACAAGCUAAUCGGUCAUAUUCCUCCUCAAAUUGGAAAUUUGACAAGGAUUCAAACAUUGAAUCUAUCACACAACAACUUGACAGGAUUGAUCCCAUCAACAUUUUCAAACUUGAAGCAUAUCGAAAGUUUGGAUCUUUCCUACAACAAAUUGAAUGGGAAAAUCCCUCAUCAACUUGUGGAGUUAAAGACAUUGGAGGUUUUCAGUUUGGCAUUCAAUAACUUAUCAGGCGAAAUUCCAGAAUGGAAAGCACAAUUUGCAACCUUCAACGAGAGUAGCUAUGAGGGAAAUACUUUUCUUUGUGGAUUGCCAUUGCCCAUUUGCAGAUCACCAGCAACUACGCCGGAGGCUUCAAUUGGCAAUGAAAGAGAUGAUAAUUUAAUUGACAUGGACAAUUUCUUUAUCACAUUUACAACAUCGUACGUAAUUGUGAUAUUUGGAAUCGUUGUUGUUUUAUAUGUAAAUCCUUAUUGGCGAUGUAGAUGGUUUUACUUUGUUGAAAUGUGGAUAACUUCCUGUUACUAUUUUGUUGUAGACAAUCUUAUUCCAACAAGAUUUUGUCAUUGAAAUUAAUAAGUAGUUUAAUUAGGAUUCUUUAAGUACUAAUCAAGUUUGCUUAGGAAAUAAAUUUUUAUUAAAAUUGUAGUAGUAUUUAGCAUUAUAUAGCUUCCAACUUUCAAGCACUUCACAUUUGUCUCUACACUUAAAAAGUUGAGUGAUCAUGUUUUGCAGAUCUGGAUUUGGAGAAGGAUGGAUCCAAACCCAAAUCUGUCCACCAUAACUUAUACCCUACACUGUGUAGCAUACUUAAAUAAGAGAAUCAUCUCCAAUGUUAAAAGCAACCACUCUAUAACAUUCAUUUAGAAACUAUAUUCAGAAUAGUUUUAUAAUCAUACACAAGAAAUGAAACACCUAGAUACACUUGAUCGCCUAUUUUACUCUAAAAAAGAACGAUUAUAGUGUUAUCAUCAUCUUCUUCACUAGCAACAUUAACACCAAAUCCAGCGAUGGACGCAUACAUUUCAUCAAGAAAGGUAUAUAUCUAAUAAAGUUGAAGCCUGACAAAAAAUUCAGGAAGAUUCAUGCCUCGCCACAACAAGGGGCACAACAACAUCAAAGUAGAGAUUAAGCAGUAUUCUCAAAGCUAAAACUCUCAAAUCCACCCACCAAAUUUUCAUAUCUCCUCAACAAUUUUAAGAACUAAAGAUAAUUAGGAUUUAACAUUAGUUUUUUAUAUAGUAGUUUCAUAAUUUACAAAUCAAUGAAGAUGAAGAUUAUGCUAAUGAAUUCAAAUUAUACCAUACAUUCUCUAGAUGUUACCAAAAAUUUCUAAGUCAAUCCCACAUAUUUCAUAAUUUUAAGACUAGAAAAUUUCAAUAGUUAGAAGUUUCAUUACCUUCAAGUGGAAGAUGAAGAACAUUAUGCAAGUGAUUCAGGUUAUAUCAUACAUACUCCAAAUGCAACUAGAAAUUAACAAGUUCAUGCGCACAUAUUUCAUAACAUUAUGAUUGAAAAGUUUCACAAAGAGAAAUUCUAAAUUCAAUCCCUUGCAUCAAGGCAGUUUGAUUGAUUUGAGUUACUUUAUGAUCAAGCUACUAAUAUAACAUUCAAGUCAGGGAGAAAGUAAAUUAAAACUGGGUACAAAUAACAGUAAAAAUUUGUUGCUAAACAUGAUGUGUAUUUUUUUAAGGCAAUUUGGAAACACAUUUGUUACUAGAUAUUCUCCUCAACUUGGAGACAAAUACAAAUAUUAAAAUGCAUAUGAUCGCACAUACUACUUGGAGCUUAGUAAGAUUUCAUUAAAAGAAGCAAUCAAACCACUUAUCAAUUGUCGCAAUCGUUCUAUAAACUAAAAUAGCAAUAUAAUACAAGAAAAAGAACAUAUAGAUACUCGGCAAGAGUUCAUUAAGAAGUCGCAUCACAUUAGGGUGAGGAGUUUGCUUCUGAUAUCUUGCUAGCUGGGGCUUUUUCUUGUCUUUCUACGUAUGCCGAGGGAAACCAACCAGCUAGGCCCUUGCAUUCACCUUCCGACCAUCCAGUAGGAGCCACCUUGAGAAGUUAUAACUAAAACGGUGAAUUAAAAAAAAGUUGACAAUUCAAAGACCUAAGGGGAAAACUAAUUCUUUUACGUAGAGGAAGUGAACUAGUUGUGAUCACUGAAAUAAAAAAAUAACUAUGGAAGCAUAACAAGAUAUAAAUUCACAUGUCUAUAAGGGUAAACAGGGUGGUUUAGAACUGAGCUAGCAACCCUACUAUAUUCUGAUUUGCACUUCAAUGUAAAAGGGAAUAUAUGGUAGGAAGAAAAAAAACCAACCAUCAUUUGUUAACUUAUUGCUUUUCAAUCAAAAUUUUAAGAACAAAAUGCCAUGUGCUUUGAACAUCAAAUAAGUAUAAGCAUUAGUUCUAAAUUCCACAUAUUAUAAGUUGUUAGAAGGAUAAGUUAAUAGCAUAGUAGAAAAAUCUAUGUGUUGGUAUUUAGAGGGGAAAGUACCUGGCGAACCACAACAUAAUCAUCAAUUGAAAGACUUAGCUCUCCAUUUGCUUGAUCAUCAAAUGGAUGUAUAACCUGCAAGAUAAUGGGAUAAAUAGAACUUAAAAAAAGCAUAACAAAAGCAGCAACAGCAGCAGCAGCAUUCAUUGUAACCACUAUGAUCAUGGCCAACAAAGAUAUAUUAGAAACAAAAUUCCAUUUUUACUACGACUUUAAUAUGUACUAUACGAUAUCAUGACGAUUGGGUUAUCAAGUGCUAUCAAAGUCUAAUAAGUUCUGUAUAACUUUAUAUAGUUAUUUUAAUUAUGGAUCAAAUUUUAAAUUUGAAAUUUUGACUGCUCUCCACAAAAUAUGGCCUAUGCACAAGAAAGUCAUAGAUAAUGAGGAUUACAAGUGUCCGACAUCUUUUGAGUGAUGGAUUUAACAUGAGAGCUUAUGGUCAGUCAAUUUCCUCUGCCUAGCAAUAUAAGCUUUCUCGGCCAGAUUUAUCAUCAAAUACAUAGAUUGCCCCCAAGUCACAUCCAUAUAAACAUAGUUUUCUAGGUAAACCAAGGAGAAUCAUAAUUUAGACAUAAUCAUAAAAAGGCCCAUCUAACUUAAGAGAAAAUCUCAAAAAGAGGGAUGUUGAGCUAUCAGUCUUGUAUCUAUAAGCAAUAUCAAGACUUUACAUCACCUGCUACAUCGUGAGUGGCUACACAACUUUCAGUGGUUUGUCUUUCUUUGGCAUGCCUAACUCAGCUUUGAUGUUGCUGAGAUAUUGAUAGUAGAGACACAUGAUACUUCUAGCUCAUGCAUUUUAUCUAGCUCAUCCGACAACUAUUUCUUUUUUAAUUCAUUAGUGUUUGCUAAACCUCAUGCUCAAAAGUCCUGUUCUCCUAAACAAAGUUUCCUAAGAAUGACUUCCUCAGCACAACAUUUGGACACUUUUAGAGCAAUUUUAUUUGGAGGAAAAGAAUUUUCAAGGUGUUAACUAAUAAAUUUUAAAAUAUAAUUACAAUUUGUCCUACGAUCAUAUGACAAUUUAUUUGGGAUGAAAGGAUACAGACAGACAUCUUCCACUUUCAAGACUAAUCACUACUUCCGUAGAUGUUGUGCAAUGAUACAAAUACUUGACCAGAUGGUAGUGAUGGUAGAAAAAAAUUUAUUGCUCCAAAAUUAAAAUAAGAAUGCAAUAUGUUAAGCAAAAGACUGUGCAACAUCAAAUUAAUUGAUGAGUUUGUAAUUCAGUAAAUUAACAACUUUCAUGGUAAAAUACAACAAGUUUCUUUUAAAAAAAAUAAAAAAAAUAAAUCUUAAAAGACAGCAUUCAUUUUUGUGCGCAUGUUAUUUCUUAAGAUUUUUCAGGAGGAGGGCAAUAGAGGGACUUUCACCUAUGCAAGAGAGCAGAAGCCUUACUUUUGCUAUAAAGUAGACGUCAUUCUGAUUAAUAUGCGUUUGAAUCAGCUCCGUUUGCUAUAAAGUAGACGUCACACAUGAGGCAUUUACAUCCAUUUCCAAAGUCACAUGUUGCGAGGAGGACUCAUUUGAUUGCUCCUCUAGGAUCAUCUAAUGCAAGUAGUAAGGGUUGGAAGAAAAUAAAAAGUCACAAUUAUUCUUUUGCGUAAGUGAGACGAAAAUGAUAAAUGCAAUAUUAUCAGCAGUAAACAAGAAGAGAACGCUCCAAGGAAUAGAUAGAUGCAGACAAGCAAGUUAAAAUGCAUAGUCCCAAACCUCCGCAUACAACUUCUCUAAAAUAGCAAUAACGUGUUGAUGAUAUGUUUUCUCAGCAUCUACCUGCAAAGGCCCGAGACCAGGAAAACGGCAAUAAAACCACUAGCUAAAGGAGAAAGUAAAGAAAGAAAUACACUUGACAUAAAUCUUGACAAGAAGCACAGUUUAAACCCCAAUCAUAUUGUUUAGAACUACCAUUCGUUAUUGUAACAUUUCGAACAAGUGUUGACUUAAUUCAACAUUGUUGGAAAGAUAGGCUUUUAAAAGCGGAAGAAAGCCACUCAAACCAAAGUGAUUGUCCUUGUAUUGAUCAAGGGAUGUAAACAUAUUACAUUUGCAGGAUAAGUUUUAAUUAAUCACUCCCCUGAUUUAUUUGGGUUGCAGUUUAAUUUGUGAAUUUUUUUCUAUAGACAUGUUAGUUCUUGCUAUUGAAAUGUUAAAAGCAUUGAAAAAUUAUUCAAUAAAUUAUGCAUAACAUUAAAAUAGAGGACAUAUUAAAAAGUUUCUAAUUACAAUGUUAAUAUUUCCUAUAUUUUAGCAUUUGCAUAUUUUAAUUUAUUUAAAAGCUACGUCGAUCAACUGUGGGCAUGAAGAUUUUAGCUUCUACGAGACUUGAUUGGAAUAUGCAUAAGGAAGAGUGUUAAAAUAUGAUGCAUCCAACGAAAGACAAACCACGUGUAGUCUUUUAAUUAAGCCAAAGUAGCAGCUCAAACAAAUGACACUUGGACCAACAUGCAAUCAUGAAGUGGCCGGAAAAAGGACAAAUGCAACUUUGGCUUAAAUAAAAAAUAACAUGUGACUUGACUUUUGCUGGACAUGCAUCAUGUUAUUACAAGACAACAGAAAUCAGUAUGAUAGUACUAAAAGUUGACAAUAACAUGAAGAUAAGAGGCAGAAUGUCAACACAUGCAUAGGCACACACAAGAAAGUAUUAACUUAUAUACCAUAGCAAAAAGUCUUUGAUAUGUCAUCUGUUGCUGCUGUGAUUCAACUGACAGCAUGGCAGCUGUUGCUUCUCUACCAAGAGCCAUUAUUGUAGAUUUAAGCUCGGUCAAUCUUGCUUCUGCAUUUCGAAGCUUCACAGCACUCUCUGCUGAUAUAUCAGAUUCCCUAAUCUUUGAUCGGCGCCUAAAUACUUCAGCUGCCUGGUGAAAAUAUUCAAUAUAAAUCUAACAUAAUUCUAAUCUUACCUGGGCUUCAACUUCAUGUCGAAGUUUGUCAUAACGAUGAGUCAGGUGUCGAGCAUCUUCCAAAGGUGCUCCGUUGAUUAACGCCCGUAGUGGCUCAGAUACCUACAUGUCCAAAAACCUGUAACAUAGUUAGAAAAAUGAAAAGAAAGAGCGAAACCUCAAUUAAAAAGUUCCUCCAACAUAAUCAUGGAAUUUGGGCCUACUUCAAGGAUAUAUAUAUAUAAGGAUAAUUUAUGCAAUUUUGGGUCUUAGGAUGAUUCAUAUUAGGUUAGUGUUCUUCUCUUCUGUAUUUAAGGUUAAAAUAGAAAUAAACCUAUGCAAAUAUAUAAAUUAGGGCUGUAAGACUUCCACAUGCAUCCUUCAGUCUCAUGGAUUUGAUUUUACUAUAGAUGCAAGUGUCUUUAUCGAAAAUGCUUGGAGUCAAUUGAGAGAACUCACGGCCAAUAACUUGUCAGACGCUAGUCUUUGCUAGUGAUGUAAGAAGUCACAAGGUCUCUUCAGCAUUUGAACCAAUAAAAUUAUUAAGUCAUGGAUGUCACUAGCAAUGAUUUUAAUAUAAAACAUUAAAUAUUUCAGAGUUGUAACUUUAAAAUGGAUUCUUUUAUUCAAUAUCUUAGAACUAAGUUUCCUUAUGAGAAGAUAAUAGUUUCAGUAGUAAUUUACAUAUAAUUUUCUAUAUUUGAAUUAUUUUCUAGUUAGGGAUGAACUAACCUGAUCACCAAGAAUCCCAAGCAAAGUUUCCCUCUCAUUUUCCAUCAAAUCAUGUGAAGUGCCAAAUUGAAGAGCAGCUCUUGCAACGCAAGAAUUGUCACUUUGAUUCUCCGCUCCAUACUUGCAACAAUCUUCAGCCAACUUUCUCGCUACAAUAUUUGAAUACAAAAAUAUUGUGCACAAGAACUAGUCAAGAAAAAAAAAAUCAAAUAUUAUAACGAAUGCAAGAGCAAACAAACAACCUAUUUCCAUUUGUUUCAAGCUUACUGCAACAAGCCCUUCAAUGCCACGAACAAUAUUCCUCUGAAAAUGCUGCGCUACAGAGCAUAUAUUCCAAAUUAUUGUUCAGAUAAAACCAUAGAAACCAUCAUAAUUAUUCAACAUACAUUAAGCUCCGUUUGGUAAAUACUUGCAACUUCAGUCUAGAGAAUACAGUUCUAUAUAUGUAGCAGUCUAAAGGAGGAUGGUGCCUUAGCUGCCCUGGUGGAAUUGUAUAGAUUUUGAAGUUGUUGGUGACACUCAAUUUCAGCUUCAUCAACUGCCUGUACAAAUCAUAAAAAACUAAUGAAAAAAAUAAAUAAAAUCGAGAAAUUUCACUAAUUAAAAGUCUAAAUAUAAUUUUAAAAAAGAAAGAAACGCACUUGGUGCUGCUUGGCGACUUGUUCUCGGAGCUUGAUUGCCUGUUUCUUGAUAGCUUCCAUACUGUUUCUUUCAAAAAGCGGCGACGGCUCAGCUCAUGGAAGUUGGGGAAAAAAAAAAGUGUGAUCAAGAAAAUAAAAAGGCAUAUUAUUGUUGACAAAAUGUGAAAAUAAAAAAGAAAAAAGAAAAUUAUAAGUUUGAAAGGAGAAGAUGAUAGUGGAAGAGUGCGGCGUGGCUGCCAGCUACUUGGAUUGUAUUGUCGGGUAAGGUAAUUGUAGAAAAUUAUAAGUUUGAACAGAGCAUGUUAGACUUUUGUUGACCAAAUUCAAAAGGCAAAUGGCACGGCCCAGAAGCUUUGGAAUACAGUAACUUACAAGAAAGCUCCAUUUAUUCUUCUUAUACUUUACGCUUGCAUCAGCUUAAAUCACUUCUUAAUCGCUUGCUUUAACUGCGCCGCUUUGUACUGUUCUAUAUAUGUAGCAGUUAUGCGGAUGUAGUUCACGGCUGAGGGUACGUGUUUGUUUGACGUGGUAGUUACGUUACGACGUUACGAGAGUAUUAUUAGUUAUUUCACAGGGAUAAAUAAGAUUAGUCACAAUAAACCCACUAGUUUUAUAAAAUUCGAGUAAUAUAGAAUAAAAUAAAAAAUGAAUACAAAAUUGACUUUUAUUUUUUAUGGUUGACUAUAUUUUGUGUUCUCUUCUGGUACUACUACAAUUGUUCCCUGUAUAUCACUCAUACCCAUAUAUCAUUGACACAAGAAAUGAAAUCUAAUGUCAGAUGUUUAGUUAAAGAAUCACUUAUGAAAAAAUUUUACCAUUUUGAUUUGAGGAUCCCUAUUUUGAACUGCAAGCUAAUGUUCAUCAAGAACAGAGUAUGGCAGUUGAGUAGAAAAACUAUUUUUGGACAAAUUAUUUUUAUUGAUAGAAGAAUUUCUCAAGGGACUACUAAAAUUAUUAAAAAAAAAUGUCAAACACGCCCAUAUAUCAUCAACACAAUUGGUUUUGAGAAUCCAUACUUUAAACUGCCGCCUAAUAUUCAUCAAGAGCAGAGCAUGGCUUGUGAGUAGAAAAUUUUCUGAUUUUGGCCCCAAAUAAUCCAGCACUUUCUCAUGAAGAAAUGCAUACAAAGCAUACCAUGGUACCAUACAAUACAAGGAGUCUCCGUUCUCUAGUUUUUCAAACUCUAAAGGGGCCAAUACUCCCUAAUUCCCCCUCGAAAAUUCUGAUUAUGACAUUAUUCAUCCCUCGAUGCAAUCAAAGUAGUGACAAAGUUAGGAAAAAUAUGAGUCCUAAGUAAUUGCUAGGCAGGGCUCCUGUGAGCAAAAUUGUCCUAAGCAUUAUAUGCAUACAUGGUGUGGUACAUAAAGCACAAUGAAUUCCACACUAUAACACAAACCCAGAAAGAGAAGAAACAACUUAAUUGAUGUAAAGACAAAAAGAAGAUAAAAUGAUAUAGAAAAAAAAAUUCAAAGAGAUAGCAACAUACUAUAGACUGAAGCCACUUGAUCUGCUCAUUGAUUGCAGCCUUAAACUUGCAAAUAGUUACCGUAAGCUAGUGCUAUAAGAAGUGAAAAUGAUGCACACCCUGAUUCCCUUCGACUUCCAUUUACUGUCAAACAUUCUAUUAAUACAAAAAAAUUGUUCAAAUAUCUUGCCAUAAAUAUAGCCGUUUGACUGGCUUAAUAAAGUCACAAAUAACCAUUCAUAUUGAUCCACAGUGUCACACCGCCUGCUUUAUGCAUACAACAGCUGUAUGUAUACCAACUCCUAACCUUAUCAAUACAUUUGGCAAAAACUUAAGAAGAAAACUAUUUCUCCAUCUCUUUUUUGAAAUUUCACAAUAAACCAGCAUAUUGUAAACGUUAUGUUGUAACCUUAUGAUAAAUGCUCUAGACUCCAAAUGAAUUUUAUAUAUGAGGGUUUGUUGCAGCAGAUAUAUUGACUUAUCAAGUAUGAAUCAUUGUCUAGAAGAACUAUCUUUAGAUAAAAGAAUAUUAGAACCAUUCUAGAAUAUCUUUAGGUUGCUAGUUCUAACAGGAAUCUGCAUGUGGCAACAGUUGCCAGAUCCACAAUUCCCCAACUUGAAAUACAUAGUUGCACACCGUGAGAUAGUGCUGCAAUCUACUGAGAUCUAACUUAUAUGAUACUUUAAGCUACUAAUGUUUGCAUAUUUCUACAUGUUAAAUUGACACUACCAUCUAUAAUCACUCUAAAACGACAGAUGAUAAGCAGCUUUUGGCUACUUAUUACUAGCAUCCACAAUUAAUUUUUGUUCAGCAAUCAGCUUAUUUUAUAGAAAUUGAUUUAGUCAGCAACAAACACUAUAAUCCUUGAAAUUAGUUCUUGUUCUUUGUAAUUUUCUAUGAUUUUUCAUACAUCAAUUAAUCUGCAGUGCCAAGAUGAGGUUUGGUUUUUCAAACUAAAUAAUCAAGUAGCAAAAAUACAAAUUUAGAGAUUAGGGGGUGAACUAGCUAGGUGGUUUACAAAUAUUCCUAUUUGUAAGGUGAAUUAAUUGAAUCAUGAGAAAACAAUGUGACCAUAGCUCAAUAUGAGAUGAUUUCGGAGAGGCAUAUUGUUUUCAAGUGAAUUUGAUCCAUUAAGAGAUGAAGUGGAUUGAAGUGGAAAGUUUAAAUAACAAAUCCUUGUUCUUGAGUUUUACGACGUUGUUACUCCUUCAGGUGGCAGAUUAUGCAAGUGAAUUCAAAAACACAAUGCAUCAAUCACGGGGAUGCUACACCAAAAGACGGGAUCAUAGUCUAUGCAUUGAACAGUUACAGUUGCUGCUACCAAUUGACUCGGCAAAGAUCAAGAAGACUGAACGGGAAGUUAAUGCCAUCAAUGUCGUCUUCACUAUAGCUGCUGGGAAUGUAGGUGAACUUUCCUCAUUUGCGGCUGUCUAUACAUAGGCUUUUCCCCAGCUUAAGUACAAAUAAAUGAACCUGCUUUGAAGGCUUUAUUAUUGACCACAAUAAGGAUUACUAAUUGAAGAAGACUAUACGGAGUUAAUCCCACACUUUCGUUCUCUCAAUUUCUUUCAGAAGUGCCUCUGAAAAUAGCUGCCAAACCGUUAGUCAGCUUGUUAGACUCUGUUUUCUGGAAACAGAGCCCUAACUAACUGACUGUACAGAGUAAGUCAACAUAGCAUAUUUAAUCGUUUUAAUUGAAUUGUCUUCGUAGCGAUCAUCAACAAACUCAUCAUGAGAUUUUUGAAGCACCCAAGGACUAUCACUGGGUUUCUCUUCUGGUUGAUUAAUUAAUUAAUCAAAGAACGGUUGGAUACCCAAGGACAAUUAAAAUUAUUCGACUUCUGGAACUGGGAAUGAAGUGCAAUGAUGGAGCAAAAUUUACAAUGUCUCCGGUUUCUCCUACCAUCGGACUUUUGCAGUGAGAACAUAUAACAAAAAGGCCUUCAUCAAAAUUUGUAGACUCCGGGUAUGGAUUGGAUCGAUUUUUUUGUUUGAUAUUGAAGAACCUCUUUACUAUCGCGAUAUAGAUUAUGUGCAAGGAGUUGUCUACUGUUCUUUGCCUUGUGCUAUGAUCGGUGCUCUUGAGGCUGCCCUGAAACACAGGAAAAUACUUCGAUAUCCUCCGUUCGAUGAUGCAAAGAACCGGUUAAUGUAUGAUUACCUAAUUGACUCAGGAUCAGGUAACAACAACAACAAUUUAUUAAUAUCACAAACGAAGAAGAUCGCGGAGAGGGAGAUGUAUGCCUAUACUGUUUACAGGUUUGAUCCAUUGGGGAUGAAGUGGUCUCAAGUCGAAAGUGAUUUAUUAAACAACAAAUCAUUGUUCUUGGGUUAUACCUCAUGAUGUCAUCAAGUGGAAGAUUAAGAUUAUGCAAGACGAAGAUCGUUUGAUAUUGAAGAAUUUGAACAGAAAGCCCAUAGAAAGUACUUAAAAAAGCAUAUUCUUGUUGGGGUAGAAUAUUGAGAAAGGAGUUGUCUACUGUGUGUUGCGUGAUUAUGCUAUGAUCUGUGCUUUGAACAUUGCCCUGAAAACAGUGGAAAAUACUUCAUAUCCUCGACAUGAUGAUAAAAAAUUGGUUACCGAUUACGUAACUGACUCAGGUGACAACAAUCCAUUAAUAGCACAAUUUGAGGUGAUGCCGUUUAGGUAUAUGGUUAACAGGUUUGAUUCAUCAAUGAUGAAGUGGGCUUAAAUUAAAAGAUCAUAUAAUAAGUCGUUCUUCUUGGGCAUAUCGUCAUUACUACUUCAAGUGAUCAAAGAUGAAGAUGAAGAUGAAAAUUGUGCAAGUGAGUUCAAGAAUACCAUACAUCGUUACUUGGGAUACUUCUUCAAAUAUGGAUGGGGUCAUAAUUUACUCCCACGAAUUUCAACCCAAUUUUAUGAUUGGAGUGUCCCACCAUGACUCAGAAAAAUUUUGAUUCAACCUCCUCCACCAAUGGAUUUUGAAUAGUCACUUUGUGAUCAAGCAACUUAAUUAAACUCAGAGAGUCAGAGUUCGAUUUUGCUGGCACCGCAUUUUCUUUAAAAUGUGGCCAUGUAAGGAGAGCGGCACAUAAUGUCACUUCCUUAUCAAGCACUUUAAAGAGGGAUUUUAGAAGAAGAUACAACUGCAAUUGUUUUCGUAUGUAUAUAUAUAAACAACAGCACACAUUCAGUUCAUAAAAGAAAUUUUUGCUAACCAUGAUAUGUGGUAGUGCUUUUUAGGCAAUUUAGAAACAGAGUUGUUCAACUUACAGCAGGUAUUCUCCUCAAGUUCGACGUAAAUACAAAUAUUAAUUAGAAUCCAUAUUAUAAUGACACACAUAACUUGCUUCAAAAUUAUCAGAAAUUAAAAUUGCUGAUUCAUAAUGCAGAUAACUUGGAUGAAUUGAUGUUAAAGGAAAAAUCACACGCAUAACUUGGAGAGCAAUUGCGACAGCAGCCAAGUAUAUAUUUUUAUUUGAGAGUUGAGAAGAAUAUAUUUAAUGAAGCUUGAUAACAUUUGAUGGGAUAGCAAGUAAGGGUAAAUAAGAUAUUUUUAUUUGUUAUUUAUUUGAAUUAUAUCUAUUUUGUUCAAGUUAAAAUACUAAAUAUAAAUUGGAGGUAGACAUUUUAACAGAUCAUCUAAGCUCUCAAAUCUGAAAUUUUGUGUAGAUUUAAAUUCAUAAUUUUAGUUAAUUUUCAUUCAUUCAUAUAAACAAAUUUAUGAGAUUUUUCUUUUCAGCAUGUUAUAUUUUGAAACUUUCAAUGUAUUAUUCUAGCUUUAUUUAAACAAUUAAUUUAUUUAAUUUUGAAUUUGAUCAGUAGUAAAAUUAUUUUUAUAUCAAAUUUUUUUUAUUUAAAUAGUUCGUGGAUUGGACAAAAUUAAAAAAUUUUAAUCUACAAAAUGGUGGAUUAGAUAUGAAUUGGGUUAAAUCCACAUUCGAUUUGCAGUCGUAUGAAUUUGAUUUGGAUUGAAUUUCAUCAAUCCAUGGAUUAGAUUGGAUUGAAAAUUUAUUAUCCGCAAAAUCGUGGAUCGAAUAUGGACUGAUGUCCAAUCAGCAAAAUCCGAUCCCCGAACACGCCUCUAUCAAAAUUUUCAAGAAUAUGUUUUAUCUUACAAAUUUUUUUUUAAAGUCAUAAUCUAAUGGCAGCCCAAUUUUAUAAAGUCACACACAACCAUUCUUAUUAAAUUAGAAAGAUCAAACACUGCACUGGAUCUUGAACAGAUCAACACAAGUUGCACAACUUGCGAUUGAAUCCGGCCUGAAACAAUCAACUCUUUAGCAAGAACAAUUAAUCAGAGUCAAGAAACAAGUUUAAUGAAUAUAAACCUAUAAUUGAAACAAACAUAGCAAAGAAAAAAAAUACAGAUUUUACACGGUUCAGUUGUACCUAGGAUGGCACAACCUACACCACGAGAGAAGCUUUCUGGUGAGAUUUUAUUGAUGAUCAAAGAAGAAUCUUUUGACAAAGCUAAUAAUAGAGAUUUCAGAGAAUAAGCUAUAACCUCUCUCCCUCUUCAAUCUCUCUCUAUUUUGUUCCCAUUGAUGACCCCAAUCUGCUUAGUUAGCCAGCUUUAUAGCUGCAUCAGUAACAAACCAGCAAACCCAGAUUGAGCAGAUUGACGACACGUGGAUAACGGCUUUAACGAACCUGGUUAAGAACUGCUCACAUGUUCGUCACGCGUACUGCUUAAAUGAUGGCCAAAACGACUUCAAACAAAUGUCGUUUUGAGGCUUAUGAAUUACAAGUGAUAACACGAGAUUGUCUCAUGACUUUUAAAUGCAACAACGUGCCCAAAACGCUGUCGUUUUACUCUGUUGAGUUUGAUUCAUUACUAAGCUUUACGACUGGCAAUGGAGAAGAUGAUAAUUUAAUUGAUAUGGACAGUUUUUAUAUCACUUUUACAAAAUCCUAUGCAAUUGUAAUAUUGGGAAUUAUUGAUGUUUUAUAUGUGAAUCCUCAUUGGCAAAAACUAGUGGUUUUAUCUUUGUUGAAAUGUAGAUUACCUCUCGUUACUAUUUUAUUAUAAACAUAUAGUUUCGUAAGUGAAACUAUAUAUUUAUAAUAAAAUUAACAUAUAGUUUCGUUACAUUUCUGCCUCAUUAAGAUUCUCAAAUACCAGUCAGGUUUGCUUAAGAAAUAAAAUUUUUCCAUUAAAAUUGCAGUAGUAUUUCCAAGCAUAUCGCAUUUUCUAUGAUUUUUCAUAAAUUAAUUAAUCUGCGGUGCCAAUAUCAGAUUUAGUUUUUCAAACUAAAUAAUCAAGAAAGCAAACAUACAAAUAUACAGUUUAGAGGGGUAAACUAGGUAGGUGGUUUAGAUUUUAGAACUAAGCCAGCUACCUCACUAAAUUCCGAUUCGUACAGUGAACUGCAAGAAAUUGAGAAAACAAUGUAUUUAUAAUUUAAUAGAAUCAUAAGAAAACAAUGUAGUCAUUGCUCAAUAUAAGAUGAUUUCGGAGAGGCACAUUGUUUUCAAGUUAAUUUGAACCGUUUAUAAGAGAUGAAGUGGAAUGAAGUUGAAAGUUUAAAUAACAAAUCCUUGUUCUUGAGUUUUACGACGUCGUUACUCCUUCAAGUGGCAGAUUAUGCAAGUGAAUGCAGAAACACAAUGCAUCAUCCGCGGGGAUGAUACAUCAAAAGGCGGGGUUUGUUUAUGCCUGCAGAUUAGCAAUUUCACUCAUAUCGAAAAUUAAUUUUUUAUAUAUACUAAUCAACACUAAAUUGAUUAUGUGUUGUAUGUUUAUAUGCUAAUCAACACGAAAUUAUAUUGAAUUAUUAACAUUCAUAUUCCUAAUAAAAAUUAUUUUCCAUCAGUAUUCAAAAUUUUCACUUAUAGAAAAUGCGUUUUACGUGAAUACUAGUUAUUGUGUAAAUUUGAAUGAUAGCGAAAAAUAAACCUAUUUGAAAACUGUAAGGGUGUGUUGGGAUAUUUUACAACUGUCGGAAUCUGGUAGGAUAUUGCACCAUUUGCCCAAUAUUUUUAGACGUACUCCAACCGGUAUUCAAGAUAAGUAAAAUUUACAAGCGUGGCAAAAUAAAAAAAAUUAAAUUCGUAAUUUGUAAACGAAUUUUCCUGACAUGUAUAGUAGAUGAAGUUGUUGACCCUUUCUUUGGAUUAUUUCAGCUCUGGUUGUUGGUCACCGAUGAGCCGAAGUCUUAUUUUAAUUCUAUUUAAACUCAUCAUAAGAUUCGUGGAGCACCUAACUAACUUAACUGACUGUGCAGAGCAUCUCAACAUGGCAAAUUUAACCAUCAUUCAAGUGAUGGGUUUAAUAAGACUGCUUUUGUUCUACCAAGUUCCUCCGCCUCUAAGCAGAAUUACUAUUGAAGGGCCAAAUGGAAAAUGAAAACGUGUGAACAACAACAACCACCCCACAAAUUCAAUGACGAUGCUCGGAGAGGGUUAGGUUGGGCCUCUGAGAAAAAAAAAAAUUAUUUAGUUAAAAAGUUACCCUUAUUGAAACCUGUAUAAAAAUUUUAUAUUAAUUAGUUAUGUUGCCUCUUCAACUAUGAUCAAAUUUUUAUCUGAGCUCAUCAUUUAAUGAGUAAACAUGUAUUUUAAUGAUCUCAAUUAAUAUUUAGAACAAAUAUUUUAAGAAGUAAAGCUCAUUAUAUCCCCCAUUAUUAUGUAUCUCUGUAAUGUAUUGAAUUAGAAGAAAAAAAAAAUUCAACUCACUCAAAAAAAAAAAAAUGCUGGUAGCUUCGUAAUAAUUACUGUCUUGACUGCACCAGAUAAAGUUUUGUAAAAGAAUUCUGAUAUUUACCCCGGGUCAAACCCCGAAAAUAACUUAAACGGUGUCGUUUUGAUUUUUUUUUUUUUUAUACUCCAAAACGUUCUUACCAUUUCCGUUUCACUUACCAUUUAAUGCUCACAACUCAAAUAAAAAGCCCAGAAACUAGAAUCAAACUUUACAGAAACUAGAAUGCCCAGAAACGUUGUAUAGCAGGAACGUAUGUAAAGAGAGUAAACAAGAGGGAUUAAACAGAACAUACGUUUUCUUCACUUAUUAUUAGCAACAAACACCCUACACAACACACAUUUAAUGCUCACAACUCAAAUAAAAAGCCCAGAAACUAGAAUCAAACUUUACAGAAACUAGAAUCAAACAAUACACAUUUCAUUUCUUCAAGGUUAGGGAGAGACUCAGGGGAGUGAUUAAUUAACAAAAAUAAGAAUAAUAAUACCAACAUUUGUACAGGUCAAAUAAGAAUAAUAAUACUCAACCUAAUACCCAGUAUAUACAAACAAAUGCCCAGGCCAUCGUUCCUAUUUUGCCAUAACCUAAAGAGGAAAAAGCGAAGCACUACCUCAGGCUGUGAACUUUGCCGCUUCGUGAGUUUAAUUUCCCGAACAAGUUUCGGCUACCAGCGUUACCAGUGUUGACGGUGACCGUGGCUGUCAGCGUUGACGGUGACCGUUGGUGGAUCCCGAAUGCCUGGACCUUGGUCGAGGAAGGAAAGUAACGAAUUUUUUGAACAAACGAAGAAACGAAGCACCGAAGAGAUUUACGGUCAAACGGAACAAGACCAACUUGCUCUUCUAUCUAUGGCUUUCCCAGUUGAAACGAAGAAACGAAGAGGAAGAGGUUUAAUUCUUCUCAAAAUCGUCCAUCAGAAACGGCAACGUUUUGGAGUAUAAAAAAAGAAAAAAAAAUCAAAACGACGCCGUUUAAGUUAUUUUUCGAGUUUGACCCAGGACAAACAUCAUUUUCCUUUGUAAAAUAAUAAGUUCUCAUUAGUGGUUUUUAAUUUUUAAUUUUUUUUUCGGCACACCUGAUCAAGAAUUCUAUUUUGUUAACUAAUAAAUUGCAAAGCAUAAGUGUUGAACGGUACAAAAAAAUUUGAAAAAAAAACACUUAAAACGUAGGGAAAUGAGAAAUAUAGAAAGAAAGGAAGAAAGUUAAGACAUGAAACUGAUCUGCCGUGAAAUUGAUAAUCAUGUUUCUAUUUCGUUAACUAAUCAAACGGAAAACUGGAACUGUAAACAAACAUUAACACGUGUGGACUCUGCUAGCUGCCCUACAAGUCUACAAUAAUAAUUGAGUACCUUUGAUUCAUCCUUCUAUGAAUUUCUAGCUGUAUUGACCCCAACUGCUAAAGUUUUGUAAAAUUAAAAAAAAAAAAAAAAAAAAAAACUGGAAUUUCAACAAAAUUCAAAACGUGAGAAAUUUAAUUUUUGGCCAUGUGGAACAAAAUGUAAAUUACGGAAAAAGUAUAAAUCUCAAUUGCUUAGUAUGGUUAGGUUUUGUGAGCAUCACUAGAAAGUGAAAACUAUGAAUGAUAGGGGUGAUGUUUGCAACAUGAAUAAACGAUGAACUGAUUCAAUUGAUGAUCGUAAUUAUAUAAUGAGCAAAAUUUACAAAAUCAACAAAAGUUAAUAAAAAUUUAUUUUAAUAAUAAAACUUAUUAUUUAACGGCGCUCUAACCAUGGAGUACCAUAAUCAUAUUCUUCUUUUAAGAAAAUUAUAACUUAUUUCAAAUAGCACCAUAACAUAAUUCUAGAUAUUUAAAAGAAAAGCAUUAUUCACCUGAAAUGACUUGGAAGUCUAAAGAAAAAGAGGGAGUGGCUCCCCACAAUUUUCUUGUUUUCAGUAUAUUUUCUUUUUAAAAUCUUUUGACUCAUACAUAAUCUACCCUCGUUCAUUAUCUCUAUUUUGCUCUGUUCAAGUCCCUUUUUUUUCAAAUCUUAGUUUAAAUAAGAAAAUUGAAUAAAAGUACAUUUGUGUAAUUAAUUAGUAUCUGCGGGGGAUAUUUGGUGUAAUGUUUUGCUAUGUAAGACUCAGCUAUUAUUAAAUAGUUCCUUAACCUGUUUCGCAGUUUAUUUGCUAUCUUUGUGGAUCUCAUAGGCGUUGCAGAAUUUAAUAAUUUUAUUCGUCAGAAGAAUAGGAUAUUGGCUUCAAUAAAUUUAAUUUAAACCAACUUUUAUUUACUCCAUCAAUUAAUUAAUGCCAUUUGGUUUUGAAAAAUUCAAUAAUUAAAUUCUCACGUUUCAUGUGUUUGAAGUUAAAUUAUUCAUGGGUAAUUAUCACAAACCUCCCCUGAAGUUUGAUGUAUUAUCAAUUUGAUAGAUUGUAUUCGCGUAUUCUCAGCCACCUCCCCUUAAGUUAGUACACCGUUUAGUAUAAGUUUAGUGAGUGAGGGCAAGAUAGUAAUAGAACUCGUUAAUAAUAAAAAAUUCAAACAAACUUAAAAAUAUCAAAUUGGAUUCUGAAAUUGAUUUGAAUUUUGUUAAUAUUCCAAUGGGUAAAAACAAAAACAUGAUUUUAACCAACAGACAAUAUUAUAACAAAAAAAUGAGAAAGGAAAAUGGCAUCUUCUUGCUCCAUUCAGACAAGAGCUAACAAGAACAACGCCCCUUUCAUCUCUACUAUACUUUAAUAGAAAAAGGGUGCCACGAUCGGGAGACCAUGACGAUGAACUCGAAGACGCCGAUAGCAGGGACGACCGAAUCACGAACGCCAGGUGGAAGAAUGUUGACCAGUGAGUUUCCAUGUUGACCCACAGACAACCUCAGUUUGUUCGAGCCGCGAAUGAGGUAUGAAAAUGCUUAUUACUGUGCAUGUCAGUUUUAUUAGAUGGAAUUAAUCAAUUUGGUAAAAAUGAGUAAUGGGUCUCGACAAUUUUUUGAGAGUAUCUAUGUUGCUUCCAUUGUUUUCCAUCGAUUGGGUUAGUUGUAGGUUAAUGAUUGUUGUAAAUGCAUGUUCACCUGAUUUUGAUUGAAGAUGGCUUCAGCUACAUUAUGCUGCCUUGUGAAUGAUUGAAGAUGGGUAUGAAAAUUUUUUAAUUGUUUAAGCUAUUGCCACUGAUUGUUUGGAUUCAUGCUAGUUUUUAUUAAAUUACAGAUGUAAUUAAGUGUUGGAGAUUCCUUGUGCCGCAAUAUUAAUAUUUUGAGGAUACUUGAUUUUGUUUUUUUUUCUUUUUAUCACGAUAUGUACAUGUCUUGGUUGAAAAAAUGUCAUGAUUUGCUGCAUUCUCUCACACUGGAGCAGUGAGUUUAGUGGUUUUAAUUCUUUUCUUCUCUUUGACUAUGGCUCUACUUCACUGCAUUCAGAUGUCUUUAUUUGUCCAGCGUCAAAUGAUAAAGGAACAUAGUCUCCUUUUGAUUUCAGUUUGUCUUUCUGUUUUGCAGCCAAGAGGUUCUAACUACCAUCGAGAGUGAAAGGCUCUCCAAGUCAAGGCACAUAGCUCCUGCUGCUCUUGUUACUUUCCCUGAAGAUUUUGAUAAUGGGCUGGUGAUUAUUUAGUUUGGUUUCAAAUUAUGUUCUCGACAUUGUAUUUUGAAAUAUUUGGUUGGUGAGAUAAAGUUUAUUAUUAUAUCUCUAAUAUGUGAGAUGGGAUAUUUCAAGAUGGUAUUUUGGUUACAAUGUUUUAUUUGGUAUUUACAAUGUAAUCACAGCUCUUGGCGCUAAAACGGAUAUGACUAGCCAACAAUUCUUUGAUUUGUGUGAACGAAGUAUUUUUUUUCAACACAAGGGUAUUUUGGUCAUUUUGUCAAGUAACAAACAGUCAACUAAAUGGUAUACUAACGUUAGGGGAGGUGGCUGAGAAUACACAAAUACAAUCUAUCAAACUGAGAAUACGCUAAACCUCAAGGGAGGUUUCUGAUAAUUACCCAAUUAUUCAUUAACUAGAACUCUGUUCAAAAUUGACUGUCUUGUGGUUCCCAAAUGUAGUUGUAAUAUUGAAUGAAGGUAAAAACUUUCUAUGCGAGUUUAAAUCUAAAUCUGGACAAUGAAUUUUGACUUUCUCAAUGCUAUCCUAAUUACAAAAAUUAUAUUAAUUGAUUUAUUGUUACAGUUACUAGCCUUUUAAAAUGGAUGAAUUUAUUGUUUCCGUGACCAAAUUAUGCCUGCCUAACGGUGCAACUAUUAAAAAAACUAAUAUUUAAUGCAUAUGUUAAAAGAUUUAAAAUUUUAUGCAUUUAUUAAUUGUUAUAAUCUAAAAAAAAAUAAUUAAUUCAGGUCAAUCUGAGUUGGUGCAUCUGCAGGAGCCUUUUUUUUAAAUUUUUUUCCCCUUAUUGACCAUAAUGACAUCUCCUUCAACAUGACUAUUGACUAGGAGCAUGUAAAAACAUGGAAACAGAAUUUCCACAAAAAUGUCAAACGUGUGGAACUUAAUUUUUGGCCAUGGGGAACAAAUGCAAAUGAAAGAAAAAGGAAAAGACGCCUCUAAGAUUUGUUUCAAUGGUUUACAUUGACUCUUUAAUUUAAUUUAUAGUAACACAAUUUUUUUUUGUACAAAUAUAUAUUAUUCAUGUUUUGUAUUAUUUUUUAACAUCAUAUUUUUAUUUAUUAUAAAUAUUUAAAAUUAAUUUUUAGGUUGAUAUUUAAUAAAAGGGUAUAAUCGUUCUAUCCAUUUCUCAUCUCGCGAUCUCUCUCAAUUAUCCUUUAUUGAUAUCUCAAAGCGCGUUGCUGUGGAAAAUUGUAGCAAAAUGAAAAAUUGGAAAGAAAGGGAAGAAAAUUAUUGCUUGGAGAAAACAACCAAAUAAGUCAACUGGUCUUUAGUGAGAACAUAUCAUUUGUUUUGAUAUUGAAGGACCUACUUCUCUGCCGCGAUGUAGAAUAUGUGAAAGGAGUUGUCUACUGCUCUUUAGGUCAUAAUAAUGUGAUUGGUGCAUUCAACGUUGCCCCGAAACACUGGAAAGUACUUCCAUAUCCUCCGAAUGAGAACUGAUUUAUAUAUGAUUUCCUAAUUGACUCAGGAUCAGAUGACAACAACAACUUAUUAAUAGUUAUAUCAAAACGGCAGAAGACGUGUUUUGUUUACAGGUUGAUCCAUUUGGAAUGACGUGGUCUCAAGUCGAAAGUAAUUUAUUGCAUGCCUGUCGUCUAAAGCAUUACCUCACAAGGUUAUAUCAAAGGGUGUUUUACCUCAUCACGUCUUCAAGUAGAGGAUGAAGUCAGCCACUCGGCCUUUGGCCGAGUGGUGAGAGCUGCUCUCCAAUUUGGAGAGCAGCAGUUCGAACCCCCACAAUGUAUUGUGGGGGUCUUCCUUUCUUCAAUUAAAUUUGAGUGAAGGCAGUCUGUUUUUUUACCCAAGUGUGAGUAGCAGACAUCCCUUGAAAGUGUGAGUAGCAGACAUCCCUUGAAAGGAAUGAAGUUAUAGUCUGAUUUGUAAAUAUCAGUUAUAUUCUCAUGUAAUAUGAGUUGUAGUUUGAGCAAUAGUCUCAUGUAAUCAAAAAAAAAAAAAAAAAAAGUAGAGGAUGAAGUCUAUGCAAGUGAAUUCAGGAAUAUUGCAUGCCUGUCGUCUAAAGCAUUACCUCACAAGGUUUUAUGAGAGACGAAAGAUGUGUUUGCUUUGAACAAUUAAAGUUACUGCUACGGACCUCCCCAAAGGUCAAGAAGACAGAACAGGAAGCUAAUGCCAUCAAUGUCUUGUUCAUUAUAGCUGCUGGGUAGUUAGGUGUAGUUUCCUCAUUUGAAGCUGUCUAUACAUAGGCAUUUCCCCUGCUUAUGUACAAAUAAAUGAACAACCUUGAAGCUUUAUUAUUCGCAACAAAAAGGGAUUACUAAUUGGAGAAGACUAUACAGAGUUUCUCUCACACUUUCUCUCUGUCAAUUUCAUCCAGAAGGUCCCUCUGAAAGCUUCUCCCAAAACAGUUAGUCAUCUUUUAUGCUCUGUUUUCUGAAAGCAGAGUCCUAACUAAAUUAAUUGACUGUACAGUGCAUUUCAACAUAGCAUAUUUAACCGUUUUAACAGUUAUUUGGACCGUCUUCAGAGCUAACAUCAACAAACUCAUUCAUAUGCUUAAUAAUGAACGAAUAGUCUUGGAUCGAUGUUUUGCAGCAAGAGCAACUCGACACAAUCUGGAUUCAACCUCCUCCUUUCUAACAGGGGAUUUCGAUUUGAGUUACUUUGUGCUCAAGCAAAUUCACAUCAUAGUUUUGAUUCUUUAGAUAUGAAUUCAUCACAUUACAUGUAUCAGAUUAAGUGUAACAAAAUUUGUAAUUUACUGCGAAAGAAUAUGCACUAAAAAAUGAUUUCAAGACUAUUUGACUAUAAAAAGCAGCUGUCAGAGUGCACUAAAAAUUUCUGUAGGAUAUUUUGUAGCUGUUUAAUAUGUUAUGAUGGGCAUAUAAUUCUCAAAUUUUGAUGCCUCUCAGUGAAAAAUAUAUCAAAGUUUAGAUUAUGUGUUCGAGCUUUAAUAAAUGGUCGGAAAAAAAGCUGCUGUCAGAGUGCACUGAGUUAAUAAUAAUAACAACAAUAAUAAUAAACUAAAAAGCAGAAUUAAUUACUAUUGAAUGGUCGGAAAAAAAAUUGAAAACGUGUGAACUCCAAUAAUCACCCCACAAAUUCAGUGGCGAAUUUUGGCGAGGGCAAGGCCGGGCUUCUCAGAAAAAAAAUUAUUUAGUUACAAAAUUAUCUUUAUUGAAACCUAUAUAAAUUUUUUUUAUAUUAAUUAGUUAUGUUAUCUCUUCAAUUUGGUGAAUAAAUGUGUGUCUAAAUAAUUUCAAAUAACAUUUAGAACAAAUGUUUUGAGAGGUAAAGCUUAUUUUGUCUCGCAUUAUUAGGUGCAUCUAUAAUUUCUUAUUUACAAAAUUAUAUUGUACGAUAAAAAUGUAUUGAAUUAGGGGGAAAAAAGGUCAGCUCACUCAAAAACAACAAAUGGUAUUAGCUUCGCCACUGCACAAAUCUAGAAUAAUAAUGAUUCCUUAUCAUGCUGGGGGAUCCUUUACUUUCUAGCCGUAUUGACUGCACCAGGUAAAGCUUUGUAAAAUAAUAAGUUACUCAUUAGUGGUUUUUAAUCUUUUUAAUUCUUUUUACCGCACACCUGAUCGAGAAUUUUAUUUUGUUAACUAAUCAAUUGCAACGCAUAUACCGCACACAAGAUUGGAAAAAAAAAUCUUAAAAAACGUGCGGAUUCGGUAGCCACACCAGAAAUCUAUUACAAUAAUUCCUGGCCGUAUUGAAGUUUUUAAAAUAACAAGUUCCCCUUCUUGUUUUUUUUUUUUAAAUAUAUAAGCUUAUAACAAUUUUAGAAUAAUGACUCAUUUGUAGAAGAAUUUAUGAUUUCAUAUUAAUAUUAAUAUUGAAGUGGGGUGGGUCAAAUCUCAAUUGCUUGAAGAAUUUAUUUAUUAUUAUUAAUAUUAUUAAUAUUGAAGUGGGGUGGGUAACGGAUAAGCGGUUCACUCAGUUCGUGGCGAAUUAAAUAUUACCAUCCAAGGUAGAAUUGUGGAAAAUUAAAGCAAAAUGACAAGUAUGGAAAGGAAGGCUGAAAGUAAGGCAUGACGAAAGGCUUUGAGAAGGCUGAAGACUACCAAAGAAGACAACUGAAAGAGAGAAUGUGUGUUUUUUAAUAGUUAGAGAUAUAGCUAGAGUGGGUGGCUCAAAAUCCAAAAUGGUGACAAUGUUAGUUCUCGUAUUGGUAAUCUUGGGGGGGGGGGGGGGGGGGGGAACUCAGGGGAGGUCGAGUGAGGGAUGUUUGGAGCAUGAGAAAUUUGAUCUUUUGCGGCUUAAACAUUUCUUCAAUUCCCCUUAUACACUUCAAAACUGGGUAGGUGAACAAAGGGAAAGGGUUGAGUGCAGCAACUCCACAGGCCGCGUGGUACAACUACACCUUGGUCUUACUAUAUCGAUCUGGGAGAGUGGUAUCUGAAUGCUUCUAUAUUUACUUCCUUUCAACAACUUGGUAACAAAAUAGCCGGCUGCAUGCGUUGAGAAUGAAGGUCCUUCAUUUAAUUUAAUUUACUUAAUUUCUCCCUCCUAAUUAAUGUCUAUAACCAUUAGGAGGAACAAGGGAUUUUAUUAACUCAAAUAUAUCUAAUGGAGCUCAUUCUUUGGUUUUACUUGCAGGUCUAGAAGUAGGUGUCAUCUAACAGCUGCUUUAAUAAUUUCCCACCCCUUCAUCUUUGAUGGAAAGAUGAAAUAAAAACAAAAUGGUGAAAAUGGUAUUGGUACCUGAGGCUAUGUAAUCUAAUUCAAAAACUGCACCAUCAAAACGAUUACAUAAGUCUCAGAAGAAUCAAACAUCAGUUUGCAAAAUAUCAAUUGCUGGAGGUUUGAUUCUAACUUCCGCUCUUCAUUUUUAUGGGCAUGUUGUGUUGUACUUGCAUCAGAAAAUCAUAUUUUAGUUUAUUUACACUCAACGCUUGGAUUAAAGUUUUAGAGGGGGGGAUUGAAGAAGACUAGAAUGACACAAAAGAAAGAGUUGAGCGAGUGCCGCUUUUGUCGUCAUUUAAGGAGCUCUUUAUAAAUUUUAGGAUUUUUUUCCUGAGAAAAUUUAUGCCAACUCAUUCUUUGCUUCUUUUCUGAAGGGAUAGAUGCAACCGAAACUAUAUUCUUGAAUUAUCCAGGAUAAGAGACAUACGUUUAGAUUCUCGAGCCUUUAAAACAAUAUCAAAUUUUAGAUUGCCGAAAUUUUAUAUUGCCGAGUAUGAUGGUGUUCCAAUUAUAAGCUCCAGGGUGCAACUUCACUGAGGUUUAGAAUGCCUUCCUAUAGAAUUGAGAAAUCUCCAUUGGCAUAAAUAUCUUUUGAAAAUACUGCCAUCAGAUUUUGAAUUGGAGAACCUGAUUAAACUCAGCUUGCCUUCUAGUAAGGUUAAGCAAAUUUGGAAAAGAGAAAAGGUAUAAUGUAUUACUAUUACCAAAGUAUCUAUUUUUCUUUCUUUAAGUAUUUAUAAUGAAUAACUUUGAAAUUCAAUGAUGGUCAUUUAAUAUAGUUAUGUAUCUUUCAUUAUAGGAUGCUCUCAAGUUAAAAUUUAUAGACCUUCUCCCCCUGUAUCUUGAUAGGAUCCCAGAAAUCCUAAAUCUUAAGAAAAUAAAUCUUUCAAAUUGUGAAAGCAUGCUUACAUUACCCCCGUAUAUCCACAAUUUCAACCAGCUCAGUAUGUUGUGUUUCAUGGGAUGCAAAAUUCAUUUUGUUGCUCAUGAAAGAAUUGACUUGUCCGGAUGUAUUAAUUUUGCAGAUUUUCCACAGAUUAUGGGAAUAUAACAAAGCUAGACUUAAGCGAGACCCCAAUAAAAGAAGUUCCCUCAUCAAUAGAGUGCCUAGCUGAUCUGAAAACGUAGCGUUCGAGUAAGUGCACGAGGCUGAAGAGGCUUUCCAACAAGCAUUUGUAAAUUGAAAUCUCUUCUUGAGUUUUAUCUUUAUAACUACUCAAACCUUGAAUGUUUUCCAGAAAUCAUGGAGAAAAUGGAACGUUGAAAGAUAUAAAUCUAGCAAGGACGGCCAAUUACAGAGCUACAAUCGUGAUGGUCUUCUGGAUAACAUUAGCAAUUUAAAAUCUUUGAGGUACAUCUCGGCUAAUGGAUCGGCCAUUAGUCCUCUGUCGGAGAUUUGGCUGUACUUAAAUAUCUAUUGUUUUCUCGAUGCAGAGGUUUUGUAUCAUUGCCUCCAAUAUUAUUUUCAGGUUCAGGUUUAUCGAAUUUCGUACAACUAACUUUAAGAGACUCUGCUGUAGUGGAAAUUCCCCAAAACAUUGUUUGGCAAUCCUCAUUGAAAAUUUUAAAUCUAAAGGCUUGUUUGUUAACUACUUGAAGUAUGAAACUAAUGAUUUUUUUUAAUUUAUAUUUGAUUUUGAGAUAUUUGUAUCGGAAUUAAAAAAAUGAACUUUUGUGACAUUUAUCUAAAUAAAAAAAAGCUUAAUGAGAAGUAAAUAAUCCCCUUUUUCGUUUUGACUUACAAAAACAUAAUGUUAACUAACCAUGUUUAAGAUAUUUUUUAUUUAUAAAAACAAAUUAGAUGCUACUUAUAUUUAUUAUCGAAAAUUGAAAAACAAACAUGUUAUUCAUACAUUUAUAUUCAAACUUAUUCAGUCUUCAGCUAAAUACAGAUACAUUUAGAUUUCAGAGAAAAAAAUAAAUACUUCCUAAGUGGGAAUAACUUUGAGAGUUUACUUGCAAAUGUCAAGCAACUUGCAAGGCUAGAAUAUCUUGACUUGAACGGUUGCAAUAUGCUUCAGUCAUUAACAGAGCUUCCAUUGUUUCUAUAUUUUUCAGAAGUAAGGAAUUGCAAGCGCUCCAAUCUUUGCCAGAGCAUAGAUUUCAUGUUUACCAAUUGCCUGAAACUGAAUGAAAACGCAAACAACAGCAGUUUGGCAGAUUCAGAACAAAGGACUCAACAUAUGGCAAAUGCACCACUGAGACUAUUCCAUGAAAAGGUACCCCUACUCACUUUCUCUGUCCAAUCUUUGCAUCUGAUCAUCUGGGAUUCAAAUCCUCUACUCAUCUUGCUACUUGGCCUGCCAUUUUAACAUCCACUGACUGGUCGUUACCAAAAAUCAAAAACAGUAAAAUGAUACAUCUAAACCAUGCAUACAUAACCAAUAAUGUAUAUGUGUUGCAAGACUUUAGAAAGGCAAGAUGAGUAGAGUAUCGGCUUUGGUCUAAAAUUGUGGUUUUUAUAUGACAGCAGAAGCCUCAGGUACAACGUCAUGUCAGCAUUUGUUUACCUGGAAGUGAAAUUGCUGACUGGUUUAGCAAACAAGGUUUUGGAUCUUCAAGAACUAUCCAACUUCCACCACAUUGUUGGAACAGAAACUUAAUCAAAUUUGCUCUUUGUGUUGUUAUUGAACUUGAGGAAGGUUUUGAUGCUAAUGUUGAUGAAUUUUUUGUCCACUGUUUCUGCCAUUUUGAGAUAAGGGAUACUCCCUCUGAAACUAAACAUGAUCACUUUUGCGUUAUGAAAGCCGUAAACGUCCAUUGACUCGGAUCAUAUCAUAUUUGGAUUUCAUCCCUGUUGGAAUGUUGAGUGCAUUUAAGUCCAACCCUGUUACUAUAAAGUUUUUUGCCAACAGUGAAGAGGAAUGCACUCAAAGUGUUCCUCAAAUCUGAAAAAGAUGAAUUGGAACCGACUCCCAAGAGAAUUUAAAGAAAGCAAGUUGGUUUCUCAAGUUCUGAUUUCUUAUCUAAGUCCAACUCUCCAAUUACACUUUCUAUUUAUUUAUCAUUGUGCUUUAUCAUCAUCAAUAUUAAUAUUAAUAAAAUAAAAAGCAGUUGAGAGCCAAAUAAAGCCACUUGAAAAUCACUCAGUCACGCUUUUGGGACAUCAUUCUGCUCAUUACUUUUAAUCUGUAUCUCCGUUGUUUUAUUUGGUAUUUAUUACCAUUAGCAAAUAAAGGGAUUAGUUGAUUAUUGUGAGCUCACUAGAUGGAGCUCACCCUUAAAUGUCGGCUUGUACCAAGGAGGUGCCUUAGGGUUAAUAAACCAACUAAUCCCAUAAUUUAUUGAUGUAGGGUCCUAACAAAUUAUUGCAGUAGGUCAGUACACAGCUCGAAAACGUAUUUGAUCCAUACAUUGAAGAUGAUUCAAUAUUAAGCAUGUCAUAUAAUCUGGAAUAGGAUAUUGGACCAAUUUGAUGAUAAUGACUUUCUUUCAAUCUCAAUCUUUAUCUUCUUCGCAAUAUGACUAGCCAUUGCAAACUCAAACUCUGACAAUGAUUUCUCAAUCGCUUUCUAAGAUAUUGAGCAGGUAUGUAUAUGUAUGUGUGUAUGUGUGUGUGUGUGUGUGUGUGUGUGUGUGUGUGUGUUUGUGUAUAUAUAUAUAUAGAGAGAGAUCACGAGUGUGUGAUUUCCUUUUGCCAAUAAGGUAUGCAGAGACCUUGAUGUUACCCAAUAGCAAAAAAGCUUCCUAAUAAGUGAAGGUAUAGUCUAAAUACUUACACUCUCAUAUUAUUUUGUUCAUCAGCAGUUUGAUUAUUUUAUAUGCAUCUUUGAUUUUAGUUUUCUUUCCCUAUAAUUGCUAUUAUCUUUGAACUGGUCAAGAUUUGCCUAUAAGAUUUCUCAUGUUGAUUUUAGGUGCAAUGGAUUUUGAAUUUAGUGCAGGUGCAGAAGCUCGAAGGCAAAUUAUGAAAAAGGAUAAAGAUCUAUAAUUAGCGGUUAUGGGAUGUCAUAUAUCAUAUGGAUGGUAAUGGGGUCGGAUCACGAGUCCAUUAAUAAUCAUAGAUUGGCUUAUAUAUUUCAAACAAUGUACCAUGAAGUAAUUUCACAAGCACUUGUUAGUCUAUGUUGAGCUUUAUUGAAUCAGUAGUUCACAGUUCAAUACAAUGCAGGUUUACUAUUUGAAGUAAAUGCUUAUGGUGUGCAUUCUUCAUAAAACUAACUACUGAAUUUUUCGUUGAAACUUGCAGAAUGUAACAGAGAGAUGCAGAUAGCAGCCACAAAACACUAAGAUUGAAAAUCAGGACUACUAAAUUCUAUUACAAGCCCUUAGAAUAGACAACGAUCAUCCUCGAAUGUAUAUACUGAAAGUAAGAAAUAUUAAUCGUAAAGUUAUGCAUCAACAGAACUAUUAACUACUUAUCUUUAGCAGAAGAUUUAUAUUUUUAGUUGCAGCUCUCUACUUUGUUCGAAGAAUUAGGCAAAAGUGGCAUAUCUCCAAUCCAAUCAGCAUAUAUACCGCUCAUCUUCUCCAGUUCUUUCCGCUUUGAUUUGCACUCAUACCCUGCACUUGCUGCUUAGAAAUAGUCAUAGUUUGCACAUUGACAGUAGAAAAAGUACUUGAAACAGUCGUUGGCACAGCAUGAGAUUCCAUUGAGUCAUGGUCUCCAAGCUUUCGUAGUUCUGCAAAGAAAAUGACAAAACAUCAUGCUAUUGGCAUUCUACUUUUAACAAUUUUCCACAACCUGAGCUAUUUCAUAUCUCUCUAUAAAUUAUGAUCCAUGAGUGGACCACUGACGGAUGCAAGUUUAUUAUCACUUGUAACUGCUGGUUCAACCUUCAGAUAAGUUUGUGAUAAAGGCAUUUACGAGUACAAUGGCAAAAUUACAUGAACUUAUGUUAUCAAUCAUUGUUUUGCCUUCUCAUGAUAGAAUUCAAUGCAACAUAAAACAUUGAUAUAUUUGUACCUUGCCAUGCCGUGUUGUGAACCUAGAAGCAAUGCAAAGUGGAAGGAACAUAUCAAGCUAUCUACUGUAUAUAACAAAUUCUUACUAGCCCACAAUGCUGUGCCGCCACAUUGAUCAAGUAACACUACUAUUUCAUUUCCAAACUGGCAUAUAUAAUCUAAUGUUGAACAAACCAAAUUGGGAAUCAUCAUUCCUUACAUUAAGCUGACAUUCGUACCUGCUAGUCCAUGGGCAAAGUUGCAUAUAUUUUCAUACAGGCAGCUUCCCCUUAUCUCUCAGUUCCAACAGAGAUUUGGUUUCCCAUCACCAGCCUUUGAUUCAUUCGAUCAUAGAUACUCCGAGUUAGCAAGCCCCUUGUUGUGUUCCCAUUGAACAGACCCACUUCUGUUAUCCACAGAAGAUCCACCACUCAAAAUACUUAUCACUGAGCUAUUCCUAAACUGAGUAGAAACUUUCGCACAUCUCUCCGCAUUUACGUUAAGAAAUCGACACCUAUCCUCAUAUUUGCAAGUUUUCUGAUAAUAGAACGGUCUACAAAGCUGCAUUUCGUUAGGCAAUCUAGUCUCUCCAUUCCUCGCAAAGUGACAUUGAUUCCCGUAUUUGUAAUUGCCUAAUUGGGGUUUUGGCAAUAGCCUGAUCUUAAAAUUAGCACCCAUUACUUUGUUCAAAGCCACUGGCAUCCUCAGAUUAGGAACAACAUUUUCAAAUUUUUUAGCCCUGUUAGUCGAAUCACAUUCAACAGGAUAGUGAGGCAGCAUUUCACCAACAGAUUCAAUUUGACUACUCAUAUUGAUGCACAUAUAAGAAUUUGAAAUCACUUUUUCUUGGAAUAUUUAAUGACCAGACGAAAGUUCUUGAAUGGAAAUUAUUUAAUUUGAUUUGAUUUCCAACAAAUUCAAGAAACCCCAGAUAGUAACUAAACAAAAAUCAAACAAUAAUACGCAAUGGGUUUCUUUCUUUUUGCUUUUGGAGGGCCAUGGAGAUCUGGAGUGGGCUGUAAGUAAAUUAUGCCUUCAUCACUGGAAUGACAAAUUUGUAGAAGAUGAUAUAUGGGGAAGGAUUGAAGUAUUGAACAAAUUAAAUUACGUCCAUUGUGAUGAAUUAAAAAUAAAAUAACAAUUUUAACUUUAUAAUAAAAUUUGAUGUUAUCAUUACAUCUUUUAUUAAAAAAUUAAAUUAAUCAAGAAUGAUAUUAUUUUCUUUUAAUGUUAUCAAACUAAUCAACCUAUAAAAAUUAUAAAUUGUGAAGAAUAAAUACAUACACCACUUAAAAUGAUAUUUAUAUCAAAUUACUAGUUUUUAAGUUUUUCUUUUCAGAUGUUGAAAAAGAAAAAACAAACAUGUCAUUUAGAUAUUUUCAUUCAGACCUAUUCAGAUUUAAACUAAAUACAGACCUAUUCAGAUUUCAAAUAAAAAACAAACACAACCUUAGUAUAGCACAGAGCUUUUUUAGUGUAGCAUUUUAUAAGCAGAUUUUUUUUAAAAAAUUAUUAUUUAUUUGGUUGUUUUGCAUAGGAGAGCGUUUAAAGCUCCAAAAUCUUUGAUCAGUCAAUUUUUUUUUUUUUUGUUAGUAAAACUUUCAACAAAAAUUUAUUAUUCAUUUGAUCGUAUAUGAGAGUUUUUAUUAGUAAGUUAUAUAAAGUUCUUUAAUUUUUUUUUUAUUAGUGCAACUUUGUACAAGUACAAUUUUUAUUUUCUAAAAAAAAUUAAUUCAAUAAUAUUAGGAAUUUCAAUAUUUAAAUCCUAAUAUCAUCUGUCACUCAUUUAUUAAAUGACUAAUUUCAUAACUUAUAAAUUUAUUUAACUAACACCCAAUGAGUGAAUAUUACUAUGAUGAAGACUCAAAUUGAAAUUUAGAUGUUAGGUUGCGUAACGUUGCUCUUAUUUGGUUAUUUAUGAGAGCUUUCUUAUACAAACUUAUUUGUAUACAAAUUGAUAUAGUCUAAAUUCAUUAACUAGAUGAAAAUAUAAAAUAAUAAAAAUAAAUCAUAUGUACUAAGAAUUGUUUAAUUCAUCAAAUUGAAUUAUCCUACUUAUGUUUGUACCAAAUAAAUUUAUAUAAGAAUUUAUAAUUCUAUUUUUAAAUGUCCAACUAAAUUUUUAGUCCUUUAUUCUUUGUAAAAUUCAAAUUCAAAUGGCUCAUCAAAUAAAAUUAAAACUAUUGGCUAAUCAAAUAAAAUUAUUUGAAACCAUUGGGUAUGGUAGCUGGACCUCUUGGAACUAUCUAAGCCAUGAAAUUAACAGCGAAAAGAGUUUUAAAUGUCUAUUUUAUAAAUUUUUUAAUUAUUUUUUUAUUUACCAUUUUACCACCCAUAGUGAAAGUGUCUCAUCGACAGUUGAACAGUCAACAUAUCAGUCCUUAGGAAUUUACGUUUGGGGUAUUUUUGUAAUUAUAAGAAGGUAAACUAAUCGCAAAAUUCAUUUGGCUUGAACUUGCUCGCCUUCGCCCUGUGUAUGGUCGUGGCGUUAUCAAUAUCACCUUCUCCACUCGUACUGACACCAAACCUUAACCGUUCAGAUUCCCUUUCUCGAUUGUCAUACCCUAGGCCCCGUCUACGUGUCUCCGAUAAACAGUGCUCAAUUAAGGCCAUCAGAUUAUCCCGGACCCACAUUGAUCCAACGGCUCACAAUGACCGACAACCUCUAUAUCUCCAUUUCAAGCUCCCUUUUCAACUGGCUUCUGCUUCCGUCGUACUCUUUCUCGGAUUCGGAGUCCGUAUUUGCUCGGCCGGUCCCGCACAGCUCCCUCUCGCUCCAAUUGUCACCCAACAAGACCAAUUGCUUAAUCAAGGCACAGACCAAGAAGAGGAUGAGAAAUUGAAACAAGAAUUUGAGAAUUGGAAAUCGAAAACGUACCCAUUUGUGAUAAGGAAUUUAUGCGAAGUAAGGGAAAGAGAUUGAAGUUUCAGAUGAAUUUGUGUGCUAGCAUUGAUGGGAUCGUUAACAAUUUAUCUGUGCCCUUUAACAAAGUUAAGGCUAAGUCAGCUUCUUAUAUGGCUGCUGAUUUGGUUAGUGUUGGUGAUUCAUGGCUCAGCUUUGCGAUUAAAAAGAGAUUGAUUGAGCCAAUAGCUGGAGCUGAAGAUCAAGAUUGGUUCAAAUGCUUAAGUCACAAAUGGAAGGUAACAUCUUUGUCUUUGACCCGAUAAUUUUUAUUGUCUUACAUUGAAAUUUGGUAAUGUGGUUUGUAGUCAUUUUAUUUAUUUGCUUUUAUUUGCACCAACGAAGUCUCAGGUAUAUCUAUGCAGGAAUGAUACAGGAGAAAUUGAUCCUCGAGGUAAAAUAUGGGCGGCACCAUACAGGUGGGGCACAAUGGUGAUAGCCUACAAGAAAAGUAAAUUUCGAAAGCAUAAUUUGGCUCCAAUUGAGGUAAUAAUUGUCUUUAAAUUUUAUAUGAAACAAAAUCAAGACUGCCUUUCUGUUCAAUAUUUUUGAUGAUAAUAUCUUUAGAAGCAUCGCAUUGACGGGUAAUAAUGGUAUCCCUGAAAGAGUCUAUAAACUCAAUGAUAUUAUCUUCUACACAUGGUUUAUUAAACUUCUUCGUUGUAGUCAAAUGUACACUAAGAACAAUGAGAAGCUAUGCUACUGUAGCAUGUAGUGAUGGCGCUUAAUAAGUGAGUUGCUAGGAUGUGAACUAGAAAAAUUAAAUAUUGUCUCCUUGGGUAUGCUAGCUUGUAAGUCAGGGUUAAUAUUAGAAUUUAAGAUACUAUAACCAUGAGAAGCUAUUGACUGCCAAUUAAAAUAUCCAUUAAAAUGUCUAGGGAGUUAAGAAGGUGGAGGUAUCUUCCGAUUUCUAAGGCCACAUAGUAGACAUCAUCCAGGAUCCAAGGAAGGUGCGGUUAAGCUCCUGCUCGGUGCAAUUAAUAAAUUUGGUCAAUGCCACUGAAACCUGCUAACUGAUGUCACAAUGCACCAUGAGCACUUCAAAAUGGGAUAGACGGUCAGUAGCACUAAAUUUUUCUUGCCUAAGAUUGGGCAAUUGGUCUAACUGCUAACCCCUAUUGUAGGUUGAUCAUUAUUUUUUCAAUUAUGUUCAGUUUGACCCAAAAAGUUACAGAAUCUUGAUCUGAAUAUUGUCACCGAACACCGUCAAUGUUGUUUAGCAUAGCCAACUAACUAAAGUUUGGUAAAACAAACACACAUUGUGUCUCAUGUCUCACAAUUCAAAUUAUCAUCUGUAAUGAUGGAGGAUUUUUCUAAUGUAUGAAGUAUGCUUUGAUACGUGGGUUAGCUUGGAGAAGAUAUCUCAAAAUAAAGAACAUGGGGAGCGAAUGGGAAGAAAACAGUUCAGUAGUUUAUUAUUCUGUAGUCAAGUUUUGUCUCAAAAAUGGUCAAAAUUUAAAUGAAUAAGGACAGCGGAUCUUCAUUCUUUUUCCCUUUUUUAUGCCAAGAUAUCUCUCAACCUUUAUAUAAUCCCCACUGGAUAUCUACUUCUAACAAUUAAAAUAAAAAUUUCACCCACACAAAUAAAUACUGACCAAGCUCUAACAAUAAAAAGUAACAUCUUUAGUCAGGUAACCUCUUUACAGUUCCUCAUCAUCUUAGUGUGAGACUAUCAGUACGUUCCAAAAACAUAAUAAAACUGGUUUGAUCCUGUUUAUUGAUGUUUAAAUGUUGUUCAUUGUGACAUGUAGAAAUGAUGAGGCGAAGUUUCUUUGGUCAUCAAUUGGUAAGAUCUUGUUUGAAGUUGUUUUCUGAAAUGAACUGCCAAAUGGUAAUUUUUUUGGGCAUAUGAUGGCUCCUUUUUCCUCAUUUUAAACAUGUGCCUGCAUGGAACGGGAAGGAUUAGGCUGCAGAGUUGUUAUAUAUUUUGACAUGCAAUGGUUAUUACACAAUUUGUUCACACUGGAAAUUAGAAUGAGAAAUUUGUUGAUGCUGUUUUGAGAGAUCCGCAUUCUAUGCGCAUUAACAUGAUUAAUGAAAACAGAUUAUAGGACUGGAAAGAUCUGUGGCGGCCUGAGCUCGCAGGAAGAAUUUCAAUGGUUAAUUCUCCCCGAGAGGUUAUUGGUUCCGUUUUGAAGUAUAUGGGAGCAUCGUACAAUUCAAACAAUAUUGAUUUGCAAGUUGCUGGUGGGAAGAUUUCUGUUCAGCAGAAUCUGGCAUUAUUGGCAAACCAGGUACUCUUAAAGAAAUGAUAUCUGGUCAUUGCAUGUUAUUGCCUGACAACUGAUUUUGUUUGUAAAGUCUGCUUCUUCAUACAUAUGAACGCAUAUGUUAGUGUUUUCCUCUCCUUUUCAUACAUAUGAAUGCAUUUGUUAGUGUUGUCUUUUCCUUUUCAUACAUAUUAAUACAUAUGUUGGCGUUCUCUCCUGAAGAAAUGGCAAGGGAUGUGAGAUUCUGUCUCAUUAAAUUAACAAAAACCCAAAACAAUGAAAACCCAUAAUAAUGUGGUGUGGGUAAAUUGGCGCCAUUUGGUUCGUUUCCUUAAUGUGAAUACGCGAGCAAUAGAGACUAACAAAAUGAAGUGACAACAAGAAGUCAGUGUCGUCUGAUGGAUGCAUUUUUAGGCAGAAAUAGGUUUGUAAUUGACCAAAUUUGUCUGGCAUGCCAAUUUCAAAAAAAUUAAAUCAUGUGAUUAUUAGCUGUAAUGAAGGGAGACAGUAGGUGCAAUCAGGUGGAUCCAGGAAAGUUCAACAAAGUUCUGGUAUGGCGUAGUGAAAUUGGUUGUCCAACUCAAGAGUCUUUCAGGUGAACGAUGAUGGGUUUUGAUUUAUAAAUGUUAUAAAUCUACUAUGAAUAGUAUUCUAGCAGAAUCAUCUGUAAGUUCUAGUUAUUGAAAUUGUCUACUUUGUCCAGUUUGAAUUAAGGGCAAAUGUAAUAUGAAAAAUAGUUGCCGCAUCUUUUAGGUUACCUAACAUUUGAUCAAUCCUAUUAUGUGGGCUUCAAGAUGUCUAACAAUAUGUAGAAUGCACAUGCUCCUACCCAUUGUUUAUCUUAUACAAUAAUUUGUUUUAGAUGCUAAUAUCUUUGUCGAUCCCGGUAUCAAUAUUACAAUAUCUGCGUUUAUUGGGUUUUACAUAGGUUCGACUGUUUGACAGUACACACUAUCUGAAGGCAUUUGGAAUUGGAGAUGUAUGGGUUGCUGUUGGGUGGAGUAGUGAUGUUCUUCCUGCUGUCAAACGUAUGUCUAAUGUUGCAGUUGUUGUUCCCAAGUCUGGCGCUAGCUUAUGGGCCGAUCUUUGGGUAUACCCAUGCCUGCCUUUCUACUUCGAUAUUCACAUUGUUAUCUCCUUCAUAUUAGUGAUCAGUAAACACGAUAAUGUGACUAAUAAGUUCGUAUCCUCUUUAUAGGCAGGCCCUGCUGCCUCAAGACUUGAAACAAAACAAAUUGGAGGGCGAGUCAGAGGUCCAUCUCCAUUAAUCCAUCAAUGGAUAGAAUUCUGCUUGCAAACAGCGAGAGCAUUGCCUUUCAAGCAAGAGGUUAUCCCGGGCGCAUCUCCCUCUGCCCUUGAGAGUACUCUGGUUAAGUUGCCUGAAGAACUUCUGAAGGGUAAACCAAGUCUGGAUACUAACUUAAUUGUUGGAGUACCCCCGGCUGAAAUUCUGGCCAGAUGUGAGUUUUUGGAGCCAUUAUCUGAAGCUACUUUGUCAGAUUAUGAGUGGCUGGUUGCUAAUCAGCAAAAACCUGCUCCUGUCUUGAUGAAAAGGGUGCAACAUUACUUGUCAUCAUUGAUCCAAAGCUUUCUAGCAAAAGCUACAUUGAAAAGUUAAUGGCACUGCAUGCCAGUGAUUAUAAUGCUUCAGGGCAAUUGGGUCAGGGCAAUUAGGUCAGAGCAUAACUUCAUUAGGAAAAGAGGCUUCAGCUACAUUAAAUAUUACAGGAUGUACUGAGAUGGCUGAAGUUCUUGAGGUUUUAUGAGAAAUGAAAGAUGAGUCUUUGUUUGAACAAAGUUGUUGCCAAUUUUGCAGAGUUCGAGAAGAAAGAUCACGGAGCGAAUGCCACCGAUUUCUUCAUCAUUGUAGCCUCCAUAGUUGAAGUUUCCUCAUUUGAAGCUGUUUAUGCAUUAAGCUUAUUCCCUGCUCAAGUACAGGAAACUGAAGAAUUAACCAGACAUGAUAUGCUGAAAGAGGGAAGUUUUCUUCCUUGAAUGUGGCCUUGUGAUUUGUAGUGAAGUAAUAGGAUGAUCACUAGCAAGAACCCUAUCAAGGUAGAUUUUAUAAUGUCAACAUAUUAUUAAGCAUUUGUCAAUUUAGCACUUUCGCAAUGAUACAUUCAUAGCCUGAAAUUAAUUAUAUGAUCCUGAUUAAUCAAUUAAUCUUCAUGAGAUUUAACCUAGUUAAAACUAAGUACAAUCAUCGUUAACAAAUACUGAAAUUGGGUAAAUAUGAUCUCGACAUUGAAGAAUUUGAAAACACAACCCACGGAGGAAAUUACCUGUUGCAUGGGGAUGGAGAUGGUUACUGCAGGGAUAUAAAAUAUGUGCAAGGUGUUGUCCACUGCUCUUUGGGUUAUGGUGUGACUUGCGAUUUCAAGGUUGCCCUGAAACAAUGGAAAAGAUUAACAUAUCCUCCAAUGAAUGAAAACGGCUUGUCUAAUUCUAAUUACCGAAUUGACUCAGAAUCAGGUGGCAAUAAUAACAGGUCAUUAGCAUUACACAGUCCGAGUACUUUUCCAGGAUCAGAUACAACGUGGUCUAAUGUUGAUAAUAAUAGUUUAUUAAAUGACAAAUCAUUGGUCUUGGGUGUUGGUUAUAUACGUCAUUACUACUUCAAGUAGAAGAUGAAGGUUGUGCAGGUGAUUUCAGAAAUAAAAUACAUUCUGAGAGAUGCUGGUCUACCAUUGCAUGCCCCCAGAUAUAAGAAUUUUUUGAUUGGGGCAUUUGGCAAGAUUCGACAAAUUCUAGAUUCAACCUCCUCCACCAAGGGAUUCCAACUGAGUUAUCAAUUAUCGUAGCAGUUCUAUUAACUAAAAUUAGCAAAUAUAAUAUAAGAAAAAGAACAAUAAAUACACACUGAAGUUGAAUUGAAAAUGAAGUUGCAAGUUGCCGCCCAUAGCUGCUGACUAAUAAUAAAACGAGACAAAUUAAUUAAACUCAGACCUCUUUGUAUAUGUUAUCCUAACUUUACUUACCCUUGUUUGUAAUUUUCACUUAACACUUGAUGCCUAAACCAUUAAAACCAAAUGACCAUAGGGGUAUUUAAAGUAUGUAAAAAUAAACAAAAACACGUAAAAAAAUUCAAACAAUUAAUAAUUACACUCUAAAUGCACCACUCAACUCUUAAUAAUAGCCAUACUCUAAAACAAUCUACAACCUUUGAGGGGAGUAGCUAUGAGGAAAAUCCUUUUCUCAGUGGAUUGCCAUUGCCCAAUAGUUGCAAUGAAAAGAGACCACCUGCAACUGUGCCGGAAGAUUCAACUAGCUCUGAAAAAGAUGAUAAUUUAAUUGAUAUGGACAGUUUCCAUAUCACUUUUAAAUCAUCUUAUGUAAUUGUGAUGUUAGUAAGCAUUAGUGAUCUAUAUGUGAACUAUUAUUGGCGCCAUUGGUGGUUUUAUCUUGUUAAAAUAUGGAUGACUUCCGGUUACUAUUUUGUAGUACACAAUUUUAUUCAAUUAACAUAUACCUUAAAACCAUUAUGUAUGUGCUUUAUUAAGAUUCUCAAGUACCAAUCACGUUUGCUUAAGAAAUAAAAUUUUACCAUUAAAAGCGUAGUAAUAUUUCCAAGCGCUUCGCAUUUAUCUCAACAUUUUGAAGGAAUUUCGAGAAAUACACGGGUCCAAAAGUCUAGUCAUCAUCCUUAUUCUUGGUAUGAGUUGAUUUUUAGUGAUUAUCUAAUUGACUGGGGUGACAACAAUAGCACAACGUAGAAUUCAAUAAUAGAAUUCUCCUGUUUAAUUUGUUUUAAGUUAAAUUAUUAAUUACUUAAAACUCUGUUUUAAGUCUUUAAUUUUAUGUCUUGGCGUAUAUGCAGAGUUGGAAUCUUGAGUGAGUUGGACAUGACCUACAAUGAGAGUGGCAGUAAACAAACAUUAGAACGUGUGGACUCCGGUGGCUGCCCUGCAAGUCUACAACUCUACAAGAAUAAUUUCUAGCCCCGUUGACUCCACUAACUAAAGUUUUUUAAAAUUUAAAAAGGUACAUAGAAUUCAACAACAAGCAAAACGUGUGGAAUUUAGUUUUUUGCCGUGUGGAACAAAAUACAAUUUAGCAAAAAAGGACAAGAAAAAUGGUAAGAUUUCUAAAAUGAGUGGAAGUUGAUCCAUAUUUUACUGAAACGACUUGCCCCGAACAUCACGACGAUUGAUUUUUUUUAUUUAUUUUUUGAAUAACAUCAACUUUCAUAUCUUUCUAACCCCCAGAAUAUGCUCACGUUCUAGUCUAUCUUGCUAAUUUAAAAAAAUAAAAUCAAAUCAACACCAAAACAAUGAAAAGUAAAGCUUUUGAAUUUCAACUCCAGCUAGCAAACGUAUUCAGCGUUUUCAAAUUCUUCCCAUUGCAUAUCUUCUUCCUCCAUCAAUGCAAUAUUUGAACGAUUAUGAAAGAAUUUAAGAACAUAAAAAAUCUCCUAGGUUUAUACGGUGUAACAAAUUUAAAUUCUCAAUUACAAUAGAUAAUAAUUAAACUAAUAAUUUUUUAUGUACUUAUUUUAGUAAUUUCACCUAAGAAUAAUAUUGUAAUUAGAAAAAAAAAAUCUAAUGAGUAGGGUGGUCUUAUACAAAAUCAACUGCAUACAUAUAUGCAGAUGCAGAUAAUAAUUUUUAAUUCCUUUUUUUAAUAAGAAAAUUGUGUAUUGAGAUGAAUAAGAUGUUUAAUUUAAUUAAUUUCCUUACUUUCGUAUACAUUGUCUUUCUAUCUAGAGAAAGCUUGGUGUUCAGAACGACAUGAAGUUGCGAGUUGUCGCCCAUGGCUGCUGAUUAAUAAUAAAACGAGACAAAUUAAUUGAACUCAGGCCCAUAUGUAUAUGUUAUCCUAACUUUACUUGCUCUUGUUUGUUAAUAUUCAUUCUUAGAGAGGUGAAAAAAAUUACAAGUCUUGAAUAACGAGGAGUUUAAUUGCCUCUAACUUUACUUGGCCAGGCCUUCUAUAAUCUCAUUAAUAAUACAGAGAAUUAAUUAUCUUUUUAUUAUUAAACCAUCUUCAGGAAGAUUUUCCUUAAUUUGCUCCAGAAGAGUUGGAGCUGUGGUUCUGAUAAACCAAAGAAUUAGUAGCAAUUAAUAUUAAUAUUUCGCCCAUGGCUGCUGAUUAAUAAUAAAACGAGACAAAUUAAUUAAACUCAGGAGCAUUUAAACCACUUCCUUAUCAAUUGCGGCAGCCGUCUAUUAACUAAAACGCCAAUCUAAUACAAGAAGAAAGAACAUUUACAGACUUGGCAAUUGAGUUCAUUAAGAAGUAGCAUCGCAUUCGGGUGAUGAGUUUCCUUUUGUUAAUGAUUUUAGUCUAAUUUCAAUUGUACUGUGACCGCUUCUCACUCAAGGUAAGUGAAAGUUACAGAUGUGGCAAAAUAAAUAAUUAAAUUAACAAAAUGCUAACUAAUUUUCCUAAAUACCUAGGGUUGUACAAUUUCACCAACCUGGAAGAAUUGACAUUAAUGGACCGGUCUCCUCCCCAUAUAAUUAUAAUCCUUCUAGAAAGCUAGUUUUUAUUAAAUAUUUGCUUUUAAGUUAAUUUCAAUUAAAAAAUGUUUUAAGUUAUAUAUACUCUAAUGAGAUUCUGAAUUCCUUUAUUCCAAUAAUAAUGAAAACGUAUUAAAUUAGAAAUGAAAAAAUUGGUGUUGAUGAUUCAACCUAUUUGGAUAGAUUACGUGAAUAAAAUUGAAAUUUUGAUUUAAUUUUUGUUUAUUGUUAAUUCUCAUGCUAUCUUAAUUUCAAGAAUUUAGAAUGUUAAUUUGGUCAUGGAUUUCAACCCGUGAGUAUCAUAUUCUAGACUUAAUGGUACCAUUCUUUGAUUGAGGGCAAUGACUCUCACUCCUCUUGUAAAAAAAUAUUUUCAACUAUUUUGAUGACUUAAAAAUUGAUAGAUUUAUUGUUGUCAUGACCAAAUUAUUCAUUUUAAUGAAAUAUAAUUAAUGCAUCAAAGUUACCAGGUUUAUGUUCUAUCUUACCUCUGUUUCAUUUUUUUUUUUUCAGUUAUCAGCUAUGCCCCUGAGGCAUUUUGUAGAGUAUAGCUUCUGCUUACCUCUGUUUCAUUUUUUUUAAUAAAAAAACAAGGGAAGGUUUUUCCGAGUCAUCCAUUAUUUGAUUUCCGUCAAUCAAGAAAACGACCAAAUUAAUUUCUCUCCAAAAUUUCCAAAAGCUAGAAAAUUUUGUUAUUUGAAAAUAACAUCAUUAAUUAUAGAGUGGAUCAAACCGCGUUAUUGUCUUUCAUAAAAUUGAUGUCUUUUUAAGAGUCAAUACUUUUGAUGUACGCAAACCAGUCGACAUCAACUUAAACUUCCAUAUUUUUAUUAUUAUGUUAUUUAUUUUAAUCCCCGAUUAUUUGAUUAGCCACUAUAUAUAUAUCAAGAAAGCGACAAAAUUUAUUUCUCAUGACUUCCAAAAACUAGAAAACAACAUCAUUUAUUAUUUUUUUGCAACCCUAAUUGACAUAAACUUUAACUUUAUUAUGUUAUUAUUUCAAUCCCCCAUUAUGACCUUUCUAAUCCUCCAUUAUGCAUCUUUUAUAGUGCAAAUUUAAUUGCACAUCUAAAUAAAUUGAUUAUUGUUACUCCACCACCAAUAUUUCAAGGAAAAUUCUAUGAUGCCGUGAUUAAAAUUACGGUAUUAAUGCCGUAGUUAUUAUGUACCGUUAGAUUAGAUCAACGGCACAUAAUAAUUAUAAUUAUAUAAAUUUUAUUUUUUCAACAGGUUACAACCCGGUUAACAUUUUUUUAUAAGUAAAAGUUAACCGAUUAAAAUUAAAAAUAAUUAUUAUAUUUUUUUAGAAAAUUAUUAUAACUGAUUUAUUUUAAAAUCGCUCAUUCACGUUAAUUAGGGAUUAUGAUAGGACCGAAGUAAAACUUCAGCCGAUUCAUAUUGAGAGGAAAAGAGCAACUGAGUCUUUCUCCACUACCAGUCUUUCUCCACUACCAACUCCACGUCAUCGCCGUUCCGCCGUUUUGUUUCAUCAUGUGUUGGGAAAGGGCAGAGGUUGUUUCCCAGUGGCCAACUCGAAGAAGCUAAAGUUCGUUAAAUUCCAAAACACAUAAUCCUUGCAAACUAGAACGGGCAAAGGCUAUCUUUGAAUUGUGCUUUUUUUUCCUGUUUUUCGAGCCAGACUGCCCACCAAGUUAGCCAAUUCUUGGUACUAAUUUUGUCUUUUAGUAUUGAUUUUUGGGGAAUUCCUUUUUUCACCUUGAUUUUCUUUUGAAUUGUUUUAUAUCUGCUUGAUUUUCUUUCUUUCACUCUUUUGUAUUCUUUGGUUUUCUUCAUCAAAAUUUACUAUUUUCACAUGUUAUCUUGAUUAUUUCCUGCUAAUUAAUUUUGUAUUGUAAAUAAUCUAUUUGUUGGACUUCCAGAGUGAGCAAGUUAAUUUGAUUUAAUUAGGUGCCUAUUAUAAUAGCUUUUCUGGUUUGUUGUAGGCAAUUCUAACUGUAUUCUAAAUAAACUUCCAUAUGAUUAGAUCUUGAUAAAUGCAAAGGAUAACAAUGUUAUAAGCCAUUGGCCUAAGAAAAUGUGUAAAUCCUCUAUUUGAGGUACAAAUUUUCUCUCAUAUGUUUUUUUUUUUAUUUUGUAUUUUUUCACAAAGAACUGGUUGUUAAGAUCCUAUUUCAUUAGUUGAAACUGAUUAAAAGGAGAUUACCCUUCGGCAGUUGGUGGGAAAGAUUUAAGUUCAUCUUUCUGGAUCUUCUACUUUAGACUUAUCAUUCAAGAAAGUGUCAAAACUCGAAUGGCUGUAAAACUUUGAACAGAUUAUUAAUUAAUUUAGGUGCAAGAUCUUUUAUAACACUUUAAUAAGUUAUUACCAUUGCAUUCUUUUUUUCUUUUCUUUGAGAAGAAACCAUUUAACUUUAGACUAACUUCCAAAUUUACCUUUGUAAUUUAGCUAAAUAGGUAAAUUUAUUCAAAAGUUGUCCUCCUCGCAAGCUUAAGGUAUUUCAACUUUGCCUACAACUACAAGUUAAAGAGAAAUUAUCGUGAAAACCAUGCCACGGCCGCAGUAUUUAAAAUGUGCACAAGGAGCUUAGAGAACUGGGCUUUGUUUGAUUACAUGAAAGGAAAUGGACAAAAUUUAUGUUACAAAAGAAGCUUGGAGCUGAUAAAUGAUGCAGUAUGAGUGAACUUUUUGUCGCUCUUUGAGGAAUUUUUCUACAAAUUUUGAUGUAGCUAUUAUUUUGGUGAAUGAUUUAUUCUUUUCUUUUUUCUUCAAUAUUAUGAUUUUGUUUCCAUAUUUUAAUAGAAAUUAUUAAAAUUCUAAGGAAAUUGCACUAUUUAUCUCAAGAAAGUGGCUUAAUUCUACAUAUAUGAGUAAUGUUUCCAUAAUUACAAGCAUAAUAGUGGCUUAACUCCAUAAUUCUACAUAUAUGACAUCAAACCCAACUCAUGCUCACCCUUAUAUCAUUCUAUCUAAAUCAUAAAAUGACAAUAAUCCAACUCUUUAACAAUUUUCACAUUGGAUUUAAGUUGAGGCAAUUGACCUAAACUAAAUAACCUAAAUUCCAAAUAAAUGUGAAAUAACACAAAAAAUUUCUAAACCACACGUAUGACUCGUAAAUUGAAGGUAAAACAUGUAAAUUAGCGUUAGAGUGGUAAAUUGGUCUACAAAAUUAAAAAAAAUAAAAAAUAGAAAAAAACUAGUAAAUUGAUAGAAAAUGUAGUAAAUAAAUGUUGGAGUUGUAAAUUAUAAGAAGAAAUUGUAAACAAAACAAAAACUUAGAAAAGUGACAUAGAACUUGUAAAUUGACAUUAAGUGUGAAAUGAAAAACAAAACUUUGUAAACCACAUAUAAAACUAGUAACUUGAUGGGAAAAUGGGAAAAUUAAUGUUGGAGUUGUAAAUUGUAAGAAGAACUUGUAAACAAAACAAAAACUUAGAAAAAUGACGUAGAACUUGUAAAUUGACAUUAAGUGUGAAAUGAAACAAAAUAUUUGUAAACCACACAUAAAACUAGUAAAUUAAUGGAAAAAUGGGUAAAUUAAUGUUGGACUUGUAAUUGGCAAGAAUAACUUGUAAACAAAAUAAAAACUUAGAAAAAUGACAUACAACUAGUAAAUUGACAUUACGUGUAAAAUGAAAUAAAAAACUGUGUAAAUCACACAUAAAACUAGUAAAUUGAUGGAAAAAAUGGUAAAUUAAUGUUGGAGUUGUAAAUUGCAAGAAGAACUUGUAAACAAAACAAAAACUUAGAAAAAUGACGUAAAACUUGUAAAUUGACAUUAAGUGUGAAAUGAAACAAAAAAUUUGUAAACCACACAUAAAACUAGUAAAUUAAUGAAAAAAAUGGUAAAUUAAUAUUGGAGUUGUAAUUUGCACGAAGAAGUUGUAAACAAAACAAAAACUUAGAAAAAUGACAUAGAACUUAUAAAUUGACAUUAAGUGUGAAAUGAAAUAAAAAAUUUGUAAACCACACAUAAAACUAGUAAAUUAAUGGAAAAAUAGGUAAAUUAAUGUUGGAGUUGUAAUUGGCAAGAAGAACUUGUAAACAAAACAAAAACUUAGAAAAAUGACAUACAACUAGUAAAUUGACAUUACGUGUGAAAUGAAACAAAAAAAAUGUGUAAAUCACACAUAAAACUAGUAAAUUGAUGGAAAAAGGGUAAAUUAAUGUUUGAGUUGUAAAUUGCAAGAAGAACUUGUAAACAAAAUAAAAACUUAGAAAAAUGACAUACAACUAGUAAAUUGACAUUACGUGUGAAAUGAAACAAAAAAAAUGUGUAAAUCACACAUAAAACUAGUAAAUUGAUGGAAAAAGGGUAAAUUAAUGUUGGAGUUGUAAAUUGCAAGAAGAACUUGUAAACAAAAUAAAAACUUAGAAAAAUGACGUAGAACUUGUAAAUUGACAUUAAGUGUGAAAUGAAACAAUAAAGUUGUAAACCACACAUAAAACUAGUAAAUUAAUGAAAAAAAUGGUAAAUUAAUGUUGGAGUUGUAAAUUGCAAUAAGAACUUGUAAACAAAACAAAAACUUAGAAAAAUGACGUAGAACUUGUAAAUUGACAUUAAGUGUGAAAUGAAACAAAAAAUUUGUAAACCACACAUAAAACUAGUAAAUUAAUGAAAAAAAUGGUAAAUUAAUAUUGGAGUUGUAAUUUGCACGAAGAAGUUGUAAACAAAACAAAAACUUAGAAAAAUGACAUACAACUUGUAAAUUGACAUUAAAUGUGAAAUGAAACAAAAAAUUUGUAAACCACACAUAAAACUAGUAAAUUAAUGGAAAAAUAGGUAAAUUAAUGUUGGAGUUGUAAUUGGCAAGAAGAACUUGUAAACAAAACAAAAACUUAGAAAAAUGACACACAACUAGUAAAUUGACAUUACGUGUGAAAUGAAACAAAAAAAAUGUGUAAAUCACACAUAAAACUAGUAAAUUGAUGGAAAAAGGGUAAAUUAAUGUUUGAGUUGUAAAUUGCAAGAAGAACUUGUAAACAAAAUAAAAACUUAGAAAAAUGACGUAGAACUUGUAAAUUGACAUUAAGUGUGAAAUGAAACAAAAAAUUUGUAAACCACACAUAAAACUAGUAAAUUAAUGAAAAAAAUGGUAAAUUAAUAUUGGAGUUGUAAUUUGCACGAAGAAGUUGUAAACAAAACAAAAACUUAGAAAAAUGACAUAGAACUUGUAAAUUGACAUUAAGUGUGAAAUGAAACAAAAAAUUUGUAAACCACACAUAAAACUAGUAAAUUAAUGAAAAAAAUGGUAAAUUAAUAUUGGAGUUGUAAUUUGCACGAAGAACUUGUAAACAAAACAAAAACUUAGAAAAAUGACGUUGAACUUGUAAAUUGACAUUAAGUGUGAAAUGAAACAAAAAAUUUGUAAACCACACAUAAAACUAGUAAAUUAAUGAAAAAAAUGGUAAAUUAAUAUUGGAGUUGUAAUUUGCACGAAGAAGUUGUAAACAAAACAAAAACUUAGAAAAAUGACAUAGAACUUGUAAAUUGACAUUAAGUGUGAAAUGAAACUAAAAAUUUGUAAACCACACAUAAAACUAGUAAAUUAAUGGAAAAAUAGGUAAAUUAAUGUUGGAGUUGUAAUUGGCAAGAAGAACUUGUAAACAAAACAAAAACUUAGAAAAAUGACAUACAACUAGUAAAUUGACAUUACGUGUGAAAUGAAACAAAAAAAAUGUGUAAAUCACACAUAAAACUAGUAAAUUGAUGGGAAAAGGGUAAAUUAAUGUUGGAGUUGUAAAUUGCAAGAAGAACUUGUAAACAAAAUAAAAACUUAGAAAAAUGACGUAGAACUUGUAAAUUGACAUUAAGUGUGAAAUGACACAAAAUAUUUUUAAACCACACAUAAAACUAGUAAAUUAAUGUUGGAGUUGUAAUUAGCACGAAGAAGUUGUAAACAAAACAAAAACUUAGAAAAAUGACAUAGAACUUGUAAAUUGACAUUAAGUGUGAAAUGAAACAAUAAAGUUGUAAACCACACAUAAAACUAGUAAAUUAAUGAAAAAAAUGGUAAAUUAAUGUUGGAGUUGUAAAUUGCAAGAACUUGUAAACAAAAUAAAAACUUAGAAAAAUGACGUAGAACCUGUAAAUUGACAUUAAGUGUGAAAUGAAACAAAAAAUUUGUAAACCACACAUAAAACUAGUAAAUUAAUGAAAAAAAUGGUAAAUUAAUAUUGGAGUUGUAAUUUGCACGAAGAAGUUUUAAACAAAACAAAAACUUAGAAAAAUGACAUACAACUAGUAAAUUGACAUUAAUUGUGAAAUGAAACAAAAAAUGUGUAAAUCGCACAUAAUACUAGUAAAUUGAUGGAAAAAUAGGUAAAUUAAUGAUGAAGUUGUAAUUGGCCAAAAGAACUUGUAAACAAAACAAAAAUUUUAAAAAAUGACAUAGAACUUGUAAAUUGACAUUAAGUGUGAAAUGAAACAAACAAUGCGUAAAUCACACAUAAAACUAGUAAAUUGAUGGAAAAAUGAAUAAAUUAAUGUUGGAGUUGUAAAUUGUAAGAAGAACUUGUAAACAAAACCAAAACUUAGAAAAAUGACAUAGAACUUGUAAAUUGACAUUAAGUGUGAAAUAAAACAAAAAAUUUGUAAACCACACAUACAACUAGUAAAUUAAUGGAAAAAUAGGUAAAUUAAUGUUAGAGUUUUAAAUUGUAAGAAGAACUUGUAAAUAAAACAAAAACUUGUAAAUGUUACAUAAAACUUGUAAAUCAACAUUAACUUGUAAAAGUUUCAUAAAACUUGUAAAUCACACAUAAAAUUAGUAAAUGUAACCUGGAACUUGAACAAAAAAGAGUAAUUACCUGCUAUUUAGGUAACAGGUUACCUAUUUAUUUAGAAUUAAUGGUAGAAAUCUUUUAUUCAAAUCUAACGGUCCACGUCCAUUACGGCAUCAAUGCCGUAAAUUUAGUUACGGCAUUAUAGAAUGACCCAUAUUUCAAAUAGUCACUAGACCAUUUCUGCCUUUAAUUUUCCCUUAAGUUUAACUAUUGACUGUUUUUAGCAUCUUAAAAUAUACAUUUAUUCCUUGAUUAUGUGAUAAAAUUAUGAAAAAAAUCCAUUUUAGCUUAAAUUAAUUGGAAUAACCAUAAACAUAACUUAAAUUAAUAGAACAAAAUUAUCAAGUGUAUGUUCUAUCUUACUUUUUGAAGAAUUUAACAUAUAUAAUGCUAUACUAUUAAUAAAUUCAUCAUUUAAUAUAUAUGUUCAAAUAUUUUAUAUAUUUAUUAAUUGUUAUAUAGUCAAAGGAUGAAUGAUUUUUCAGGUCUACAUGAGUUGGUGCAUCUGCAAGACUCAAUUUUGACAACAAUGAUCUAAGGGGUAAUUUACCUUGGUGUUUGACAAAUAUAACCUCUCUUCAAGAUUUACUUCCAAUCUACUUACUGUAAAUAUCUCCUCAUCUCCUCUCAUUUAUAUGAUAACCCUUGAAGAUCUCACAUUUUCAAACAAUCAUAUUAGGGUUUUUAUUAUUAACAUCAUUGUGUCAAUAAUAUAUGUUGCAGUAAGAUUUUUUCAGACCAAUUCCCUUCUUCAAAUAAUAAUGGAAAAGUAUUAAUUUAAAAAUAAAAUGAAUAUGCAUUGAUUAUAUCCUAAUUUUCAUCGAUUAUAGCGAGAGUUUCUCCAAAUCAACUCCCUUAUUCAAAAAAUACAGAAAAAAUAGUAAUUUAAUAGUAAAAUUAACAAGUGUUGAUUAUAUAUCCUAAGUUUCAUCGAUUAUGUGAUCAAAGUGGCAUUGUUGAUUUAUUUCUUGUUCAAUGUUAAUUUUUAGGUUAUCUAAAUUUCAAGGAUUUAAAAUCUUUGUUCAUGGAUUACACGCUUAUUAAUUUUUCUGCCAUUGACUGUCAUAUUCUAGACUUAAUCGUACCUUCCUUGAUCAAGGAUAAUUACUCUCUGUUCUCCUCUUAUAAAUUCCUCUUCCAUUAACAUCACUAGAAGUAUGUUGAUCUCUCAGACGUUAACUUCAGUGGAGAGUUUCCAAAUUGAUUGUUACAAAACAACACAAAAACUAGACACACUUGAUCUGUCUAAUAAUUCUCUUUCGGUAAAAUUAAUUAAUUUUAGGGGAAUAUUUGACCAACCUAUAUAAUUUUAGAUUGAUCAUUAAUUAAUUAGACGAAAAAAGUACUUGUGCUUUUGUGGCGACAAUUGAACCAGAGAAGUGAAGCUGUAAAGAUUUGGCAGUAGUAAUUAUAAUUUUUUCAAAAAACUUUUUUACAACACAGGCACCUGGCCAAAAAUUUUAUUUUUCUAACUAACAAUAAUUGAGUAGCUGACCGUAUUGACUCCACCUACUUGCUAAAGUAAAAAAAUAGAAAUAGAAUUUCCACAAAAUGUCAAACAUGUAAAAUCUAAUAUUUGGCCGUGUGGAACAAAAUACAAAUGAAAAAAAAUAGAAAAAAAGGCCUAAAGACUUUUAAAAUGUGUGGAAGUCUUUCGGCCCUUUUAUAAUGGUGUGUUUUUCAAAGGAACAAAUAAUAAUAAUGACACUUCUACGGUUUGUUUUGAUAAUCACACAUAUACUCUUUAAUUUGAUAAAUGGUUACACAAAUUUUGUUUACAAAAAUAUAUUAUUCAUGUUCUGUAUUAUUUUUUAACAUCAUAUUUUUAUUUAUUAUAAUUGUUUAAAGUUAAUUGUUAGGUUGAUAUAUAACAAAAACGUAUAAUCGUUCUCUUACUAAACAAACAUACUCGUAGUUUCUGUUCAUUUGUCAUCUCAAUCUCUCUCAUUUAUCCUUUAUUGAUAGCUCAAAACGCGUCACUGUGGAAAAUUAUAGCAAAAUGACAAAUAUGGAAAAAAUGGGAAGAAAAUUAAUGCAUGAAAGAGUUGUAGAAGACAACCAAAUAAGUCAACUAUACGCUAGCUGGGUGUAUAAAUUGUUAGAUGUGUUAUAAACAAAUAGCAUAGAGCCUUGGUUGGUUACAGAGAUAGAAAAAGUGUGUGUGUUUUUUAGAACUUAAAGAUACAGUUAGAAUGGGUGGUUCAAAAUCAAAAAUGGUGAUAAUGUUUGUUCUGUUAUUAAUAAUAUUUGAAGGUGGGUGGAGUGAGGGAUGUUUGGAUCAUGAGAGAUUUGCUCUAUUGCGACUCAAACAUUUCUUCAUUAAUCCUUAUAAUCUUCUUUACAACUGGGUAGAUGAUGAUGGAGCUACUGAUUGUUGUCAGUGGGAAAGGGUUGAGUGCAGCAACACCACAGGGCGAGUGAUAGCACUAGACCUUUUUGACGCGCAUGGGGGAGAGUACUGGUAUCUGAAUGCUUCUUUAUUUACUCCCUUUCAACAACUUGAGUCACUUGAUUUAAGUUGGAACAAUAUAGCCGGUUGUGUUGAGAAUGAAGGUGCUUCGUCUAAUUCAAUUAAAUUACAUUUCGCUCUCCAAAUUUAAGUCGAAUAUCAAGACUGAGCAGCUAUAUGCAUAUUCAUUCAAUUGACAAUUUUUACAUAUUUUGUAAAAUGUUUAAUUUUGAAAUUACACCAAACAUCAUAUGUGAUCUUUGUUUUGAUUUUACUUGCAGGUCUAGAAAGAUUGAGCAACUUGAAGAGGCUUGAUUUAAGUCAUAACUUGUUCAACAAUAGUAUCUUAUCAUCUGUGGCUCAUCUUUCAUCACUAACAUCAUUAGAUUUAUCUGAAAAUAGAUUGGAAGGAAGUAUUAAUGUUAAAGGUACGUAAUUAAAACGUCAUCGCUUUUCCCAACUCUUUCAUUAACAUGUUAAAAUAAGAUUCAAGGCUUUGAAUUCAAUUUUUUUUAUGAGUAAAUAUUAGAAAAAUAGUUUUAAGCAAUUCAUAAAUACAAUUUUCAAUGUUUCUCAUAAUUACUCUAACUGUGAAGCAAAUACCCCAUGACUAAUUUAUCAUUUUGUCCAGUUAAAAAUGAUAAAAUUUAUCAUUUGUUUAUAUUGAUUUAUUAACUCUAUUUUAAGUCUUAAGUCUUGGCGUCUUGGCAUGUUUGCAGAAUUUGAUUCCUCGAGCAACUUAGAGGAGUUGGACAUGAGCUACAAUGAAAUAGACAAUUUCGAGGUUCCUCAAGGUAAACAAUUAAAAUAUUAUUUAAUUACAUUAAUUUAAUUCGUUUGAUUAGGGAAGACCCAAAAUGUACAAAAACAUAAUUAAAAAAAUAAAGAAACAGAGAAUUCAUAUUAUUUCAAAAAACAAAAGGUAAUACUAUUAUUUCAAAAAAAGAAUGUAAUAAAGAUUUGAUUCCGGUUCUUUAAUCUUUAUAGCAAUUGAAAAACAAUGUUGCUCUUUUCCCAAAGCAUAAAAUACGAAUUGACUCCCAAUUAAAUUAAUCAUUUAUUUCGUUUAGGUCUAAAUUUAGAAAAAUGAUUUUUGAUUCUCUUCAAUCCUAUCCUUAUUAUUAUUGUUAAAUAGGUUACAGAGGUUUGAGGAAGUUGAAAAGCCUCUAUCUAUUGGAAGUUAAAAUUAGAGAUGGAAGCAAGUUGUUACAGUCAAUGGGAUCAUUCCCAUCCCUCAACACUCUUGACCUUUCGUGGAAUAAUUUUACCGAUAUAGCGACAACUACUACUCAAGGUAAGUAAAAGGUACAGAUGUGGCCAAAUUUAUAAACAAACUGUUAAUUAAUUAAUUUUUCCGUAUUAUUAAUUAAGCUAAAUUUGUUGCUUCUUCCUUCUAAAUCUAAACAGAGUUGCACAAUUUCACCAACUUGGAAUAUUUGACAUUGGACGAUUCCUCUCUCCAUAUAAGCCUUCUGCAAAGCAUUGCAUCAAUAUUCCCUUCGUUAAAAAAUUUGUCGAUGAUUGGUUGUGAAGUCAAUGGCGUCCUACGUGGUCAAGGUAAAAGAAAAGUGUUGAUUGUGAACUCGCUCAAUGGUGUCCUACGUGUUCAACAUUUUUAUUUAUUUAUUUUAUUGUUUAAUGUUUCUGCUAGGCUUUCCUCAUUCCAAGAGUUUGGAACAUUUGGAGAUGGAUGACGCGCGCAUUGCACUCAACACCAGCUUUCUUCAAAUCAUCGGAGAAUCAAUGUCUUCUCUUAAGUACUUAUCACUGUCAUAUUAUACUCUUAGCACUAACAGCAGCAGGAUUCUUGUUCGAGGUUAAUCAGAUGCUCCCACCCUCCCUUCUUAAUCUAUAAUAUUAAUUUUCAAUUAAAUAUUUAAUUACACAAACCAAUCACUUAUUAUAAAAGAACAAUACGCAUUCAUUAAUUUUUAUAUUGUAUUAAUAAUUGAUGAAUUUAAUAAAUUUUCAGGCCUCUGUUCGUUGAUGCAUCUGCAAGAGUUGUACAUUUAUAAUAAUGAUCUGAGAGGCAGCUUGCCUUGGUGCAUGGCAAAUAUGACAUCCCUCAGAAUAUUAGAUGUUUCUUCUAAUCAACUUACUGGAAGCAUCUCCUCAUCUCCCCUCGUUCAUUUGACAUCCAUUGAAGAGCUGUAUCUUUCAAACAAUCAUUUUCGGAUCCCAAUUUCACUUGAACCACUUUUCAAUCACUCAAGACUCAAGGUUUUUUGGGUUAAGAACAAUGAAAUAAAUGCAGAAAUAACUCAGUCACCUUCUUUUACCGCCCCAAACUUCCAAUUAUCACGUCUCUCAUUGUCUUCCGGUUAUGGAGACGGUGUCAUAUUCCCCAAAUUCCUUUACCAUCAACUUGGUUGUUGGAAAACAACACAAAAUUGAGACAACUUUCUCUCGUCAAUGAUUCUCUUGCAGGACCUUUUCGGUUGCCAAUUCAUUCACACAAGCGGUUAAGACUGUUGGAUAUAUCCAACAACAACAUCCGAGGCCACAUUCCAGUAAAAAUUGGAGAUGUUUUACCAAGUUUAUACGUUUUCAACAAUUCCAUGAAUGCUUUAGACGGUAGCAUUCCCUCUUCAUUUGGUAAUAUGAAAUUCCUCCAAAUUCUGGACUUAUCCAACAAUCACUUGACAGGUGAAAUCCCCGAGCACUUGGCCGUGGGUUGCGUCAACUUGCAGUCUCUUGCAUUAUCAAAUAACAACCUACAAGGUCAUUUGUUCUCUAGAAAUUUUAACUUGACAAACUUGAAAUGGUUACAAUUGGAGGGCAAUCGCUUCGUAGGUGAGAUCCCACAAAGUUUGUCUAAAUGCUCCUCACUAGAAGGAUUGUAUCUUAACAAUAAUAGUCUUUCGGGUAAGAUUCCACGAUGGUUGGGUAAUCUCACAUGGUUACAAUAUAUUAUAAUGCCCAAUAAUCAUCUUGAAGGCCCUAUUCCAGUGGAGUUUUGUCAGCUUGAUUCGCUUCAGAUUUUGGACAUUUCAGACAACAACAUAUCUGGAAGUCUACCAUCUUGUUUCCAUCCUCUCAAUAUCAAACAAGUUCAUCUUUCAAAAAAUAUGUUACAUGGACAGCUAAAAAGAGGUACAUUCUUUAAUUGCUCUUCCCUUGUGACAUUAGAUCUUAGUUAUAAUCGCUUGAAUGGCAGCAUUCCGGAUUGGAUUGAUGGGCUUUCUCGGUUAAGCCACCUUAUCUUAGGUCACAAUAAUCUUGAAGGUGAAGUGCCAGUUCAAUUGUGCGAAUUGAACCAACUACAAUUGUUAGAUCUUUCUAAUAAUAAUCUUCAUGGUCCUAUUCCUCCUUGCUUUGAUAACACCACACUUCAUGAAAGUUACAGCAAUAGUUCUAGUCCUGAUGAGCAAUUUGAAAUAUUUUUUUCCAACGAAAGCUCUCAGGGAAAUGUAGAAAAGCAAAUCCAUGAAAUUUUUGAGUUCACAACAAAGAACAUUGCGUACAUUUACCAAGGAAAAGUGCUUAGCCUCCUAUCAGGACUUGAUCUUUCUUGCAACAAGCUAAUCGGUCCUAUUCCUCCUCAAAUUGGAAAUUUGACAAGGAUUCAAACAUUGAAUCUAUCACACAACGACUUGACAGGAUUGAUCCCAUCAACAUUUUCAAACUUGAAGCAUGUCGAAAGUUUGGAUCUUUCCAACAACAAAUUGAAUGGGAAAAUCCCUCAUCAACUAGUGGAGUUAAAGACAUUGGAGGUUUUCAGUGUGGCAUACAAUAACUUAUCAGGCGAAAUUCCAGAAUGGAAAGCACAAUUUGCAACCUUCAACGAGAGUAGCUAUGAGGGAAAUACUUUUCUUUGUGGAUUGCCAUUGCCCAUUUGCAGAUCACCAGCAACUAUGUCGGAGGCUUCAAUUGGCAAUGAACGAGAUGAUAAUUUAAUUGACAUGAACAGUUUCUUUAUCACAUUUACAACAUCAUACGUAAUUGUGAUAUUCGGAAUUGUUAUUGUUUUAUAUGUAAAUCCUUAUUGGCGACGUAGAUGGUUUUACUUUGUUGAAAUGUGGAUAACUUCAUGUUACUAUUUUGUUGUAGACAAUCUUAUUCCAACAAGAUUUUGUCAUUGAAAUUAAUUAGUAGCUUAAUUACGAUUCUUUAAGUACUAAUCAAGUUUGCUUAGGAAAUAUUUUUUUAUUAAAAUUGUAGUAGUAUUUAGCAUUAUAUAGCUUCCAACUUCCAAGCACUUCACAUUUUUCUCUACACUUAAAAAACUGAGUGAUCAUGUUUUGCAGAUCUGGAUUUGGAGCAGGAUGGAUCCAAACCCAUAUCUGUCCACCAUAACUUAUAGCUUCCCUAUACUGUGCAGCAUACUUAAAUAAGAGAACCAUCUCCAAUGUUAAAAGCAUUCACUCUAUAACAUUCAUUUAGAAACUAUAUUCAGAAUAAUUUUAUAAUUAAACACAAGAAAUGAAACACACAGAUACACUUGAUCGCCUAUUUUACUCUAAAAAAGAACGAUUAUUGUGCUAUCAUCAUCUUCUUCACUAGCAACAUUAACACCAAAUCGAUGGACCCAUACAUUUCAUCAAGAAAGGUAUAUAUCCAAUAAAGUUGAAGCCUAACAAAAAAUUCAAGAAGAUUAAUGCCUCGCCACAACAAGGGGCACAACAACAUCAAAGUAGAGAUUAAGCAGUAUUCUCAAAGCUAAAACUCUCAAAUCCACCCACCAGAAUUUCAUAUCUCCUCAACAAUUUUAAGAACUAAAGAUAAUUAGGAUUUAACAUUAGUUUUUUAUAUAUUAGUUUCAUAAUUUACAAAUCAAUGAAGAUGAAGAUUAUGCUAAUAAAUUCAAAUUAUACCAUACAUUCUCUAGAUGUUACCAAAAAUUUCUAAGUCAAUCCCACAUAUUUCAUAAUUUUAAGACUAGAAAAUUUCACUAGUUAGAAGUUUCAUUACCUUCAAGUGGAAGAUGAAGAACAUUAUACAAGUGAUUCAGAUUAUAUCAUACAUACUCCAAAUGCAACUAGAAAUUAACAAGUUCAUGCGCACAUAUUUCAUAACAGUAAAAAUUUGUUGCUCAACAUGAUGUGUAUUUUUUUUCAAGGCAAUUUGGAAACACAAUUGUUUCUACAGAUAUUCUUCUCAACUUGGAGAUAAAUACAAAUAUUAAAAUGCAUAUGAUCGCACAUAUUACUUCGAGUUUAGUAAGAUUUCAUUAAAAGAAGCAAUCAAACCACUUAUCAAUUGUCGCAGUCGUUCUAUAAACUAAAAUAGCAAUAUAAUACAAGAAAAAGAACAUAUAGAUACUUGGCAAGAGUUCAUUAAGAAGUCGCAUCACAUUCGGGUGAGGAGUUUUCUGAUAUCUUGCUAGCUGGGGCUUUUUCUUGUCUUUCUACGUAUGCCGAGGGAAACCAACCAGCUUGGCCCUUGCAUUCACCUUCCGACCAUCCAGUAGGAGCCACCUUGAGAAGUUAUAACUAAAACGGUGAAUUAAACAAAAGUUAAUCGUUCAAAGACCUAAGGGGAAAACUAAUUCUUUUACGUAGGAGGAGUGAAUUAGUUGUGAUCACUGAAAUAACAGCAUAACUAUAGAAGCAUAACAAGAUAUAAAUUCACAUGUCUAUAAGGGUAAACUGGGUGGUUUAGAACCGAGCUAGCAGCCCUACUAUAUUCUGAUUUGCACUUCAAUGUAAAAGGGAAUAUAUGGUAGGAAGAAAGAAAACCAACCAUCAUUUGUUAACUCGUUGCUUUUCAAUCAAAAUUUUAAGAAAAAAAUGCCAUGUGCUUUGAACAUCAAAUAAGUAUAAGCAUUAGUUCUAAAUUCCACAUAUCAUAAGUUGUUAGAAGGAUAAGUUAAUAGCAGAGUAGAAAAAUCUAUGUGUUGGUAUUUAGAGGGGAAAGUACCUGGCGAACCACAACAUAAUCAUCAAUUGAAAGACUUAGCUUUCCAUUUGCUUGAGCAUCAAAUGGAUGUAUAACCUGCAAGAUAAUGGGAUAAAUAGAACUUAAAAAAAGCAUAACAAAAGUAGCAACAGUAGCAGCAACGUUCAUUGUAACCACUAUGAUCAUGGCCAACAAAGAUAUAUUAGAAACAAAAUUCCAUUUUUACUACGACAUUAAUAUGUACUAUACGAUAUCAUGACGAUUGGGUUACUAAGAGCUAUCAAAGUCUAAUAAGUUCUGUAUAACUUUAUGUAGUUAUUUAAAUUAUGGAUCAGAUUUUAAAUUUGAAAUUUUGACUGCUCUCCACAAAACAUGGCCUAUGCACAAGAAAGUCAUAGAUAAUGAGGAUUACAAGUGUCCGACAUCUUUUGAGUGAUGGAUUUAACAUGAGAGCUUAUGGUCAGUCAAUUUCCUCUGCCUAGCAAUAUAAGCUUUCUCGGCCAGAUUUAUCUUCAAAUACAUAGAUUGCCCCCAAGUCACAUCCAUAUAAACAUAGUUUUUCUAGGUAAACCAAGUAAGGAGUAUCAUAAUUCAGACAUAAUCAUAAAAAGGCCCAUCUAACUUAAGAGAAAAUCUCAAAAAGAGGGAUGCUGAGCUAUCAGUCUUGUAUCUAUAAGCAAUAUCAAGACUUUACAUCACCUGCUACAUCGUGAGUGGCUACACAACUUUCAGUGGUUUGUCUUUCUUUGGCAUGCCUAACUCAGCUUUGAUGUUGCUGAGAUAUUGAUAGUAGAGACACAUGAUACUUCUAGCUCAUGCAUUCUAUCUAACUCAUCCAACAACUAUCUCUUUUUUAAUUCAUUAGUGUUUGCUAAACCUCAUGCUUAAAAGUCCUGUUCUCCUAAACAAAGUUUCCUAAGAAUGACUUCCUUAGCACCACAUUUGGACACUUUUAGAGCAAUUUUAUUUGGGGGAAAAGAAUUUUCAAGGUGUUAACUAAUAAAUUUUUAAAAAAUAAUUACAAUUUGUCCUACGAUCAUAUGACAAUUUAUCUGGGAUGAAAGGAUACAGAUAGACAUCUUCCACUUUCAAGACUAAUCACUACUUCCGUAGAUGUUGUGCAAUAAUACAAAUACUUGACCAGAUGGUAGUAAUGGUAGAAAAAAAUUUUAUUGCUCCAAAAUUAAAAUAAGAAUGCAAUAUGUUAAGCAAAAGGCUGUGCAACAUCAAAUUAAUUGAUAAGUUUGUAAUUCAGUAAAUUAACAACUUUCAUGGUAAAAUACAACAAAUUUCUUUUGAAAAAAAUAAAAAAAAUAAAUCUUAAAAGACAGCAUUCAAUUUUGUGCGCAUCUUAUUUCUUAAGAUUUUUCAGGAGGAGGGCAAUAGAGGGACUUUCACCUAUGCAAGAGAGCAGAAGCCUUACUUUCCCUAUAAAGUAGACGUCAUUCUGAUUAAUAUGCGUUUGCAAAUCAGCUCCGUUUGAAUCAGUAUUCUGAUAGACACACGAGGCAUUUACAUCCAUUUCCAAAGUCACAUGUUGCGAGGAGGACUCAUUUGAUUGCUCCUAUACGAUCAUCUAAUUCAAGUAGCAAGGGUUGGAAGAGAAUAAAAAGUCACAAUUAUUCUUUUGCAUAAGUGAGACGAAAAUGAUAAAUGCAAUAUUAUCAGCAGUAAACAAGAAGAGAACGCUCCAAGAAAUAGAUAGAUGCAGACAAGCAAGUUAAAAUGCAUAGUCCCAAACCUCCGCAUACAACUUCUCUAAAGUAGCAAUAACGUGUUGAUGCUAUGUUUUCUCAGCAUCUACCUGCAAAGGCCCGAGACCAGGAAAACAACAAUAAAACCACUAGCUGAAGGAGAAAGCAAAGAAAGAAAUACACUUGACAUAAAUCUUGACAAGAAGCACAAUUUAAGACAUAACAAACCCCAAUCAUAUUGUUUAGAACUACCAUUCGUUAUUUCGUUAUUGUAACAUUUCGAACAAGUGUUGACUUAAUUCAACAUUGUUGGAAAGAUAGGCUUUUAGAAGCAGAAGAAAGCCUCUCAAACCAAAGUGCUUGUCCUUGUAUUGAUCAAGGGAUGUAAACAUAUUACAUUUGCAGGAUGAGAUUUAAUCACUCCCCUGAUUUAUUUGGGUUGCAAUAAAACUAAGCGAGCAACUGUUUGACUUUCAAGCAACAACUAAAUCAGCUAUUAAAAUUCAAAUAAAAUCAUAAUAGAAUAAUAACAGGCCAUCUUGCAUCAAAAAUUAAGUUUAAUUUGUGAAUUUUUUUCUAUAGACAUGUCAGUUUCUGCUAUUGAAAUGUUAAAAGUAUUGAAAAAUUAUUCAAUAAAUUAUGCAAGCAUUAAAAUAGAGGAAAAAUUAAAAAGUUUCUAAUUACAAUGUUAAUAUUUCCUAUAUUUUAGCAUUUGCAUAUUUUAAUUUAUUUAAAAGCUACGUCGAUCAACUUUGGGCAUGAAGAUUUUAGAUUCUACGAGACUUGAUUGGAAUAUGCAUAAGAGUGUUAAAAUAUGAUGCAUCCAACGAAAGACAAACCACGUGUAGUCUUUUAAUUAAGCCAAAGUAGCAGCUCAAACAAAUGACACUUGGACCAACAUGCAAUCAUGAAGUGGCCGGAAAAAGGACAAAUGCUACUUUGGCUUAAAUAAAAAAUAACAUGUGACUUGACUUUUGCUGGACAUGCAUCAUGUUAUUACAAGACAACAGAAAUCAGUAUGAUAGUAAUAAAAGUUGACAAUAACAUGAAGAUAAGAGGCAGAAUGUCAACACAUGCAUAGGCACACACAAGAAAGUAUUAACAUAUAUACCAUAGCAAAAACUCUUUGAUAUGUCAUCUGUUGCUGCUGUGAUUCAACUGACAGCAUGGCAGCUGUCGCUUCUCUACCAAGAGCCAUUAUUGUAGAUUUAAGCUCGGUCAAUCUUGCUUCUGCAUUUCGAAGCUUCACAGCACUCUCUGCUGAUAUAUCAGAUUCCCUAAUCUUUGAUCGGUGCCUAAAUACUUCAGCUGCCUGGUGAAAAUAUUCAAUAUAAAUCUAAUAUAAUUCUCAUCUUGCCUUAUACAUGCAUAUGUUACCUCAAAGCUUACCUGGGCUUCAACUUCAUGUCGAAGUUUGUCAUAACGAUGAGUCAGGUGUUGAGCAUCUUCCAAAGGUGCUCUGUUGAUUAACGCCCGUAGUGGCUCAGAUACCUACAUGUCCAAAAACCUGUAACAUAGUUAGAAAAAUGAAAAGAAAGAGCGAAACCUAAAUUAAAAAGUUCCUCCAACAUAAUCAUGGAAUUUGGGCCUACUUUAAGAAUAUAUAUAAGGAUAAUUUAUGCAAUUUUGGGUCUUAGGAUGAUUGGUAUUAGGUUAGUGUUCUUCUCUUCUGUAUUUAAGGUUAAAAUAGAAAUAAACCUAUGCAAAUAUCUAAAUUAGGCCUGUAAGACAUCCACAUGCAUCCUUCAGUCUCAUGGAUUUGAUUUUACUAUAGAUGCAAGUGUCUUUAUCGAAAAUGCUUGGAGUCAAUUGAGAGAACUCAUGGCCAAUAACUUGUCACACGCUAGUCUUUGCUAGUGAUGUAAGAAGUCACAAGGUCUCUUCAACAUUUGAACCAAUAAAAUUAUUAAGUCAUGGAUGUCACUAGCAAUGAUUUUAAUAUAAAACAUUAAAUAUUUCAGAGUUGUAACUUUAAAAUGGAUUCUUUUAUUCAAUAUCAUAGAACUAAGUUUCCUUAUGAGAAGAUAAUAGUUUCGAUAAUAAUUUUACAUAUAAUUUUCUAUAUUUGAAUUAUUUUCUAGUUAGGGAUGAACUAACCUGAUCACGAAGAAUCCCGAGCAAAGUUUCCCUCUCAUUUUCCAUCAAAUCAUGUGAAGUGCCAAAUUGAAGAGCAGCUCUUGCAACGCAAGAAUUGUCACUUUGAUUCUCUGCUCCAUACUUGCAACAAUCUUCAGCCAACUUUCUCGCUACACUAUUUGAAUACAAAAAUAUUGUACACAAGAACUAUAAAAAACGAAUGAAAAAUAAAUAAAAUCGAGAAAUUUCACUAAUUAAAAGUCUAAAUAUAAUUUUUGAAAAAAGAAAAGAAACGGACUUGCUGCUGCUUGGCGACUUGUUCUCGGAGCUUGAUUGCCUGUUUCUUGAUAGUUUCCAUACUGUUUCUUUCAAAAAGCGACGACGGCUCAGCUCAUGGAAGUGGAAAAAAAAAAGUGUGAUCUAGAAAAAUGAAAAGGCGUGAAUAAUUUUUGACAAAAAGCGAAAAUCAAGGAAAGCCGGCUCUUUCCAGAAAAUAAAAAAAAGAAAAUCAUAAGUUUGAAAGGAGAAGAUGAUAGUGGAAGUAUGCGGUGUGGCUGCCAGGUACUUGGAUUGUAUUGUCGGGUAAGGUAAUAGUAGCGAAUUAUAAGUUUGAACAGAGCAUGUUGGACUUUUGUUGACCAAAUUCAAAAGCCCAAUGGCACGGCCCGGAAGCUUUUGAAUAGAAAAACUUGCUAGAAAGCAUCAGUUUAAAUCACUACUUAAACGCUUGCUUUAACUGCACCGCUUUGUACUGUUUUAUGUAUGUAGCGGUUGUGUGGUUGUAAUUCACGGCUGACGCUAUGUGUUUGUUUGUACUGUUCUAUUCGGUGAUUGGGUAUUAUUAGUUAGGCCAAAACUAUGUUGCAAUAGUGGUAUUUCAGUCAUUGAAUCUAUAGUUGUACAGUUACAUUAAUAAGAUCUAAUGGCUGAAAGCAACAGUGGUACCGUACCACUGUUGCAAUAUAACUGGACCCUAUUAGUUAUUUCAAAGGGAUAAAUAAGAUUGCUUACAACAAACCUACUAAUUUUAUAAAAUUCAAGUAAUAUAGAAUAAAUUAAAAAAAUAAAUACAAAAUUGACUUUUAUUUUUUAUGGUUGACUAUAUUUUGUGUUCUCUCUGCUACAAUUCUUCCCUAUAUAUCAAUUACACCACAUACUAUCGACACAAGAAAUGAAAUCUAAUAUCACCCGUUUAGUUAAAAAAUCACUCAUGAAAAAAUUUUACCAUUUUGAUUUGAGGAUCCAUAUUUUAAACUGCAAGCUAAUGUUCAUCAAGAAUUACUGAUGGCCGUUGAGUAGAAAAAUUAUUUUUGGACAAAUUAUUUUUGUUGAUAGAAGAAUUUCUUUAGGGACUACUAAAUUAUUAAUAAAAAUGUCGAACACACCCACAUAUCAUCGACACAAUUGAUUUUGAGGAUCCAUGCUUUGAACUGCAGCCUAAUGUUCAUCAAGAAUAGAGUAUGGCUUGUGAGUAGAAAAUUUUCUUAUUUUGGCCCGAAAUAAAAAGAAAUUAAAUUGGAUGAGAAUCUGCCACUUUCUCAUGAAGAAAGGCAUACGGAGCAUACCAUGGUACCAUACAAUAUAAGGAGCCUCUAUUCUUUGGUUUUUCAAACUCUGAACGGGCCAAUAUUGCCAAAUUCCCCCUUGAAAAUUCUGAUUACGACAUUAUUCAUCGCUUGAUGCAAUCAAAGUAGUGACAAAGUUAGGAAAAAUAUGAGUCCUAAGUAAUUGCUAGGCAGGGUUCCUGAGAGCAAAAUUGUCCUAAGCAUUAUAUGCAUACAUGGUGCGGUACAUAGAGCACGUUAAAUUCCCCACUAUAUCACAAACCCAGAAAGACAAGUAAUAACUCAACUGAUAUAAAGACAAAAAGAAGAUAAAAUGAUAUAGAAAAAAGAAUUUCAAAGAGACAGCAACAUACGAUAGACUGAAGCCACUUGAUCUGCUCAUUGAUUGCAGCCUUAAACUUGCAAAUAGUUACUGUACGCUAGUGCUCUAAGAAGUGAAAAUGAUGCCAGCCCUGAUUCCCUUUUGACUUCCAUUUACUGUCAAACAUUCUAGUAAUACAAAAAAUUGUUUAGAUAUCUUGCUAUAAAUAUAGCCGUUUGACUGUCAUAAUAAAGUCACAAAUAACCAUUCAUAUUGAUCUACUGUCACACAGCAUGCUUUAUGCAUACAACAGCUGUAUGUAUACCAACUCCUAACCUUAUCAAUACAUUUGGCAAAAACUUAAGAAGAAAGCUAUUUCUCCAUCUCUUUUUUGAAAUUUCACAAUAACCAGCACAAUGUGAAAGCUAUGUUCUAACCUUAUGAUAAAUGCUCUAGACUCCAAAAGGAUUUUAUAUAUGAGAGUUUGUUGCAGCAGAUAUAUUGACUUAUCAAGUAUGAAUCAUUGUCUGGAUGAACUAUCUUUAGAUAAAAGAAUAUUAGAACCACUGUAGAAUAUCUUUACGCUGCUGGUUCUAACAGGAAUCUGCAUGUGGCAACAAUUGCUAGAUCCACAAUUCCCCAACUUGAAAUACAUAGUUGCACACCAUGAGAUAGUGCUACAAUCUACUGAGAUCUAACUUAUAUGGUACUUUAAGCUACUAAUGUUUGCAUAUUUCUACAUGUUAAAUUAACACUAUUAUCUAUAAUCACUCCAAAACAACAAAUGAUAAGCAGCUUUUGGCCACUUAGUACUAGCAUCCACAAUUAUAAAUAAGAGAUCAUGGGUUUACUUGUUGCACCUACUUAAUUAUCUGCAGUUGACAUCCUGACGCAAGGUUUAAAUAGUGACUGCUUAGAACCCUUGUAGUUGGAUCUUGACCUCUCCCAUUGUAGCCAAGAUUGGUUACUCUGGUAAUGAAUCAACACUCUCCUGCUCAGGGCCAUGAAGAUCUGAAAGCUCAGCACUAGUGGAGAACUUCAUCAAUCUCUUCUUCUCAGCAUACUUGAGACAAGGCUGCCUUACGAGACCAAUCACCACAGCACCAACGCUUAAAACUGCAACUUUUAAAGAAGAAAGAGCCAACACAACACAACACAAAUCAAUAUGGUUGGAGGAAUACACAUGAUAAUGGCUCCAACAGUGACAGUGGGUAUCUUGUAGGGACGAGAUGCAGCAGGAUAUUGCAUCCUUAACCAUACAAAUGCUAUGAACUCCAUAAUCAUUCCAAAACAGUACAGGAAGUUCUCUGCAGCUACAAUAUCUCAAAAGCUCAGCCAUGAUAGCAAAACCACACCAGAUGCUGAGAAUAUGAUUCCAAUCAAAGGAGUCCCAUAACAAGACCUCUUAGCAAAAAACUCAGGUAGCAUUCCACGCUCAGCCAUCCCCAAAAGUUGGAAAGAGUCGCUGCUCAUCUCAGCCACAAACAUGCCCAUAUUGGACAUUGCUGCAGCCCCCUGGAUGCACCAUCUCAACCAAACUCCUCCAAGCACUUUAGCGAUAUCUGAAAAGUAACCAUUGGUCCACAAGUCGCGAUCUAAUGGAAUAGCUCCAGUUCCAAGUAGAAGGGGAAAGAAAUAUCCAAAAACGACCAAGAUCAAAGCAUAAAACAAAGCCUUUGGAAGAGUCUUCUUUGGGUUAUCCACCUCUCCAGCUAGUGUACUUAUUGAGUCCCAGUAGUUGGAGAUUCCAAAACAGGGUGUUCAAAUACAAAUUCCAGUCCACUUCACCUAAAUUUACUACAAGCCAUCUUGAAGGCUCUAACUUGGGAAGGGACACAAGUCCCAUAACCACAAAAGGAAGGAAUGAGAAAAUCCCUAAAAGAACAGCAGCCCAUCCCACAAUGGUUAGACCCCUAUAGUUCAUGAAAGUGAGAACAAAAGUCAAAGCUAACGCCGCAAAGGCUCUAGGUAACCCAUCGCCCAAAGCAGGGAUACCAGACUUCAAGUAGUCAAGAAACAGAACUGGGUAUAAAGCAUUAUCAAUAACCCCACUUAGCCACUUCAUCCAAACUUGCUGAAAACCCCAAUAUGGGCCUAAGGCAGAUGAAACCCAAACCAUAUAACCACAAUUUUCAGGAAACACGGUACCCAUCUCGGCAGUAAUUAAAGCUUCAGGGACACUCCAUAUAAUCGGAAACACCAAGAAACCAAGAAGUGCUAAAAGAGGACCAGCUGCCUUUACACUAUCCUCAACACCAAACGGCCCCCCAGAAACCUCAUAGAAUAUAAGGAAAAUAAGUGGCAAGAUUGAUACUUUUUAGCGCCAUGGACUCUAGGAGAAGAUGGUUGGUCAUUGAUAUUAACAUAUUCAACAGCAUCAGACUGCCCCAUUUCUACUGAAAGUUGCCUAUUCACAGUGUUCCUCAAUUUCUGCAUCAAGUUUAAGCAUAACUAUCAAAAGGGUAUCGGCAUCUAAAUUAUGAAACAAAAUGAGCAUUUACUUAUUAAAAAAAAUCAAAAAAACAGAAAUGGAUUUCACAGAAUACAUGAAUUUAAGUUCAACAUUAAACAGGCGCUUAAGAAAACAAAAGGGUCUGUUCGUAAAGCCAUCAGAUUGCAAGAUUGAACAACAUUAACGGAAUCAAUAGAAUAGAUGUAAAGAGAUCUGAAAAGAAAAUAAAAUAAAAGAUGAAGAGAGAUAAAACGAACCAUCAAAUAAGUGCAUGCAGAGCAGAGAGGCAGAUACUAGAGAAGCUCCGUCGUGUUAGAGUAGGGGUGGCAAUAUGGGUCAGGAUUCGUUUAUUCGAUUCGAUUCGAUACGAAUUAAAUGGGUUUGGGUUUGAAAAAAUUAAUUCGUUUAAUAAAUGGAUGAAUUCGAUUCGAUUCGUUAAUUAAACGAAUCGAAUGCGGGUUUGAAAAUUUAGAUUCGUUUAUUCGUUUAAAAUUCGUUUAAUAAAUGGGUCAUAAACGAAUAGAAUACGGGUCGAUUCGUUUAAAAUUCGUUUAUUAUUUGUUUAAUUAAAUUACUUUUUUAUCCUUAAAUUUAUUUGAAAGCUUUUUAAAAUUUGAAGGUUAAUAUUGUAAUUUUAAGUAAAUAACAAAAAAAAAAAAAACAAAGUAGCGGAAACCUAAAGCUAAAUCCCUAAAAAUUCUCCCUUCACUCAGCCGCCGCUCUCGUUGCUCUCUAGUCUCUACCUCUCUCACACGAAUCACACUCACCCACCCAUACCAAGUGAAGCAAUCAAGCAACAAAAACAGCCGCCGGUAGCCACUGUCAUUAACUCACAGCGAACCGACGAUUACAACCACCAUCGUUCAUCCAUCAUCGAUUGAGCUUGAGGGACGCAGCCACGCGAGUGCAGCCCGCAACUCGGCAGCAACCCAGGAGCAUCAGCCGCGCAACGUAUUAGCAGCCACUCGAACCCACAGCAGUAGCUAACUCGUGCGGCGGUGCAGCAGCAGCAAACCCAGGCGAGCGCGACCCGAACCAGUGCCCAGGUUCUGAGUGAGUUCCUCGUUUAGGAAGAUCGCUUUUAAUCUUUUUGUAGUUACUUUGAUUUUAAGUAACAUAGACGAUGAACCCAACAGAGAAGCUGCAACGAGCUAUCCAUUUUUGAAGCGGCUUCUGUGGCUCUGCGUAAAGAGCUAAUUAACCAGCUGCAUCUUGGACCAAGAGAUAUAAAUGAAUAUAUUUUUCUUUUGCGCAGUACGAAGCAGUAAUUAAGUUGUUCUCUAGGAAAUCAAUCCAUAAUCAAGGUUUUAAUGCUAUUAAUGAUAUACAGUAUGUUCUUCUUUAGAUUUUAUAAGUGUAUAACACCUCCUUUGACAUAAUAUAUAUUGAUGUAGACCUCUCGGAGUCAGAUGGAUGAUUUGCCCAGGCCGGCUGCUUUCUGCAAGACAAUGCCAAAAAAAAAAAAAACCUUUUGCUCGCAGUUUAUGUGUUUUAUCCACAUUUGACAGGGCAUUUUGUAAUUUAUUUGAGCAUUAAUUAUGCCAAGUUUCAGUUCUGUUCUCAUUUUUCUUGGACUCGUAACAGCAAUCAGCAUCAGGAAGAUGCAAGGUAGGUUUAAGUGCUUAUUUAAUUAAUUCCCAAGCGAUCCGAAUCAACAAGCCAUCACCAACUCAGGGUAAUAUCAUGAGAUUAUGGUUGAAUUAUUGAGAAAUUUUGUAUUGUAGAAUAUUAUGAGAUUAUGGUUUAGAAAAUGUUUUGUAUUGUUCGGAAAAUAUUAUGAAAUUAUGUAUAAAUUGAUUAUGGUGUUAAAAAUUAUCUGUAGGAUAAGGAAGAAGCCCCCACAAAUAUUGGAUUAAUUUUUUUUUAGUAUUAAAAUUUAUAAUUUAUUAUGUUGUAUUGUUAAUAUUUUGUGUAUUGGAAUAUUGUGCAUUAGGAAUAUUGCUGGGUUAGAAUUUGGCAUACAUGAUGAAUAGAUUUGAUUUUUGAAAUAUUGUUAGGUAAAGUUUUUAUCUUGUUCAAUUAUCAUUUCCUUGAAAAUGCUACAAAUUUGCUAUAUAUUUGAUUUUUGAAAUUUUACAAUGACUAUUAUCAAUAUUGCAGCAUGUUAAUAACAUUUUAUUUACUUUUUGGUGUAGGAUUUUUGUUUUCAAGGUGACAAAGACAAAUGAAGAGAAUUAAAGAAAUUACAUUUCUUUAUAAUUUGAAUUUGAAUUAUUGUUAUUUGUAAUAUUAAGGAUUUGGUAUUUGGUAUUUGGAUGACUGUAUAAUAUAAUUUGAAUUAUUUGUAUUUUGUUGUGGGAUAUUAAAUUUGUUUUUUUUGCUUAAUUUUGUUUAUUAAUUAUAUUUUCUAAACGAAUUGAAAACGAAUCCUAAUUCGAUUCGAUUCGUUAUGGAUUCGUAAAUGAUAAACGAAUAAUAAACGAAUCCGGAUUCGAUUCGAUUCGUUUAUCAAUUCUAUUAAACGAAUUAAACGAAUCGAACCGAAUAUUCGUUUAAUAAACGAAUCGAAUCCGAAUCCUGAAAUUUCAAUUCCUUUAAUAAACGAAUCGAAUUCGAAUUCGAUUCGUUUAUUCGUUUUGCCACCCCUAUGUUAGAGAGAGCCUAAUUCAAUCAGAGCUCACUGAGUUUCUUUUCAACCGACCGGCAAAUUUGGAGUGCCACAACAUAAUAUUUUUACUUUUAAUUUUUGGAACACUUUUGAAUAGAAUUUUUUGUUUUUAAAAAAGGUAAGGGAGAUUAGUAUUUAUUUAACUUUAUAUUUUUUUAAAUACUUUACAAAUAUUUUUGUCGUUAAAAUAUUAAUAUUUUUAUUAAUAAUUUUUAUAUUUUUAAUUUAUUUUUAUAAUAUUAUUUUUUUAUAAUAAUUUUUUAUUUUAAUAUUAAUAAAAAAUAAUUAAAUUAACAAGUUAAUCCUAAAAUAAAUAAACACGUGUUUGGUUUUGGGCUUUUUCUUUUGUUCGUUUAAUAUCAUCUGGCUCCCUGAUUUGUGACUAAUUAUCAACGGAAUCCCGUUGGUUUCUAAAUUGAAAUAAUAGAAGGUCAUGAGACUAUUUACUCCAUUUAGCACUGCAGACUUAGGUGGCGUUUGUUUUUUAACUUAAUGACUUAAAGUGACUUAACUUAAUUAAUUAAGUUAAUUAGAGGUGUUUAUUUUUAUAACUUAAUAAGACCUUUUAGAUAAUUUUGACUUAAUAAAAUAAGCCAAUUUUUUUGGCUUUUUACUUAAUGGAGAAAUCUGAAUUAAGUCAAUUACUUGCUAAUGUCAAAAAUAUCCUUGCUUUAUAAUUUAUUUUUUAUGUCUAUCCCAAAACUCACCCAUAGACAUUUACCCCACACAAAAAUAUCCUUAUUUUUUCUUUCUUAUAUUAUAUACGAUAAAAUUUAAAAUUUAUGAUAUUUUAUAUAUUAAAAUUCCAAAAUAAUUAUGUAUUCACUUGAAUAUAGUUUUACUUAUAAAUGUUAAAAUAUUGUGGUAUUUAAUUUAUUAUUUAUUUGACAUUCAAAUUUAAUAAGGAUACAAAUGUAAAAGUACAUAUUUUCAGCUUUUUAAGUUGAAAAAAACAAACAACUUAAUACUUGUUUUCCGAGAUUCAGACAAAAAAAUAAACAUAUUAUUCAGAUUCAGACAUUCAGAUCUAUUCAGAAUUCAGAUUAAUUCAGGUCUAUUCAGAUUUCAGACAAAAAACAAACGCCACCUUAGAGUAUAUUGAAAAAGCUUUGUCAAAUAGUAGUAAUAGGGGCAUAAGAAAUAAAUUAUAGCUAUCACAAAUUCGUUAGAAGAAUUUCAAUUUUUUCCAUCAAUAAUGGCUAUGAAGCAAAAUUACCUUAGGUUAUAUUGCAAUACUAAUACUUCAAAUCCUGAUAAUAAAUUUGAUGACAGUCGUUUUUAUCAUGGUUUUAACAGAUAUAAGAAGAGAAAAUUAACUGUUCAAACAAAUUAGAAGCAAAUUCUUUCAUAUCUUUCUUUUAUUUUUCCGCUUACUUUCUUAGCAUCCAAACAAGUUAAAGUUAAAACGCUGUUAGAGCCAACAAUAUGCAGGCAUCAAUAAGCAUAGUAGUUUUGUAUAUGUAUUCUAUACGAUAUUCUAGGGAUGUCAAUUGUAGAACAUUUUGUGGUAACUUUUUUACAUUAAUUAAUGUUUGAAGAACUUGUUAAAAAGAAAAUGGUAAUUUUAUCAUUUUGAAAGACAAAAAAAAAAAAAAAGAGUGAAAGUGGCGUUACCUCAUGGUCAUUAGAGACUUGUUGCAAUGAUAGCUCAAAAUUAAAAAUUUGUGAAGAAUUAGUAGACAACGACGAUACUAUAUUUAUACAGUCACCAACGUGUUGAUUUUUGUUUAAUGUUUGAUCGAUAGAAACUUUCGUCGUCGUCGCCGUUGUUGAAUUCGUGCUUAGAAUAUCACAAGAGAAGAAAAAAGGAUGAAAGGGAAGAGAAGAAGAGAGAAGUGGUGGAUAGCAAAUAUGAUAUGCUAGCUACACACAGGCCUUAGAGAGUUUUUUUUUAAUAUUUAUUGUAUUUUUGUUUUUGUUAUUGGUUUUUCAUAUGCUUCCAAGGCAGCAAUGCGUUACAUCAUAAAUUGGACCUUUUAGGGGAGGUGGUAAAAAACAUGAGAGCAAUGCAUUCUAGCGCAUACAUGCAGAAAGAGUUUCCAAAUUUUCAAAAGUUUUUUUAUUUCUUCCACCUUUUUUUGCUUAAAAUAAAUUUUAAUUGUAUUUUGCAUUAACUUAGAGAAAAAAAAAAUCCAGUUCUAUACAUAAACGCAUACAUUGAUUAGAAAAUGAGUUUUAUGGACACAAAGGGACAAUAUAAGAGAUUCUUUUUGUUUAUUAGAAGUAACAUAACUAGUUAGUGUAACAUGUAAUUAUAAGCUACCAAUAAUUUGCACUGAUGAUAAUUAACGGUAUAGAUUUUGAGCUAUGAAUGUCUUGUGGCUAGUUUAAUUGGAUUUUCGAGUUUUCAGCAGAUCUAUUUUAAUGAUUAUUAAAUUAUUUUCACUUCUUAUGCCUUAAUAAAAAAAAUCAAUAUUUUUUGUUGUAUUCUAUAUUUUAAAACUUAAUUUUUAGUUCUUUAUAUUGCAAACCAAACUGAGUCAAAUCGAGUAUGCUCUUCAAAUAAUUUUUCCAUUGCCUUCAAGAAGAAUUCAUUUUAUUUUUAUAUAUUAAUUUAACACUUGUAAACCGGGCCGUCAGAUUGCACAUAAAGCAAAUGAUCAAACCGUUACAAGACCGGCCCAGGCCCACCGACUCUAUUUUCUUUCAUUUGACCAUUAAAAAGCUUUUGGCCACCCCCACCAAAUAAAUAAGCUCUUGUUCUCUUUUGUUCCCUCUCAAAGGAAAAUAUCUGAUCACCGAAUAAUGAUUCCGGUGACAUAAAAGAUCGAAACACCCCCCUAAAUUCCCUAAAUUUACGAUAAUACCCCACCAUGGAUGAUUAUGUUGAAAUGCCGCCUUACGAUGAAAGGCCUAAAAAGGGUUUUAACUUCACCUCCAUGCGCUUGAUCUUAACCCUCGUUUUCCCAAUUUUAACUUGCUUUUUGUUGGCAUUUUUUAUUGGAAUCGUAGCUGUUUUAUUCGGCAAAUCAUCAGUUUCCAGUUCCAUUUUUGUCCCUUCCCAGUGCAAGAUAGUGUCCAGCAGUAAGCUUUUUUUAACAUUUUCAAUUUUUUCCAUUUAUGAAGUCCAAAAAUUUUAUUAAUUUUGAUUUUUUUGAAUGAUUUUGCAGGUGUUGAUAUAAGUUCAUCAAAAGUUUGUGAACUUGGGGUGUUGAAUUAUAAGGCGAAGCGUGUGUUUUAUCCAUUUGAAGCAAGUAAAUUUCGAUGUCGGUAUGAUUACUAUUGGGCUUCUAUCUUCAAGGUAUUCAUACAUUUUUCCCUGUACUAUAAGCUUCUCAGUGGCGUUCUUGUGAGCGGUAGUGAGCGGUGUGGCUGACAGCUUCUUGAAAAUUAUAAGUUUGAACAGAGCAUGUUAGAGCACCACCAAAAGCCUCUUUAAAUAAGAUUUUAUUAUUUAUUUAAAGAGUCACAUCAAUAUUGAAAGCUCCAAAAGACACUUCAAUUAAAAUUCUUCAAAUAAGAAUUGAUUCUCUCUCUUCAAAUUUGGAGAGUUAAUUUCUCCCUCUUCAAUUUAUAUUUUAUUACUUUUCAUUGAAGAAAUAGAGAAGUGCUUUAAUUGCUAUUGACUUUUCCUUUAAAAAACUAAUUAUAUGAUUAAAAUAAUAUUAACUUAUUUAUAUUUGAAGAGUCUUUUGGAGAAUAUCAUAUUUUUUUCACCCUUCUAUUUGCCACAUAAGUAAACAAAUAGAUAUUUAAAAAGUAAAAUUUAUAGAAGCUUUUGGAGAUGCUCUUAGACUUUUGUUGACCAAAUUCGAAAGCCAAAUGGCACAGCUCAGAAGCUUUUGAACUGAAUAACUUACUAGGAAGCUCCAAUUUUUUGUUGGCUACAGUAAAAGGAUGUUGUUUUAUUCUUCUUAUACUUUACGCUUGCAUCAGCUUAAAUCACUUCUUAAACGCUUUGCUUUAACUCCACUGCUUCGCUGGGGGGAUUUACCUUGGAACAAGUGGGGACUUAAGUCCCCACUGAAAAAAAAAAUUGUUUUAAUAAUUAAUUUGAUUUGCCAAAACUUCUCAAUAAAUUUUUCUUAAGCCCCCCAUAAUUUCUUUCAACAAGCAAUUGAUCUAAAUGAGUUAAUUUCUGUCAGUUGUAUCCAAAUGAGUUCUCUGCAAUUGAUAUCAUGGCACUUGAAAUUCAACUUGAUACAUAUAUUUUGGAUAUGCGCACUAGUGCGAGACUAAAAGACAUAAGGUAUAUCCAUUGGUUUACUUGUUAAUAAUAUUAGCAUUGACUUUACCCGUUGCCACUGCUAGUGUAGAGAGAGUAUUUUCAGCCAUGAACAUUUUGAAGAAUUGGUUAUAAAGCCGUGAGUAAUGGAUGAAUGAUAGUUUAAUUAUUUACAUAGAAAAAUACUUAUUUAAUAAUAUUGAUAAUGAACUUGUAAUGCAACAUUUUUAAUGUAUGAAAACUUGAAAGGACAAUUGUAAACAUAUAUUGAAGUAUGAUAAAUCUUUCAAAUUUAUAUAUUUAUUACUUUUAAAAUUUUUUUAUAUUGCCGUUGAAUGAGCCCCCAGUCAAUCAAUAUGUUGUCUUCGCCCUGCUUCGUACUCUUCUAUAUAUGUAUCGGGUAUGCAGUUGUAGUUAACGGCUGAGACUACGUGUUUGUUUGACGUGGUAGUAACGUUACGAGUCUGUUAAACAUUCGAUGAUUAAAGUAUUAUCAGUUAUUUCAAAGGGACAAAUAAGAUUAGCUACAACACACCCACUAGUUUUAUAAAAUUCGAAUGAGAUGGAAUAAAAUAAAAAAAUAAAUAAGUAAAUUGACUUUUAAUUUUAGUGGUUGAAUAUAUUUUGUAUUCUCUUAGGGCACUGCUGUAAUUAUUCCUUAAACGUCAGUCAUACCCACAUAUAAUAGACACAAGAAAUGAAAUCUAAAAUCACCUGUUUAGUUAAAGAAUCAUCAUGAAAAAAUUUUGCCAUUUUGAUUUGAAGAUCCACAUUUUGAACAACCAACUUAUGUUCAUCAAGAAUGGAUCAUGGCCUGUGAGUAGAAAAAUUAUUUUUGGACAAAUUAUUUUUUUUAAUAGAAGAAUUUUUCAAGGGACUAAUAAAAUUACUAAUAAAAAUGUCAGACACACCCACGUACCAUCGACACAAUUGACUAUGAGGAUCCAUGUUUUGAACUGCCACCUAAUGUUCAUCAAGAAUAGAAUAUGGCUCGUGAAAAGAAAAUUUUCUGAUUUUGGCCUGGAAUAAAAAGAAAUUAAAUUGAAGGAGAAUCUGCUACUUUCUCAUUAAGAAAGGCAGACAUGGUAUACCAUGGUACCAUACAAUAUAAAAAGUCUCCAUUCUCUGGCUUUUCAAACUCUGAAGGGGGCAAUAUUCCCCAAUUCUCCCGUGAAAAUUCUGAUUACGACAAUGUUCAUCGGUUGAUACAUAAGUACAAGUAGUGACAAAAUUAGGAAAAAUAUGACUCAUAAGUAAUUACUAGGCAGGGCUCUUGAGAGCAACAUUGUACUAGGCUUUAUAUGCAAACAUGGUGUGGUACAUAGAGCCCGUUGAAUUCCACACUAUAACACAAACCCAGAAAGACAAGUAAUAGCUCAACUGAUAUAAAGACAAAAAGAAGAUAAAAUGAUACAGAACAAAGAAUUUCUAAGAGACAGCAACAUACAAUAGACUGAAGCCAGUUGAUCUGCUCAUUGAUUGCAGCCUUAAACUUGCAAAUGUUUACUAUAGCCUGGUGCUCUAAGAAGUGAAAAUGAUGCAAACCUUGAUUCCCUGUUUACUUCCAUUUACCAUCAAACAUUCUAUUCAUAAGAAAAAAAAUGUUUAGAUAUCUUGCCGUAAAUAUAGCCAUUUGAUUGUCUUAAUAAAGCCACACACAACCAUUCAUAUUGAUCCACAUUGCCACAUAGCCUGAUUUAAGCAUACAACAGCUGAAUGUAUACUGACUCCUAACCUUAUCAAUACAUUGGCGACAACUUAAGACGAAAACUAUUUUUCCAUCUCUUUUUUGAAAUUUCACAAUAAAACAGCACAAUGUAAGAGCUGCAAUGAAAAUGGACCGUCUGGAACUAUGGCGGAAGCUUCAACUAGUGUAGUGAUUUGACCUUCUUAUUAACCUAGCGAGAUCAAACACUGCCGUUGAUCUUGAACAGAUCAAUACGAUACGCACAACUUAUGAUUGAAUCCAGAAACAAUCAAAUCUUUAGCAAGAAUAAUUAAUCAGAAUCAAGAAACAAGUUUAAUGAAUAUAAACCUAUAAUUGGAACAAACACAGCCAAAGAACCCAAGAAUGACACAACGUACACCAAGGGAGAAGCUUUCCAGUGAGAUUAUAUUGAUGAUCAAAGAAGAAUCUUUUUACAAAGCUAACAAAAGUGAUUUCAGAGAAUAAGCUAUGACCCUCUCUCUCUUCAAUCUCUGUCUAGUUUGUUAACAGUGAUGACCCCAAUCUGCUUUGUUAGCCAGCUUCAUAACUGCGUCAGUGACAAACUAGCAAACCCAGAUUGAGCAGACUAACGACACGUGCAUAACAGCUUUAACGAACUUGGUUAAAGAACUGCUCACAUGUUCGUCACGCGUGUAGCUUAAAUGAUAGCCAAAACGACUUCAACCAGAUGCCGUUUUGAAGCUUAUGAAUUAUAAGUGAAAACACGUGCUUGUCUCGUGACAUUUAAAUGCAACAACAAGCCCAAAACACUGCCGUUCCACUAUGUUGAGUUUGCCAUCUCCAAGCUUCACAACUAGCAACGGACAAGAUGAUAAUUUAAUUGACAUGGAGAGCUUUUAUAUCACUUUUACAACAUUCUAUAUAAUUGUGAUAUUGGUAAUCGUCGGUGUUGUAUAUGUGAACCCUCGUUGGCGACACUGGUGGUUUUAUCUUUAUUGAAAUAUGGAUGACUUUUCGUUACUAUUUUGUUGUACAUAACCUUAUUCACAGGAGAUUUAAUCAUUGAAAUUAACAUGUUAGUUUCAUUAGAAGGCUGAGUGGUUAGGGCUGCUACCCUCCAACUUGGAGGGCAAUAGUUUGAACCCACAAGCGCAAUGUGGGGGUAUUUCAUUCUUUAAUUACAUUGUAUAAUUGAAUAAAGAUAAUAUUCUCUCUUACCUAAGUGUGAGUGGAGUAGACAUCCUUCGAAUAUUAGUGAGGGUCAAAACUUGGGCAGAGCUCAAUAAGUAUUGAUAUAAGUUGGUCCUAAUAAUAGUCUGAUUUGUAAAUAUCAGUUAUAGUCUCAUGUUUCCUUCCUUAGUUAUAUUGUAUAAUUAAGUAAAUGUACUCUUUUCUCUUACCCAAGUGUGAGUGGAGUAAACAUCUCUCGAAUAUUAGUGAGAGUUAAAAUCUGGGCAGAGCUCCAUAAGUAUUGAUGUAAUUUGAUCCCAAUAAUAGUAUGAUUUGUAAAUACCAGUUAUAGUAUCAUGUAAUAUGAGUUGUAAUUUGAGUAAUAAUUUCAUGUAAUUACAAAAAAAAUGUUACUUUCAUUACUUUUUUCUUCGUUAAAAUUCUCAAGUAUCAAUUAUGUUUGCUUAAGAAAUAAAAUUUCAUUAUGAAAAUUGUAGCAGUAUUUCCGAGCACCUCACAUUUUCAAUGAUUUUUCAUAAAUCAAUUAAUCUGCCAUACCAAUAUCAGGUUUAGUUUUUCAGACUAAAUGAUCAAGAAAGCAAACAUACAAAUUCACAUUUUAGAGGGGUAAACUAGCUUUUAGAUUUUAGAACUAGGCUAGCUACCUCACCAAAUUCCAAUCUGUACAGUGAACUACAAGAUUAAGAAAAUAAUGUAUUUAUAGUUUAAUUGAAUCAUGAGAAAACAAUGUAGUCAUAGCUCAAUCGGACAUGAUCACGGAGAGGCAUAUUCUUUUCAAGUUAAUUUGAUCCAUUUAUAAGAAAUGAAGUGGAUUGAAGUUAAAAGUUCAAAUAACAAAUCCUUAUUCUUGAGUUUUACGACGUCGUUACUCCUUCAAGAGGCUGAUUAUGCAAGUGAAUGCGGAAACAGAAUGCAUUAUCCAAUUUCACUCAUAUAGAAAAUUAAUUUUUUAUAUAUACUAAUCAACACUAGAUUGAUUAUGUUUUGUAUGUUUAUAUGCUAAUCAACAAUAAAUUAUAUUAAAUGAAGAAAUGCUUCAAAAUUUUCUAAUUUAAUUUAGAAAAUCAAUUAUUAACAUUAAUAUUCCUAAUAAAAAUUAUUUUCCAUCGGUAUUCAAAAUUUUCACUUAUAGAAAAUGCGUUUUACGUGAAUACAAGUUAUUGUGUAAAUUUGAAUGAUAGCGAAAAAUAUUUUUUUUAAUAAUUGUAAAAAUAAUUAACCAUAACAAAUCCCUUGCGUAAAUAAUAAUCGUUAUUUAAAAGGUAGAAAGAUGGUUAGUGCACAAUCAAAUUUUAAGCCCCUACCUCCUCAGCCCAAGAUUCAAACUUAGAUGAUCAGCCAAAUAAAAGUAUUUGAAAAUCAUUCAAUCAGGUUCUCGGGGCAAAAAUACAAGAUCCUUAUUUGCAUGAUAUAUAUGAAUUAAUGUAAUUUAUUUGAAUUAUCCAAAUUUAUUAGAGAUAAAACUAUAAAAUAUACCAAAAAAGUUAGAAGGAAGGGUGUGUUGGGAUAUUUUACAAACUAUAGGAAUCUAGUGAGAUUUUGAGCCAAACUGUAGGGAGUUGAAGGCAUUUGCCCAAUAUGUUUAGACGUACACUAACCGUUAUUUGCUCUUGUUGUUGGUCCCGGAUGAGCUGUAGUCUUAUUUUAAUUUUAUUUAAACUCACCAUAAGAUUCGCGGAGCUCCUAACUAACUUAAAUGACUCUGCAGAGCAUGUCAACACAUAGCAUGUUUAACCGUUUUAUUUGUAGAAGAAUUUAUGAUUUCCCAUUAGCAUUAUUAUUGAAGUGGGGCGGGUCAAAUCUCAAUUGCUUGAAAAUUUUUAUUAUUAUUAUUAGUCUUGAAGUGGGGUGGGUAACGUUCGCUCAAUUCGAGGGGAAUCAAAUAUAUCAUCCAAGGUAGAAUUGUGGAAAAUUAAAACAAAAUAAGAAAUAUGGAAAGAAAAGAAGAAAGUUAAGAUAUGAAAGACAUAUACAGUUGAAAUUGAUAAUCAUGUUCCUAUUUUGUUAACUAAUCAAAUGGAAAGCUGAACUGUAAACAAACAUUAAAACGUGUGAACCAAGCUAGCUGUCCUACAAGUCUACAAUAAUAAUUGAGUACUUUGAUUCAUCCUUCUAUAAAUUUCUACCCAUAUUGACUCCACCGAAAUUUCCACAAAAUAAAAAAAAAAAAAAAACUGAAUUUCCACAAAAUGCAAAACCCGUAGAACUUAAUUUUUGGUCAUGUGAACUAAGAUGUAAAUUAAAGAAAAAGUAUAAAAUUAAAAAAAGAUAAGAUUUCUAAAAUGUGUGGAAGGUGAUUCAUGAUUCACUGACACUACUUACUCCAAAUAUGAAGAUAAAUCUAUCUAAUUUCAUUAAAAAUAGUUGGAAAAAAUUAACUAAUAGAAAGCUACGGAAAUUAACCCCCCACAAAAAUGACUUUUUAUGGAAGAAUUUAUGUUUUUUAAAAUAUGUUAUCAAAGUGUAUUUGAUCAAAUCUCAAUUGGUUAGUAUGGUUAGGAUUUUGUGAACAUCACUAAAAAGUGAAAAAUAUGAAUGAUAGGGGUGAUGCUUGCAAUAUGAAUAAAUAAUGGACUGAUUCAAUUGAUGAUUACAUUUAUAUAUUAUUGAUUAUUUAUGAAUUUUCAGACUUGUUAUGAUGUAUAACUAUGUGAUUUUGAAACUUGAAACCGUGGCAAACAUUGAAAGGAAUUAUAACUUGAAAUCAUGACUCACGGGGUAUGUCAUGAUUCACGUGCACAAAAAAGGUAGAAUUGUGGAACUUGAUAACCCAACGACAAAUGCGGAAAGAAAGGAAGAAAAUUAAAAGACUUGGGGCCUAGCCUGCGUGUAUAAAUUAUUAGAUUUCUUUCUAUUUUAUAAGCGUAACCAUCAAUUUACUCCAUAACAAUCUUUAAUUCAUUUCUUAAAGAGUAAUGAUAUAGCCACAAACUCUUGUACAAACUUAUUUUGUAUAAAUUGAUGUGGCAUGAUAAGAUUUGUUGAAUUAAAUAUUACUUGGCCCAUAUGAUUUGUUUUUAUUAUUUUAUAUUUUCAUUCAACCAAUGAAUUAAUGUCAUGUCAGUUUGUACAAAAUAAAUUUAUACAAAAAUUUGUGGCUGUAUCAUUACUCUUUCUUAAAAUAUCAAAACUUUAAUUUAUCUUUUAAAUAUCGUUACCUCUCCAUUGGUUUUAACAGUUAAAAGGGUAAAAUUAUAUUUGUAUAUUUUCUUGACUGUUAACUAAAUAAUAAAAGUCAAAAUUCAAUCUUGUUAUCUUGUUUCAAUCCUCUAUCAAUCAAACAAGAUUUCUAAAAUAUGUGGAAGAUAUUGCAUGAUUUCCUCAACGUACCUGGCCCGAACAUCAAGGUAAAUAUCUCUAAAAUAGUUGAUUAAAUCUCAGUUGCUAAGUAUAGUUAGGAUUGUGUGAACAUCACUGAAAACUAUGAUUGAUAGAAGUGAUCUUUGCAAUAUGAAUAAAUAAUUAACUGAACCAAUUGAUUUACAUAUUAAAGUUUAUGAAUUUUCGGACUUGUUGCGAUAUAAUAAUAGCAUAUGAUUUUGAAACUUGAAACAGUGGUAAAUAUUGAAAGGAAUUAAUUUGAAAGCAUGAUCCGUGGGGAAUGUGAUGAAUCGUGUUUACCAAAAAGGUAGAAUUGUGGAAAUUUAUAACAGAACGAUAAAUAUGGUAAAAAGGAAGAAAAUUGAAAGACUUGGGGCCUGGCCUGGGUGUAUUUUCUAACUGUCCAAUGGACAAAAUUAUAUUUGUAUAUUUUCUCAUCCCUAGGUUUCAUACAAUAGCUCAUUUCAUUUUUAUUUUUUAAAUAAUAGCCUAAAACAUCAUUCUAUUAACUCACUAUUAGUUGAAUGUCGUUUGUUAGUAAUUCAUUAAGGGUAAAAAAUCAUUUUCUAUCAAAGAGAAAAUUAGAAAAAUAAAUAAAAGUUGACAUAUAACUAAAAAUGAUUUGAUCUAAUCCCACUAAAUAAGAAAUACCAAAAAAGAUGAAAAAUUUAUAUUUCAAGCAAUUCUUUUUUCACUUAUUUCUAUUUUGGCAACAUGAAAGCCCUAUAAACCCUAGAUCUAAGUACUAAAAAUAUCACAAUUUUCUUAUUCAUAUAAGUAUACUCUCUAAUUGCAUUGUAAAAUGGUUUGAAUUAAAUUGAAAAUAAAGAAGAUAUUCAGCACAUGCAAGCACAUAAAAAUUGGUGGCAUUUUUUAGUUUUUCUUCCAAUGAUUUAAAGAUAUUGUUUUAAUUACAGUUUGUUCCUUAUGACAAUUAUUCAAUGGCGAUAUCAAACUAUAUCAUCGUUGAUUUUAUUUAAGAAAAAGUUAAUGAAUUUUGCAUAUUUUGUAGUGUUAUUUAAUUGUGUAAAAAAAAUUAUUUUAAUAUAGUUUGUAUCGCUUUAAUGAAAAAUCAUAUUUUGCCCCCAAUGAAUUACUAGUUAACGAUUUUACAUUAAUGGUGAGUUAACGGAAGGAUAUUUUAGGCUAUUGUUUGAAAAGUAAGGAUAAAAUGAGCUAUUGCAUUAAACUCUAGGGAUGAAAAAUGCUUUUUCCCCUUUCUUAUCAAUCAACUAUCUGAUAAAAGUCAAAACUCAUAUUUUUUUUUUCCUUGUUUCAAUCCCCUCUCAAUCAAAAAAGUUUCCUUGUCUAAGCAACGAGGAAUAUGGCUAGAAAGAUUGUUAUUAGAAAGAUUUAUCAAUAGUAAUUGGUUCACAACUGAACAUUUUUAGAUUAUUGUGAGUCAAUAUAGGUCCUGUUUGGGAUUGAAGUGUUGCAGUUUUUAAGUUACAACUGCUGUGGAAAAAAAAACUAUAAUUAUGAAAUAAAAGUUAAUAAUAUAUAAUAAAUAUAAAUUUUAACUAAUAAUUUUGAUAAAAUUAUUAAAAAUAUAAUAGAUUUUUCAUAAUACAAGUAAAAUAUCAUAUCUACAUAGCUUGCAAGGUACAACAGUUAGUAUUUACCAAAUAGUUUAGUACUAUUUGUAAUGUUGUAAUGUCGAGAGAUUACCCAACCAUUAUGGAAUCCUACCAAGAUGAUUGUUACCACUAAGAUAAAAUCCUUCUAGUGAACAACAAUCAGACAAAUUUUUUGGGGAUCUCUCUUACAAAGUGAUUACCAUCCAAUCGCAAUUUUGAAUGAAAAUAAUUUUUUUUUAUUGGGAGUUUGACCUUAACAUUAAAUUUAGACAAUAAAUUUUAACUUUCUUCAAUUAUUAAACAGAUUACAGACAUUUGACAAAUUUGAAAACACUUCAUCCAUCGAAAGUUCAAAUUAGAGAUGGAAGCUAGGUGCUACAGCUAAUGGGAACAUUAAUUCCUGUCCCUCAUCACACUUUAUUUUGGGUCUAAUAAUUUUACGGCAGCAUUGACCACUGCUCAAGGUAAGUAAAACUUACAAAUGUGUGGCAAAAUAAAUAAUUAAGUGCAUAAACUCUUAACUAAUUUUCUUGAUAUAUACAGCUAAGGUACUUGUUCCUUUUUUUUUAAAAAAAAAUGUUAAAAAAUUUCGGCUGAGCCUGCUUGUGGUUUUGAUAAAAAGGAGGGGCUGGCUUCAAAUAUUUGAAUAGGCAUCUCCGCCGUACCUCAAACAAAACUGUCAUUAUUAGUGUCAUGAAACAUGUUUCGGCCGUCAAAGUCAUGAGAGGGUUGAUGACGCUACUACGUAUGAUGACACACCAGCCGACAGUGUAGUAACAGCUCAAAAACAAAAUCUACCAAAAUCAACGAAAGUUAAUAAAAUUUUAUUUUAUUAAUAAAAAAACUUUUUAUUUGUGGAGAUAUGUGUAUUUGAGUCUGUGGACUGAAAUGGAAAAUAUGAAGACGUUCGUUGUGUAGAUUGACUUCAGUUGAACGGGUCUAACUGGUAUUUUAUGCUGACGUGGCACGAAUUAGUUAUAAUCUGUUAUAACGAUUCCAGAAAUAUCAGUAUAAAUAGAAGCUGAUGAGCAGUGCCUGUUGUACGAUCCUUUUCUUCUUCACUUGUUCGUCAAUUUGCAUAGCAUCUGUUUCAUUGUGAUCUAUGCAAAGUCUUCUGUAAAUCCACUUAUGUUUGAUUAGUUGUUGAUCAAUAACGAGAGUAAAUUUUUCCUUCAAAUCUUGCUGCUUCGUGCCCCUGUUUCAGUUCUGGUUUUUUUUUUUUUUUUUUUUUAGUUCUGGUUUCUUAAUUCAAUUGAAUUUCUUGGUGCUUAAUUCAUCAAGAUUCAGUGGAAUCGACUUGAAAAGGACUCAAUAGACUCAACAUUAUUUAACGACACUCUGACCGUGGAGUACCGUUAUAAUAAUCUGAUUUUAAGAAAAUUAUAACUUAUUUUAAAUAGCGCCACAAUAUAAUUCUAAAUAUUUAAAAGGAAAACAUUAAUGACAUUUUGUUUUGAAAAAUUCAAUUAUUAAACUCUCACGUUUCAUGUGUUUGAAGUUAAAUUAUUCAUUAACUAGAACUCUGUUCAAAAUUGACUGUCCUGUGUUCCCAAAUGUAGUUGCAAUAUUGAAUGAAAGUAAAAACUUUCUAUGGCGAGUUUAAAUCUAAAUCUGGACAAUGAGUUUUUAGUUUCUCAAUGCUAUUCUAAUUACAAAAAUUAUAUUGAUUGAUUUAUUGUUACAGUUACUAGCCUUUGAAAAUGGAUGGAUUUAUUGUUUCCGUGACCCAAUUAUGCCUGUCUAACGCUGCAACUACUAAAAAAUCUAAUAUUUAAUGCACAUGUUAAAAGAUUUAAAAUUUUAUGCAUUUAUUAAUUGUUAUAAUCUAAAAGAAAAUUAAUUCGUUCAGGUCAAUCUGAGUUGGUGCAUCUGCAGAGCCUUUUUCUUUUUUCCCCUUAUUGACCAUAAUGAUCUAAGGGGUAUAAUACGACCUUGGUUCUUGGUAAAAAUGACAUCUCCUUCAACAUGACUAUUGACUAGGAGCAUGUAAAAACAUGGAAACAGAAUUUCCACAAAAUGCCAAACGUGUGGAACUUCAGUUUUGGCCAUGUGGACCAAAUGCAAAUGAAAGAAAAAGGAUUUUCCCAGCUAAUGUACAAAUAAAUGAACAACCUUGAAGCCUUAUUAUUCGCAACAAAAAGGGAUUACUAAUUGGAGAAGACUACACACAGUUUCUCUCACACUUUCUCUCUGUCAAUUUCAUCUAGAAGUCCCUCUGAAAGCAUCUCCCAAAACAGUUAGUCAUCUUUUAUUCUCUGUUUUCUGGAAACAGAGUCCUAACUAACUUAACUGACUGUACAGAGCUGAUCAAGAAUUCUGUUUUGUUAACUAAUCAAUUGCAAAUCAUAUAUUAGUGUUGAACGGUGAACAAAAUUGAAAAAAAAAAAUUCUUAAAAAACGUGUGGACUCGGAUAGCCAGACCAGAAAUCUAUGACAAUAAUUAGCUUUGAUGCUGGGAAUCUUUUAGUUUCUGGCCGUAUUGACUCCACCAGUGAAGUUUUUAAAAUAACAAGUUCCCAUUCUUCGUUUUUUUUUUUUAAAUGUGCUUAUAAUAAUUUUAGAAUAGUGACUUAUUUGUAGAAGAAUUUAUGAUUUUCCAUUAAUAUCAAUAUUGAAGUGGCGUGGGUCAAAUCUCAAUUGCUUGAAGAAUCUAUUUAUUAUUAUUAAUAUUGAAAUGGGGUGGGUAACGGACCAACGGUUCACUCAAUUAAUAUGUGGGGAAUUAAUUAAAUAUGACCAUCAAAGGUAGAAUUGUGGAAAAUUAAACCAAAAUGACAAGUAUGGAAAGGAAGGCUGAAAGUAAGGCAUGACGAAAGUCUUUGAGAAGGCUGAAGACCACCAAAGAAGUCAACUGAAAGCUAGCUGGGGCCUGGUAUGUAUGUUAGAUGUGUUUGUUAUAAAUAACAUAGAGCCCUUUUGUUAUUUAUAGUUAUAGAGAAAGAGAGAAUGUGUGUUUUUUAAUAGUUAGAGAUAUAGCUAGAAUGGGUGGUUCAAAAUCCAAAAUGGUGACGAUGUUAGUUUUGGGGGUAGAGUGAGGGAUGUUUGGAGCUUGAGAGAUUUGCUCUUUUGCGGCUUAAGCAUUUCUUCAAUUCUCCUUAUAGACUUUAAAACUGGGUAGACGAGCAAAGAGGUUGUUGUCAGUGGGAAACCGUUGAGUGCAGCAAAGUGAAAUUAAUUUCUCCCUAUUCUUAGUCUUACCAGGAGUAUCGAUCUGGGAGAGUGGUAUCUGAAUGCUUCUCUAUUUACUCCCUUUCAACAAAUUGGCAACAAAAUAGCCGGUUGGGUUAAGAACGAAGGUCCUUCACUUAAUUUAAUUUACUUAAUUUAAAUUAAGAAGAAGUUCCGUCAUCAAUAGAGUGCCUAGCUGAUCGUAAAACGUUGCGUUUGAGUAAGUGCACGAGGCUGAAGAGGCUUUCCAUCAAGCAUUUGUAAAUUGAAAUCUCUUCUUGAGCUUUAUCUCUAUAACUGCUCAAACCUUGAAAGUUUUCCAGAAAUCAUGGAGAAAAUGGAACGUUUAAAGAUAUAAAUUUAGCAAGGACGGCCAAUUACAGAGCUGCAAUCUUGAUAGCCUUCGGGAUUGGUAUCAUUUUCAAGCAAUUUUCUCAAUGCAGAGGUUUGGUAUCAUUGCCUCCAAUAUUAUUGUCAGGUUUAGUUUAUCGAAUUUGUUACAGCUAAAUUUAAGGGACUCUGCUAUAAUGGAAAUUCCCCAAAAUAUUGUUUGUCAAUCCUCAUUGAAAAUUUUAAAUCUAAAGACUUGUUUGUUAACUAAUUGAAGUAUGUAAUUAAUGCUUUGUUUUUGUAAUUUAUGUUUGAUUUUGAGAUAUUUACAUUUGAAUAAAAAAGUAAACUUUUGUUACAUUUAUCUAAAUUAAAAAAAAAAAGGCUAAAUGAGAAGUAAACUAUGUUCAAGCAAUUUUUUAUUUAUAAAAAUAAACCAAAUACUACUUAUAUUCAUAUAUCAAAAAAUGAAAAACAAACAUGUUAUUCAUAUGUUCACAUACAAACUUAUUCGAACCUCAGCUAAAUACAAAUCCAUUUUGAUUUCAAACAAAAAAAAAAAAACUUCGUAAGUGGGAAUAACUUUGAGAUUUGACUUGCAAAUGUCAAGCAACUUGCAAGGCUAGAAUAUCUUGACUUGAACGGUUGCAAUGAUUUCUCAUCAUUGAGAGUUUAUCAUUGUGCUUCAUCAUCAUCAUCAUCAUCAUCAUCAUCAUCAUCAUCAUCAUCAUCAUCAUCAUCAUGAUUAAUAAAAAGGUAAGCAAUUAAGAGUCAAAUUAAACCACUUGAAAAUCACUCAUCCACGCUUUUGGGACAUCAUUCUGCUCAUUAUUUUUAUUCCGUAUCUUCAUUGUUUUAUUUGGUAAUUAUUACCAUUAGUAAAUAAAGGGAUUAGUUGAUUAUUGUGAACUAACUAAAUGGAGCUCACCCUUAAAUGUCGGCUUGUAUCAGGGAGGUGCCUUAGGGUUAAUAAAUCAACUAAUCCCAUAAAUUGUUGAUGUAGGGUCCUAACAAAUUAUUGCCGUAGAACAGCACACAGCUCGAAAACAUAUUUGAUCCACACAGUGAAGAUGAUUCAAUAUUAAGCAUGUCAUAUAAUCUGGAGUUGGAUAUUGGAUCAAUUUGAUGAUAAUGAGUUUCUUUCAGUCUCAAUCUUUAUCUUCUUCGCAACAUGACUAGCCAUUGCGCAAAUUCAAACUCUGACAAUGAUUUCUCAAUCGCUUUCUAAGACGAUGAGCACGUAUGUAUAUAUAUGUGUGUGUGCGCGUGCGCACGUGUGUGUUUGUGUAUGUAUAUAGGGAGAGAGAGAGAUAUCACACGUGUGUGCUUUCCUUUUGUCAAUAAGAUAUGCAGAGAGCUUAAUAAUCAUAGAUUAGCUUAUAUCCUUCAAACCAUAUGCUAUGAAGUAAUUUCACAAACACUUGUUGAAUGUUAUUGAAUCAGUAGUUCACAGUUCAAUACAAUGUAGGUUUCCUAUUUGAAGUAAAUGAUUAUGGUGUGUGCAUUUUUCAUAAAGCUAACAACUGAAUUUACCAUUGAAACUUGCAAAAUGUAACAGAGAGAUGCAGAUAGCAGCCACGAAACACUAAGAUUGAAAAUCAGGACUACUGAAUUCUAUUACAAGCCCUUAAAAUAGACAACAAUCAUCCUCAAAUGUAUGUACUGAAAAUAAGAAAUAUUAAUCGUAAAGUUAUGCAUUAACAAAACUAUUGACUACUUACCUUUAGCUAUAUGUUUUUAAUUGUAGCUCCCUACUUUGUUCUAAGAACUAGGCAAAAGUAGCAUAUCUUCAAUCCAAUCAGCAUAUAUACCGCUCAUCUUCUCCAGUUCUUUCCACUUUGAUUUGCAUUUCAUACCCUGCACUUGCUGCUUAGAAAUAGUCAUAGUUUGCACAUUGACAGUAGAAAAAGUACUUGAAGCAAUCAUUGGCAUAGCAUGGGAUUCCAUUGAGUCGCGGUCUCCAAGCUUUCAUGGUUCUGUAAAGAAAAUGACAAAAACAUCAUGCUAUUGGCAUUCUACUUUUAGCAAUUUUCCACAAGCUGAGCUAUUUCAUAUCUCUCUAUAAAUUAUGAUCGAUGAGUGGACCACUGAUGCAUGCAAGUUUAUUAUCACUUGUAACUGCUGGUUCAACCUUCAGAUAAGUUUGUGAUAAAGGCAUCUAUGAGUACAAUGGGAAAAUUACAUGAACUUAUGUUAUCAAUCAUUGUUUUGCCUUCUCGUGAUAGAAUUCUGUGCAACAUAAAACAUGAUAUAUUUGUACCUUACCAUGCCAUGUCGUGAACCUAGAAGCAAUGCAAAUUGCAAGGAACAUAUUAAGCUAUCUACUGUAUAUAACAAAUUCUUAUUAGCCCACAAUCUUGUGCCGCCACAUUGAUCAAGUAACACUAUUAUAUCAUUUCCAAAAUGGCAUAUAUAAUCUAAUGUUGAACAAACCAAAUUGGGAAUCAUCAUUCCUUACAUUAAGCUGACAUUCGUACCUGCUAGUCCAUGAGCAAAGUUGCUUAUAUUUCCACACAGGCAGCUCCCCUUAUCUCUCGGUUCCGACAGAGCUUGGUUUUCCCAUCACCAGCUUUGGAUUCAUUCGAUCACUGAUGCUCCGAGUUAGCAAGCCCCUUGUUGUGUUCCCAUUGAACAGACCCACUUCUGUUAUCCACAGAAGAUCCACCACUCAAAAUGCUUAUCACCGAACUAUUCCUAAACUGAAUAGAAACUUCCGCACAUCUCUCGGCAUUUACAUGAAGAAAUCGACACCCACCCCCAUAUUUGCAAGUUUUCUGAUAAUAGAACGGUCUACAAAGCUGCAUUUCGUUAGGCAAUCUAAUCUCUCCAUUCCUAGCAAAGUGAUAUUGAUUCCCGUAUUUGUAAUUGCCUAAUUGGGGUUUUGGCAAUAGCCUGGUCUUAAAAUUACCACCCAUUACUUUGUUCAAUGCCACUGGCAUCCUCUGAUUAGGAACAUUUUCACAAUUUUUAGCCCUGUUAGUCGAAUCACAUUCAACGGGAUAGUGAGGCAGUAUUUCACUAACAGAUUCAAUUUGACUACUCAUAUUGAUGCACAUAUAAGAAUUUGAAAUCACUUUCUCUUGGAAUAUUUAAUGACCCCUGAUGAAAGUUCUUGAAUGGAAUUAUUUAAUUUGAUUUGAUUUCCAACAAAUUCAAGAAACCCCACAUAGUAGCUAAACAAAAAUCAACCAAUAAUACGCAAUGGGUUUCUUUCUUUUUGCCUUUGGAGGGCCAUGGAGAUCUGGAGUGGGCAGUAAGUAAUAGCCUUUAUGACUGGAAUGACAGAUUUGCAGAAGAUGAUAGCUCAAAACGCGUUGCUGUGGAAAAUUGUAGCAAAAUUAAAAAUUGGAAAGAAAGGGAAGAAAAUUAAUGCAUGAAGACUUGGAGAAAACAACCAAAUUAAUCAACUAUAAGCUAGCUGGGUGUAUAAAUUGUUAGAUGCAUUAUAAGCAAAUAGCGUAGAGCCCUUUGGUUAGUUACAGAGACAGACAGUGUUUGUGUUUUUUAAUAGUUAAAGAUAUAGAUAGAAUGGGUGUUUCAAAAUCAAAAAUGGUGAUAAUGUUUGUUCUGUUAUUAAUAAUAUUAGAAGGUGGGGGAAGUGAGGGAUGUUUGGAUCACGAGAGAUUUGCUCUUUUGCGAAUUAAACUGUUCUUUGAUGAUCCUUUUAAUUAUCUUCACGAUUGGAUAGAUGAUGAGGGAGCUACUGAUUGUUGUCAGUGGGAAAGGGUUGAGUGCAGCAACACCACAGGCCGAGUGAUACAACUAAACCUUUUUUUAAUUGGGAAUUGGGAUUUGGGAGAGCGGUAUCUGAAUGCUUCUUUGUUUACUCCCUUUCAACAACUUGAGUCACUUUAUUUAAGUUGGAACAACAUAGCUGGUUGUGUUGAGAAUGAAGGUGCUUCGUUUAAUUUUAUUAAAUUACUUGCUCUCUCCUAAUUUAAGUUGAAUAUCAAGACUGAGCAACUAUAUGCAUAUCCAUUCAGUUGACAAUUCUGACAUUUUUUUGAAGUGAUUAAUUAAUUUUUGAAAUUACACCAGCAUCUAUGAUCCUUUUUUAUGUUACUUGCAGGUCUAGAGAGGCUAUCAAAAUUGAACAACUUGAAGAUGCUUAAUUUAAGUGAUAACUCGUUCAACAAUAGCAUCUUAUCAUCUCUAACUCAUCUUUCAUCAUUAAGAUCAUUAGAUUUAUCUUACAAUAGAUUGGAAGGAAGUAUUAAUGUUAAAGGUAUGUAAUUAAAACGUCAUCUCUUCUCCCAACUCUUUCAUUAACUUGCUAAAAUAAGAUUCAAGGUUUUGAAUUCAAUUUUUUUUAUGAUUAAUAUUAAAGGAAAAAAAACAAUUUUAAGAAAUUCAUAAAUACAAGUUCUAAUGUUUCUCAUAAUUUCAUCUUGUACUUUCAUAUGUCUUGAAUUUAAGAUUUAAAAAAAAAAAAAAACUCUAAUAGCGAACCAAACACCUCCACAACUUAUUAUUAAUAAUAUUAUUAUUUUUUCUGUGAGGUUUGAAACAUUAAACUCAAUUUGUACUCUUUACAGAAUUAGAUUCUUUGAGAGACUUAGAGGAGCUAGACAUUGCCGGGAACAAGAUUGACAAAUUUGUGGUCUCAAAAGGUGCUACAAAUACCAUAAAAAAUCUAAACUUUUACAAAUUAGCUAGAUUCUUUGCCAUUUGGUUAAUUAUUUUGCAGGUUUGAGGAAGUUGAAGUAUCUCGGCUUAAGUGAUGUGGGAUUCAAAGGAACAUUUGAUGUUCAAGGUAAGUCUAAGCCAUAUGCUUUCUCAUUUGAAUUCAUUAAGGAUAUCAAGAUCAUCGACAAAAUUAAAACAUACUUUAUUUUACUUCGUCAAUCAAUUAAUUAAAUACUAUUUGGCUUGGCUUCAUCAAUCAAUUAAGUCUUAUGUCUAGGCAUGUCUGCAGAAUUUGAUUCCUUGAGCAGCUUAGAGGAGUUGGACAUGAGCCGCAACGAAAUCGACAAUCUUGUGGUUCCUCAAGGUAAACAAUUAAAAUAUUAUUCAAUUACAUUAAUUUAAUUCAUUUGGUUAGGGAAGGCCCAAAAGGUACAAAAAAUAAAGGAAUAGAGAAUUUAUAUUAUUUAAAAAACAGAAUGUAAUAAAGAUUUGAUUCAAGUUCUUUAAUCUUUACAGCGAUUGAAAAACGAUCUUGCUCCUUUCCCAAAGCAUAAAAUACGAAUUGACUCCUAAUUAAAUUAAUCAUUUAUUUCUCUCAUCUCUGAAUUUAAACAAUGAAUUUUGAUCUUCAAUCCUAUUCUAAUUAUUAUUAUUAAAUAGGUUACAGAGGUUUGAGGAAGUUGAAAAGCAUGUAUCUAUCGGGAGUUGGAAUUAGAGAUGGAAGCAAGUUGUUACAGUCAAUGGGAUCAUUUCCAUCCCUCAACAUUCUUCACCUUUCGGAUAAUAAUUUUAUAGAAACAGUGACAACUACUACUCAAGGUAAGUAAAUGGUACAGAUGUGGCCAAAUUUGUAAAUAAACUAUUAAUUAAUUAAUUAAUUUUCCGUAUUGUUGAUAGUGCUAAAUUUGUUGCUUCGAAACAGAGUUGCGCAAUUUCACCAACUUGGAAUACUUGACAUUGGACAAUUCCUCUCUUCAUAUAAGCCUUCUGCAGAGCAUUGCAUCAUUCACUUUGUUAAAAAAAUUAUCUAUGACUAACUGUAAAGUCAAUGGCAUCCUAAGUGGUCAAGGUAAAAGAAAAGUGUUGAUUAUGAAUAAGUUGUUAAUUAAUUAAUUUUGUUGCUCCUUGCUUCUAAACAGAGUUGCGUAAUUUCACAACUUGAAUAUUUGACAUUGGACUCUUCCUCUCUCCAUAUAAGCCUUCUGCAAUUGCUUGACGAAUUUAUUUAUUAUUAUUAUUGUUAUUGUAUUGAAGUGGGGUGGGCAAGGGUUCACUCAAUUAAUAUGUGGGGAAUUAAAUAUUACCAUCCAGCAUAGAAUUGUGGAAAAUUAAAGCAAAAUGAGAAAUAUGGGAUGAAAGGAAGAAAGUUAAGGGCAUGAAAGACUUGGAGAAGACCGAAGACCACCAAAAUAAGUUAUGUGUUUGUUAUAAAUAACAUGGAGCCCCUUGUUGGUUGCAGCGGCAGGAGACAGAGAGAGUGUAUUUGAUUAAUUAAAAUUCAAAAUGGUGAUAAUGUUAGUUUUGCUAUUAUUAAUAAUAUUAUAAGAGGGACUUAAACAUUUCUUCAAUUCUCCUUAUAAUUUUUGUCAAGACUGGGUAGAUGAUGAGGGAGCUACUGAUUAUUGUCAGUGGGUUGAGGUUGAGUGCAGCAGCGCCACAUGCCUAGUGGUAUCUGAAUGCUUCUUGGUUUACUCCUUUUCAACAAUUUGAGUCACUUGAUUUAAUAUGGAACAAUACAGCCGGUUUUGUUGAGAAAGGUGCUUCAUUUAAUCUAAUAAAUUUACUUCCUCCCUCCUAAUUUAAGUGGAAUAUCAAGAUUGAGCAACUAUAUGCAUAUUCAUUCAAUUGACAAUGUUGACAUAUUUUUUAAAAUGUUUAAUUUCGAAAUUACACCAAAUAGAUGUGAUCUCUGUUUUGAUUUUACUUGCAGGGCUACAGAUGCUAUCAAGAUUGAGCAACUUGAAGAUGCUUGAUUUAAGUGGAAACUCCUUCUACAAUAGCAUCUUAUCAUCUGUAGCUCGUCUUUCAUCAUUAACAUCAUUAGAUUUAUCUGAGAAUAGAUUGGAAGGAAGUAUUAAUGUUAAAGGUAAGUAAUUAAAACGUCAUCUCUUCUCCCAACUCUUUCAUUAAUAUGCUAAAGUAAGAUUUAAGGCUUUGAAUUUAAUUUUUUUAAUGAGUAAUAUUAGAAAAAUAGUUUUAAGCAAUUCAUAAAUACAAUUUUCAAUGUUUCUUAUAAUUAUAUCGUGUACUUUCGUAUGUCUUGACUGUAAGAUUAAUAUAUAUAUAUAUAUAUAUACUCUAACUGUGAAGCAAAUCCCCCCAUGACUAAUUUAUCAUUUUUUCCAGUUAAAAAUGAUAAAAUUUACCAUUUGUUUAUAUUUAUUAAUUAACUCUGUUUUAAGUCUUGGCGUCUUGGCGUGUUUGCAGAAUUUGAUUCCUUGAGCAACUUAGAGGAGUUGUCCAUGAGCUACAAUGAAAUCGACAAUCUUGUGGUUCCUCAAGGUAAACGCUUAAAAUAUUAUUCAAUUACAUAAAUUUUAUUCAUUUGAUUAGGGAAGACCCAAAAGGUACAAAAACAUAAUAAAAAUAAAUAAAUAAAGAAACAAAACGUGGUAGUAUUAUUUCGAAAACAGAAUGUAAUAAAGAUUUGAUUCUAGUUCUUUAAUCUUUACAAUGAUUGAAAAACUAUACUGCUCCUUUCUCAAAGCCUAAAAUACGAAUUGACUCCCAAUUAAAUUAAUCAUUUAUUUUGUUCGUCAUUUAUUUCCCAAAGCAUAAUAUGUACAUCCUAUUCUAAUUACUAUUAAAAAACAGGUUAUAGAGGUUUGAGGAAGUUGAAAAGCCUGCAUCUAUCGGGAGUUGGAAUUAGAGAUGGAAUCAAGUUGUUACAGUCAAUGGGAUCAUUCCCAUCCCUCAACACUCUUUACCUGAUGGAUAAUAAUUUGACGGAAAUAGUGACAACUACUACUCAAGGUAAGUAAAAAGUACAGAUGUGGCCAAAUUAUAAAUAAACUGUUAAUUAAUUAAUUUUCCGUAUUAUUAAUAAAGCUAAAUUCGUUGCUUCUUCUUUCUAAUUCUAAACAGAGUUGCACAAUUUCACCAACUUGGAAUAUUUGAGAUUGGACCAUUCCUCUCUCCAUAUAGGCCUUCUGCAAAGCAUUGCAUCAAUGUUCCCUUCGUUAAAAAAUCUGUCAAUGUCUCAUUGUGAAGUCAAUGGUGCCCUACGUGAUCAAGGUAAAAGAAAAGUGUUGAUUGUGAACUCACUCAAUGGUGUCCUAUGUGUUCAAUGUUUUUUUUUAUUUAUUUUAUUGUUUAAUGUUUCUGCUAGGUUUUCCUCAUUUUAAGCGUUUGGAACAUUUGUACAUGGAUUACGCGCGCAUUACACUCAACACCAGCUUUAUUCAAAUCAUCGGUGAAUCGAUGCCUACUCUUAAGUACUUAUCACUGUCAAAUUCUAGUCUUAGCACUAACAGCAGGACUCUUGAUCAAGGUUAAUGAGAUGCUCCCACCCUCCCCUCUUAAUCUAUAAUAUUAAUUUUCGAUUAAAAUUAUGAUUACACAAACCAAUCACUUCUAUAUGAAAGAAUGCUCUGCAUUUGUUAAUUUUUAUAUCGUACUGAUGGAUGAAUUAAUAAAUUUUCAGGCCUCUGCUCAUUGGCGCAUCUGCAAGAGUUGUACAUUGAUAAUAAUGAUUUAAGAGGUAGCUUGCCUUGGUGCUUGGCAAAUAUGACAUCCCUCCGAAUAUUAGAUGUUUCUUUCAAUCAACUUACUGGAAGCAUCUUCUCAUCUCCCCUCGCUCAUUUGACAUCCAUUGAAGAGCUGUGGUUUUCAUACAAUCACUUCCAAAUCCCAAUUUCACUUGAACCACUUUUCAAUCACUCAAGACUCAAGAUAUUGCAAGCUGACAACAACGAAAUAAAAGCUGAAAUAAUUGAGUCACAUUCUUUGACCCCAAAAUUCCAAUUACAAUUUCUCUCCUUGUCCUCCGGUUACGGAGAUGGUUUCACAUUCCCCAAAUUCCUUUACCAUCAACAUGACCUACAGGAUGUUUAUUUCUCACACAUAACGAUGACUGAAGAAUUUCCAAUUUGGUUGUUGGAAAACAACACAAAAUUAGAAUUUCUUUUUCUCGUCAAUGAUUCUCUUGCAGGACCUUUCCGAUUGCCAAUUCAUUCACACAAGAGGUUAAGGUUGUUAGAUGUCUCUAACAACAACUUGGAAGGCCACAUUCCAAUAGAAAUUGGAGAUAUUUUACCAAGUUUAUAUGUUUUCAACAUUUCCAUGAAUGCUUUAGACGGUAGCAUUCCCUCUUCAUUUGGUAAUAUGAACUUCCUCCAAAUUCUGGACUUAUCCAACAAUCAAUUGACUGGUGAAAUCCCUGAGCACUUGGCUGUCGGUUGCGUCUACUUGGAGUCUCUUGCGUUAUCAAACAACAACCUAAAAGGUCACAUGUUUUCUAGAAAUUUUAAGCUGGUAAACUUGAAAUGGUUACAAUUGGAGGGCAAUCACUUCGUAGGAGAGAUCCCACUAAGUUUGUCUAAAUGCUCUUCGCUAGAAGGAUUGUAUCUUGAUAAUAACAGUCUCUCAGGUAAGAUUCCACGAUGGUUGGGUAAUCUCACAUGGUUAAUACAUCUUAUAAUGCCCAAGAAUCAUCUUGAAGGUCUUAUUCCAGUGGAGUUUUGUCAUCUUCAUUCGCUUAAGAUUUUGGACAUUUCAGACAACAAUAUAUCUGGAAGUUUACCAUCUUGUUUCCUUCCUCUCUCUAUUGAACAAGUUCACUUGUCAAGAAAUAUGUUACAUGGACAGCUAAAAGAAGGUACAUUCUUUAAUUGCUUUUCCCUUAUGAAGUUAGAUCUUAGCUAUAACCAGUUAAAUGGUAGCAUUCCAAAAUGGAUUGAUGGGCUUUCUCAGUUAAGCCACCUUAUCUUGGCUCACAAUAAUCUUGAAGGUGAAGUACCAGUUCAACUGUGCGAACUGAACCAACUGCAAUUGUUGGAUCUUUCUAAUAAUAAUCUUCAUGGUGUUAUUCCUGAUUGCUUUGAUAACACCACACUUCAUGAAAGUUACAACAAAAAUUCUAGUCCUGAUAAGCCAUUUGAAAUGUCUUUUUCUGUCAGAGGCCCUCAAGAAAAUGUAAAAAAGAAAAUCCUUGAAAUUUUGGAAUUCACAACAAAGAACAUUGCCUACACUUACCAAGGAAAAGUGCUUAGCCUCCUAUCAGGACUUGAUCUUUCUUGUAACCAGCUAAUCGGUCAUAUUCCUCUUCAAAUUGGAAAUUUGACCAGGAUUCAAACAUUGAAUCUAUCACACAACAGCUUGAUAGGAUCAAUCCCAUCAACAUUUUCAGAAUUGAAGCAUAUCGAAAGUUUGGAUCUUUCUUACAACAAAUUGAAUGGGAAGAUCCCUUAUCAGCUUGUGAAGUUAAAUACAUUGGCUAUUUUUAGUGUGGCAUACAAUAACUUAUCAGGCAAGAUCCCAGAAUGGACUGCACAAUUUGCAACCUUCAACGUGAGUAGCUAUGAGGGAAAUCUUUUUCUUUGUGGAUUGCCAUUGCCCAUUUGCAGCCCACCACCAACUAUGCCAAGGGCUUUAACUAGCAAUGAAGGAGAUGAUAAUUUAAUUGAUAUGGAUAGUUUCUUUAUCACAUUUACAACAUCGUACGUAAUUGUGAUAUUUGGAAUCGUCGGCGUUCUAUAUGUGAAUCCUUAUUGGCGACGUAGGUGGUUUUAUCUUGUUGAAAUGUGGAUAAUUUCCUGUUAUUAUUUUGUCAUAGACAAUCUUAUUCCAACAAGAUUUUGUUAUUGAAAUUAAUAAGUAGUUUAAUUAAGAUCCUUUAAGUACUAAUCAAGUUUGCUUAAGAAAUAGUUUUUUUUUUAAUUGAAAACUACAAGAAAAAUAGUAUAUGACAACAUGCAAAGAGUGUUGUAGAAGGGAUAUCACAACAAGCAUAUGAACGUUGCGGUUCUUGAUGUAGCGAAAAGUAGGUAACUUUCGACUACGUGCAAUUCACGUUGUUGAAAAAGAUAUGAACGUUGUUAAAUAUCAUAUGACAACUUACAAUGAUUGUGGUUAAAAAGAUCAUGUGCUUCCAAACUUUCGACUACAAGCCUAUGAAUGUGGCUAUAAAUUAUAUAGCAACAAGCAACUAAAUGUCGCCAUUAAUUCUAAUUUUUAUUUACAAUAAACCACAUAUCCUGCAUGUUGUCAAAAAAACAACAAUAUAUUAUUAAUAAUUAUUAUUAUCAUUAUUAUGACUACUAAUAUUAUCAUUUUUAUUACACUAUUACUGCCGCCAUAUGUAAAAUUCAUGCGAACUAAUUCUACAAUUUGACUUGUUAUAAUAAGUUUUCAUAAACUUAGUAAUAAGCACACAUCACAGCUAAGGGUCACACCAACAUUUUUGUAUUCAUACAAAUUCUAUUACAUAGCAAAUAUGAAAAACACCAUAUACCAUCAGUUUAAAUUUCAUCUAGCCAAACACCCAAAAAAUUAGUAAAAAAACACAUUAGUGGCUGUUGCAAUUCCAUAAAUAUCAACUUAAAAAAAACCAUCUCCAACGAAAGCUUCUUCAAUUUAGCAAUUCCAUCAAAAACUUGUUCAGGGCAUAUAUACACUCCUAAAAAAAUAUUAACUGAAUCAAUAUUCAUUUGUUGCAUUUGGAAUAUAAUUAUACACACACACACACACCCAAGAAGAAUAUUUUAUGCCUACAUACCUUUUUUAAAACAAUUUGAUACAACUUCCUGAUUAUUUCUCAUUUCUCUAAACUUCUUGCUUAUUGCCUGUCCGGCAAAUAUUAAAAUGUAUAAUUUUCAUAGACAUGAAACUUAACAUGGAUACUAUAAGUGCAAUGCUACGGACUAGCUUACUUUAAAUUCUGGAGAUAAUCUUUACUUGACAAUAUUAGCCCAAUCUUCUUUGAAAAUUAUACUUUUUUGGCCUAAUAAGAGCAACCAGCUCUGUCAUGUACUUUUUUGGUUUCCUUUAUCUUAGUUGUUAGCUCUGAUUUGUAUUGUCUCCAACAAUCACCCAUCGUUCUUAAUGCCAAGCAUUCAAGAUAAAAAAUGUAUUUCUAAAUAAAGAUAAUUACUAUGUAAUUCCAUAAACAUGCACCAAGGGCCAAUAGUUCGCUGUCAACUAAAAGCUAAUUUUCAAUGCACACAAGCACAUGCUCUCAUGUUAUAACUCUAAUAAAAGUGCAUAUUUGUAAGAAUUUACACCUACUAGCUGGCCAUAGUCGUUAAAUUCAAUGCUUAAUGAUGGAGAACAAUCUUGAAUCAUUCCAAGUUUGGUUGGACCUCUUUUGUCUUUUGGUGCAUCUAUCAUCAGAUUGAGGUUUGUGUGCAUUUUCCCUAUUGCUAGUUGCUAAUGAUCCAUUCUCCUCUUGAAUAGUUGCAUUUUCUCUAAAUUUAUCUCGACUUGCCUAGAAGACUUUGUAACGCAUAGCAAAAUUAAUGUAGGAAUAAACAUACUAGAAAAAAGUAUAUGAACAUGAAAAAGUAUAAUUUAAAGUUGAACAAAAAAAAAAAAUUCUUACUUAUACUAAACAAAAUGUAAUCACUCUCACUGGCCAAUAAUAAAUCUUGGAACCCUCUUUGUGGUUUUUUCAAUACUAAAUACUAAUUUGAUUUUUCAUUAUCCUUAGAAUAAAUCCAAAUUGGCUUUGUCCCUCAUGAAGUUUAACCAAAGUGAAUCCUUCGUCAACUUUAACACCAUUAACUAUAUUAGUUCAGUCACAUUUGAAAAUAGGGAACUAAAAGUAUUGUAAUCAAGCACUAAUAUAUCUCUCAAAACUCCAUAGUAAGUAACUUUUCCAAAAGAGAAAUCCAUUUUGAAUUUUAAUUAUACAAGGGGGAAACAGUACCUCAAGUUUGCUCUAUAAUCAGAUCCUAAAAUGUCACAGCUGAUUCAGGAGAUUAAUGGCAUUAACAGAAGUAACUAGUCAACAACGCCAAUAAGAGAUUAAAAUUGUGCCUUUCAAUUGAAAAAAAAAAUCAUUAUCCGUCUCACUAGUAAUAUUUACUCAUUUAAAUUAUUUUUACCGAAAUCAGUUUAUCUUGAAAAUAAAAUAUAAUCUUCAAAAUUAUCUUUUCCAUGUAAAAUAUUUAGCUUCAGGCGUUUCAAAAGAAAAUAAUCUUUUGGUUUCAAUCACCCACCACAGAAAAAGUAACAUUUAUUUUAUUCAUGCAUAACAGAUGAACCCCACAAGCAAUAAAGAAUUGUGCCACUUACCAAACAAUGAAUCUACAAUGGGACGAUGUCGAGUGAUUUUGAGUGAGAAGAAGUAUAGGGUGAAGACCCAAAUCUUCUAAAAACAAAAUAGGUGGAAAGAGUAAAUUAUUAAUUAAAUGGAAUUAGGGAAGUGAAAGUGAGCUUUAUCAAUGAAAUUGAAAAGAAGAGUACCUGAUACACUCAUUUCCUUGGGUGGGCAGCCGCCAUUACGAUGAAGAUUGAGAGGCCUGCUUUGCUUUAGUGGCAGAGAAAGAGUAAAGUGGUACUGCAAAGAGAACCGAGGGUUUCACUAAGUCAAUUUGUCUCUUUUUUCCCCCCUUUUUACCGCGCUUUAACCCGUGCGCGCAAAAUGAAAUUUUUUAUUUAUUACACAUUAUUUUCUAUUACUUUACUUUUAAAAAAAUAUUGUAGUUAAUGAUACCCUCAAAAAAUUUAUUUGUUAUAAUACUUUUAUGCAUAAAUUCCAUGAGCAACUAUUUAUGUUUUAAUUUUCACCAAUUUCAUAUUAAAUGAGAUAACAAAGAAUUUUACAAAAAAAAAAAUAUUUUCAACAACAUGCAACAUAUAAACGUUCUUAUUUAAAUAAUAAUUUUUGCAACAGGCAAUUCAUUGUUGCCUUAAAUAAUUAAUUGCAACAUGCAAAUUAUGAAUGUUGUUAUUACAUACUCCUAUACCGCAACAAAUGGUCGCUCGUUGUCGUAAGGUUUUAGACCACAGUCACUUUUUGCGUGUUGCUAAAACUUUAUAUUUACCAACAUGCAGUUUAUGACUGUUGUUAAUUAUAAAUUUGACAACAUUCCAUCUGUGCACGUUGUUAAAAUGAUGUUGCCUUAUCCCAAUUUUCUUGUAGUAGUAUUGAUCAUUAUAUCACUUCCAGCUUCAAAGCACCUAGCAUUUGUCUCUACACUUAGAAAGCUGGAUGAUUUUGCUUUGCAGAUCUAGAUUUGAAGUAGGAUGGUUCCAAACCCAUAUCUAUCUAUUGUAGCUUACCUAUGUUGUACAGCAUACUUAAACGAUAACACCAUCUCCAAUGUUAAAAGUAGCCAUUAUAUAAGAUUCUUAUGGAAACUAUAUUCGAAAUAGAUUUAUAAUCAUACAUAGGAAAUGAAAAACCUUGCUGCACUUGCUCGCCUAUUUUACUCUGAGCAAGAACAUCAUCUUUUUCAUUUGCAGCAUUAACAUCAAACCAAGGGAUGGAGACCCAGACAUUUCAUCAAGAAAGGCAUAAAUCUACUAAAGUUGAAGCUUUGACAAAAAAUUCAGUCGAAAGUCAAUGUCUGACCACAAGAAAGGGCACAACAACAUCAUUCUAGAAGAGAUGAAGCAAUAUUCUCAAAGCUAACGCUCUCAAAUACACCACACCAGAAUUUCAUAUCUCCUCGUCAAUUUUAAAAACUAAAGAUAAUUAGGAUUUAACAUUAGUUUGUUAUACAUUAGUUUCAUAAUUUACAAGCCAAUGAAGAUGAAGAUUAUGCCAAUGAAUUCAAAUUAUAUCAUACAUUCUCUGGAUGUUUCCAAAAAUUUACAAGUCGAUCCCACAUAUUUCAUAAUUCUAAGACUGGAAAGUUUCAUUAGUUAGAAAUUCAUUAUCUUCAAGUGGAAGAUGAAGAAAAACAUUAUGCAAGUGAUUCAUAUUAUAUCAUACAUUCUCCGAAUGCAACUAAAAUCAACAAGUUCAUGCCCACAAAUUUGAUAACAUUAUGAUUGGAAAGUUUCACAGAGACUUGAGAAAGGCAUUAUGAUUGAUUUGAGUUACUUUGUGAUCAAGCUACUAAUAUAACAUUCAAUUCAAGGAGGGAAUAAGUUGGGAAGAAAUAGUAGUAAAAAUUUGUUACUACAUAAUUCUCCUCAACUUUGAGAUAAAUACAAAUGUGAAAAUGUAUACGAUCUAAUAUUACAGAUAUGAAAAUGCAAAUGAUCACACAUAUUACUUGCAACUUAGCAAGCUUUAACUAAGAGGAGCAAUCAAACUACUUAUCAAUUGUCGUAGACAUUCCGUAAUCUAAAAUGGAAAUAUAAUGCAAGAAAAAGAACAUACAGAUACUUGGCAGAAGUUCAUUAAGAACUCCAACCAUAUUCGAGUCAUGAGUUUGCUUUUGAUAUCUUGUUAGCUGGGGUUUUCUCCUGUCUAUUGACGUAUGCUGAGGGAAAUGACACAACUUAAAAGUAAUUUUUAACUCCCAAGUCUAAGAGUGUCUUGUUGUAUUAUAACUCGGUGAGCCCGAUGUCGAUCCACAGAGAAAAGAUUUAAUUAGUUUACUUUAUUUUAACUAAAAAUUGAAAUUAAAACUUAAAUAUAAACAACUUAAUUUAAAUGAAACUAUGAAAUUAAACUAGUUAUGAUUAUGGAUCCACUCUUAGAAGUAAAUAAAACUUAAUAAAUUCUUUUUGCCCUUUUUUUACAUUUAUUGCCCAAAAGAUUAAUUAUAUAAAUUAUUAUUAUUUUCCCUUUAAUUUUAUGAUGGAUUAAGUAUUUAUUGUGCCAAAAUUUAAUUUGUCUACAAUAAGUCAAAAUACCAUUUUACCAUACCUUAUAUUAAGAUAUUAAGAAUUUAUUGUGCCAAAUUCAUUUGUUUGUCUACAAUAAAUCAAAAUUUCAAAAUAUAAAAUAUGUAUAAAAUUAAAUAGAAAAUAAUUUAAUUUAUAAAAUUAAAAAUAGAAUUUGCUUAAAUCAUAUUUAUUUCCUAAGAGUUUCACCUUCCCCUAACUAAUAUUAUUUAGUUAAGCAUAAUUAAAAUAAAAAGAAGUAGUAAAAUUGAAUUACUUAUAAUUAAAAGAAAUAAAAACAACUAAAAUUGGAAAUAAAAAUAAUUUUAUUUAUAAAAAUAAUUAUACAAAAGAUUAAAAACACACCUGGAAAUCAAGAUUAUAAGGAGAUGGAGAGAAUUUGAGAAGAAAAGAGUUGUAGAGAGAUGAUUAAAAACAUAAAAAUGAGGCUCUAUUUAUAGAAAAAUAAAUUCAUAAUCCAGUGCUUUGCGGUCCAUCAUAAGCUUCAUGCAUGUGCUCCUCACAACCUUUAGAUCAAGAUCCAAUGGCUGGUCAAACUUCAAAAGUCAACAUCACACGUGGCAUCGUUUGACUCGUUCGAUUUGCCCAAAGAACGGUUGAGAUUUGGAGGGUUAAUGGGUGGAUCAGGUCGACCCGAAUACAAAGAUUCGGAUCCUCCAACUUGCUUCACCAACCAUUGCCACGUGGCACACUCAUGGCCAUUGAAUCAUGAACGGUUGAGAUUUAGUCAAAAUUGCCAGCUAUCCCAUGCACUCAUACCUAUUGUAAGCUCAUUUCAUCAUCCAAUCAGUGCUUGGUCAACAGGAAAAGUCAACUUUUUUUUACACAAGCCCAAUUUUAAGCCGAUCUUGACUGAUUUUAAGGUUUUCGGACCUCCGGAAUCCAAAUUUGACCUUCGUUUAUCUGUUUGGAGCCUCGAAUUACGUGAAAUCAAUAUUUUUCCUAAUAAACACAUAAAAAUACAUAAAAUUAAAUAUAUUUAAAACAUAAUUAAUAAUUCCUAAUAUAUUACAUAAACAAAAAUAUAAAUUAUAACAUAAGCAUAAAAUAACAUAUUAUCGCUUGAUAAUUAAACAAUUUUUAAUACUAAUCACACCCCCCAACCAGCUUAUUGCUAGCCCUCUAGCAAUUAAAGCGUUAUAUUAAAUUAAGAUUUAUAAAAUUCACAUGCAAGUUAAUAAUUGUUCAUCUAUCUUCUAAAUUACCAAAUAAAUGAACUCUCCCAAAUUUCUUUACCAUAUUGAUGUUCCUUCAUUAUCCAGAAUAUCAUCAAACCUUCUUUUGUGCUCCAGUAAUUAACACAAUACUUAUGGGGCUUCAUUAAAAGAAAAACAACAUUUUCGUUACAAAAUUCAUUAGAAAUUAUAUCUUUAGGCAAUAGAUUAUUCACACACACACACACACACACACACACAUAUAUAUAUAUAUAUAUUUUAAAUAUUACAUUUCUAACCCGUGUAGCAAGCUUUAGGUCAGUGACUCCCAAACCAGUUGACCUUAGGGCACUAGGUGUUGAAACACCCCUACGGACUUAAUUACUCGGGUUUCUAGAUAUAACAAAAUUAAAAACAUUUUUUUUUCUUUUUUUUCUUUUUGUUUUUGUUUUUUUUUUUUUUUGCAAUAUACACUUUCUACUACCUUAGAUACUAUUCCUAAUAAAUCAAAAGAACUAAAUGCUGUAAAAUUUUAACUUACAACCCACUAGUAUGUAUCAUAAUGUGUGUGUGAAGAAUGAUUCAACAAUACCUGUUAAAUGAGUAAACAAUUAAAUAACUUAAUAACCAAGUGGAGAGUUCACAAAUUCGGGUAAUUCAAAGAAAAGGGAACAAAAACAAUUUACUAUGAAUCUCAAAAUCAAAAUAUAAUACAACAAGACUAUUAGGAUGCGUCUCAAAAGUCGUGACUCUUUACACGGCCAUCCUAGACAAAAACAAAAAUGUUUUUUUUUAAGAAAGAAAAGAAAAAAGAAAAGAGAAAAACAACACACAUAUUUAAAAACAUACGUCAAUUAUCCCCACUCCACAACCUAAUCUAAACAUUAUCUUAACAUUUUAUAAUUUUACAAAUAUGCAAAAAAUAAUAAUAAUAAUAAUAAAAGAGAAUAAUAAAAGAAAAAGAAGAGGAGAUCUCACCUGAACUUGAUGCAGAAGCUUAAAAGCGGAUAACAAAGAUGAAGAAAAAGUCAAUUUUUUUUUUUUAACAACACCCUUAAGACUAAGAAGAUGCGUUUCUAGAGGUACUGCAUUCUCUAUAUCCUGUCAUCUUCGACUCAAAUUUGUCCUAAGUUAGUCUUUACAGAAAAAAAAAAUUUUGUUUUUUUGUUUUUUUUUUUUGUAAACACAUCACCAGGACUAAGACAUUCCACAAUUAUUAACUAUUCCCUCCCCCUAACCUGAAAAAGACAUUGUCCUCAAUGUUUUAAAAGGAAAGAGAAAGAGUUUAGAAGACAACACAUGAACACUACAACAGAAAAUAUUUAGAGACGGAGAGUUAAAUCUAAAUCGCACUUCUUAUUACUGCUACUGUUACCGCUACCAUCAUUAGUUGACCAAUUCAGUGUAAAAGUUUUUGGAUUUGGCUCUGGUGUAUAAGCUUGUAAAAGAUCAAGUAACUCAUUAGUAGUAGAAGCAGAAAUAAAGAGUUUUUUUUAUAGAAUAUGGAACAAAAUGAUUCUUUAUUGCAUGGUUAAUAAAAGUUAGCAAGCCGUCAUAAAAAUUAUUAACAUUUAACAAACCGAUGGGUUUUUUAUGAAUGUUCAAGUGGGCCCAGGAUGCAAAUGUAAUUAGUGCCUCAAAAGUUGCAAGAUCUCCUGGCAAGAAAAUAAAAGCAUCAGCAUGAUUCAUCAUUUCAGAUAUUCUGUCUUGCAUACUUGAUACCACUAAUUCUUCUCCAAUUGGUGGGCCAAACAACUUCUGAGACAAGUCUUGAUAACCCUCGUUCACCUCCUCCAUAUGCAAGAUGCAGUUUCCUCUCUGCUAUGACACGACCAAGAUCUACAGCUGCCUGAACGAACUCUUUGUACUUUCCAUAGUAAAACCCAGAAAAGCACACAAAUGUUUUUGAAUUGUUUACUCGAAGAUGCUGCCAUUGGACUAAUUUUCAAAAACAAGUUGUGAGUGUUUGAAAAACGAGCUCAUAUUUAAAGAUCUUGGUGACAUAAAUAAUGAGAAACAGCUGUAAAUGGGUUGGCAUAUUUGUCAAAUGAAGAGUAAAGCUCGUGGCUCAAUAAUUCAAAAAUAAACAGUAAAAAGAAAAUAAUGAUUAGAAAAAGCAAACAGUAAAAGAAAACAAUAUUUAUUAAAUACAAAAUCACAUCACUAAAUGCAAUAAUACAAAUGAUAAAAUAACAGUGAAGUGAAAGGAUAUUUACUGGUAGUUGUGAUUGCGGCUCACAUCUUCCUCUGGUUUUACGUCCAGUAACGGCUUGAAUGCCCUCUAUGGGUCGAGGAUCGGCUUGCCAUCCAGUUUUCUUAUAAACUGGCAAACAUGGUCUUUUUGAGUCAGAUUCCCAAGACUAAACUGUGUACUUUAUUUUUGGAAUACUAUCCACAAAUUAUAAAUCUCAUGUUGCACAAAUUCACUUCAAUGCGUCUCAAGAGAUCGUAAGAUAUCAUCCAAUGAUUCUUUACUCAUGCCAUCUUUAACGAAUUUAAUUUUAUCUUUACGAGUAUCAGAAACCAUUCCUAAAGAUUUACAAUCUGGUCGUUUGCAACCAAGUCUUACACAGUUAUGACAUUUUGAGCCAAGUCGUUUAGCUCUCCUUUUCUUAGCAAACGUACUUUUACCAAAACCAGGCAUGUAAGAAACAAAUGGAUCAGAAAACUCACCUGCUAAUCAGACCUUUGCUUCAAUUAACCAACGAAUGUCAGAAGGAAUGCCAUUGAUCAUUAACAAACGCAGUCGUUCACAACGAGCUUUGUAAAUUUUCCUGAGGGCAUUCUGAGGGAGAGAGGGAAAAUGCUUAUUGAGUUUAUGUUGUAUUUCUUCCAUGUUUGAUUUUGGGGUUUCAGUUAUUGUGGGAAACUGAAGAUACCGACUUAAGAAGUCACGGAGUACCGUUAUCCGCCAUUUAUACGGGAAAAUAAAUCAAAACACACCAAAAUCAAAUCUGCAAAAUCAAAUCAAACGUGAAAGCGAGCAAAAAGAAACACACAAUAUAAAAGGAAAAUGAACUUACAUUCGUCCUCUCAUUGAGUUAACCUCAAGCUCUAAUUGAAAUUCAUAUAUGCCACUCUCUACUGUUCUGAGUUGUCCCUCUAAAUCCUCAACAUAAGACACGAAUUCUGGUGGUUGCAGAUCCCAAAGUGGAUGUGAUUUACAGCUUUGUAUCAGGCCUCUUAAGUGAAAUUUCACACGCAGAAAUCUUUUUAGAUGUGCGAACAUGAAUUUUCUCAUUGAGGUGCUCAUGAUGUAAAAUGAAAAUUGAUGAAAGAAUGUACAACUGUCAAACAAACACGCUUACACAAGAAAAACAAUGUUAAAAAAAAUAUGUACAGUGCAUCAAUCUAGAGAAAAAAAAAUCAAACAAUGAAAUGGUAAAAUAAUAGUAAAACAAAAAUAAAUAAAUAAAUCAUUAAAGACUUAAUCAAGAACUGGUAGGUCACCCAAAUUAAUUUCGGUGUCCUCGUCACGUGGGUGAUGUUCCAGAUAUGGUUUUAAUCUUUGACCAUUAACUUUAAAUGUGACACCAUUCUUUGAAUUCUCAAUUUCUAUGGCCCCAUAUGAAUAUACAUUUUUUACAACAAAUGGGCCACUCCAUUUUGACUUUAACUUCCCUGAAAAUAAAUGAAGACGAGAAUUAUAAAGCAACACUUUUUGACCAAUCUCAAAUGUUUUUCGAAAAAUUCUUUUAUCAUGAAAUGCUUUUGUUCUUGCCUUAAUAAUUCUUGAAUUUUCAUAUGCAUCAUUCCUUAAUUCCUCAAGUUCAUUCAAUUGCAAUUUUCACACAUUAUCAGCAUCAUCUAAAUUUGAAUUAAAAGCUUUAAUAGCCCAAAGUGAUUUAUGUUCAAGUUCAACAGGUAAAUGACAAGGUUUACCAUAAACUAACCGAUAAAGUGACAUUCCUAAUGACGUUUUAAAUGCAAUAUGAUAGGCCCAAAGUGCAUCAUUAAGUCUAAGCGACCAAUCUUUUCGGUUUGGGUCAACCGUUUUUUUCCAAAAUUUAUUUUAUCUCCCUAUUUGCUAAUUCAACUUGACCAUUUGUUUGAGGAUGAUAAGGGGUAGCAAUUUUAUGUGUAAUUCCAUAUUUCUUCAUUAAAGACUCAAAUGACUUAUUACAAAAAUGCUUACCUCCAUCACUGAUAAUGGCUCGAGGGAUUCCAAAUCGACUUAAAAUAUUUUCUCUUAAAAAUUUAACCACAGUUUUACUAUCAUUAUUUCGACAGGAAAUUGCUUCAAUCCAUUUUGAGACAUAAUCAACUGCAACUAAUAUAUACACAAAUCCAAAAGAUGAUGAAAAUGGACCCAUGAAAUCAAUUCCCCAACAGUCAAAUAUUUCAAUUUCAAGUAUGGGAUUUAAGGGCAUCAUGUUUCUUUUUGUAAUUGAUCCCAAUUUUUGACAUUUUUCACAACUUUUGCAAAAUUCAUAUGUGUCUUUGAACAUGGUAGGCCAAUAAAAUCCACACUGUAAAAUUUUAGCAGUAGUUUUUCUUGAAGAAAAGUGACCACCACAUGCUUCAGAAUGACAAAAAUUAAUGACACUACUUACCUCAUUAUCAGGAAUACGUCGCCGAAAAAUUUGAUCUGGGCAAUAUUUGAACAAAUAAGGGUCAUCCCAAUAAAAUUUCUUUACUUCAACAAAAAAUUUCUUUUUCUCUUGAGCAUUCCAUUGCAAAGGCAUUAUACCUGUAACAAGGAAAUUAACAAUGUUAGCAUACCAAGGCAUUGAAGUAACAGAAAAUAAAAAUUCAUCAGGGAAAGAAUCAUUUAUGGGUGUUAUAUCAUUGCAGAAUUCGGAUGUGAGUCUUGAUAAAUGAUCAGCAACAACAUUUUCAGCACCCUUUUUAUCUUUGAUGGUAAGGUCAAAUUCUUGUAGUAACAACAUCCAACGAAUUAGUCUUGGUUUGACAUCCUGUUUACUCAUCAAAUAUCUCACAGCAGCAUGGUCAGUAAACACAACAGAUUUAGAGCCAAGCAAAUAUGAACGGAAUUUGUUUAAUGCAAAUACCACAGCAAGUAAUUCUUUUUCAGUUGUAGAAUAAUUCAUUUGAGCACUAUUCAAAGUCUUACUCGCAUAAUAAAUCACAAAAGGCUUACCAUCCCUUCUUUGUCCUAAAACAAUACCAACAGCAAAAUCACUUGCAUCACACAUUAAUUCAAAUAACAAAGACCAAUAAGGAGAUUGCAUAAUAGGUGCAGAUGUUAAAAGACAAAUUAUUUUUUUAAAAGAUUUUUGGCAAUCAUCAUUCCAUUCAAACGGUGCAUCUUUUAAUAAGAGGUUACAAAGUGGUUUAGAUAUGGCACUAAAGUUUUUUAUAAACCUCUUAUAAAAUCCUGCAUGUCCUAAAAAGGAUCGCACAUCUCUAACUGUUUUUGGUUGUGGCAAUUUAGAUAUGACUUCGAUUUUUGCUUUAUCAACUUCAAUUCCUUUAAUAGAAACAACAUGACCCAAAAUAAUUCCAGAAGUAACCAUGUAGUGACAUUUUUCCCAAUUCAACACGAGGUCUUUUUCAACACAUCUUUUUAAAACUUUCUCCAAAUUAUCAAGGCAAUCAUCAAAAGAAUUCCCAAACACAGCCAAAUCAUCCAUAAAGACCUCUAAACAAUGUUCAACCAUAUCACAAAAAAUGCUUAACAUACAUUUUUGAAAUGUUGCAGGAGCAUUACAAAGCCCGAAUGGCAUUCUUUUAAAUGCAAAUGUUCCAAAAGGACAUGUAAAUGUGGUCUUUUCUUGGUCCUCAAGUGCUAUAGGAAUUUGAUAAUAGCCUGAAUAUCAAUCUAAAAAACAGUAGUAGGGAUGUCCUGCUACUCUUUCUAAUAUUUGGUCAAGGAAUGGUAAUGGAAAAUGAUCUUUUCUAGUGGCUUCAUUUAAUUUUCUAUAAUCAAUGCACAUGCGCCAACUAGAUGUAAUUCGCGUUGGAAUUAAUUCACCUUUUUUCAUUUUUAACAACAAUGAUUCCAGAUUUUUUAGGCACUACUUGUGUAGGACUUACACACUUACUAUAAAAAAUAGGGUAGAUAAUUCCCACAUCAAGCAAUUUAAGGACUUCUGUUUUGACAACCUCUUUCAUGUGUGGGUUUAAUCUUCUUUGAGGUUGUUCACAUGUUUUAGCAUUUUCUUCCAAAUUAAUUCUAUGUGUGCAAAUUAAGGGAUUAAUACCUUUAAUAUCAUUUAAAGUCCAUCCAAUUGCAUUUUUAUACUUUUUAAGAACAGGUAGUAACUUACCUUCUUAGUCGCUUGUUAAAAUAGAAGAAAUCACAACAGGAUAAGUUUGUUCUUCUCUAAGAAAAGUAUAUUUCAAUCCUUCAGGCAAAGGUUUCAAUUCCAUUUUAGGUGCUUCUUGUUGUUCUGUCUUUUCAAUACUUCCAAGCUCCUCAAAUUUUGGCUCGUCAUCAUAAUUUUGUGAAGUCUGCACAGAAUCAAGCAACGAAUUUAUAUUAGAAAUAUUUAGUUCAAGUUGCUUAUUUGACUCAAUUGAAUUAACUAAAUAAACAUUUGAGAGUUUAGAAAAAUCCCCUUUUUGAAUAUUUUUCUUGAUACAAGAUUCAAACAAUUCAUUUUGUUCAUCAGUAUCAUCUUCAUUCUCAUUUUCUUUAUUAGGUUGCCUGCACAUGUUGAAAACAUUUAAUUCCAAAGUCAUAUUCCCAAAAGAUAAAUUCAUUAAACCAUUCCUACAAUUAAUCAAAGCAUUAGUAGUUGCUAAAAAUGGUCGACCUAAAAUUACAGGAAUUGGUUUGUAAUUAUUCACAACAGGUUCAGUUUCCAAGACAAUAAAAUCUACAGGAUAGAUGAAUUUAUCAACUUGUACUAAAACAUCUUCCACUAUUCCUUUUGGUACUUUAACUGAUCUAUCGGCAAGCAAAAGUGUAGUUGAAGUUGAUUUUAACUCACCAAGAUUAAGUUGAAGAUAAACUGAAUAAGGAAGCAAAUUAACACUAGCUCCAAGAUCUAGUAAAGCAUGCUCAAUUUUGUGAUUACCAAUAAUACAAGAAAUGGUAGGACAACCAGGAUCUUUAUAUUUCAACUUAUUAUUAGUAGACAGAAUUGUACUUACCUGUUCGGCCAUGAAAGUACUCUUUCUUACCUUCAAUUUCCUCUUAACAGUGCACAAGUCCUUUAAAAAUUUGGCAUAUGAAGGUACCUGCUUGAUUGCAUCUAAUAGAAGAAUGUUAACUUUCACUUGCUUAAAGAUUUCAUAAAUUUCAGAAGAGUGGUUUAUUCAAUGCAUGCGGAAAUGGUGGUUCAGGUGGAACACUAGUUAUUUCUUCACUAGGUGUAAGUUCAUUUAGUCCUUCCUUACCCUUUGAAUUUUCAUUAUUUUCAUAAGGUUCAGGCAUAGGUCUAUCAACAACCUUACCACUACGAAGAGUUAUAACUGACUUGACUUGGUCUGUGGGUGGAUUUUGUUGAAUUUUAGGAUUUGGUUGUGGUUGAGCUGGAAAUUUUCCUUUUUCUUGAAUGGUGAGUGCAUAAGCAAUUUUAGCAAGAGUAUCUUUCAAAUCAGAAAAAGUUUGUGCAUUUUGAUUGUUAAUAACAUCUUGCUUUCUGAUGAAUGAAUGCAUUGUGCCUUCCAGAUUUUUCCAGGGUGGUGGAACAUAUGGUGCAUAAGGCUGAGGAUUUUGAAAAUUUUGUGGAGGUGGUGCUUGUGAAGAUUGUGCAUUAUUAUUAUUCCUCCAACUGAAAUUCGGAUGAUUUCUCCAACCAGGAUUAUAAGUCUAUGAAUAUGAGUUUGGUUUAUUGAAAGUGUUAAUGACAUUAGCUUGAUCAUUUAGACAUUCUUUAAGUGUAGGCAAAGUGGGACACUCUUGAGUGAAAUGAUCAUUCGAACUACAUAUGUUACAUGCAAUUUCUUGAACAUAUUUUACUUGAUCACUCUUUUUAUGCUCCAAAGCUUCAACUUUCCUAACUAGGGAUGCAAAUUUUGCUUGUAAAUCAUGAUCUUCCCUAAGGUUAUAGAUUCCUCCACUAGAUGGAGAUGAUUGUUGCUUAUUUGUCAAUUCAAAAAUUCCAACAGUAUCCCAAUGUUGUGUAUUUUCAGCUAAUUGGUCAAGGUAAUCUAGUGCAUCUUCAGGAUUUUUAUCCCUAAAUUCACCAUUACACAUCAUUUCAACAACCGGUCUACUUUGGGGUAUUAAGCCCUAGUAGAAGUAAGUGACCAAUCGCCAAGUUUCAAAACCAUGAUGUGGGCAUAUGUUAAGCAACUCUUUAAACCUAUCCCAACAUUGGUAUGAUGUUUCUCCAUUUUUUUGAGUGAAAGAAGUGAUUUGCCUUUUAAAAGAAUUUGUUCUAUGAGGUGGAAAUAAUUUUUUCAAAAACUGUUCUUACAUGUUAUUCCAAGUUCUUACUGAUCCAGAUCUAAGGUUUUGUAGCCAAGUUUUUAUCUUUUAAUGAAAAAGGAAAAAGCUUUAAUCUAAUUAUGUUCAUGCUACAAUUUUGGUCCGUGUAUGUAUUACAAACUUCCUCAAAAUCUCUUAGAUGCAAGUACGGAUUCUCAGAUUCUAAACCAUGAAAUGUUGGUAAAAGUUGGAUAAUACCUGGUUUAAAGUUGAAUCGAGAUGCUUCUGGAGGAAAUACUAUACACGACGGUGCUCCAGUCCUGGUUGGAUUCAUGUAGUCUCUCAGAGUUCUUGGUUGAUUUUGAUCAUGCCCAUGUUGGGAUUGGUUGUCUCCCUGAUCAAUUUGAGGGUUAAGUUCGCCCAAAACGUUUUCGUCUUGAUUCUCAUCCAUGAUUGGUGGUGGAGAUUGAGAUCUACGAAUUAACCUGCCACUUGAAGAUCGAGACCAACGUCUCAUGCAAUGGUUAUAUUAUAAAGAUAAUAUUUACACAAAUUGAUAACAAAAUAAAAUUAAAAAAAUUAAAUAUGCAAAUAAUAUAAGUGUACGAAAGAAAAUUAAAUAACAAUUUUGGUGGUUGAACCCACCAAUUAACAAUAAAUUAAGUAUAAAAUAAAUGCAAAAGAAAGAAAAAGAAAAAAAAAUGGUGGUUGAACCCACAAGUUAAAAAAAAUAAAGCAAAAAAAAUACAAAAUUAAAUAAAUACUGAAAAUUAAAUAACUGAAAAUAAAAAUUAAGAGUUAGUAGUUAGUUUGGUGGUUAAACCCACCAAUAAAGCAAAAAUAAAUAAAUAAAUACGAAAUAAAAUAAAUGUAGAAAAUUAAAUAACUGAAAUUAAAAAAAGUUAGGAGUUAGCAGUUAGUAAUUAAGAGUUAGUAAUUAGAGUUAGUAAUUAAAGUUAGUUUGGUCCAAAUUAAGUCCAAAAUAAGUCCAAAUAUGUCCAAAGUAUGUCCAAGUCUUGAUUAUUUUGAGGAAUUUCGUCUAGGGAUUCUAUUGCAAAUUAUUUUUAAUUUUAUGGUCAAACUAUAAUUUUUAGAAGUUUAGAAUUGAGCAAUUUGGGAUGAAAGUGAAAUGAUUGAAAGAUGUUGGGGUGAGAAUGUAAUUACCAGAAGAUUGGGCUAGAAACGGAAAUUGUUGGGGUGAAACGAGAAUUAUGAAAGAUAUGGGGACAAAAGAGAAUUUAAGAAAAGGAAAGGGGGCAAACGACAUUUUACAUAUAAGAGAAAAAUAAAAAACGGAAAAACAAACCAAAUAAAAAAAACUUUUCCCCGGCAAUGGUACCAAAAACUUGACACAACUUAAAAGUAAUUUUUAACUCCCAAGUAUAAGAGUAUCUUAUUGUAUUAUAACUCGAUGAGCCCGAUGUCGAUCUACAGAGAAAAGAUUUAAUUAGUUUCCUUUAUUUUAACUAAAAAUUGAAAUUAAAACUUAAAUAUAAACAACUUAAUUUAAAUGAAACUAUAAAAUUAAACUAGUUAGGGUUAUGGAUCCACUCUUAGAAAUAAAUAAAACUUAAUAAAUUCUUUUUGCCCUUUUUUUACAUUUAUUGCCCAAAAGAUUAAUUAUAUAAAUUAUUAUUAUUUUCCCUUUAAUUUUAUGAUGGAUUAAGUAUUUAUUGUGCCAAAAUUUAAUUUGUCUACAAUAAGUCAAAAUACCAUUUUACCAUACCUUAUAUUAAGAUAUUAAGAAUUUAUUGUGCCAAAUUCAUUUAUUUGUCUACAAUAAAUCAAAAUUUCAAAAUAUAAAAUUAAAUAGAAAAUAAUUUAAUUUAUAAAAUUAAAAAUAGAAUUUGCUUAAAUCAUAUUUAUUUCCUAAGAGUUUCACCUUCCCCUAACUAAUAUUAUUUAGUUAAGCAUAAUUAAAAUAAAAAGAAGUAGUAAAAUUGAAUUACUUAUAAUUAAAAGAAACAAAAACAACUAAAAUUGGAAAUAAAACUAAUUUUAUUUAUAAAAAUAAUUAUAAAAAAUAUUAAAAACACACAUGAAAAUCAAGAUUAUAAGGAGAUGGAGAGAAUUUGAGAAGAAAAGAGUUGUAGAGAGAUGAUUAAAAACAUAAAAAUGAGGCUUUAUUUGUAGAAAAAUAAAUUCAUAAUUCAGUGCUUUGCGGUCCAUCAUAAGCUUCAUGCAUGUGCUCCUCACAACCUUUAGAUCAAGAUCCAAUGGCUGGUCAAACUUCAAAAGUCAACAUCACACGUGGCAUCGUUUGACUCGUCCGAUUUGCCCAAAGAACGGUUGAGAUUUGGCGGGUUAAUAGGUGGAUUGGGUCGACCCGAAUACAAAGAUUCGGAUCCUCCAACUUGCUUCACCAACCAUUGCCACGUGGCACAAUCAUGGCCAUUGAAUCAUGAACGGUUGAGAUUUAGUCAAAAUUGCCAGCUAUCCCAUGCACUCAUAUCUAUUGUAAGCUCAUUUCAUCAUCCAAUCAGUGCUCGGUCAACAGAAAAAGUCAACUUUUUUUACACAAGCUCAAUUUUAAGCCGAUCUUGACUGAUCUUAAGGUUUUUGGACCUCCGGAGUCCAAAUUUGACCUCCGUUUAUCUGUUUGGAGCCUCGAAUUACGUGAAAUCAAUAUUUUUUCUAACAAACACAUAAAAAUACACAAAAUUAAAUAUAUUUAAAACAUAAUUAAUAAUUCUUAAUAUAUUACAUAAACAAAAAUAUAAAUUAUAAUAUAAGCAUAAAAUAACAUAUUAAACAAAAAUAUAAAUUAUAAUAUAAGCAUAAAAUAACAUAUUAUCACUUGAUAAUUAAACAAUUUUUAAUACUAAUCAGGAAACCAACCAGCCUUGCCCUUGCAUUCACCUUUCGACCAUCCAGUAGGAGCCACCUUGAGAAGUUAUAGCCAAAAAAGGUGAGUUAAACAGAAGUUGACCAUUCAAAGACUUGAGGUGAAAUAAUUAAAGCAAAAUAGGCUAAUUCUUUUACUUGAAAAGAGUGAAUUAGUUGUGAUUAUUGAAAUUGGAUUAACCAUGGAAGUAUAACAAGAUAUAAAUUCAUGUGAAAUUCUUAAAUGGAAAUAUAAGAUUAGAGCUCCUCAAUUUGCUUUUAAUUCAGCUAGACAACUAAGAGUGAUUUAUAGGUGAAAGUAGUUUGUAUAAGCAUAAAUUUAAUUUUUAGCAGUUCAGUAAGAGUUAAAUCCUUUUGAAUCAUCAAAAUAUCCAGAUUUAUUUCACCCUUUUGAACAGAGGAUAUAGCAAUUUCACUAGGAUUUAUUGUCAAAGUAGGUAAUGCACAGCAAAGAUUUUUUUAAAAACAAAUAACCUAUAAAAAGUACACACAUAUAACGUAUUAACAAAAUUACUUCAUUCUACAACAAUCCGUUUAUAUUAUAGUAAUUGGUUUAGUCGGCAACAAGCACUAUAAUCCCUUAAAUAAAUUUUUUUAUGUAAUUUUCUAUAAAUUUCAAAAAUCAAUUAAACUGGAGCUAAGACCAUUUCUAGUUUUCAGAUAAAAUAACCAAUCAAACAUUCAAAUUAACAGUUUAGGGUAAACUGCGUCAUUUAGAACUGAGCUAGCAGCCUUAUUAUAUUCUGAUUUGCACUUCAAUGUAAAAGGGAAUAUGUGACAGGAAGAAAGAAAACCAAUCAUCGUUUGUUAACUGAGCUAUCAUUCUUGUAUUUAUAAGCAAAUAUCAAGACUUUAGAUCACCAGCUACAUCAUGAGUGGCUACACAACUUUGCAGUGGUUUGUCUUUUUUUGGCAUGCCUAACUCAACUUCGACAUUGUUGAGAUAUUGGCAGUAGAGACACAUGAUACUUCUAGCUAUGCAUUCUAGCUAGCUCAUCCUGCAACGUUCUCUUUUUAAUUCAUUGGUGUUUGCUAAACCUCAUGCUUAGAAGUCUUGUUCUCCUAAACAAAGUUUCCCUAAGAAUGACUCCUUCAGCACCACAUUUUAACACUUUUUAGAGCAAUUUUAUUGGGGGAAAAGAAUUUUCAAGGUGUUAACUACUAAAUUUUAAAAGAUAAUUACGAUUUUGACCUACAAUCAUAUGACAAUUUAUCUGGGAUGAAAGGAUACAGACAGACAUAUUCCACUUUCAAGACUAAUCACUACUUCUCUAGGUGUUGUGCUAUAUUACAAAUACUUGACCAGAGGGUAGUGAAAAUAGAAAAGAACUUUAUUGCUCUACAAUUAAACUAAGAAUGCAAUGUGUCAAGCAAAAGACUGUGCAACAUCAAAUUGAUUGAUAAGUUUCAAAUUCAGCAAAUUAACAACUUUCAUAGGAGAAUACAACAAAUUUCUUUUAAAAAAAUAAAAAAUUAAGUCUUAAUUAAAAGAUAACAUUCCAUUUUGUUUAUAUCUCUUCUAUGUUAUUUCUUAAGAUUUUUCAAGAGGAGGACAAUAAAGGGACUUUCAACCAUGCAAGAGAGCAUAAGCCUUACUUUCGCUAUAAAGUAGGCAUCAUUAUGAUUAAUAUGCGUUUGUAAAUCAGCUCUAUUUGAAUCAGCAUUCUGAUGGCCACGUAAGGCAUUUACAUCCAUUUCCAAAGUCACAUGUUGCGUGGAGGACUCAUUUGAUUCCUCCUCUAGGAUCAUCUAAUUUGAGUAGCAAGGGUUGGAAGAGAAUACAAAGUCACAAUUAUUCUUUUGCAUAAGAGAGACGAAAAUGAUAAAGGCAAUAUUAUCAGUAGUCAACAAGAAGAAAAUGCUUCAAGGGAUAGAUAGAUGCAGACAAGUGAGUCAAAAUGCUUAGUCCCAAGCCUCAGGAUACAAAUUCUCUACAACAGCAAUAACGUGUUGAUGAUAUGUUUUCCGAGCAUCUACCUGCAAAGGCCCAAGACCAGGAAAGUAAAGAAAGAAAUACACUUGACAUAAAUCUUAACAAGAAGCAUAAUUUAAGACAUAACAAAACCCAGUCAUUGUUUAGAACUACAUUUGUUAUUGUAACAUUUCAAACAAACGUUCACUUAAUUCAACACUGUUGGAAGGAUAGGCUUUCAGAAGUAAAAGAAAGCUACUCGAACCAAAGUGAUUGUCCUUGUAUUAAUCAAGGGAUGUAAACAUCUUACAUUUGCAGGAUGAGUUUUAAUCACUUAUUUAAUAACACAUACCCUUGAUUUAUUAGGGUUGCAGUAAAGUUAGAAAAUAUUGAUCAAAUUCUUCCAUUGAAACAAACUUAGUAAACAAAGCUAAGUGAGCAGCUGUUUGACUUUCAAGCAAACAGCUAAACCAGAUAUUAAAAUUCAAAUAAAAUCAUUAAUAGACUAAUAACAGGCCAUCUUGCAUAAAAAAAUUAAGUUUAAUUUGUGAAUUUUUUUCCUAUAAACAUGUUAGGUCCUACUAUAUUGAAAUGUUAAAAGCACUAAACAAUUAUUCAAUAAAUUAUGCAAACACUAAAAUAGAGACUUAUUAAUUAAAAGAUUUUUGGUUAGUAACCGAGAAUGUCGGAGAGCUCCGAUAACCAAGAACUUCAAGACAACCCUACCCUGCUGAAAGUGCCUCCACCGCCGCUAAAUGAAGAUCAGUCCACUAAAAAGGCGCGUUUUCGCAGUCAUGGUACAGCUGAAGAUAAUCCAACGCCGCUAUCCUUCAAGGAAGCGCUUGUUCCCUCUAACCAACAUAGGAACUUUGAUUCCGCUGAGAUGGAUGAAGACUGGGACUUUGAACCUGGCGAUGUGAUGGUUGGAGAAGAUGACACCAUGCCAACUAUUGUGUUCUCGAAAAGAGUCCAUGAUAAACUGACUAAACCUUGGCAAAAUUCUGUGGUAGUGAAGUUAUUGGGGAGAAACAUUGGGUAUAAGGUUUUAUGUAACCGUCUAAAGGUAAUGUGGCCUAUGAUUCAUGAUUUAUCUGUGAUUGACCUCGAGAACAAUUAUUAUUUAGUUCGUCUCCACUCAACAGAGGAUGCAGUCUAUGCUUUAACAGAGGGGCCAUGGGUUAUCUUUGGGCACUAUUUAACAGUGCAACCUUGGACUCCACUUUUCGACAGCACCGUUACUGAUAUUGCCUCAGCAACUGUUUGGAUCCGCUUACCUGGCAUGGCUUUUCAUUUAUACGACAAGCGUGUUCUGCGGGAAGUUGGACAACUUGUGGGCACAAUUAUUAAAAUUGAUUAUCAUACCGAAUCAAGGGAGAGGGGAAAGUUUGCGAGGAUUGCUGUCCGUGUUUCUCUUUCUCAGCCUUUGGUGUCUCAAUUUAAUCUGGACGGAAAAAUUCAGAAGGUUGAAUACGAAGGGCUGCCAAUUAUAUGUUACCAGUGUGGUAAAUAUGGCCACACCAGCAGUACUUGUCCUGAGAAACAAGCUGCGAAUGGGGCUAGGGCCGAGAGUUCGGUGAGAUCUCCACCAGUCAACGUGACAGCUGAUAAGGAUGGCGCCUCAGCUAUGGCUAAUAACAGUGGUGAGAAAUUCGGUCCAUGGAUGAUUGUGGCACGAAGAGGGAGACCUAAAGGAGUUAGGGACAAGGAGAAUAUCACCGAUUCAGAAAGGAAUCAGCGUAUUAACUAUACUACGGCUUCCCGUUUUGCUGCUUUAGUUGAUGGGCCUGAUACAAUUACUGUGACAUAAAUUGAUGUUCAAGAUCCCACCAUUGUCCCCCCCAACAACCAGCUAAAUCCAUUACCGACCACUUUCACACCCGAAGGAACCACCCUCUGAAAAUCCGUAGCACCCUAAAGCCUCAUAAUCACCUAUCCAAAGCUAAACAAGUGGCCAAAUCACACCUUAAAGCCUCAUCAUCUACUUCCAUGCAUGCAAACUUAUGUCCCAAUGUUCAUAUGGAUCACUCCACCCAUAAUAAUGUCCCGAUCCAGUAUCCCUUAGGACAUCCUUUUAGCUUGCCCGUUGAACCUUCGUUCACCUUGACCACCCUGAAUCCUCACAAGCAUACUGCCGUGACCUUUCCCAUAGCCAACCAUGAGAUUGUGGGUAAUCAACCAGGCUACUCAUGUGGAAAAGUGGCUGAUAACCUGGAGCAGCAACUCUACCCAAAGCAAUUAGCUGAUCCUCCCAAUGUAAGAGAAGACGGAGCUGUUAAUCCGAUGGAGUUUUAUGAUGGUGACCCUCAACUUGCAAUUGGCAAUGAAGAGGAAGACAUUAUGUCUGAUGAUGAAAAUACUAGUGUUAAUGAAACCCCCAGAGUGCAUGGAGGAGGGGCCCUAGGGCCUAGAAUGUAAGGACUCCAUGCUCCCCUGUUUUGCUUAUAUCUUUAAUGAUGUACAAUAUAAUGUUUUGGAAUUGCCAAGGAGCUUUUUUGCCGGGAUUUUGCAGGACUUUUAAGACUAUUGUCAGUAAUUAUAGACUGAAUCUGGUGGCCUUAUCCAAGCCUCGCAUUAGUGGAGUAAAGGCUGAUGACUUCAUUAAAAAAAAUGGCUUCCAGAGGUCUCAUCGGGUGGAAGCUAGGGGUUUUUCUGGUGGCAUUUGGAUUUUGUGGGAUGACAGUUUUGAGGUGGAAUUUAUCAUCAAUCAUAAUCAAUUUAUUCACUUUAAAAUAAUUGAUUUGAAAGGUUGUAGUUCCUGGGUCACAGCAGUUUAUGCGAGUCCGAUACCCAUGGUAAGGAAAAUUUUAUGGUCGGAGUUAGAUAAAGUUGCCAAGUCUGUUGAUGGUCCGUGGAUGAUUGGUGGGGACUUCAAUGCAAUUAGAAGAGUAUCUGAAAAAAAAGGAGGGUCAGCCAGGACAAGUGGUGUGCGUGAACUCUUUAAUGGAUGGUUCCAUCGAAACCAUCUCAUGGAACUUGUCUUUAAGGGACCCAAAUACACAUGGUCAAGAGGCAACUUAUCGAAAAGGUUAGAUCGGGUGAUUUGUAAUGAAGAGUGGAUGAUGAUGAACGAUGAGACAGAAGUUUUCCACCUCCCCAAAUUAAAUUCCGAUCAUAGACCGGUGAUGUUUCGUUGCAAGAAAUACAAUUCCGCUCCUACGGGGGUGAAACCUUUUCGGUUUUUGGCUCCCUAGCUAACUGAUGAGAGAUUCCAACCCUUUGUGGAAAAUAACUGGAGGAGCAAUUUGAACUACACUAAUGUUGUGGAUGAUUUUAUCAACAAACUGGGAAACUGGAAUAAAGAUAUUUUUGGCAAUAUUUUUAAAAGAAAAAAAGAGAUGCUGGCUAGAAUAGGUGGCAUUCAACGCUUUCUGGAGAAGCGUCAGUCUAGGAGUUUAAGCAAGCUAGAAUCUAAGCUAAAGAGGGACCUUGAAAAAGUGUUAACUCAAGAGGAAGUGCUAUGGUUCCAAAAAGCUCGAAGAGAAUGGAUUGUCUGUGGGGAUAGGAACACAACCUUUUUCCAUCAAAAAUCUAUAAAGAGACGCCGACGAAAUAAAGUGGGUAUGAUAAAAAAUGAUGAGGGGCAGUGGAUCCAUGACGAAGCUGAUAUUAAAGCCCAUGCAGUCUUUUAUUUUUGUAAUUUGUACACGAAGGAGGGAGGUGUUCCUGUCCAAUACCCUUUUACUCUUGACUUCCCUUUAAUUGAUAAUGUUGUGCUUAACAAUCUGAUCAGAGGUGUUGAUGAUGCAGAGAUUAGAGAUAUUGUCUUUACCAUGAGCCCAUUGAAAGCCCCGGGUAUAGAUGGCCUUUAUGCCAUUUCCUUCCAGACUCAAUGGCACGUGGUGGGGUCUUCAGUUUGUCAGCUUAUUAAAGAGUUUUUCGCGGGAAAGCAAUUGCCCCAGGAAUUGAACCAAACUCUUCUUGUGCUGAUUCCCAAGAUCAAUAAUCCAUAUUCUCUCAAAUUAUUUAGACCUAUUAGUCUUUGCACAGUGGUGUACAAGACUAUAACUAAAUUGGUAGCUAAUCGCCUCAAAGCCAUUUUGCCGCAAAUCAUUGGCCCUGCUCAGACGAGUUUUGUUCCUGGGAGACAUAUAGUCGAAAACGUCAUCGUUGCCCAAGAAAUCAUUCACUCUAUGAGGAACAAAGGGGGCAAAACUGGUCAGAUGGCUAUCAAGGUUGACUUGGAAAAGGCGUAUGAUCGUUUGAGUUGGGAUUUUAUUCAGGAGACUCUGGGGGUGAUUGGGUUGCCGAUGGAUUUGAUUCGUAUUAUAAUGGAGUGUAUAACCACAGUUUCGAUGCAACUCUUGUGGAAUGGUGAGCUCACGGAGAGUUUUAACCCAUCUAGAGGAAUCAGACAUGGGGACCCUUUGUCCCCGUAUAUUUUCGUCAUGUGCAUCGAGAGGCUAAGUCACGGUAUCAAUCAUGCAGUUGGGAACGGGCGUUGGAAACCCAUCAGGCUUAAUCGUGGAGGUAUUCCUAUUACUCAUUUAUUUUUCGCUGAUGAUCUUCUUCUUUUAGCGGAGGCUUCUAGUCAGAAUGCGCAGGUGAUCAAUGAGGUCUUGGAUACUUUUUGUGUAAGCUCUGGCGAGAAAGUGAGCAGAGAAAAGACCCAAAUUUUCUUCUCUCGAAAUGUUUAGAAGAGCACAAUCCGAGAGAUAAGGAAUACACUCGGAUUUUCAGUUACGAAGAACCUCGGUAAAUACCUUGGUAUGCCCAUCAUUCACUCCCGAGUUACCAAGGCAACUUAUCAAGAUAUUCUAGAUAAAGUACAGCAGCGUUUAUCAGGCUGGAAUGCCAAGCAUCUCUCUCUAGCGGGCAGGAUCACUUUGGCACAAUCGGUAAUACAAGCUCUCCCAGUUUAUGCCAUGCAAUCAACGAAAAUUCCAGCUUCGGUUCUUACCAAAAUUGAGCAAAGAUGUAAGCAUUUUAUCUGGAGUGGAAAUGCCGAACAAAGAACAUUGAAUCUCAUCCGGUGGGACACUCUUUGCCAACCCAAGUCAUGUGGGGGCCUUGGUCUUAAAGAUUUAUCUCAUAUGAAUAUGGCUUUGAUGAUGAAAAUUGGGUGGGGUUUAGUCAACUCUCCUAAUACUUUUUGGGUCCAGGUGCUGGCUUCUAAGUAUAAGGUUGAUACCACUUGUCUUCCUGGCAGCUUACAAACGAGGAACGGGUCUUACUUGUGGCGUGCUGUGGGGAAGGUUUGGGAUCAUGUGUUGAAGGGAACUCGUUGGGCUCUUGGGGAUGGAAAACGAGUGCAAUUUUGGUGGGAUUUAUGGCUCAGUGAGGCUGAUAACUUACAAUCAUAUGCCACGAACCCAAUUCCUGAUCAGCUGAUUAAUUUGUGUGUGGCUGAUUUUUCAGAUAACAAUGGCAACUGGAAUUGGCAUUUAUUUGCUCAUUUGCUUCCCAACCACAUAAUUCUAAAGAUUGCUUCAGUUAAAGCUCCUUGUGCUCUUAGUGGUGAGGAUCAAUGUUACUGGGCUUACUCUAAUACAGGUCAAUUCACGGCGAAAUCUGCGUACCUCUCUUUGCACCAAUCCAAUAAUGUGGCCGAUAAAUCUUUGUGGAAUUUGGCUUGGAAAUGGAAUGGACCUCAAAGUAUCAUAACAUUUAUUUGGCUCGCCAUGAGCAAUAGGCUGAAAACAAAGUCGGAGCUUUUUCGAAGGCACAUUACUAUGGAUGCCACUUGUUGUAGUUGCGGCCAACACUUGGAAGAUACCAUUCAUGUGUUGAGGGAUUGUAUCAUUGCCCGGCAUGUGUGGCUCAGUUUGGUGCCUCAUACUUUAUGGAAUAAUUUUUUCGAUUUGGACUUGACGAGUUGGAUCUACUACAAUCUCAAGAACACGGGUUUGAUUAGGAGAGAUGAUAAUUGGCCCUGUAUUUUUGGUGUUGCUCUGUGGCGGAUUUGGUAUUGGAGAAACCAAUUCAUUCACAAUAAAGAAAUCAUCAGUAUUGCAAAUAUUGUGCUGGACAUCACGCACCGCGCGGCCGAAAUCAAUGCUUCCAUGGAGAAUAUCUGUAGACCAGGCCAUGAAAGGAUAAUCAAAUGGUUGAAGUGGAUGGCCCCACCUUGGCCUUUCUUUAAACUAAAUACAGAUGGUGCUCGGAAAAUUUCAGGAAAUGCAAGUGCAGGUGGUCUCAUUAGAAAUUAUUGCGGAGAAUGGGUUCACGGUUUUGGCAUGAAUAUUGGCCAUUGCACUAUUACUGGGGCGGAGCUUUGGGGUCUUCUUCAAGGAUUGCAACUUGCCUGGAAUAUUGGGAUUAGACAAUUACUUGUUGAAGUUGAUAGUCGAUGCAUCACUGAGAUCUUAGCCACAGAUACCAAUCAUCCCAAUGCUAACUCCUCUCUUAUUCAAGGAAUUAAAAGACUUCUCAACAUGGAGUGGCAGGUUUCUCUGUCACACUGCUAUAGAGAAACAAAUUAUGCAGCUGAUUACCUCGCCAAUCAAUCUCUUCUUUUGCCUCUUGGGGUCCAUGUGUUUCCAACGCCUCCAUCCGGAACUGACAGGUGGCUGCUGCACGAUGUAUGUGGGACUGCUUACUCACGAAUGAUCUUUGCUUAGUUUCUUAACUUCGCCCUUUUGUAUCAAAAAAAAAAAAAAAAAUAGAGACUUAUUAGAAAGUUUCUUACUACAAUGUUAAUAUUUCCUCUAUUUUAACGUUUACAUAAUUUUAAUUUAUUUAAAAUCUACGUCGAUCAACUUUGGGCAUGAUGAUUUUAGCUUUUACGAGAGUUUAUUGGAAUAUGCAUAAGGAGUGUUAAAAUAUGAUGCAUCCAACAAAAGGCAAGCCAUGUGCAGUCUUUUAAUUUAGCCGAAGUAGCAGCUCAAACAAAUGACACUUUGACCAACAUGCAAGCAUGAAGUAGCUAGAAAAAGGACAAAUGCUACUUUGGCUUAAAUAGAAAAUAGCACGUGACUCGACUUUUGUUGGACAUGAAUCAUGUUAUUACAAGACAACAUAAAUCAUUAUCAUUAUAAUAAGAGUUAGCAAUAAGUAACAUGAAGAUAAGAGGCAGAAUGUCAACACAUGCAUAGGCAUACACAAGAAAGUAUUAACUUCUAUACCAUAGCAAAAAGUCUUUGAUAUGUCAUUUGUUGUUGCUGUGAUUCAACUGACAACAUGGCAACUGUCGCUGCUCUACCAAGAGCCAUUACUGUAGAUUUAAGCUCGGUCAAAUUUGCUUCUGCAUUUCGAAGCUUCAUAACACUCUCUGCUGAUAUAUCAGAUUCCCUAAUCUUUGAUCAGCUCCUCAAUACUUCAGCUAAUUCUCAUCUCGCUUUAUACAUGCAUAUGUUACCUCAAAGUUGACCUGGGCUUCAACUUCAUGGCGGAGUUUGUCAUAACGAUGAGUCUGGUGCCGAGCAUCUUCCAAAGGUGCUCCGUUGAUUAAUGCCCGUAGUGGCUCAGAUACCUACAUGUCCAAAAGCCAGUAAUAUAAUUAGAAAAUUGGAAAAAAAAGAUCGAAACCUUAAUUACAAAGUUCCUCCAGCAUAAUCAUGGAAUUUGGGCCUACUUUAAGAACAUAUAUAAGGAUAAUUUAAGCAAUUUUGGGUCUUAGGAUGAUUGGUCUUAAGUUAGGGUCUAUCCUUCUGUUUUUAAGGUCAAAAUAGAAAUAAACCUAUGCAAAUAUUUAAAUUAGUGCUGUAAGAGUUCCACAUGCAUCCUUCAGUCUCAUGGAUUUGAAUUUACUAUAGAUGCAAGCGUCUUUAUCCAAAAUGCCUGGAGUCAAUUGAGAGAACUCACAACCAAUAACUUGUCCCACGGUGGUCUUCACUAGUGAUGUAAGAAGCGACAAGGUUUCUUCAACAUUUGAACAAAAAAAUUAUAAAGUCAUGGAUGUCACUAGCAAUUGUUAAAACAUUAAAUAUUUCAGAGUUGUAACGUUUAAAUGGAUUCUUUUAUUCAAUAUCUUAGAACUAAGUUUCCUUAUGAGAAGAUAAUAGUCUUGAAAGUAAUUUUACAUAUAAUUUUCCAUAUUUGAAUUAUUUUCUCGUUAGGGAUGAAUUUACCUGAUCACCAAGAAUCCCAAGCAAAGUUUCCCUCUCAUUUUCCAUCAAAUCAUGUGAAGUGCCAAAUUGAAAAGCAGCCCUUGCAACACAAGAAUUGUCGCUUUGAUUCUGCGCUCCAUAUUUGCAACAAUCUUCGGCCAACUUUCUCGCUACAAUAUUUGAAUACAAAAAUAUUAUACGCAAAAACUAGUCAAGAACAUUAAAAAAAAUAAAUAAAUAUUAUAACGAAAGCAAGAGCAAACAAACAACCUAUCUCCAUUUGUUUCAAGUUUAGUGCAAUUCAACACCACGGACAAUAUUCCUCUAAAAAUGCUGUGUUACAUAGCAUAUAUUCCAAAUUAUUGUUCAGAUAAAACCAUAAAAACCAUCAUAAUUAUUCAACAUACAUUAAGCUCUGUUUGGUAAAUACUUGUAACUCCAGUCUAGAAAAUAUAGUUGUUUGUACAAUAUUCGACAAAAUUAUUAUUUAAAAAUCAUAUUUAAUUACCAAAAGCCACAACAAAUCAAUAUCAAAACAGAGAGGGUAAUACCUUAGCUGCCCUGGUGGAAUUGUAUAGAUUUUGAAGUUGUUGGUGACACUCAAUUUCAGCUUCAUCAACCGCAACAUUUUCAUUACCAAGACGCAUGCAGCAAAUGCUUCAAUACUGCCUGUACAAAUCAUUAAAAAAUAAUAAAAACAUAAAAUUGAGAAAUUUCACUAAUUGAAAGUUUAAAUAAUUUUUAAAGAAAAAGAAAGAGACGUGCUGCUGCCUGGCGAUUUGUUCGCGGAGCUUGAUUGCCUGUUUCUUGAUAGCUUCCAUAUUGUUUCUUCGGGCAUUGCUGCAAUUGUUUCUUCUAUGUCAGUCACACCCACAUAUCAUUGACACAAGAAAUAAAAAUCUUAGAUCACUUGUUUAAUUAAAGAAUCACUUACAAAAAAGUUUUGCCAUUUUAAUUUGAGGAUCCAUAUUUUGAACUACCAACUAAUGUUCAUCAAGGGCAGAGUAAAAAUUACUUUUGGACAAAUUAUUUUUGUUGAUAGAAGAAUUUCUCAAGGGACUAUUAAAAUUAUUAAUAAAAAUGUCAAACACAUCCACACAUCAUCCCACAUAUCAUUGACACAAUUGAUUUUGAGGAUCCAUGUUUUGAACUACAACCUAAUGUUCAUCAAGAACAAAGUAUGGCUUGUGAGUAGAAAAUUUUCUGAUUUUGCAAAAAGAAAUUAAAUUGAAGGAGAAUCUUUUACUUUCUCAUUAAGAAAGGCAUACGGGGCAUACCAUGGCACCAUACAACACAAGGAGUCUCCAUUCUCUGCUUUUUCAAAAUCUAAAGGGGGCAAUAUUUCCCAAUUUCCCCUUGAAAAUUCUGUUUACAACAUUAUUCAUCACUUGAUUCGAUCAAAGUAGUGACAAAGUUUGGAAAAAUAUGAGUCCUAAGUAAUUACCAAGCAAGGUCCCUGAGGGCAACAUUGUCCUAGGCAUUAUAGACAUAUAUGGUGUGGCACAUGGAGCACAUUGAAUUCCAGACUAUAACACAAACCCUGAAAGACAAGUAACAACUCAAAUGAUACAAAGACAAGAAGAAGUUAAAAUGAUAUAGAACAAAGAAUUUCAAAGACAGAGCAACAUUCCAUACACAGAAGCCACUUGAUCUACUCGUUGAUUGCAGCCUCAAACUUGCAAAUAGUUACUGUAGGCUAGCGCUCUAAGAAAUAAAAUGAUGCAAAACCUUGAUUCCCUUUUGUCUUCGAUUUACUGUCAAACUUAUUACUAGCAUCCACAAUUAAUUUUUGUUCAGCAAUCAGCUUAUUUUAUAGAAAUUGAUUUAGUCAGCAGCAAACACUAUAAUUCUUGAAAUUAAUUUUUGUUCUUUGUAAUUUUCUAUGGUUUUUCAUAAAUCAAUUAAUCUGCAGUGCCAAGAUGAGGUUUAGCUUUUCAAACUAAAUAAUCAAGUAAGCAAAAAUAUAAAUUCAGAGAUUAGAGGGGUAACCUAGCUGGGUGGUUUAGAACUGGGCUAGCUACCUCACUGUAUUCCAAUUUAUAGAGUGGAUUAAUUGAAUCAUGAGAAAACAACGUGGUCAUAGCUCAAUAGGAGAUGACUGCGGAGAGGCAUAUUGUUUUCAAUGAUCUAUUAAGAGAUGAAGUGGAUUGAUGUGGAAAGUUUAAAUAACAAAUCCUUGUUUUUGAGUUUUACGACGUCGUUACUCCUUCCAAGUGGCAGAUUAUGCAAGUGAAUGCAGAGACACAAUGCAUCAUCCACGGGGAUGAUACAGUAAUAGGCGGGAUCAUAGUCUAUGCAUUGAACAGUUACAGUUGCUGCUACCCAUUACCUUGGCAAAGAUCAAGAAGACAGAACAGGAAGCUAAUGCCAUCAAUGUCGUCUUCACUAAAGCUGCUGGGAAUGUAGGUGUAGUUUCCUCAUUUGAAGCUGUCUAUACAUGGGCCUUUCCCCUGCUUAAGUACAAAUAAAUGAACGGCCUUGAAGGCUUUACCAUUCACCCCAAAAAAGAUUACUAAUUGAAGAUGACUAUACAGAGUUAAUCUCACACUUUUGUUCUCUCAAUUUCUUUUAGAAGUCCCUCUGAAAAUAGCUGCCAAAACAGUUAGUCAGCUUUUAUACUCUGUUUUCUGGAAACAGGGUCCUAACUAACUGAGCUGACUGUGCAGAGUAUGUCAAUAUAGCAUAUUUAAUCGUUUUAACAGUAUUUUCGAAUUGUCUUCGCAGUGAUCAUCAACAAACUCAUCACAAGAUUUUUGGAGCACCCUAGGACUAUCACUGGGUUUCUCUUCUGGUUGGUUAAUUAAUUAGUCAAAGAACGGUUGGAUAUCCAAGCACAAUUACUAGAUUCUAAAAUGACUAGUUCACUAUUCUUUUACAGCCCUUUCACCAGUCAAAUUAUUCGACUUCUGGAACUGGGAAUGAAGUGCAAUGAUGAAGCAGCAUUUACAAUGUCUCCGGUUUCUCCUGAAUAUUAGAUUUUUGCAGUGAGAACAUAUAACAAAAAGGCCUCCAUCAACGUAGGUAGAAUCCGGGAUAUGGAUUGGAUCGAGUUUUUGUUUGAUAUUGAAGAACCUCUUUACUAUCCCGAUAUAGAAAAUGUUCUUUGCCUUGUGCUAUGAUCGGUGCUUUUGAUGUUGUCCUGAAACGGUGGAAAAUACUUCGAUAUCCUCCAUUUGAUGAUGCAAAGAACUGGUUAAUGUACUAUUACCUAAUUGACUCAGGAUCAAGUAACAAUGACAAUUUAUUAGUAGUAAUAUCACAAACUAAGAAGAUUUCGGAGAGGGGGAUGUAUGUGUAUACUGUUUACAGCUUUGAUCCAUUGGGGAGGAAGUAGUCUCAAGUUGAAAGUGACUUAUUAAAUAACAAAACAGAGUUGUUCAAUUUACAACAGAUAUUCUCCUCAAGUUCAACGUAAAUAUGGAUAUUAAUUAGAAUCCAGAUUAUUAUGACACACAUAACUUGCUUCAAAAUUAUUAGAAAUUACAAUUGCUGAUUCACAAUGCAUAUAACUUGUAUAUUGAGAUGGAUAAGAUGCUUAAUUUAAUUAAUUUACUUACUUUCAUACACAUCGUCUUUCCAUCUAGAGAAAACUUGGGGGUGAGAACGAUAUGAAGUUGCGAGUUGCUGCCGAUAGCUUCUGAUUAAUAAUAAAACGAGACAAAUUAUCUGUUUGUUAAUAUUCAUUCUUAGAGAGGAGAGUAAAUCACAAAUCUUUAAUAACAAGGAGUUUGCCAUUAACUUUACUUGGCCUUAAUAUUAAUAUUGCCCACCCAAGAAAUAAGAGUGAUUUAAAGUAUUACCAAGACUUCAUUGAGAGGAGCAACCAAACCAACUCCUUAUCAAUUGCGGCAGCCGUCUGUUAACUAAAAUGCCAAUUUCAUACUCGGCAAUUGUGUUUGUUAAGAAGUGACACAGCACUCAGGUGAUGAGUUUACUGUGACCACUAUUCAAGGUAAGCGAAAAUUACAGAUGUGGCAAAAUCAAUAAUUAAAUUCAUAAACUAAUUAAAUUCAUGGAGUUGCACAAUUUCAUCAACUUUGCAAGAAUUGACAUUAAUGGACUGGCGCUCUCCCCAUACAAUUAUAAUUAUAAUCUUUCUAGGAAGCAAAUUUUUAUAAAUUAUUUGUUUUUAAGUUAAUUUCAAUUUCAAAAAAUAAAUUUUUUAAGUUAUGUAUACUCUAAUGAGAGUUUCUUCAUAACAAUUCCCCUACUCCAAUAAUAACGAAAAGGUAGUUACUUAGAAAUAAUUAAAAUAAACAGGGGUUGAUUGUAUAUCCUAAUUUGCAUCGAUUUUUUUUUACCUUAAUUUCAGGAAUUUGUGAAUGGAGGAUGAUCACGCGUGUAUUAAUUUUUCAGUCGUCGAUUGUCGUAUUCUAGACUUAACGAUAGUGUUCUUGAUCAAGGGCAAUGACUCCCACCCCUCUUUUAAAAAUAUUGUCAAGUAUAUUAAUGACAAAAUCUCUUAUAGUUAAUAGUCUUUAAAAAUUUAUAGAAUUACUAUUGUCAUAACUAAAUUAUUCAUGUUUAAUGAAAUACUAAUGCAUCAAAAUAAAGGUGUUCACAAUCCAAUUCGAUCCACUCAAUUCGUUUGAUCUGCAGAAGUGCAAUCCGCAAAAAUUUAAUCUGUGAAUUAGUGGAUUGGAUUGCAUUGAAAAUUUAAAAAUCCGUAGUCGAUAAAUUGGAUAUUGAUAUACUUUUAUAAAUAUACAAAAAUUCACGAAUUCACAAAAAAAAGUAUUUAAUUAAAAAAUAAAACUUAUAAAUGUUGCAUGACUACUUACUAAUAAAUAAAUAAGUUAAAAUGUAGUUAGUUAAUUUAACACCAUAUUAUAUCUUAUUCGAUAACAAUAUAAAAUAAAAAUAAUUAAAAAAAUUAAUAAUUGGAUAAACAAAUGUGGCUUUCUAAACAGUAAAAAUUCUAGACUUAAAAAUUUAUAUUGUUAUUCUAUUUUUUUUAAAUUGACAUUUUUCUAUUGUCUUACAUGUACAGAGAUUUUGAGAGUUGAGAAGAAUAUAUUUGAUGAAGCUUGAUAGCAUUUGAUGGGAUAGUAAGUAAGGGUAAAUAUUUAUUAAUUAUUUUUAUUAAAUAAAAUAUUUUUAUUUGUUAUUUAUUUCUAUUAUAUCUAUUUUAUUCAAGUUAAAAUACUAAAUAUAAAUUGGAGGUAGACAUUUUAACAGAUCAUCUAAGCUCUCAAAUCUGAAAUUUUGUGUAGAUUUAAAUUCAUAAUUUUAGUUAAUUUUCAUAUAUUCAUAUAAACAAAUUUAUGAGAUUUUUUCUUUUCAUCAUGUUAUAUUUUAAAACUUUCAAUGUAUUAUUCUAGCUUUAUUUAAACAAUUAAUUUAUUUUAAUUUUAUUUAAUUUUUGAUUUGAUCAGCAGUAAAAAUAUUUUUAUAUCAAAUUUUUUUAUUUAUAUAGUUCGUGGAUUGGGCAAAAUAAAAAAUUUUUAAUCCACAAAUGGUGGAUUGGAUAUGAAUUGGGUCAAAUCCAUCUUCGAUCUGCAGUCGCAUGGAUUGGAUUUGGAUUGAAUUUUAUCAAUCCAUAUAUUAGAUUGGAUUGAAAAUUUAUAAUCCGCAAAAUCAUGGAUCGGAUAUGGACUAAUGUCCAAUCCGCAAAAUCCGAUCUCCGAACACUCCUCUAUAAAAAUUUUCAAGAAUAUGUUUUAUCUUACAAUUUUUUUUUUUAAAGUCAUAGUCUAAUGGCAGCCCAAUUUCUACCCCAUCCAUAUAAGCGGAGUUCAAAUCUCAUACCUCUUAUCUCCACACAAGAGAUUUAACCAAUUGAAAUAGCUAGCACCCACAAAUAUACUAGUACAACAUCUCUUAACGUUUAACAUACAUAUAAUUAACGUUAUAGCCAUUGAUAAACUCAUUGUUCAUUAUGUGAUCAAGAAUUUGAUCCUGCGAGUAAUAGCGGUAAGAAGAACCAUUAUUGUUGGGGGGACUUAGCAUAAGAUUUCUAGGUAUCUAACCUAAAAGACUAGCCUUUUAGGUGGAGUGACCUACUACCUUAUAAACCCAAGCAUCUUCCCUUUACUAGUCAAUGUGAGACACAACUCAACAAUCCCCCUCUCGGACGAAACCACCGCCAGACUCCGAUCCUUUCGUCUGACACACCAGAGUUGUUCCACCACCACAUUCGGGCUAUUAGGGUUUAGCUCUAAUACCACUUGUUAGGGGGACUUAGCAUAAGAUUUCCAGGUAUCCAACCCAAAAGACUAGCCUUUUAGGUGGAGUGACCUACCACCUUAUAAACCCAAGUAUCUCCCUUUUACUAGCUAACGUGGGACAAAACUCAACAAUUAUAAUGCCUAGCUCUUAUCGUAGUUAAUUCUCUGGCCCGAUGCUUCAUCAUAGUGAUUUAAAAAAUCAACAACAGCUAUCUAAAAGAAAUGAAGAUAUCAUCUACGUAAAGAACAUGAGACAGAGAUCACAACCCAUAAGAACUGAGAUAAAUUGGACCAGACCAGUAAUCUUGAGAUAAGUUAAACCGUGACUUAAGUUGAAAUCAGAUGAUAAAUGGCUUUUGGCCACUUAUUUCUAAUUUCCACAAUUAAUUUCUGUUCAGCAAUCAGCUUAUUUUAUAGAAAUUGAUUUAGUCAGCAACAAACACUAUAAUCCUUGAAAUUAGUUCUUGUUCUUUGUAAUUUUCUUUGAUUUUUCAUACAUCAAUUAAUCUGCGGUGCCAAGAUGAGGUUUAGUUUCAAGCAAAAAUACAAAUUCAGAGAUUAGAGGAGUAAACUAGCUAGGUGGUUUAGAACUGGGUUAGCUACCUCACUAUAUCCCAAUUCAUAGCUCAAUAGCUCAUACAUCAAUUAAUUGAAUCAUGAGAAAAUGUGGUCAUAGCUCAAUAUGAGAUGAUUUCGGAGAGGCAUAUUGUUUUCAAGUUAAUUUGAUCCAUUAAGAGAUGAAGUGGAUUGAAGUGGAAAGUCUAACUAACAAAUCCUUGUUCUUGAUUUUUACGUCGUCUUUACUCCUUCAAGUGGCAGAUUGUGCAAGUGAAUUAAGAAACACAAUGCAUCAUUCACAGGGAUGCCACAUCAAAAGACGGGAUCAUAGUCUAUGCAUUGAAUAGUUAAAGUUAUCUCAAAGAGGACAGAACAGGAAGCUAAUGCGAUCAAUGUCCUUUUCACUAUAUCUGCUGGGAUUGUUGGUGUAGUGUCCUCAUUUGAAGCUGUCUAUACAUAGGCUUUUCCCCUACUUAUGUACAAAUAAAUGAAUGGCCUUGAAGGCUUUACUACUGACCCCAAAAAAGAUUACCAAUUGAAGAAGACUAUAUAGGGUUAAUCUCACACUUUCGUUCUCUCAAUUUCUUUCAGAAGUCCCUCUGAAAAUAGCUGCCAAAACAGUUACUCAACUUUUAUACUCUGUUCUCGGGAAACAGAGUCUUAACUAACUUAACUGACUGUGCAGAGCAUGUCAAUAUUCUUAGUAUAUCUAACCGUUUUAACAGUAAUUUUUUACCGUCUUCGCAGUGAUCAUCAACAAGCUCAUCAUAAGAUUUUUGGAGCACCCAGGACUAUCACUUGGUUUCUCUUCUGGUUGAUUAAUUAAUUAAUCAAAGAACGGUUGGAUACCCAGGGACAAUUACUAGAUUCUAAAAUGACUUAGUUCACUAUUCUUUUACAUUCCUUUCACCAAUAAAAUUAUUCGACUUCUGGAACUGGAAAUGAAGUGCAAUGAUGGAGCAACAUUUACAAUGUCUCCGGUUUCUCCUGACUAUCGGAUUUUUGCAGUGAGAACAUAUAACAAAAAGGCCUCCAUCAACUUGAAGAACCUCUUUACUAUCGCGAUAUCGAAUCUGCGCAAGGAGUUGUCCAUUGUUCUUUGCCUUGUGCUUUGAUCGGUACUUUUGAUGUUGCCCUGAAACAGUGGAAAAUACUUCGAUAUCCUCCGUUUCAUGAUGCAAAGAACUGGAUAAUGUACGAUUACCUAAUUGACUCAGGAUCAAGUAACAACAACAAUUUAUUAAUAGUAAUAUCACAAACUACGAAGAUUUCGGAGACGGAGAUGUGUGCGUAUACUGUUUACAGGUUUGAUCCAUUGGGGAUGAAGUGUUCUCAAAUCGAAAGUGAUUUAUGAAAUAACAAAUCAUUGGUCUUGGGUUACACCUCAUUAUGUCUUCAAGUGGAAGAUGAAGAUUAUGCAAGAUGAAGAUCGAGUUUUGGUUUGAGAUUGAAGAAUUUGAACAGAAAGCCCAUAGAAAGUACCUAAAUAAGCAUAUUCUUGGGGUAGAAUAUGGAGAAAGGAGUUGUCUACUGUGUGUUGCGUAAUUAUGCUAUGAUCGGUGCUUUCAACAUUGCCCUGAAAACAGUGGGAAAUACUUCAUAUCCUCGACAUGAUGAUAAAAAAUUGGUUACCGAUUACGUAACUAACUCAGGUGACAACAAUCCAUUAAUAGCACAAUUUGAGGUGAUGUCGUUUAGGUAUAUGGUUAACAGGUUUGGUUCAUCAAUGAUGAAGUGGGCUCAAAUUAAAAGAUCAUAUAAUAAGUCGUUCUUCUUGGGCAUAUCGUCAUUACUACUUCAAGUGAUCAAAGAUGAAGAUGAAGAUGAAAAUUGUGCAAGUGAGUUCAAGAAUACCAUACAUCGUUACUUGGGAUACUUCUUCAAAUAUGGAUGGGGUUAUAAUUUACUCCCACGAAUUUCAACCCAAUUUUAUGAUUGGAGUGUCCCACCAUGACUCAGAAAAAUUCUGUUUCAACCUCGUCGACCAAUGGAUUUUGAUUAGUCACUUUGUGAUCAAGCAACUUAAUUAAACUCAGAGUUUAAUUUUGUUGGUACUGCAUUUUUUUUAAAAUGUGGCCAUGUAAGGAGAGCGGCACAUAGUGUCACUUCUUCAUCAAGCACUUUAAAGAGGGAUUUUAGAAGAAGAUACAACUGCAAUUGUUUUCGUAUGUAUAUACAUAAACAACAGAACAUUCAGUUCAUAAAAGAAACUAGUGUUUUUUAGGCAAUUUAGAAAUAGAGUUGUUCAACUUACAACAGAUAUUCUCCUCAAGUUCGACGUAAAUACAGAUAUUAAUUAGAAUCUAGAUUAUUAUGGCACACAUAACUUACUUCAAAAUUAUAAGAAAUUACAAUUGCUGAUUCGCAAUACAUAUAACUUGGAAGAUUUGAUGUUAAAUUUUGUCAUUAAAAUUGUAGUAGUAUUUCUAAACACCUCGCAUUUGUAUCCACAUUUUGCAGGAAUUUUGAGAAAUACACGUGUCCGAAAAAUCACACGCAUAACUUGGAGAACAAUUGCGACAGCAGCCGAGUAUAUAUUAACUAACUAAAAUGGCCAACCAGAUUUGCUUAAGAAAUAAAAUUUUGUCUUGUAGUAGUAUUUCCAAGCACCUCGCAUUUGCAUCCACAUUUUGCUGGAAUUUUAAGAAAUACACGUGUCCGAAAGUCUAAUCAUCGUUUUUACUAUUCGAGUAUUGGUAUGAUAAUGACGAAUUUGAAAAGCCACACUGUAAAAACAGUUUGUGAUCUGUGCAUGACGAACCACCAACAGUGUAGUAAGAGCACAGGAAAAAAUCUAACAAAAUUAAUUGCGUCCAUAGAUAUUCAGACGCAAACAAUAAUUUUAAAUAAUAGCAAUUAGUAUUAAUAUUGCCCACCCAAGAAAUAAGAGUGAUUUAAAGUAUUAGCAGGACUUCAAUGAGAGGAGCGAUCAAACCACCUCCUUAUCAAUUGCCGUAGCCGUCUAUUAACUAAAAUGACAAUUUCAUACAAGAAGAAACAACAAGUACAUACUCGGCAAUUGUGUUCGUCAAGAAGUGACAUAGCAUUAAGGUGAUGACUUUACUUUUGUUAUCUUGCUAACAAUGGUAGUCUAAUUUUAGUUUUAAUGUGAUCACUAUUCAAGGUAAGCGGAAGUUACAGAUGUGGCAAAAUCAAUAAUUAAAUUCAUAAAAUAUUAAUUGUUUUCAACAAAUUUUGAGGUAGGAAAAGCCAAAACAAAUCUAGAACAAUAAAUUUGUAUUUUUUGGGGAGACGGGGUACCUCACUAGUUUGUUGUGUGCGGUGUGGUGUAUCUGAAAUCUGGGGGAGGUGAGAAGGGGAGAGGGAGUGGCAAAAAUGGUGAAAGGUCAAAACCAAGAGAGAUAUCCUUCAAAAUGAGCUUCACGCCUGCAAAACAGUGAAAUAGAGGUUAGAGGUGAAGCCGGGGUACCCCGGUGUUCACACUCCGACGCUCAAAUUAGCAAACUCAAGCUUUUAUGGUAAAGAGAGCUAGCUAGCCCUCUAUAAAUUAUGGUUUAAGAUUGAAGAAAACCUAUUUUUUAGAGUGUGAGUGUUAAUGGUGAGUGAGAGCAUGAUGGAGAAUGAAACCUAAGCACCUUUAUAUAUGGAGUACCUCAGCUGACACGUGGCGUACCCUUUUUGGCUAACGUCCUUUUACCUUUUUAUGAUUUUUGGGCCGUUAUGUGCAUGUUCGCGGCGUAUCUCAUCCUUUGGGAACAUGGUGCGCGCUAGAGAGUGGUCCAGGGUACCUCUGCAGUAGCUGUCGGGUAGGCGGCUGAGGACCACUGUCCUUGGGAUAGUGUCCUUCACUUUUGGCAGAGGUAGCAGGCGGCUGUCCCCCCUUUUUGGUACGACGUUCUUGAUUCUUAAUUCUGACAAAAUUGAAUAAUAUCUUUUAAGAUAUGAAGACGUUUCUUACGGCGGAUAUUUUCAGAGGGUUCUCUUGCAUCUGAUUUGCCGGGUACCUCGAGUUACGUGGGGUACCUCAAUUUAUGUGGAGUACCCCUAAUUGUGCGGGGUACCUCUAUUUGUGUGGGGUACCUCUAAUUGUGCGGGGUACCUCAAAUCACGCCGGAUACCUCGGAUUGUGCAGGGUAUCUCGUAUCAUGUCGGGUACCUCUAUUUGUCCGGGGUACCUUAAAUCAUGCCGGGUACCUCGAAUUGUAUGGGGUACCUCAGAUUGUGCUGGGUACCUCUAAUCAACUCGAGUACCUCUAAUCAGACCGGGUACCUCUAAUCAGGCCGAGUACCUCUAAUCAUGCUGGGUACCUCGAGUUAUUCCGAUUACCUUGAAUUAUGUUGGAGUUAUUCUGGGUACCUUGAAUUAUGCUGGAGUUAUUCCGGGUACCUCGAAUUAUACAGGGUACCCCAGUCUAUGCGGGGUACCUCGAGUUAAUCUGGAGUUAUGCGGGGUACCUCUGACCGUGCCGGGUACCUCAAAUCAUGCCGGGUACCUCAAAUCACGCCGGGUACCUCUAAUCUUACGGGGUACCUAUAAUCUUGCGGGGUACCUCAGAUUGCACUGAAGUUAUUCUAUUCGUCGACACAUGGCGUUCUGCUAUCUUUCUUAUUUUUCCCUCAAACAAUAUCCCCCUAGUUUCUUUUGGCGAGAAGUAUUGGAGGCAAAAGAAACUUACAUAAAAAGUAGGAGCGACACGUGGCGAUAUGAAGUUUAGCUCGAUGGGUAGCUGAAUAGAGGAUGCCUCUAGGGGUACCCUCAUGAAGGGAAGAUCUCUGGAGUGAACAAGACUUUGAGGGGACACUUUGAUGAAGUUUCAGAGGAGAAUGCCCAUAAGGUGGAAGACCCUGAGGAGCUUUAAGUUAAGCUUGAGGACUUGAUACCUCGACAUAAGAACAUAGUUGACAAUGCUUUUGAGUGCAUCAUGACCGAAGAAUGAAGUGCUGAUAUGGGGCUGGUGGUGCCAAGAGUAGAGAACUAGGUAGAUAAGCCGGCUAUCUUGAAGGCAAUUGAGAAUAGUAGGGCUCCCCACACAUCUUGGUUUGAAAGCCCAUGGAGAUCAACUAGGGUACCUCAGAUGAAGUCGCCAUAAGGUACCCCUGAUACCGACGCUUGUGUUUUUGCUAUUUCUAACACUUUUGUUGAUCCCCUUAUCCUAAAUAAUGAAGGUGAAGAUAACCAUCCUAUUAUGUAACCUUGUUCGGCAUUACCGACAAGGCGUAUGGGGUACCUCGGGUACCCAUAAGCUUGGAUAUCCCCUGAGCUAUCUGUUACUUCAUGGCGGGAUAACCCAAUUUUAUCAAACAUAUGGCGAUUCCUUCAAAUAUGCUUGCUGUUUAUCUCAGGCUUUCUUAGAGUUCCUCUUGGUGUACACGAGGAAUGGUUUUCUGUCAUAGGGUACCCUGAGUACUAUGGGUACCCUUAAUCUUGUCUCAUCAGUGUAUCGCGGUUUACUUAGACAUGCUUGUUGCGGUUAAUUCAUGGCGGAACAACCCAAUUUCAUCAAACAUAUGGUGAUUCCUCCGGAUAUGCUUGUUGCUUAUCUCAAACUUUCUUAGGGUUCCUCUUGGUGUAUUUGAGGACUGACUUUCUGGCGUGAGGUACCUCAGAGGUACCCUUAAUUAGUGUAUGGCAAUUUUCAUAGAAAUGCUUGCCGCAAAUCUUCACAAAACUUGUGGCGAUUCCUUUUGAGAGAUGAUGGAAAACCUCAUGAUCCACCAUUCUCUCUACAUCAAAUAUGCAAGACAAAUAGUCAUAAAGGUGGGCUGCUCGCCUACCCUUAUGUAAGAUGGUAAAAAAUAUCAUGAUCCGCCAUUCGCGUGGAAUCAAAUAUACAACAUAGAUUGAGAUAAAGGUGGCUGCUCGCCUACCCUUUUGCGAUAUGGUCAAAAACCUCAUGAUCUACCAUUCGCUGGAAUCAAAUAGACAAUAUAGAUUGAGAUGAAGGUAGUUGCUCGCCUACCCUUAUGUGAGAUGGUCGAAAACCUCAUGAUCCACCAUUUGCAUGGAAUCAAAUAGACAAUAUAGAUUCAGAUAAAGGUGGCAGCUCGCCUACCCUUAUGCGAGAUGGUCGAAACCUCAUGAUCCACCAUUCACAUGGAAUAAAAUAGACAACAUAAAUAAAAAUGAAGGUGACUGCUCGCCUACCUUUAUGCGAAAUGAUUGAAACCUCAUGAUCGACCAUUCGCUCAGAAUCAAAUAUGGCGAAUAAAUAAUGAUAAAGGCGGCUCUGAUGUUAAGUAGAUUAGCAUGAUUGGGGAUAAGUCAGGUACCUCUGGUACCCUGGAGUAAGGUGAUCUCUGGAUACCCUUUUGCAUCAUAAUAAACAAUACUUUUACUAGUAGUGUGACUUUUCUUUGUUGGAUCGGUGGCCCAAAUCGAGACUGAAACCGAGUCUUCAACUGGGGUACCCUAUUUUUCAUCUUUGGGUAUUCGAGGAUCCAAAUGUGCCUCCAAUUCACAUUUUGGCUUAAUCUGGUCCCCCUGGGGUACCCCCGCAUAACUCUAGAGUAACUAGUUAUGGGGUACCCUACCACCGAGGCCUCGGUGGUGGCUCUUGCUGCUCUGGUGGUGGCGAUCUUGGAGGUUGGGGUACCCGUGAGAUACCCUAAGUGUUAAACACUCGUCCCCACAGGAUAACCCUUGGAGGGCUCCGCAUUCAGGGUACCCUUGGUAUUGGGCCUUCCAUCAUCUUCGGCUUCUCCUUAUUCUUUGUGACCUCGACCUUAUCUUCUUGGCAAUUCAAAUGAAAUUUCUCAUCCAUCUCCACUUGCUGCAACGCCCAAGAACGGGCUUCCCUAUAUGAAAGUGGGUGCUUAUUUUGAAAGGAACGUCAUAACUUGCCCAACCGUAAAUUUUUCUCGAAAUGGGUCAGUGUUUGUUGGUUUCCAAAUGCUCCGGUUCGCAACACCUCUUGGUGGAAACGGCUCAUAUACUCCGCCAAAGGUUUGGCUUCCCCUUGCUUGAUAAAAGCGAGUUUGGAGGCUACCCUAUCUUGAGUGGAAACAUAGGAAAACUCUUUAGUAAAUUCGGAUAAUAAUUGGUGUAGAGAAUAUAGGUUACCCACCUUCAAGGACUGAAACCAUGACUUCGCGAGGCCCAUGAGUGUGUGUGUAAACAUCCUACACAUGGCAUUCUCAUAUACACCCAUGAUGGAGAAUGAAACCUAGGCACCUUUAUAUAUGGAGUACCUCAGCUGCCACGUGGCAUAUCUUUUUUGGCUAACGUCCUUUUAUCUUUUUAUGAUUUUUGGGCCGUUAUGUGCAUGUUCGCUGCGUAUCUCAUCCUUUGGAAACGUGGCGCGCGCUGGAGAGUGGUCCAGGGUACCUUUGCAGUAGCUGUCGGGUAGGCGGCUGAGGACCACUGUCCUUGGGACAAUGUCUUUCACUUUUGGCAGAGGUAGCAAGCGGUUGUCCCCCCAUUUUGAUACAACAUUCUUGAUUCUUAAUUUUGACAAAAUCGAUUAAUAUCUUUUAAGAGAUGGAGACGUUUCUCAUGGCGGAUAUUUUCAGAGGAUUCUCUUACAUCUGAUCUGCCGGGUACCUCGGGUUACGUGGGGUGCCUCAAUUUAUGUGGGGUACCCCUAAUAGUGCGGGGUACCUCUAUUUGUACGGGGUACCUCUAUUUGUGCGGGGUACCUCAAAUCACGCCAGGUACCUUGGAUUGUGCAAGGUAUCUCGUAUCAUGUCGGGUAUCUCAAUUUGUCCGGGAUACCUUAAAUCAUGCCGGGUACCUCGGAUCGUGCGGGGUACCUCAGAUUGUGCUGGAGUCAUUUCAUUUGUCGACACGUGGCGCUUUACUGCCUUUCCUAUUUUUCCCUCAAACAACAUCUCCCUAAUUUCUUUUUGGCGAGAAGUAUUGGAGGCAAAAAAAACUCAUUGUAUGAGUGACACGUGGUGAUGCGUCUGGACCGGGGAUACCUUGCGUAGUUUCUUCCCUUGACAAAACUUUGUGUACUGUCGAGCUAAAAAAAUCUUCUCUUUGUCUUUUCCCUUUCCCGCCACUUUUCUUUCUUUUUUUUUUACUCAACUGCUGAUGAGAACGAACAGUUGUCUUUAUGUCUCUCUCCUGUUUUCUUGGGAAAUGGCAGCCUUCUAACACACAGUUUGAAUUUUAAAAAUAUCAAUCUCACACAAACAUCUCUUACCUCCUUUCUUGUGCAGUGUGUUCUGUCAUGUUGAAUUAAAAACCCCUGACGUGAAUGUCAAUCUCCUCUCAUUUAUUUUGAAAAUCCCCAAACGAUCUCCCAAAAGUUGAUUAUCUCCAGUGGCCUUCUUCUUUCAACAUUUCGUCUUUUCUCCUAACUGCAUCAAUAUUGCUCACAGGAAAAAAUUUCUUCUUUACUUUUUUUUUUUGCGUUCGUUCGUCUUCCCUUGGGCUUUAUUUUCUCUUUACUUUCCUUUUUUUCUUUUAUUUCCUUCUUCUUCCUUUUUCCUUCUUUCCUUCUCUUUCUCUCUCGGUCGGUGUUCAUCUGGUGCGUUUUCCGGCGUUGAUCUCGGCUGCUGCAGUGGCGGUUUUGGCUUCAGAUCUGGUCGGUUCAAGGCAGUUUUUCGACGGCUCAUGACGAGAUCCGACCUGGCGGUAGAUACGGUAACCUCCCUCCCUCGUGUCUUCAUUUUAUCCUUACUUUCUCUCUCUUCUUUCUCAUUUUCUUCUCUCUUUCUCUUCUCUUUUUCGUUUCGGCCGGCGUUCUCCUUGGCGAUUUCUGGCGUCAGUUCGGUGGCUGCAGUCGCGGCAGCUGGCGUCGGUUCAAUGGCUGCAGUCCCCCCCUCCGUGUUGUCUUCUCCGUUCUUCCUUUUCUCUUUUUUCCUUUUUUUUAAUUUUCGGCAGCGUUCUCCCUUGGUGGUUUCCGGCGUCCUUCUCGCGAUCUCCGGCGUCGGUUCUCGGUGGUUGCAGCCACGACAGUCGACGCCGGUUGCUGCAGCUUCCCCCCCCCACCGCGUUGGUUUGGUUCGGUAGCUGCAGCUUCUUCAUUUUUUUAUAAAUAAAAUGAAUUGACUAAUUUCAUUUGUGCUUGAAUAAAUAAAAUAAAUUUGCAGCUUCUUCGUUCUUCACACCAUUGGUUUUUAUACUUGCAUAUUCUUACUUACUGGUUUUGGUUGCCUGCAGCUUUGUCUUCCCACGAUUACCAAUCCUGAUCCGUCAAGUUGGUAAAUCAUAGGUAUCCUUCCUCGUUUCUCCUCCUUUGGCGCAUUUACAAUGGCGUUAUUUUGCAUACUCUGAGAAAAUUUUGUUUGUUUGUUUGUUUUUUUUUUUUUUUGUGGUUGGUGUUUGCAUUUGAUGGUUGAUGUGUGGUGGGUGGUGUAUGGCAUGAAAAUAUUGUUGGGGGAAUUGUGGCUUGGUGGUUACAUUGUUGGGAGAAUUGUGGCUUGGUGGUUACGUUGUUAGGGGAAUUGUGGCUUGGUGGUUAUGUUGUUAGGGGAAGUAAAUAGGCAAGAAACAUACGGGACCUGUGAGGAAGCGACGUGCAAUUGGGGCUAGUAGGUUUGACAGCCCUCCUGCGCGUUCUCCUUCCCACAUCUCCAUUACCGAGAGGGAUAGGUCCCCCCUAGUACCUCUAGGAGUUGUAACUCUCAUUUUGAGCUCCCUCCUCUUAGGAGUACUCCUCGUGUCAGCCCACGCCACUAAACGGCCAACCCCCCAUCCUCGAAAGAAGGGUAGGUCAUCAAAACCUAAGGUUCCAGCUCGUUCCUCAGACCGGCCUCCCAAAUCUCCCCCUGCCACACCUUCAAAAUCUGGCAACCUUUAUUCCCUAGGCACUAGGAGGGCUACUUUGGGGGACUUAGAACAAAUUAGAGCCAAAUACAAUAUUCCUCCGUCUGUCCAGCUUAGGGUACCCCAUGUGGAUGAGCGACCUGAGUGUCCGAAGUCUGAUGGGAUUGCUCUCCACAUUGACCUCUUUCAUCUAGGACUUCGCCUGCCCCUCCAAUCUUUCUAGAUGAAGAUGUUUAGUUUUUUGGGGGUAGCUCAUGGGCAGCUGUCCCUUCCAGGGUGGAGGACACUUACGGGCUUACAUGUGUUAUAAUUGGAGGUAUUGAGGCGCAACAUUUCUAUUCAGGAAUUGAGGGGCCUCUACCAAUUCAAAAAGCCCAAGGGUUCCGCUAUUGCUUACUUCUCCGCUUGGGGUGAUCAUAGUCAUAUUGUUGAGGGGGACCCUACCUUGAAGAAGGGUUACCGAAAGGGGUGGUUCGUUGCUGAGGGUAGGUGGGGGACAGAGACUCUAGGUGAAAAGGGCAACCCCGUGGAGGUUCCAAAUUCCUUCAAUGUAGACUGUAAGUAUCUUCCUUGUUUACGGUUCUUUAUUGUAAUAUUUCGCAUGAAUGUCUCGUUAACCUUGGGUUCCAUGCUUUUGUAGGUGUGACGUGGGCUAAAGGAUCAUGCCUACUUCAGGAGGUGAAAGAGUUUGUGGAGAGGCUCCGAGGUGCACAGAGGGGUAGUGAUGUGUUAGAGGAGAGCAAAUUACAGAGAGCGGGGUUGAUUGACCGAAGUCCUCCAUCUGCUUCUGGGGAUGACUCAUGUAUGAUUCUGAAGUCGGGGGGUACCCUAUUAUUAUCUACGGGACUGGGGUACCCCGUUAUCACCGCAUUCUUUAUUUUGCUUCCCCGCUUUUAAUUUCCUAUUUUUGCUUUUAUAGUACUUAGUACUUGUCCGGCUAACAUAACGUUUGUGCAUUGGGUGCAGUUAUGGAGUCGGCGGGUGACGCCUUUGAUACCUUUUUCUAAGUAGUUGUGUGAGGUGCUUCUAGAUCUCAGGAUUCGGCGGUACCCCAGAAAAGUUCCCGGCCACCUCGAGCUCCCGGACUAAAGGGAAAAUUCCAGGGUACCUCCCACAGUGGGUCGAAGGGUACCCCUCGUUCAAAAAAGAGAAAAUUCGGGAUGGUUUCUGCUUUCCCCGAUGAAUUGCGUGAAGGCGACCUAGACCCGGCCUCCAACAAGGAGGUUUCACACUUGGCUCGGUGUUUCUACUAUUCUGCUGAAAAUGUUACCUCCGAGGUGGCUGAAGAGACAGACAAGAUGAGCUUGAGCCAACACUAUGUCAGGCACUCAGGGCUACCCAAGAGGUAAGCUUUAAUAGGGUACCCCGGGUGUAUCCUCCAUUUUUUAUUUAUUUACUCCUAUUGCCAUACACAUAUAUUUAAAAUGUCUUUUACGACCUGCAGGCAUCCUAUUUUCUCAGCCACUGUCUUUCAGAUCUCGACUCCCUUGUUGCCGCCCAAUCGGAGGUUGACAAGUUAAGGGGUGAGCUUCGAAGUCGUCAGUCUUACGAGAACGAGCUUGCUCGAGAAGUCAAGACUUUGCGGGAACGCAUUACUGGCCUUUCUGGAGAGAAAUCUCGAGUGGAGAAAGAUUGCGACGAGUUGAGGGCCACAAACUAGGAUCUGUUAUCCCGACAAAAGACGAUGGCAGAGGAUGCAUUCUCACUCAUCAUGACGGAGGUGUGGAGUGUGGAUCCGAAAUUAGAGGUACUCCAUGUGCAGAAAUUCGUCAACAAGGCCACGAUUCUGAAGACGAUUGAGGAGAGGAAUAAGUCUUCCCAUGCACGGUCAGGUACCCCUUCCGAGUCGCCUAGGGUACCCCGCGCGCUUCAGCCGUUGCUCGCCUCAGAUGCCCCUACUUCGGCUGCUCAUAUUCCAGGUACCUCAGAGUCCUCUGCUGAUCGCCCUCUGGAGACGGACGGUAGGGAUGGCGUUCCACCCUCGGUGUAACCUUUUCACUGUGCUCUUAUUUUUUAGAUCUAUCCACAUUUUGCUAUUUCGAACUUGUUUCUUUCUUUUUGGUUUCUUGGGAUAUUCUGUAUUAUUGGGACUUCUCUUUUGUUAUGAUAUCAUGCCACCGAGCCCUUUUGUACUUUGCAUUCUUGUUAUUCUGCAAAUGAAUGUUUGGCUAAACUGUUAUCUUGUAAAUUUUCAGGGUACCUCUCAUUUUUCUUUUUUCUUUUUGAAAUGGGGUACCCCCGGUACCUUAACAAAUAUUCGACAUCAGGCGCCUGCUGGUUUAUACAGAUUAGCGAAUUUGGUGCAUGCCCUUCUCGGCAACCAUGGCGGAUUUCCCAUAAAUAGGUAAUCAAAACAUCAUCGCGACAUCUCGAUCAAAAAUUGAAAGUGCGCAAUUGGUCCAACCAAUCAAUUUCUUAUUCUUUCGAAGUUCUCUCCGAAUUUUUGAAUAGCUUACCCCCUACUUUGCUCAAGUAAGAGGACGGAGGUGUGGGUGUUCUCAUACCUAAGCUGAACCUCGUGCCGCUGGGGUAUGCCGAUUUUACUCCAUCCUCGGCUCCUCUUUGACCCUCCCUCUCUUUGUCUAGGUAGUUUUGUCAUGCUUCCGCAGAAAGACUACCCCUGGGCUGUUCACUCCGUUGCCCAUCUUGGCUUUACAUAGAUCGUCAUGAUCUAGGCAUAUCAGGUACCCUGGCUGGUCCUGUGAUAGGUUAGUUAUAAUUGACAAGCGUAUGGCGAGAAUUGCAUAUAACCAAAUGCGAGGGUAUAUUAAUGGCGAUAAAUGAAUAUAAUCCGCAUUCUAAGAUCGAAGUGGCGAAAAAUAAAAAAGAACCCACAUCAUAUUUGUUGAGAAAGAAAAUGCAUUUAUAGAUAACGAAAGCGUUGAUCAAUACAUGACUUAGCGUUGUUACCCUGAGGAGAAUGAGAGACCGCAAGACCUCCUAUCCUUUUCAUUUGAAAAUUAAAGAAACUUUAAAGUUGCAACUGACCAACAUAAGGCAUUCGGGGUACCACAUUUGGCCUACCACGCAAAAACAUUAAAUAAAGCAAACAACAGCAAAAGCCUAAAGGUUAAGACACUAUCCUUUAGUAAUAUUUCCGUAGCAUUGCAGCAUUUCAGGGGUGCCUCACGAUUGUCUUAUUCAUAUGGAGUAGCUAUGCCAAGGUUGGUGACGACUGCAAUGGUGUGAGCUUGAAAAUAUGGUCUGAGCUUCCGUGCGGAGACAACCAAUGCCAAAACGACCUUUUCACAGGUGGGGUACCUCUUUUCGGCAUCAACCAUAGCCUUAUUAGUGUAGUAAAUAGGUCGUUGUACCUCAUUAUCAUCCUCUCGGAGUAACACGGAGCUGGUGGCAUACUCGAAUACGGUGAGAUACAACAGAAGCACCUCUCCCGGCUCAGAUUUGGCAAGUAGUAGAGCAUUCACGAGGUACCCCUUCAGUUCUUGAAAAGCCUCUUCGUAAUCGGGUGUCCAUUGGAGCUUCUUGCCGGUCUUCAAAGCUUUGAAAAAUGGCUUACACCGGUCUGUAGCCUUGGAGAUAAAGCGGCUCAGGGUAGCUACCCGGCCUGCCAAGCUUUGAACCUCCUUGAUGGUGCGUGGCGAUUUCAUGUCAAGAACCGCGUGAAUUUUAUCGGGGUUGGCCCAAUCCCCCGUUAUUGUACCAUGAACCCAAGAAAUUUCCCCAAGGUAACCCCAAAUGCACAUUUUUCAGGGUUGAGCCGCAUCUGGUGUCUUCUUAAAACUGUAAAAGUAUCUCUGAGAUGCCCCAGGUGUUCCCCCAUAUGUACCGAUUUAGUGAUCAUGUCAUCUAUGUACACCUCCAUGGUGUGCCCGAUUUGUUUCUUGAAAAUUUUGUUCACUAGCCGCUGAUAGGUAGCCCCGGCAUUCUUCAAACCAAACGGUAUAACCUUAUAACAGUAUAACCCGCGGUUGGUGAUAAAGGCCGUUUUCUCUUAAUCGGGUUCAUACAUUGGGAUUUGGUUGUAACCGGAGAAGGCGUCCAUAAAACUAAGCAUCUCAUGCCCCGCUGUUGCAUCAACUAGCUGGUCUACCCGGGAAGCGAGAAGCUAUCCUUGGGGCAGGACUUGUUCAAAUCGGUGAAGUCCACACACAUACGCCACCUUCUGUUUGAUUUCCUGACUAGAACAACGUUGGAUACUCAAUCGGGGUACACUGCUUUCUGGAUAAAUCUUGCUGCUAAUAGGCAGUCUACCUCUUGUUCAAUUGCAUCGUACCUCUUUUGGUUGAAGGUGCGACGCUUCUGUUUCACCGGUUUAUUAUGUGGGCUGACAUUGAGUUUGUGACAAGAGAGGAAAGGUGGGAUACCCGGCAUAUCUAAGCGGGACCAGGCGAAUACAUCGUGGUGCUCGCGUAGAAAGGUGAUGAGCCCCUCUCUUUGUUCCUCCGAAAGAUUGGAGCCUACUUUCACGAUCUUUGUUGGGUCGGUGGUACAAAUCGAGACUGAAAUAAGGUCUUCAACUGGGGUACCCCGUUUUUCAUCUUUCAAUAUUCGGGGAUCCAAAAGUGCCUCAACUUCACAUAUGGGCUCCACCUGGUCCCCGUGGGAUACUUUUGACCUAUCCCCCGCAACUGCUUCUACGCCCAUUGGUGAGGAUUCCAACUGUUUUCGUGGGUGGGCUACCUGAGGAGAUUUUUUGAAUACCACUCUCCGCUGUCUAGCAAGUACUCGCUUUGAGGGAUAAGGUGUGGGCUGGCUGCCACUGGGGUACCCCUUCAUUGGCGGAUCAGAAGCGAUUUGAUAAGUGACUUUGGAGGCCAUGAAGUAACAUCCACGAGCCGAUUGCUGGUCCCUUUUAAUGGUGAUAACUUCUUGGGCGGACGGGACUUUCAUGGCGAGGUAGUGCAUGGAUACCACCGCUUUAGUUGCUAUUAAGAACGGCAUACCCAAUAUGAUAUUGUAGGCACCCGGGUGAUCUACAAUAAGAAAAUCAAUCAUAUGAACAACACGGUAAGGUACUUUACCAAGUGUAACGGGCAGUGUAAUGAUGCCUUUUGGUAUAACCAUAUCUCUGGCGAACUCAAUAAGAGGCGUAGCAUAAGGGAUGAUCUUUGGCGACUCUAUCAGUAGUUGAUCCAAGGCGCUUUUGAAAAUGAUGUCAACGGAGCUGCCGGUAUCUACAAGAGUUCUUGCUACCUUACCGAUGGCAACCUUCAACGUAAUUUACUAAGGCAUCGUCAUGGGGGUACGAGAUACCCUCCGCAGUUUUUUCUGUAAAAAGGAUAGGCGGGGGAUGGUGGGGUACUUUCGGUGUACCCCAUUCAUUAAGGUUGACUUCUCUGUCAAUAUUAGUGGUUAUCGACAACGAUCUACCAUAGCCUUUGAUAGCCCUCCUAGAUUGGCCCGCUAAAGUAGGUCCACCCAUAAUCAUCCGGACAUACACGCCUUUCUUAUGUCCCGGGAGUACCUCUCGUUCAGGACUGCCAUCAGCUACCCGCUUGCCCUUAUCCUGCUCCGUGGAUUUCCGAGCUUCUCUCAUGCCAGCAACAAAUUCUUUGAGGUACCCGCUAAGAAUCAAAGAUUCAAUUUCCUCUCGCAAGGUAAAAUACUCGGCUGUGCUAUGACCGAAGUCCUCAUGGAACUCACAAUACUUCAAGUUAUGCUUCAUGUUGGGGUACUUCUUCAUUGGCUAAGGAGGACGAAGGAGGCCGCUAUCCCGAAUAUGGUAGAAGAUCUGCUCUGGGGAUCGAUUCAGUGGAUGGUAAGAUUCGUACCAAGGCCUCGGUGGUGGCGAUCUUGGAGGUUGGGGUACCCUGAGCGUUAUACCCUCGUCCCCGCGGGGUAGCCUGUGGAGGGCUCCAUGCUCAGGGUACCCGCGGUAUUGUGGCCUCCAUCCUCUUGGGAUUCUCUUUGUUCUUUGUAACAUCAGCCUUAUCUUCUUGGCGCUUCAAUUGGCAUUUAUCGUCCAUCUCCACCUGCUGCAACGCCCGGGAACAGGCUUCCCCAUAUGAAAGUGGGCGCUUCUUUUGAAAAGAACGCCAUAACUUGCCUAACCGUAAAUUUUUCUCAAAAUGGGUUAAUGUGUAUUGGUUUCCAAAUGCUCCGGUUCGCAGCACCUCUUGGUGAAAACGACUCAUAUACUCCGCCAAAGGUUCGGCUUCCCCUUGCUUGAUAAAGGCAAGUUUGGAGCCUACCCUAUCUUGAGUGGAAGCGUAGGAAAACUCUUUAGUAAAUUCGGAUAACAAUUGGUGUAAGGAAGAUAUACUACCUGCUUUCAGAGAGCGAAACCAUGACUUCGCAGGGCCCGUAAGUGUGUGUGUGUAAACAUCCUACACAUGGCACUCUCAUCUACACCAUUGAUAAGCAUUUAGUCGCGGUAUAGCUCAGCAUGCUCCGAGGGAUCAGUGACACCCGAGUAUUGGGGUAUUUGAGGCAUGGCGAACGCCUCGGGGAGAGCUGCCUUCCGAAUCUCCAUAGUGAAUGGCGAUUGGUAGGUCAUUGGCGUUGGAGCAGCUGUGAUGUUUUGCUUCUCGGAGAGGAGCUUCACUUGGGCUUCCAGGUUCUCCAUUUUUUUCACAAGUUCGUGGGGUACCCUCGGGGUACCUGAUGAUGUCGCCACCAUUUGAGAAGCCCUUUUGGCGUUUAACUUUUCAUAGAGAUCCUCGUGGGUAUGCUUUGCACGCCUCGUACCCUGGCUGCUGCAGGAAUUGCAAGAGGCGGUGGAACACUCGUCUCGGGAGCCCACGGUAUGAAACUUAAAAUGGGUACCCGAUGGCCUAUGCUUUGGCUUGUUGCCCUCGGGUACCUUUUUUCUGAUCAUAACUUGGUCGUCCUUUUGAGGUGGUAGAGCAUCUAGUGUCACUGGUGGAAGUGAACUUUCGGGUGCCCGAGAUCCAACCGCCCUAAGUAUUGCAUGGGCAAGAUCCUCAAAAUGCUUGUGGGAGAUGGGUUCAUCAUCUUGGCGGAUACCCGUUGAUUGCUUGAUACCCUUGCCCUUGCUGAGAUGGGCUACCCUUCUUACGGUAUCACUACCUUCACCGCUGUUGUCAUCUCCCAUCCUUGUAGGAUCCGCCAUUAAACCUUCGGGAGGUGCGUCAGGUGCCAUGUAUUGGAGUACACACAACAACUAGUUUGGUAACUGCGGUAGAGGCUUUUUGUACGCUUCCCCACAGACGGCGCCAAUUGUUUUCAACAGAUUUUGAGGUAGGAAAAGCCAAAAUCUAUCUUGAACAAUGAAUUUAUAUUUUUGGGGGAGAUGGGGUACCUCACUUGUUUGUUGUGCACAAUGUGGUGUAUCUAAAAUUCGGGGGAGGUGAGAAGGGGAAAAUGAGUGGUAACAACAGUGAAAGGUCAAAACCAAGAGAGAUGCCCUUCAAAAUGAGUUUCACGCCUGCAAAAUAGUGAAAUAGAGGUUAGAGGUGAAGCCGGGGUACCCCGGCGUUCACACUCCGACGCUCAAGUAAGCAAACUCAAGCUUUUAUGGUAAAGAGAGCUGGCUAGCCCUCUGUAAAUUAGGGUUUAAGGUUGAAGAAAACCUAUUUUUUAGAGUGUGAGUGUUAAUGGUGAGUGAGAACAUGAUGGAGAAUGAAACUUAGACACCUUUAUAUAUAGAGUACCUCAGCUGCCACGUGGCAUACCCUUUUUGGCUAACGUCCUUUUACCUUUUUAUGAUUUUUGGGCUGUUAUGUGCAUGUUCGCGGCGUAUCUCAUCCUUUGGAAACGUGGCGCGCGCUGGAGAGUAGUCCAGGGUACCUCUGCAGUAGCUGUCGGGUAGGCGGCUGAGGACCACUGUCCUUGGGACAAUGUCCUUCACUUUUGGCAGAGGUAGCAGGCGGUUGUUCCCUCCUUUUGAUACGACGUUCUUGAUUCCUGAUUCUGACAAAAUCGAAUAAUAUCUUUUAAGAGAUGGAGACGUUUCUCAUGGCGGAUAUUUUCGGAGGAUUCUCUUGCAUCUGAUAUGCCGGGUACCUCGGGUUACGUGGGGUACCUUAAUUUAUGUGGGGUGCCCCUAAUUAUACGGGGUACCUCAAAUCACGCCGGGUACCUUGGAUUGUGCAGGUAUCUCGUAUCAUGUUGGGUACCUCAAUUUGUCCGGGGUACCUUAAAUCAUGCCGGGUACCUCGGAUUGUGUGGGGUACCUCAGAUUGUGCUGGAGUCAUUCCAUUUAUCGACACGUGGCGCUUUACUGCCUUUCUUAUUUUUUUCCUCAAACAAAUAUUAAUUAUUGUGAUUAUUUAUUCAAAAAACUAUAAUUAUUAAUAUAUUAUUGUUAAUAAAAUAUUAAUAUAUUAAUUAAUAGUAAUAAUUUUAUUAAUAGUUAUUAUAAUAGUAUAUUAACUAAUUAAUUAUAAGCUAAACCGUGACUUAAGUUGAACUCAAAAGGACCAGAAUUUAAAAACAUUUCGGGUGAGCCCUUUAGGAAUUUUCUAAAGUACGGCUUCUGCUUAGCUCUGUUUAAUUUCUCUUAUAUUUUUAUACAAAAAGUCUCCGUUCUCUGCCUUUUCAAACUCUGAAGGGGGGCAAUAUUCCCUAAUUCCCCCUUGAAAAUUCUGAUUACGACAUUAUUCAUCGCUUGAUGCAAUCAAAGUGGUGACAAAGUUAGGAAAAAUAUGACUCCCAAGUAAUUACUAGGCAGGGCUCCUGAGAGCAACAUUGUCCUAGGCAUUAUAUGCAUACACGAUGUGGUACAUAGAGCACGUUGAAUUACACACUAUAACACAAACCCAGAAAUACAAGUAAUAACUCAACUGAUGUAAAGACAAAAAUAAUAUAAAAUGAUAUACAAAAAGAAUUUCAAAGAGAUAGCAACAUACAAUAGACUGAAGCCACUUAAUCUAUUCGUUGAUUGCAGCCUUAAACUUGCAAAUAGUUACUGUACGCUAGUGCUCUAAGAAGUGAAAAUGAUGCAACUGAUCCCCUUUUGACUUCCAUUUACUGUCAAAUAUUCUAUUCAUACGAAAAAAAUGUUCAGAUAUCUUGCUAUAAAUAUAGCCGUUUGACUGUCAAAAGUCACACACAACCAUUCUUAUUAAAUUAGCAAAGAUCAAACACUGCCCUAGAUCUUGAACAGACCAACACAAGAUGCACAACUUACGAUUGAAUCCGGCCAGAAACAAUCAACUCUUUAGCAAGAACAAUUAAUCAGAGUCAAGAAACAAGUUUAAUGAAUAUAAACCUAUAAUUGAAACAAACGUAGCCAAGAAACAAAUAGAGAUUUUACAUGUUUCAGUUGUACCAAGGAUGGCACAACCUACACCAUGGGAGAAGCUUUCUGGUGAGAUUUUAUUGAUGAUCAUAGAAGAAUCUAUAACCCUCUCUCCCUGUUCAAUCUCUUUCUAUUUUGUUCCCAGUGAUGACCCCAAUCUGCUUAGUUAGCCAGCUUUAUAGCUGCAUCAGUAACAAACUAGCAAACCCAGAUUGAGCAGAUUGACGACACGUGGAUAACGGCUUUAACGAACCUGGCGAAGAACUGCUCACAUGUUCGUCACGUGUGUUACUUUAAUGAUGGCCAAAACGACUUCAAACAAAUGCCGUUUUGAAGCGUAUGAAUCAUAAGUGAAAACACGUGCUUGUCUCGUGACAUUUAAAUGCAGCAACAAACCCAAAACGCUGUCGUUUUACUCUGUUGAGUUUGAUUCAUCACUAAGCUUCACGACUAGCAAUGGAGAAGAUAUAAUUUAAUUGACAUGAACAGUUUUUAUAUGACUUUUGUAACAUCCUAUGUAAUUGUGAUAUUUGGAAUCAUGGGUGUUCUAUAUGUGAACCCUAGUUGGCAACACUAGUGAUUUUAUCCUUGUUGAAAUGUUACUAUUUUGUUGUAGAUAACUUUAUUCCCACGAGAUUUGUCAUUGUUGUAGAUAACCUUAUUCCCAUGAGAUUUGUCAUUGAAAUUAACACGUAGUUUCAUUGCAUUUCUGCUUCAUUAAAAUUCUCAAGUACCAGUCAGGUUUGCUUAAUUAAGAAAUAAAAAUUUUGCCCACCUUGCAUUUUCUAUUAUUUUUCAUAAAUCAAUUAAUAUGCAAUGUCAAUAUCAAGUUUAGUUUUUUAUACUAAAAAAUAAAGAAAGGAAACACACAAAUUCACAGUUUAGAGGGGUAAACUAGAACGUUCAUCAUACAUAAUUGCAUAUCAUGAGACAGUGCUACAGUCUACUGAGAUCUAACUUACAUGAUAAUUUAAGCUACUAAUGUUUGCAUAUUUCUACAUGUUAAAUUAACACGAACAUCUAUAAUCACUCCAAAACGACAGAUGAUAAGCGGCUUUUGGCCACUUAUUACUAGCAUCCACAAUUAAUUUUUGUUCAGCAAUCAGCUUAUUUUAUAGAAAUUGAUUUAAUCAGCAACAAACACUAUAAUUCUUCAAAUUAAUUUUUGUUCUUUGUAAACUAGCUAGGUGGUUUAGAACUGGGCUAGCUACCUUACUAUAUGGGAAAUUUUUAACCUACCCCAAAUAAAUUGAUAUUUUGCACCGCGCCCCUAAUUCCGUUAAUUUUUCAAUUAUUUCUAACGGCUCCGUCUAACUUUUGAUUGAAUGACAAAAAUGCCCCUCUAUAUGAAAAAAAAAACAAAAUUUUUAGCUCAUUUAAUUUUUUUAAGGUUUUUAUUUCAAUUGCAAUAAAAAAAAAUUUCUUAUUACAUGUACAUUUGUCACCACUAUUAUUUUUCCUUUAAUUUUUUAAAGAUUUUUAUCUCAAUUGCAAUAAAAAAAAUUUCUUGUUACAUGUACAUUGUCACCACUAUUAUUUUUCCUUUAAUUUUUUUUAAGAUUUUUAUUUCAAUUGCAAUAAAGAGAAUUCCCAUUAAAAUUAAUUUAAAGAAUGAACUUUCAAUUUUACCCCUCCACUAUUAAACUUAACUGAAAAAUUAACGUAAUUGGGGAUGCAGUGCAACACGUCAUUUUUUUUUUGGUGCGCGGUGCAAAAUAUCAAUUUAUUUGGGGGUAGGUUAAAAAUUUCCCUUACUAUAUUCCAAUUUGUACGGUGAAUUAAUUGAAUCAUGAGAAAACAAUGUGGUCAUUGCUCAAUAUGAGAUGAUUUCGGAGAGGCAUAUUGUUUUCAAGUUGAUUUAAUCCAUUUAUAAGAGAUGAAGGGGAUUGAAGUGGAAAGUUUAAAUAACAAAUCCUUGUUCUCGAGUUUUACGACGUCGUUACUCCUUCGAAGUGGCAGAUUAUGCAAGUGAAUUAAAGAACAAAAUGCAUCAAUCACGAGGAUGCUACAUCAAAAGACGGGAUCAUUGUUUAUCCACUGAACAGUUACAGUUGCUGCUACCAAUUACCUCGGCAAAGAUCAAGAAGUCAGAACAGGAAGCUAAUGCCAUCGAUGUCGUCUUCAUUAUAACUGCUGGGAACGUAGGUGUAGUUUCCUCAUUUGAAGCUGUCUAUACAUAGGCUUUUCCCCUGCUUAAGUACAAAUAAAUGAACAGCCUCGAAGGCUUAAGUACACUUUCGUUUUCUCAAUUUCUCUCAGAAGUCCCUCUGAGAAUAGCUGCCAAAACAGUUACUCAGCUUUUAUACUCUUGUCUUCCGGAAACAGAGUCCUAACUAACUGACUGUGCAGAGCAUGUCAAUAUUCUUAGUAUAUCUAACCGGUUUAACAGUAAUUUUUUACCGUCUUCGCAGUUAUCAUCAACAAACUCAUCAUAAGAUUUUUGGAGCACCCAAGGACUAUCACUUGGUUUCUCUUCUGGUUGAUUAAUUAAUUAAUCAAAGAACGGUUGGAUACCCAGGGAGAAAGGAGUUGUCUACUGUGUGUUGCGUAAUUAUGCUAUGAUCGGUGCUUUCAACAUUGCCCUGAAAACAGUGGGAAAUACUUCAUAUCCUCGACAUGAUGAUGAAAAACUGGUUACCGAUUACCUAACUGACUCAGGUGACAACAAUCCAUUAAUAGCACAAUUUGAGGUGAUGCCGUUUAGGUAUAUGGUUUACAGGUUUGACUGAUCAGUGAUGAAGUGGACUGAAAUUAAAAGAUCAUAUAAUAAGUCAUUGUUCUUGGGCAUAUCGUCAUUACUCAUUACUACUUCAAGUGAUCAAAGAUGAAGAUGAAGAUGAACAUUGUGCAAGUGAGUUCAAGAAUACCAUACAUCGUUACUUAGGAUACUUCUUCAAAUAUGGAUGGGGUCAUAAUUUACUCCCACGAAUUUCAACCCAAUUUUAUGAUUGGAGUGUCCCACCAUGACUCAGAAAAAUUCUGAUUCAACCUCCUCCACCAAUGGAUUUUGAUUAGUCACUUUGUGAUCAAGCAACUUAAUUAAACUCAGAGAGUCAGAGUUCGAUUUUGCUGGCACCGCAUUUUUUUUAAAAUGUGGCCAUGUAAGGAGAGCGGCACAUAAUGUCACUUCCUUAUCAAGCACUUUAAAGAGGGAUUUUAGAAGAAGAUACAACUGCAAUUGUUUUCGUAUGUAUAUAUAUAAACAACAGCACACAUUCAGUUCAUAAAAGAAAUUUUUGCUAACCAUGAUAUGUGGUAGUGCUUUUUAGGCAAUUUAGAAACAGAGUUGUUCAACAUACAACAGGUGAACUCCUCAAGUUCGACGUAAAUACAAAUAUUAAUUAGAAUCCAUAUUAUAAUGACACACAUAACUUGCUUCAAAAUUAUUAGAAAUUAAAAUUGCUGAUUCAUAAUGCAGAUAACUUGGAUGAAUUGAUGUUAAAGGAAAAAUCACACGCAUAACUUGGAGAGCAAUUGCGACAGCAGCCAAGUAUAUAUUAACUAACUAAAAUGGCCAAUCAGAUUUGCUUAAGUAAUAAAAUUUUGUCUUGUAGUAGUGUUUCCAAGCACCUCGCAUUUGCAUCCACAUUUUGCAGGAAUUUUAAGAAAUACACGUGUCCGAAAGUCAAAUCAUCGUCCUUACUAUUCGAGUACUGGUAUGUUAAUGACGAAUUUGAAAAGCCACACUGUAAAAACAGUUUGUGAUCUAUGCAUGACGAACCACCAACAUUGUAGUAAUAGCACAGGAAAAAAUCUACCAAAAUUAAUUGCGUCCAUACAUAUAUGCAGAUGCAAACAAUGAUUGUAAAUUCUUUUUUUUUAAAGAAAAAAAAUAAGAAAAUUGUAUAUUGAGAUGGAUAAGAUGCUUAAUUUAAUUAAUUUACUUACUUUCAUACACAUCGUCUUUCCAUCUAAAGAAAACUUGGUGGUGAGAACGAUAUGAAGUUGCGAGUUGCUGCCGAUAGCUGCUGAUUAAAAAUAAAACGAGACAAAUUAAAUUAAGGACAAUGAUACAGAGCAUACUUAUCUGAAUUGUGCUAAACUUUCAAAGAUUUUGUCUCACGCGUGCAUGUAUAUCAUUUGUGUUUAAGAUUUAAUUAGUUAUAGUUAUAAUUAUUAGUCAUUUUAUAUUUAUUGAUUCAUCUAUACUGGAUAAAUUUUGAUGGAUUUAAAAAAAAAAAAAAAAAACUCGGUUGCCGAAAAAAUAAAAGAAAAGAAAAUGUUGAAUCUUACAUUUUAAUAUUUAGUUAAUUCUCCUUUCGAGCGUCUUCUUAGGCUUAGCAAACUAACUUAAAUUCUGCUAAUUUCUGUUAAAAAAAUUUGAUGCUGGCACUAAAAUGUUAAAAAAAAAAUGGUUUCUUAGAAAAGAACAAGAAAAGAAAAAUUUCAGCAUCUUCUACUCAGAAUUCUUUUCGUUGUUUAAGACUAUGUUUAUGUUUUCCAAAGAAAAGAAGAUUUUUAUUUUUAGUGACUAAUUUGAUUCUUAUUGGAUGAAAGGGGUGCGAUUUCAAUGAGAAAAAUGGGGAACAAAAUAAAGGAAGAUGAAAGAAUUGAGGGGAUCAUACACGUGGUCUUUUGAAGCUUCCUGAGAAUCGGAAAUGUAUCAACUGCAACUGUUUCUUAUGCCUUUUGCAGUAUUCUGAUAAUUUUAGUUUGAGUGGUUAAGAUAUUAAAUAAUCCAUUACAUUGCUUCCUAUUUUCUUGAUCGACUUACAUGAUCCUAGAUCUAAUGUAUGUUUCUUAUUGGCAGGGACCUCAAUAUGUUUGCACAAACUGCAGUGGAGUACAGUAAGUGUUGAUACAAAUUCUGAAAUUCUUAAUUCCGUCUGCAUACUGUGAAUAGCCUCUGUUUUAAAUUCCAACUUUUCCCAGUUUCAGCUCGACAUUUUAAAGCCAUUCUACGUGAUUCUUAAUUAUCUCUAUUGAAGCUUUAAUUUUAAUGAUGCUAGCUAUAUUUGUAUAAUUUAUAAUCGGUCCGGCCACCAUGUACUAUCUUUUUAUGAUUAAAGCAUCUUCAACAAGAUUUUCUUCAAUUUUCUCCAAGAGGAGCUGGAGCUGUGUCUCUGAUUAGCCAACGAAUUAGUUGCAAUUAAUAUUAACAUUGCCCACCCAAGAAAUAAGAGUGAUUUAAAGAAUUAGCAAGACUUCAUUGAGAGGAGCGAUCAAACGACCUCCUUAUCACCUGCGGCAGCCGUCUAUUAACUAAAAUGCCAAUUUCAUACAAGAAGAAGCAACAAGUACAUGCUCGGCAAUUGUGUUCGGUAAGAAGUGACAUAGCAUUCAGGUGAUGACUUUACUUUUGUUAUCUUGCUAACAAUGGUAGUCUAGUUUAAGUUUUACUGUGGAAGUUACAGAUGUGGCAAAAUCAAUAAUUAAAUUCAUAAAAUGUUAAAAAAUAAAACUUAUAAAUGUUGCAUGACUACUUACUAAUAAAUAAAUAAGUUAAAAUGUAGUUAGUUAAUUUAACACUAUAUUAUAUCUUAUUCGAUAAUAAUAUAAAAUAAAAAUAAUUAUAAAAUAAAUAAUUGGAUAAACAAAUAUGGCUUUCUAAACAGUAAAAAUUCGAGAGCUAAAAUUUAUAUUGUUAUUUUUUUUUAAAUUGACAUUUUUUCUAUUGUCUUACACGUACAUAGAUUUUGAGAGUUGAGAAGAAUAUAUUUGAUGAAGUUUGAUAUCAUUUGAUGGGAUAGCAAGUAAGGGUAAAUAUUUAUUAAUUAUUUUUAUUAAAUAAAAUAUUUUUAUUAAAUAAAAAAAUUUAUUUGUUAUUUAUUUCAAUUAUAUCUAUUUUGUUCAAGUUAAAAUACUAAAUAUAAAUUGGAGGUAGACAUUUUAACAAAUCAUCUAAGCUCUCAAAUUUGAAAUUUUGUGUAGAUUUAAAUUCAUAAUUUUAGUUAAUUUUCAUAUAUUCAUAUAAACAAAUUUAUGAGAUUUUUAUUUUCAGCAUGUUAUGUUUGAAACUUUCAAUGUAUUAUUCUAGUUUUAUUUAAACAAUUAAUUUAUUCAAAUUUUAUUUAAUUUUAAAUUUGAUCAGUAGUAAAAAAAAUUUUAUAUCAAAUUGUUUUAUUUAAAUAGUUCAUGGAUUGGACAAAAUUAAAAAAUUUUAAUUCACAAAAUUAUGGAUGGGAUAUGAAUUGGGUUAAAUCCACAUUCGAUCCGCAGUUGCAUGUAUUGAAUUUGGAUUGAAUUUCAUCAAUCUAUGUAUUAGAUUGAAUUGAAAAUUUAUAAUCUGCAAAAUUGUGAAUCGGAUAUAUAAACUGAUGUCCAAUCAGCAAAAUCCGAUCCCCGAACACUCCUCUAUCAAAAUUUUCAAGAAUAUGUUUUAGCUUACAAUUUUUUUUUUAAAGUCAUAGUCUAAUGGCAGCCCAAUUUCUACUCCAUCCAUAUAAGCGGAGUUCAAAUCUCAUACCUCUUAUCUCCACACGAGAUUUAACCAAUUGAAAUAGCUAGCACCCACAAGUAUACUAGUACAGCAUCUCUUAACGUUUAACAUACGUAUAAUUAACGCCAUAGCUAUUGAUAAACACAUUGUUCAAUAUAUAUGAUCAAGAAUCUGAUCCUGCGAGCAACAGCAGUCAGAAGAACCAUUAUAAUGCCUAGCUCUUAUCCUGGUUAAUCCUCUGGCCCGAUGCUUCAUCAUAGUGAUUUAAAAAACCAACAACAGCUCUCUAAAAGAGAUGAAGAUAUCAUCUACGUAAAGAACAUGAGACGGAGAUUCACAACCCAUAAGAUCUGAGAUAAAUUGGACCAGACCAGUAAUCUUGAGAUAAGUUAAACUGUGACUUAAGUUGAAAUCGGAGGACCAGAAUUUUAAAAUCUUUCGGCUAAGCCCCUGAGGAAUUUUCUAGAGUACGGCUUCUGCUUACCUCUGUUUAAUUUCUCUUUAUAUUUUUCUUUCACUUCAUUAAUAAAGUCAAAUAAUAAAUCAAAGAACGAGGGAAGAUUUUUCCAAGUCAUGCAUUAUUUGAUUACCAUCAAUCAAGAAACCGACCAAAUUAAUUUCUCCCCGUGAUUUUUAAAAAUUAAAAAAAAAUUAUUUGAACAUAACAUCAUUAAUUAUAGAGUGGAUCAAACUGCGUUAAUCAUGAAACUGAUACCUAUUAAGAGUCAUACUUUUUACUUAUGCAUACUAAAAGACAUCAAAUUGUUCCGAUCCCCAAUUAUUUGAUCAGCAACUAUCAAGAACUAACCAAAUUUAUUUCUUCAUGACUUCCAAACACUAGAAAAUUUUGUUAUUUGAUAAUAAUAUCAUUAAUUAGAGUUUAUCAAACCGCAUUAUUUUCUUUCAUAAAAUUGAUGCCUAUUAGUGUCACACUUUAUUUGUAUUACCUAGCGGACAUCAACUUUUUUUUUUAAAAUUAAAAAGACCAUUUGAUUUUAACCCAUGUCCUUGGCCUUAGGGAAGCUGACUUCUUUUAUAGUCGAUAUCAGCUUGAACUUUGUUGUGUAAAUUAUUUCAAUCCCCGAUUAUGCAAUUUUUAAAUUAUAGCCUAACGGCGGUCUCAUCACCAUGUGUGUGAUUUUCUUUUGCCAAUAGGAUCUGCAGAGAGCUUGAUCUCACCCAAUAGCAAAAUAAACUUCCUAAUAAGUGAAGGCAUAGUAUAAAUAUUUCACCCCCAUAUUAUUUAUUAGCAGCUUGAUUAUUUUAUAUGCAUCUUUGAUUUUUAUUUUUUUUUCCCAUAAUUGCUACUAUGUUCGAACUGGUCAUGAAUUAUCUAUAAGAUUUUUCAUGUUGCUUUUAGGUGCAUUGGAUUUUUUUUAGUUUAGUGGAAGAGCAGAGGAAGGCAAAUUAAGAAAAAGGAUAAAGAUCUAUAAUUAGCUUCUCAUAACAUAUUGAUGGUAACAUUAUACAUAUGUAUAUCUAAAUAAUGGGUUGGAUCAGGAGCCCAUUAAUAAUCAUAGAUUAGCUCAUAUAGUUAAAAAAAAUGUACCAUAAAGCAAUUUCACAAGCACUUGUUAGCCUAUGUUGAGCUUUAUUAUCAAUAGUUCAAAGUUCAUCAGUGCACUGCAAGUUUACUAUUUGAAGUAAAUGUUAUGGUGCGUGCAUUCUUCAUAAGGCCAACUAUUGAAUUUAGCAUUGAAACUUACAAAAUGUAAUAGAAAGAGGUAGAUAACAGCCAUAAAACACUAAGAUUGGAAAUCAGGGCUACUAAAUACUAUUACAAGCCCUUAGAAAAGACAGUGAUCAUCUUAAAAUGUAUAUACUAAAAGUAAGAAAUAUUAAUCGCAAAGUUAUGUGUCAACAGAACUAUUAACUACUUGUCUCUAGUAGAAAGUAAAUAUUUUUAACUUCAGCUCUCUACUUUGUUUUAAGAGCUAGGCAAAAGAAGGAAAUUUCGAUGUCUAAAGUUUGCCACUUGGAAUAUUUCACUGUCUAAACAUUCACUCACCACUUAUUUCAUCAACGAAUUUUGUCUAAUUAUAUGUUGAUAAAGAUAUUAGAGUAAUAUAAUGUGUUUAAAGCUUAACUUAUAUUUUUUAUUAGUAGAGUGUAGAACUUUUAAGAAAUAAAUUAUUAAAUUACUAUAACUAACAUAUUAUUUUAAAACAUAUUAUUUUAAAGCUAUGUUAAGGAAAAGAAUGAAACAAAAAUAAAUAAAUAAAUAAGGGUAUUCUAAAACUUUGAUCUUUUUAAAAGUAGAUUUUGACAUAGAUAAAAUAAUUUUUAUAUUUUUUAAAUCACAUACUCUAGUUAAAAUCAAAUUUGUAUUUAUAAAGUUUGUAAAUUUUUUUUUUUUUUAGCACUGAUAUUUGAACACUAUCAAGAUAAGAAAUAGGGUACUGGUCAUGCUACAACAUUAUUAUAGCACGUAAAAAGACAAUACCAUUUAUUUUAUUGUACUAUCAUUGUUGAUAUAAUAGUAUUUUGUUAGUGGUCAAAUAUUAUUUUUUUAAGUAAAAAAAGUGAACAAUGUAAAUUAACUUUUAAUCUCUCCUAAAAUUCUAAUUCCUAGUUACGAAACAAAAUUGUUUAAAAAUCAUUAGGCUAACUGCAUGGGUUCUUAAAACCAUAGGUGAUAGAAGUUACUAACACAAGCAAAUUUGACGGUCCAUUUUAUAAAAUUUGUUAUUUACCAUUUUACCACCUAUAUAAGGAGUGCCGCAUCGACAUAUCAACUCAUUUGCAGAUUAUUUUAAUUUUGUAAAAUUCAUUUAACCUGCACUUGGUCGCCCCUAUUCUCUGAAUGGUUAUGGCGAUAUCAUCAUUAUCGUUACUUGUACCAACGCUAAACCCUUCUUAUUCCCUUUCUCGCCUGUCAUACCCUAACAUUAUAUCCCGUGUCCACACUAAAGACAAGUAGUCAAUUCAGGCCAUCAGAUUAUAGUGGACCCACAUCAAUCCAACUGCUCACAAUGACCGACAGCCUCUCCAUCUCCAUUUCAGGUUUCCUCUUCAACUGGCUUCUGCUUCCGCCGUAUUUGCUCCAUUUCUUGGAUUCGGAGUCCGUAUUUGGUCGGUCGGUCCCGCACAGCUCCCUCUCACUCCAAUUGUCACCCAACAAGACCAAUUGCUUAAUCAAGGCACAGAACAAGAAGAGGAUGGGAAAUUGAAACAAGAAUUUGAGAAUUGGAAAUCGAAAACGUCCGCAUUGACCGUGCCUUUGAGGGCAAUUACUUUUCUUGAGAAUUGAAGUUUGGUAAUGUAAUUUGUUCUCCAUCUGUGUUCCCUUUGUAGUCAUUUCAUUUAUUUGUUUGUUUGCUUUUAUUUGCAGGAGAAAUUGAUCCUCGAGAUAAAAGUAAAUUGUCUUUAAGCUCAUUUAGUUUUAUAUCAAACAAAAUCAAGACUGCCUUUUUCUUCAAUAGUUUUGAUGAUAAUAUCUUUAGAAGCAUCUCAUUGACAGGUAAUCGUGGUACCCCUUAAAGAGUCUAUAAACUCAAGGAUAUUAUCUUCUGCAAAUGGUUCAUUAAACUUCUUAGAUGUAGUUAAAUGUACACUGAGAACAACGAGAAGCUAUGCCACUGUAGCAUGUAGUGAUGGCACUUAAUGAGUGAGUUGCUAGGAUAUGAACUAGAAAAAUUAAACAUUGUCUCCCUGGGUAUGCUAGCUUGUAAGUCGGUUAAUAUUAGAGCUUGAGAUACUAUAACCAUGAGAAGCUAUUGACCGCCGAUUAAAAUAUCCAUUAAAAUGUCUAGGGAGUUAUGAAGGUGGAGGUGUCUCCCAAUUUCUAAGGCCAUAUAGUAGACAUCAUCCAGGAUCCUAUUAAAGUGCAGUUAGCCUCCUGCUUGAUGCUAAUGUCAAACAAUUAAUAAAUUUGGUCAAUGUAACUGAAACUUGCUAACUGACGUCAGAUUGCGACUUGAGCACCUUAAAAUGGGAUAGACGAUUAGUAGCACUGAAUUCUUCUUGCCUAAGAUUGAGCAAUUGUUCUAACUACAAUCUCCUAUUGUAGGUUGAUUAUUAUGUUCUAAUUAUGUCGAUUUUGACCCAAAAAAUUACAUAAUCUUGAUCUGCAUAAUGUCACUGAACAGUGUCAAUUUCGUUUACCAACUAACUUGAGUUUGAUAUAACAAACACACGGUGUGUCUCUCAUGUCUCACCAUGAUGGAGAAUUUUUCUAAUGCAUGAAGCAAGCUUCGAUAUGUGGGUUAGCUUGGAGAAGAUAUCUUAAAAUGAAGAAUAUGGGGAGUUAAUGGGAAGAAACAGUUCAGUAGUUUAUAAUUCUGUCGUCGAGCUGUAUCUCUAACAUGGUCAAAAUUUAUGUGAAUAAGGACAGGGAAUCUUCAUUCCUCUUUCCCUUUUUAUACCCACAUAUCUCUCAACCUUUAUAUGUUGCUCACUGGAGAUCUGCUUCUGAUAACUAAAAUAAAAAUUUCAUCCACUCAAAUAAAUUCUGACCAAGCUUUCACAAGAAAAAGUAACAUCUUUAGUGAAGUAAUUUACAAGUAAUUUAGAGUUCCUUAUCAUCUUCUUGUGAGUCUAUCAGUAUGAUCCAAAAACAUAAUAAAUCUUGUUAGAUCCUGUUUAUUGAUGUUUAAACGCUGCUCAUUGUGAAAUGUAGAAACAAUGACGUGAAGUUUCUUUGGUCAUCAAUUAGUGAGAUCUUGUUUGAAGUUGUUUUCUGAAAUGAACUGCCAAAUGAUAGUUUUUUUUUUUUUUUUUCUUUGGACGCAUUUGAUGGCUCUUUUCUCCUCAUUUUAAGCAUGUGCCUGCUUGGUAUGGGAAGGAAUAGGCUUCAGAGUUGUUAUAUAUGUUGACAUGCUCUGGUCAUUACACAAUAUGUUCAAAUUGGAAAUUAGAAUGAGAUAUUUGUCGAUGCUUUUUGAGAGAUCUGCAUUCUAUGCAGCAUAACAUGAUUAAUGAAAACGGGUUUAAGGACUGGAAAGAUCUGUGGCAGCCCAAGCUUGCAGGAAGGAUUUCAAUGGUUAAUUCUCCCAGAGAGGUUAUUGGUACAGUUUUGAAGUAUAUGGGAGCAUCAUACAAUUCAAACGGCAUUAAUUAGCAAGUUGCUGCUGGGAGGAUUGCUGUUCAGCAGAAUCUGGCAUUACUGGGAAACCAGGUACUCUUAAAGAAACGAUAGCUGGUCAAUGCAUAUUAUUGCCUGACGGCUGAUUUUGUUUGUAAAGUGUGCCUUUUCAUACAUAUGAAUGCAUAUGUUAGUGUUGUCUUCUCCUUUCCAUAAAUAUGAAUGCAUAUGUUGGUGUUCUUUUCUGAGAUGGAUGCAAUAAAGGCUUUUUCUUCUAAAUGACGAGUUUUCAUUUAAAAAUGUUAUAAAUCUGCCAUGCAUAGUAUUCUAGUAGAAUCAUCUAUAAAUUCAAGUUAUUGAAAUUGUCUAUUUGUCCAGUUUGAGUUAAGGACGCAUGUAAUAUGAAAAAUAGUUGUCGAAUAUUGUAGGUUAGCUAAUAUUUGAUCAAUCCUAUAGGGAGGGCUUUAAGAUGUCUAACAACAUGUAGAAUGCCCCUGCUUCCCCCACAAUUUUUAUCUUAUACAAUUUUUAUCUAUAAACAGUAUUUGCCAGACCUUAACUGUUCAGAUUCCCCUUCUCGACUAUCAUACCCUACGCCCCGUCUCCGUGUCUCCGAUAAACAGUGCUCAAUUAAGGCCAUCAGAUUAUCCCGGUCCCACAUUGAUCAACGGCUCACAAUGACCGACAACCUCUGUCUCCAUUACAAGCUCCCUCUUCAACUCGCUUCUGCUUCCAUCCUACUCUUUCUCAGAUUCGGAGCCCGUAUAUGCUCGGCUGGUCCCACGAAGCUCCCUCUCACUCCAGCUGUCAACCGACAAGACCAAUUGCCUUAUCAAGACAGAGAACAAAAAGAGGAUGAGAAAUUGAAACAAGAAUUUGAGAAUUGGAAAUCGAAAACGUACUCAUUGACCGUGCCUUUGAGAGUUGUUUCUCUUCAGAAUUCAGUGCCUCAAUCUUGGGUUAAGGAUUUUAUGCGAAGUCAAGGAAAGUGAUUGAAGUUUCAGAUGAAUUUGUGUGCUAGCAUUGGUGGGAUCUUUAACAAUUUAUCUGCCCUUUAACAAAGUCAAGGCUAAUUCAGCUUCUUAUAUGGCUGCUGAUUUGGUUAGUGUUGGUGAUUCAUGGCUUAGUUUUGCCAUUAAAGAGAGAUUGAUUGAGCCAAUGGCUGGAGCUGAAGACCAAGAUUGGUUCAAAUGCUUAAGUCACAAAUGGAAGGUAACAUCUUUAUCUUUGGCCCGAUAAUUUUUAUUGUCUUACAUUGAAAUUUGGUAAUGUAAUUUGUUCUCUAUCUGUAUUACCCUUUUUAGUCAUUUUAUUUAUUUGUUUAUUUGCUUUUAUUUGCACUAACGAAGUCUCAGGUAUAUCUAUGCAGAAUGAUGCAGGAGAAAUUGAUCCUCGAUGUGAAAUAUGGGCGGCACCAUACAGGUGGGGCACAAUGGUGAUAGCCUACAAGAAAAGUAAAUUUCGAAAGCAUAAUUUGGCUCCGAUUGAGGUAAUAAUUGUCUUUAAACUCAUUUAGUUUUAUAUCAAACAAAAUCAAGACUGCCUUUCUCUUCAAUAUUUUUGAUGAUAAUAUCUUUAGAAGCAUCUUAUUGAUGGGUAAUAAUUGUAUCCCUGAAACAGUCUAUAAACUCAAUGAUAUUAUCUUCUACAAAUGGCUCAUUAAACUUUGUCGUUGUAGUCAAAUGUACACUCAGAGCAAUGACAAGCUAUGCCACUGUAGCAUGUAGUGAUGGCACUUAAUAAGUGAGUUGCUAGGAUGUGAACUAGAAAAAUUAAAUAUUGUCUCCCUGGGCAUGCUAGCUCAUAAGUCAGGGUUAAUAUUAGAACUCAAGAUACUAUAACCAUGAGAAGCUAUUGACUGCCAAUUAAAAUAUCCUUUAAAAUGUCUAGGAAGUUAUGAAGGUGGAAGUAUCUUCCGAUUUCUGAGGCCACAUGGUAGAUAUCAUCCAGGAUCCUAGUACAGUGCAGUUAACCUCCUGCUUGAUGCAAUUAAUAAAUUUGGUCAAUGCCACUGAAACAUGCUAACUGACGUCGCAAUGCGACAUGAGCACUUCAAAAUGGGACAGACGGUCGGUAGCACUAAAUUUUUCUUGCCUAAGAUUGAGCAAUUGGUCUAACUACUAACCCCUUUUGUAGUUGAUCAUUAUUUUUUCAAUUAUUUUCAGUUUGACCCAAAACGUUACAGAAUCUUGAUCUGAAUAUUGUCACUGAACAUUGUCACUGAACAUUGUCAAUGUCGUUUAGCGUAGCCAACUAACUUGAGUUUGGUAAAACAAACACACAGUGUGUCUCAUGUCUCACAAUUCAAAUUAUCAUUUGUAAUGAUGGAGAAUUUUUCCAAUGUAUGAAGUAUGCUUUGAUACGUGGGUUACCUUGGGGAAGGUAUCUCAAAAUAAAGAAUAUGGGGAGAAAACAGUUCAGUAGUUUAUUAUUAUGUAGUCAAGUUUUGUCUCAAAAAUGGUCCAAAUUUAAAUGAAUAAGGACCGGGGAUCUUCAUUCUUUUUUCCCUUUUUUAUACCUAGAUAUCUCUCAACCUUUAUAUAAUCCCCACUGGAUAUCUGCUUCUAAUAAUUAAAAUAAAAAUUUCACCCACACAAAUAAAUACUGACCAAGCUCUAACAAUAAAAAGUAACUUCUUUAGUCAAGUGAUUUACAGUUCCUCAUCACCUUAGUGAGACUAUCAGUGUGUUCCAAAAACAUAAUAAAAUUGGUUUGUUCCUGUUUAUUGAUGUUUAAAUGUUGUUCAUUGUGACAUGUAGAAAUGAUGAGGCGAAGUUUAUUUGGUCAUCAAUUUGUAAGAUCUUGUUUGAAGUUGCUUUCUGAAAUGAACUGCCAAAUGGUAGUUUCUUUGGGGCAUUUGAUGGCUCUUUUUUCCUCAUUUUAAACAUGUGCCUGCUUGGAACAGGAAGGAUUAGGCUGCAGAGUUGUUAUAUAUUUUGACAUGCUCUAGUCAUUGCACAAUUUGUUCACACUGGAAACUAGAAUGAGAAAUUUGUUGCAUUCUAUGCACAAUAACAUGAUUAAUGAAAAUGGAUUGUAGGACUGGAAAGAUCUGUGGCAGCCUGAGCUCGCAGGACGAAUUUCAAUGGUUAAUUCUCCCUGAGAGGUUAUUGGUUUAGUUUUGAAGUAUAUGGGAGCAUCAUACAAUUCAAACGAUAUUGAUUCGCAAGUUGCUGGUGGGAAGAUUGCUGCUCAGCAGAAUCUGGCAUUACUGGCAAACCAGGUACUCUCAAAGAAAUGAUAUCUGGUCAUUGCAUGUUAUUACCUGACAACUGAUUUUGUUUGUAAAAGUCUGCUUCUUCAUACAUAUGAAUGCAUAUGUUAGUGUUUUCUUCUCCUUUUCAUACAUAUGAAUGCAUAUGUUGCUUCUUUUCCUUUCCAUACAUAUUAAUACAUAUGUUGGUGUUCUCUCCUGAGAUGGAUGCAAUAAAGGUUUUUCUGAAGAAAUGGCAAGGGAUGUGAGAUUCUGUCUCAUAAAAUUAACAAAAACCCAAAACAAUGAAAACCCAUAAUAAUGUGGUGUGGGUAAAUUGACGCCAUUUGGUUCGUUUCCUUGAUGUGAAUACGCGGGCAAUAGAGACUAACAAAAUGAAGUGACAACAAGAAGUCAGUGUCCUUUGAUGGAUGCAUUUUUAGGCAGAAAUAGGUUUGUAAUUGACCAAAUUUGUCUGGCAUGCCAAUUUCAAAAAAAUUAAAUUAUGUGGUUAUUAGCUGUAAUGAAGGGGGAUUGUAGGUCCAAUCAGGUGGAUCCAUGAAAGUUCAACAAAGUUCUGGUAUGGCGUAGAAAUUGGUUUGUGCAACUCAAGAGUCUUUCUGGUGAACGAUGAUGGGUUUUGAUUUAUAAAUGUUAUAAAUCUACUGUGCAUAGUAUUCUAGUAGAAUCAUCUAUAAGUUCUAGUUAUUGAAAUUGUCUACCUUGUUCAGUUUGAGUUAAGGGCACAUGUAAUAUGAAAAAUAGUUGUUGCAUCUUUUAGGUUACCUAACAUUUGAUCAAUCCUAUUAUGAGGGCUUCAAGAUGUCUAACAAUAUGUGGAAUGCCCAUGCUCCUCCCCAUUGUUUAUCUUAUAUAAUAAUUUGUUUUAGAUGCUAAUAUCUUUGUCGAUACCGGUAACAAUAUUACAAUAUCUGCGUUUAUUGGGUUUUACAUAGGUUCGACUGUUUGACAGUACACACUCUCUGAAGGCAUUUGGAAAUGGAGAUGUAUGGAUUGCUGUUGGGUGGAGUAGUGAUGUUCUUCCUGCUGUCAAACGUUUGUCUAAUGUUGCAGUUGUUGUUCCCAAGUCUGGUGCUAGCUUAUGGGCUGAUCUUUGGGUAUACCCAUGCCUGCCAUUCUACUUCAAUAUUCACAUUGUUAUCUCCUUCAUAUUAGUGAUCAGUAAACAUGAUAAUGUGACUAAUAAGUUCGUAUUCUCUUUAUAGGCAAUCCCUGCUGACUCAAGACUUGAAACAAAACAAAUUGGAGGGUGAGUCAGAGGUGCAUUUCCAUUAAUCCAUCAAUGGAUAGAAUUCUGCUUGCAAACAGCGAGAGCAUUGCCUUUCAAGCAAGAGGUUAUCCCGAGCGCAUCUCCCUCUGCCCUUGAGAGUACUCUGGUUAAGUUGCCUGAAGAACUUUUGAAGGGUAAACCAAGUCUGGAUACUAACUUAAUUGCUGGAGUACCCCUGACGGAAAUUCUGGCCAGAUGUGAGUUUUUGGAGCCAUUAUCUGAAGCUACAUUGUCGGAUUAUGAGUGGCUGGUUGCUAAUCUGCAAAAAUCCACUCCUGUACUGAUCAACAAGAUGCAACAUUACAUGUCAUCAUUGAUCUUUAGCUAAAGGUACAUUGAAAAGUUAAUGGCACUGCAUACCAGUCAUUAUAAUUGGGUCAGGGCAAUUGGGUCAGGGCAAUUAGGUCAGAGCAUAACUUCAUUAGGAAAAGAGGCUUCAGCUACGUUAAAUAUUACAGGAUGUACUGAGAUGGCUGAAGUUGGUGAGGUUUUACGAGAAACGAAAGAUAGUGUUUGUUUGAACAAAGUUGUUGCCAAUCUUGCAGAGUUCGAGAAGAAAGAUCACGAAGCGAAUGCCACCGAUUUCUUCAUCAUUGUAGCCUCCAUAGUUGAAGUUUCCUCAUUUGAAGCUGUUUAUGCAUAUGCUUUUUCCCUUCUCAAGUACAGGAAAUUGAAGAAUUAACCAGAUGUGAUAUGCUGAAAGAGGGAAGUUUUCUUCCUUGAAUGUGACCUUUGUGAUUUGUCUUGAAGGGAUAGGGUGAUCACUGGCAAGAACCCUAUCAAGGUAGAUUUUAUGAUGUUAACAUAUUAUUAAGCAUUUUGUUACAUCAGCAAUGAUGCUUUCAUAGCAUGAAAGUGUUUAAAUUUAACUGAAUGAUCUUGAUUGAUCAAUUAUGAGUUUUAAUCGAGUAAAAACUAAAUACAAUAAUCGUUAACAAAUAUUGAAAUUGGGUAAAUAAGAUCUUGAUAGUGAAGAAUUUGAAAUCACACCCACACAGGAAAUCACCCUUCGCGUGGGGAUGGAGAUGUUUACUGCAGCGAUAUUGAAUAUGUCCACUGCUGGACUAAUUCUGAUUACCUAAUUGACUCAGGAUCGGCUGGCAAUAAUAACAGUUUAUUAACAAUGCACAGUCCGAGUACUUUUCCAGGAUCAGAUACGACGUGGUCUAAUGUUGAUAAUAAUAGAUUAUCAAAUGACAAAUCGUUGUUCUACUAUUGCAAGCCCCCAGAUUUAAGAAUCUUUUUCAGAAAUUAAAUACAUUCUGAGAGAUGCUGGUCUACUAUUGCAAGCCCCCAGAUUUAAGAAUCUUUUGACGGUAAUUUAUCACCUGUAACUGUGCCGGAAGAUUCAACUAGCACUGAAAAAGAUGAUAAAUUAAUUGAUAUGGAGAGUUUUCAUAUCACUUUUAAAUCAUCUUAUGUAAUUGUGAUGUUAGGAAGCAUUAGUGAUCUAUAUGUGAAUUAUUAUUGGCGCCAUUGGUGGUUUUAUCUUGUUAAAAUAUGGAUGAAUUCCAGUUACUAUUUUGUUGCAGACAAUCUUCUUCAAUUAACAUAUGGUUUAAAAUCAUUAUGUAAAUCAAUCUAUUAAUUUUCAAGAUAUUUAACUGAGUUAAAACUAAGUGCACUCAAUAAAUCUCUUUUCCUUUAAAAAACUGUUACGCUUUGAUUUUAGUGCUUAAUAUUUAUUGAACUCCGAUACAGGGAAUUUGAAAUCAAACUCGUAACUACAUAUUAUCUAAUUGCAAGUUUCUAUCCAUAGCUGCUGAUUUGUAGUGAUUAUCUAAUUGACUGAGGUGACGACAAUUUUUUUUUUUUAAAUUUUCAAUAGCACAAUGUGGAAUUCAAUAAUUAAAUUCUCCUUUUUAAUUUGUUUCCAGUUAAAUUAUUAAUUACUUAAACUCUGUUUUAAGUCUUUAAGUUUAUGUGUUUAUGCAGAAUUGGAUUCUUGAGCGUGUUGGACACGACCAACAAUGAAAUUGACAGUAAAAAAAACAAUACAACGUGUGGACUCCGGUAGAUGCCAUACAAGUCUACAACUUUACAAAUAAUAAUUGAGUAAGCAACUUUGAUUCUCGGGGCCCUUCAAUGAAUUUCUAGCCCCGUUGACUCCGCCAACUAAAGUUUGUAAAAUAAAAAAAUACAUAGAAUUCCACUAAAUGCAAAACGCGUGGAAUUUAAUUUUCGGCCAUGUGGACCAAAACAUAAUUUAAUGAAAAAGGAAAAAAAUGAUAAGAUUUCUAAAAUAUGUGAAAGAUGAUCCAUAUUUUACUGAAACGACUUAUUAAAUUUUUCAAAGAUUUAGAAUAUUUAGUCAUAAAUUACGUGCAUGUUAAUUUUUCCGCCAUUGACUAUCAUAUUCUAAACUUAAUAGUACAUUUCUUGUUGAAGGGUACUUAAUCUCUCUUCUCCUCUUAUAAAAAUUAUAUUGAUGGAUUUCUUGUUAUAGUUAAUAGUCUUUAAGAACGGAUAACUUUAUUGUUUUCGUGACCAAAUUAUGUCCGCCUAAGGUUGUGACUAUUAAUAAAAUUAAUAUUUAAUGUUUAUGUUAAAAGAUAUAAGAUUUUAUGCGUUCAUUAAUUGUUAUUAGCUAAAGGAUGAAUUAUUUUUUCAACCCAAUCAGUUGAUGCAUCUGCAAGAGUUUUUUUCUUUUAUUGACCAUAAUUAUGUUCCGGGUACAAUAAAUUGUCUUUGGUGCUUGGAAAAUAUGACUUCUUACUUCAAGUUUGAUAUGUCUCUCUCCAUAAACUUACUGGAAAUAUAUCCUCAUCUACUGUCAUUUAUCUAAUAUCAAUUGAAGAUCUCACUUUUUCAAACUAUCACUUCCAAGUCUCAUUGUCACUUGGCCAUUCUUGGACCAUUCAAAACCAAUCAAGUGUUGAAAUAAUCAAAUAUAUGCAAAAUUAGAGUCACGAUUUUUGGUCCCCCAAAUUCUAAUUAUAUAACUUCUAUAUAUUUCAUUGCCAGGUCACGAACUUGUUGGCACAUUUUCCAAAUUCCUCUUCCAUCAGCUCUCACACGUUAACUUAAGUGAAAAGUUUCCAAGUUGAUUGCUAGAAAGCAACGCAAAAUCAGACACACUUGAUCUGUCCCCUAAUUCUCUUUUCUACGUUGAAAAAGAAAAAAAAAAAUAAAAUACAUACAUACAUAUAUAUAUAUAUAUAUAUAUAUAUAUAUAUAUAUAUAUAUAUAUAUAUCUAUGUAAAAAUAAAUAAUAAACUGAGUAAAAGUACAUUUGUUUAAUUAACAUCUGAUCGGGGCAUUUUUGGUGUAAGCCACAACUAAAAUCAAACAGCCCCUUAGCAUACUUCUUCCAUUUUAUCGGCUACUUUUGUGGAUCUUAUAGGGUGGGCAUGUGGACAGAAUUUAAAAGUUUUAAUAGGCUCAAAGAAGAAGAUGUGUUAAAUCUAAAGUUGUUGCACCUUCUGAUUAAAUAAAGUUGUACAAUUUCAUCAACUUGAAAGAAUUGACAUUAAUGAACUGGUCGCCUCUCCAUGUAUGAAGCCUUCUUAAAAGUUAAUUUUUAUUUCAGAAAAAAAAAGUUUAAGUUACAUAUAUUACAGUAAGAUUUUUUGAGACCAAUUCCCUUCUUGAAAUAAUAAUAGAAAAGUAUUAAUUUAAAAAUAAAAUGAAUAUGUAUUGAUUAUAUCCUGAUUUUCAUCGAUUAUAGUUAGAGUUUCACCAAAUCAAUUCCCUUAUUCAAAUAAUACAGAAAAAAUAGUAAUUUAAUAGUAAAAUAAACAGGUGUUGAUUAUAUAUCCUAAGUUUCAUCGAUUAUGUGAUCAAAGUGGCAUUGUUGAUUUAUUUUUUGUUCAAUGUUAAUUUUUAGGUUAUAUAAAUUUCAAGGAUUUAAAAUCUUUGGCCAUGAAUUACACGCUUGUUAAUUUUCCUGCCAUUGACUGUCAUAUUCUAGACUUAAUGAUACCUUUCUUGAUCAAGGGUAAUUACUCUCUCUUCUCCUCUUAUAAAUUCCUCUUCCAUUAACAUCACUAGGAGUAUGUUGAUCUCUCAGACGUUAACUUGAGUGGAGAGUUUCCAAAUUGAUUGUUACAAAACAACACAAAAACUAGACACACUUGAUCUGUCUAAUAAUUCUCUUUCGGUAAAAUUAAAUAAUUUUAGGGGAAUAUUCGGCCAACCUCUAUAAUUUCAUAGUGAUCAUUAAUUAAUUAAUCGAUACAAAUAUCUAAAGUGAUUAAAUGUGACUUGAAAUUUGAUCUCUAUCGAUUGGUUUACAAAUGGACGUACUUGUGCCUUUGUGGCGAUAAUCGAACAAGUACCCAUGAUUAUUAUUUUUUCCAAAAACUUUUUUACAACAAAUUCAUCUCGUCAAAAAUUCUAUGUUGCUAACUAACAAUAAUUGAGCACUUGGCCGCAUUGACUCCACGUCUCCACCUCUUUCUAAAUUCUAAGUAAAAACAUGGAAAUGUAAUUUCCACAAAAUGCCAAAUGUGUGGAAUUUAAUUUUUUGCCUUGUGGAUCAAAAUACAAAUGAAAGAAACAGAAGAAAAAAAAGGCCCAAAGACUUCUAAAAGAUGAAGAAGUCUUUGUGCCUUUUUAUAAUGGUGAAUUUUUUUAAAGAAAAAAAAUAACAACAUUUUUAUGGUUUGUUUUGAUAAUCAUAUUUACAUAUACUCUCUAAUUUCAAAAUGGACACAUAAAUCUUUUUUUUUUACAAAAUAUAUAUUAUUCAUAUUUUUUUUAUUUUUUUAUUAUCAUAUUUUUAUUUAUUAUAAAUGUUUAGAGCAAAUUUUUAGGUUGAAAUAUAAUAAAAAGGUAUAAUUGUUCUCUUAUUAAACACACAUACUUUUAUUAGUUUCUAUCCAUUUGUCAUCUCAAUCUCUCUCAAUUAUUCUUUAUUGCUAGCUCAAAACGCGUUGCUGUUGCAAAUUAUAGCAAAAUGACAAAUAUGGAAAAAAAGGGAAGAAAAUUAAUGCAUGAAAGACUUGGAGAAAACAACAAAAUAAGCCAACUAUGAGCUAGUUGGGUGUAUAAAUUGUUAGAUGUGUUAUAUACAAAUAGCGUAGAGCCCUCUAGUUGGUUCCAGAGACAGAAAGAGCGUGUGUGUUUUUUCACAGUUAGAGAUAUAGUUAGAAUGGGUGGUUCAAAAUCAAAAAUGAUGAUAAUGUUUAUUAUGUUAUUAAUAAUAUUUAAAAGUGGGUGGAGUGAGGGAUGUUUGGAUCACGAGAGAUUUGCUUUUUUGAGACUCAAACAUUUCUUCAAUGAUCCUCUUAAUUCUCUUUACGACUGGGUAGAUGGUGAGGGAGCUACUGAUUGUUGUCAGUGGGAAAGGGUUGAGUGCAGCAACACCACAGGCCGAGUGAUAGCACUGGACCUUUCUUAUAUAUAUUCGGAGAGUACAGCUGGUAUCUGAAUGCUUCUUUAUUUACUCCCUUCCAACAACUUGAGUCACUUGAUUUAACUCAAAACAAAAUAGCCGGAUGUGUUGAGAAUGAAGGUACUUUGUUUAAUUUAAUUAAUUUACUUUCUCCCCCCUAAUUUAAGUUGAAUAUCAAGACCGAGCAAUUAUAUGCAUAUUCAUUUAGUCGACAAUUUUGACUUUUUUUUAAAUGAUUAAUUUUGAAAUUACACCAGUAUCUAUGAUCUUUUUUAUUUUAUUUUAUUUGCAGGUAUAGAGAGGCUAUCAAGAUUGAACAACUUGAAGAUGCUUAAUUUAAGUCGAAACUCAUUCAAUAAUAACAUUUUAUCAUCUCUAACUCAUCUUUCAUCAUUAAGAUCAUUAAAUUUAUUGUGGAAUAGAUUGGAAGGAAGUAUUGACGUUAAAGGUACAUAAUUAAAACUUCAAGCUCUUUCAUUAACUUGCUAAAAUAAGAUUCAAGGCUUUGAAUUCAAUUUUUUUUAUGAUUAAUAUUAAAAAAAACAGUUUUAAGCAAUUUAUAAAUACAAGUUUUAAUGUUUCUUGUAAUUUCAUCUUGUACUUUCAUAUGUCUUGAAUUUAAGAUUAAAAAAAAAAACUCUAAUAGCGAACCAAACACCUCCACAACUUAUUAUUAUUAUUUUAAUUUGUGGUGAGGUUUGAAACAUUCAACUCAAUUUGUACUUAUUACAGAAUUUGAUUCUUUGAGAGAUUUAGAGGAGCUAGACAUUGGCGGGAACAAGAUUGACAAAUUUGUGGUCUCAAAAGGUACUACAAAUACCAUAAAAAAAUAUGCUAACUUUUACAAAUUAGUUAGAUUCUUUGCCAUUUGGUUUAUUAUUUUACAGGUUUGAGUAAGUUGAAGUCUCUUGGUUUAAGUGGUAUCAAACUCAAUCGUAGCAUCUUAUCUUCUCUUUCUUCGUUAAGAGAAUUAGAUAUAAGUCGUACGGGAUUCAAAGGAACAUUUGAUGUUCGAGGUAAGCCUAAACCUUGCUUUCUCAUUUUAUAUAUGCCAACUAGAUUUGUGUAUCAUCGACAUAAUUUAAUAUUUAAUUUGAUAAGUCUGAAUGAAUUACAUGCUAAUUUAAACACACUUUUAUUUACUUUGUCAAUUAAUUAAUUAAUUAAUUACUAUUUGGCUUGGUUUGGACGAAAUUCUCAUGAUGUUUUUAAUUUCUUUAAAUUAAUUAAUUAAUUAACUCUGUUUUUAAGUCUUAAGUCUGGGCAUGUUUGCAGAAUUGAUUCCUUCAAUAACUUAGAAGUGUUGGACAUGAGUUGGAACGAAAUCGACAAUCUUGUGGUUCCUCACGGUAAACAAUUAAAAUGUUAUUCAAUUACAUUAUUUUAAUUCAUUUGAUUAGGGAAGGCCAAAAAGGUAAAAAAAAUAAUAAUAAAGAAACAGAGAAUUUGUAUUAUUUAAAAAACAGAAUGUAAUAAAGAUUUUGAUUCUGGUUCUUUAAUCUUUAAAGUGAUUGAAAACAAUGUUGCUCUUUUCCCAAAGCAUCAAAUACGAAUUGAAUGCCAAUUAACUUAAUCAUUCAUUUCGUUUAGCUCUAAAUUUAGACAAUGAAUUUUUAUAUUAUUUCAAAAACAUGACGUAAUAGAAUUUUUUUAAAAACAGAUUCUAAUAAAGAUUUGAUUCCAAUUCUUUAAUCUUUACAGUGAUUGAAAAACGAUACUACUCUUUUCCCAAAGCAUAAAUACGAAUUGACUCCCAAUCAAAUUAAUCAUUUAUUUCGUUCAUCUCUGAAUUUAAAUAAUGAAUUUUGAUCUUCAAUCGUAUUAUAAUUACUAUUAAAGAACAGGUUACAGAGGUUUGAGGAAGUUGAAUCAUCUUGAUCUAUCGGGAGUUGGAAUUAGAGAUGGAAGCAAGUUGUUACAGUCAAUGGGAUCAUUCCCAUCCCUCAACACUCUUUACCUUUCGUGGAAUAAUUUUAUCGAUACAGCGACCGCUACUCAAGGUAAGUAAAAGGUACAAAUGUGGCCAAAUUUAUAAAUAAAUUGUUAAUUAAUUAAUUUUUCCGUAUUAUUAAUUAAGCUAAAUUUGUUGCUCCUUCCUUCUAAAUCUAAACAGAGUUGCACAAUUUCACCAACUUGGAAUAUUUGACAUUGGACUUUUCCUCUCUCCAUAUAAGCCUUCUCCCAAAGCAUUGCAUCAUUAUUCCCUUCGUUAAAAAAUCUGUCGAUAUCUCAUUGUGAAGUCAAUGGUGUCCUACGCGGUCAAGGUAAAAGAAAAUCGUUGAUUGUGAACUCACUCAAUGGUGUCCUACGUGUUCAACAUUUUUAUUUAUUUAUUGUUUAAUGUUUCUGCUAGGUUUUCCUCAUUUCAAGAGUUUGGAACAUUUGGAUAUGGAUUACACGCGCAUUGCACUCAACACCGGCUUUCUUCAAAUCAUCGGUGAAUCGAUGCCUUCUCUUAAGUACUUAUCACUGUCAAGGUUAAUCUAUAAAUCGAUGCCUUCUCUUGAUCAAGGUUAAUCAGAUGCUCCCACUCUCCCCUCUUAAUCUAUAAUAUUAAUUUUCAAUUCAAUAUUUAAUUACACAAACGAAUCACUUAUUAUAAAAGAAUAAUACGCAUUCAUUAAUUUUUAUAUUGUAUUAAUAAUUGAUGAAUUUAAUAACUUUUCAGGUCUCUGUUCGUUGGUGCAUCUGCAAGUGUUGAACAUUGCAGGCAAUGAUUUAAGAGGUAGCUUGCCUUGGUGCUUGGCAAAUAUGACAUCCCUCCGAAUAUUAGAUGUUUCUUCCAAUCAACUUACUGGAAGCAUCUCCUCAUCUCCCCUCGUUCAUUUGACAUCCAUUGAAGAGCUGAUGCUUUCAGACAAUCACUUCCAGAUCCCAAUUUCACUUGAACCAUUUUUCAAUCACUCACGACUCAAGAUUUUCCAUGCUUACAACAACGAAAUAAAUGCAGAAAUAACUGAGUCACAUUCUUUGACUGCCCAAACUUCCAAUUAAAAUAUCUCUCAUUGUCUUCCGGUUACGGAGAUGGUGUCACAUUCCCCAAAUUCCUUUACCAUCAACAUGAUCUGGAGACUGUUGACCUCUCACAUAUAAACAUGAGGGAGAAUUUCCAAAUUGGUUGUUGGAAAACAACACAAACUUAGAAAUAUUUUUUGGUUAAUGAUUCUCUUGCAGGACCUUUCCGGUUGCCAAUUCAUUCACACAAGCGGUUAAGACUGUUGGAUAUAUCCAACAACAACAUCAGAGGCCACAUUCCAGAAAUUGGAGAUGUUUUACCGGGUUUAUUUUCUUUAAACAUUUUCAUGAAUGCUUUAGACGGUUGCAUUCCCUCUUCAUUUGGUAAUAUGAAAUUCCUCCAAUUUNNNNNUUAAUUAAUUAANNNNNGAUGGGAAAUUGAAACAAGAAUUUGAGAAUUGGAAAUCGAAAACGUCCGCAUUGACCGUGCCUUUGAGGGCAAUUACUUUUCUUGAGAAUUGAAGUUUGGUAAUGUAAUUUGUUCUCCAUCUGUGUUCCCUUUGUAGUCAUUUCAUUUAUUUGUUUGUUUGCUUUUAUUUGCAGGAGAAAUUGAUCCUCGAGAUAAAAGUAAAUUGUCUUUAAGCUCAUUUAGUUUUAUAUCAAACAAAAUCAAGACUGCCUUUUUCUUCAAUAGUUUUGAUGAUUAUCUUUAGAAGCAUCUCAUUGACAGGUAAUCGUGGUACCCCUUAAAGAGUCUAUAAACUCAAGGAUAUUAUCUUCUGCAAAUGGUUCAUUAAACUUCUUAGAUGUAGUUAAAUGUACACUGAGAACAACGAGAAGCUAUGCCACUGUAGCAAUGUAUGAUGGCACUUAAUGAGUGAGUUGCUAGGAUAUGAACUAGAAAAAUUAAACAUUGUCUCCCUGGGUAUGCUAGCUUGUAAGUCGGUUAAUAUUAGAGCUUGAGAUACUAUAACCAUGAGAAGCUAUUGACCGCCGAUUAAAAUAUCCAUUAAAAUGUCUAGGGAGUUAUGAAGGUGGAGGUGUCUCCCAAUUUCUAAGGCCAUAUAGUAGACAUCAUCCAGGAUCCUAUUUAAAGUGCAGUUAGCCUCCUGCUUGAUGCUAAUGUCAAACAAUUAAUAAAUUUGGUCAAUGUAACUGAAACUUGCUAACUGACGUCAGAUUGCGACUUGAGCACCUUAAAAUGGGAUAGACGAUUAGUAGCACUGAAUUCUUCUUGCCUAAGAUUGAGCAAUUGUUCUAACUACAAUCUCCUAUUGUAGGUUGAUUAUUAUGUUCUAAUUAUGUCGAUUUUGACCCAAAAAAAUUACAUAAUCUUGAUCUGCAUAAUGUCACUGAACAGUGUCAAUUUCGUUUACCAACUAACUUGAGUUUGAUAUAACAAACACACGGUGUGUCUCUCAUGUCUCACCAUGAUGGAAUUUUUCUAAUGCAUGAAGCAAGCUUCGAUAUGUGGGUUAGCUUGGAGAAGAUAUCUUAAAAUGAAGAAUAUGGGAGUUAAUGGGAAGAAACAGUUCAGUAGUUUAUAAUUCUGUCGUCGAGCUGUAUCUCUAACAUGGUCAAAAUUUAUGUGAAUAAGGACAGGGAAUCUUCAUUCCUCUUUCCCUUUUUAUACCCACAUAUCUCUCAACCUUUAUAUGUUGCUCACUGGAGAUCUGCUUCUGAUAACUAAAAUAAAAAUUUCAUCCACUCAAAUAAAUUCUGACCAAGCUUUCACAAGAAAAAGUAACAUCUUUAGUGAAGUAAUUUACAAGUAAUUUAGAGUUCCUUAUCAUCUUCUUGUGAGUCUAUCAGUAUGAUCCAAAAACAUAAUAAAUCUUGUUAGAUCCUGUUUAUUGAUGUUUAAACGCUGCUCAUUGUGAAAUGUAGAAACAAUGACGUGAAGUUUCUUUGGUCAUCAAUUAGUGAGAUCUUGUUUGAAGUUGUUUUCUGAAAUGAACUGCCAAAUGAUAGUUUUUUUUUUUUUUUCUUUGGACGCAUUUGAUGGCUCUUUCUCCUCAUUUAAGCAAUGUGCCUGCUUGGUAUGGGAAGGAAUAGGCUUCAGAGUUGUUAUAUAUGUUGACAUGCUCUGGUCAUUACACAAUAUGUUCAAAUUGGAAAUUAGAAUGAGAUAUUUGUCGAUGCUUUUUGAGAGAUCUGCAUUCUAUGCAGCAUAACAUGAUUAAUGAAAAUGGGUUUAAGGACUGGAAAGAUCUGUGGCAGCCCAAGCUUGCAGGAAGGAUUUCAAUGGUUAAUUCUCCCAGAGAGGUUAUUGGUACAGUUUUGAAGUAUAUGGGAGCAUCAUACAAUUCAAACGCAUUAAUUAGCAAGUUGCUGCUGGGAGGAUUGCUGUUCAGCAGAAUCUGGCAUUACUGGGAAACCAGGUACUCUUAAAGAAACGAUAGCUGGUCAAUGCAUAUUAUUUGCCUGACGGCUGAUUUUGUUUGUAAAGUGUGCCUUUUCAUACAUAUGAAUGCAUAUGUUAGUGUUGUCUUCUUCUUUCCAUAAAUAUGAAUGCAUAUGUUGGUGUUCUUUUCUGAGAUGGAUGCAAUAAAGGCUUUUUCUUCUAAAUGACGAGUUUUCAUUUAAAAAUGUUAUAAAUCUGCCAUGCAUAGUAUUCUAGUAGAAUCAUCUAUAAAUUCAAGUUAUUGAAAUUGUCUAUUUGUCCAGUUUGAGUUAAGGACGCAUGUAAUAUGAAAAAUAGUUGUCGAAUAUUGUAGGUUAGCUAAUAUUUGAUCAAUCCUAUAGGGAGGGCUUUAAGAUGUCUAACAACAUGUAGAAUGCCCCUGCUUCCCCCACAAUUUUUAUCUUAUACAAUUUUUAUCUAUAAACAGUAUUUGCCAGACCUUAACUGUUCAGAUUCCCCUUCUCGACUAUCAUACCCUACGCCCCGUCUCCGUGUCUCCGAUAAACAGUGCUCAAUUAAGGCCAUCAGAUUAUCCCGGUCCCACAUUGAUCAACGGCUCACAAUGACCGACAACCUCUGUCUCCAUUACAAGCUCCCUCUUCAACUCGCUUCUGCUUCCAUCCUACUCUUUCUCAGAUUCGGAGCCCGUAUAUGCUCGGCUGGUCCCACGAAGCUCCCUCUCACUCCAGCUGUCAACCGACAAGACCAAUUGCCUUAUCAAGACAGAGAAAAAAAGAGGAUGAGAAAUUGAAACAAGAAUUUGAGAAUUGGAAAUCGAAAACGUACUCAUUGACCGUGCCUUUGAGAGUUGUUUCUCUUCAGAAUUCAGUGCCUCAAUCUUGGGUUAAGGAUUUUAUGCGAAGUCAAGGAAAGUGAUUGAAGUUUCAGAUGAAUUUGUGUGCUAGCAUUGGUGGGAUCUUUAACAAUUUAUCUGCCCUUUAACAAAGUCAAGGCUAAUUCAGCUUCUUAUAUGGCUGCUGAUUUGGUUAGUGUUGGUGAUUCAUGGCUUAGUUUUGCCAUUAAAGAGAGAUUGAUUGAGCCAAUGGCUGGAGCUGAAGACCAAGAUUGGUUCAAAUGCUUAAGUCACAAAUGGAAGGUAACAUCUUUAUCUUUGGCCCGAUAAUUUUUAUUGUCUUACAUUGAAAUUUGGUAAUGUAAUUUGUUCUCUAUCUGUAUUACCCUUUUUAGUCGUUUUAUUUAUUUGUUUAUUUGCUUUUAUUUGCACUAACGAAGUCUCAGGUAUAUCUAUGCAGAAUGAUGCAGGAGAAAUUGAUCCUCGAUGUGAAAUAUGGGCGGCACCAUACAGGUGGGGCACAAUGGUGAUAGCCUACAAGAAAAGUAAAUUUCGAAAGCAUAAUUUGGCUCCGAUUGAGGUAAUAAUUGUCUUUAAACUCAUUUAGUUUUAUAUCAAACAAAAUCAAGACUGCCUUUCUCUUCAAUAUUUUUGAUGAUAAUAUCUUUAGAAGCAUCUUAUUGAUGGGUAAUAAUUGUAUCCCUGAAACAGUCUAUAAACUCAAUGAUAUUAUCUUCUACAAAUGGCUCAUUAAACUUUGUCGUUGUAGUCAAAUGUACACUCAGAGCAAUGACAAGCUAUGCCACUGUGUAGCAUGUAGUGAUGGCACUUAAUAAGUGAGUUGCUAGGAUGUGAACUAGAAAAAUUAAAUAUUGUCUCCCUGGGCAUGCUAGCUCAUAAGUCAGGGUUAAUAUUAGAACUCAAGAUACUAUAACCAUGAGAAGCUAUUGACUGCCAAUUAAAAUAUCCUUUAAAAUGUCUAGGAAGUUAUGAAGGUGGAAGUAUCUUCCGAUUUCUGAGGCCACAUGGUAGAUAUCAUCCAGGAUCCUAGUACAGUGCAGUUAACCUCCUGCUUGAUGCAAUUAAUAAAUUUGGUCAAUGCCACUGAAACAUGCUAACUGACGUCGCAAUGCGACAUGAGCACUUCAAAAUGGGACAGACGGUCGGUAGCACUAAAUUUUUCUUGCCUAAGAUUGAGCAAUUGGUCUAACUACUAACCCCUUUUGUAGUUGAUCAUUAUUUUUUCAAUUAUUUUCAGUUUGACCCAAAACGUUACAGAAUCUUGAUCUGAAUAUUGUCACUGAACAUUGUCACUGAACAUUGUCAAUGUCGUUUAGCGUAGCCAACUAACUUGAGUUUGGUAAAACAACACACAGUGUGUCUCAUGUCUCACAAUUCAAAUUAUCAUUUGUAAUGAUGAGAAUUUUUCCAAUGUAUGAAGUAUGCUUUGAUACGUGGGUUACCUUGGGGAAGGUAUCUCAAAAUAAAGAAUAUGGGGAGAAAACAGUUCAGUAGUUUAUUAUUAUGUAGUCAAGUUUUGUCUCAAAAAUGGUCCAAAUUUAAAUGAAUAAGGAGGGGAUCUUCAUUCUUUUUUCCCUUUUUUAUACCUAGAUAUCUCUCAACCUUUAUAUAAUCCCCACUGGAUAUCUGCUUCUAAUAAUUAAAAUAAAAAUUUCACCCACACAAAUAAAUACUGACCAAGCUCUAACAUAUAAAAGUAACUUCUUUAGUCAAGUGAUUUACAGUUCCUCAUCACCUUAGUGAGACUAUCAGUGUGUUCCAAAAACAUAAUAAAAUUGGUUUGUUCCUGUUUAUUGAUGUUUAAAUGUUGUUCAUUGUGACAUAGAAAUGAUGAGGCGAAGUUUAUUUGGUCAUCAAUUUGUAGAUCUUGUUUGAAGUUGCUUUCUGAAAUGAACUGCCAAAUGGUAGUUUCUUUGGGGCAUUUGAUGGCUCUUUUUUCCUCAUUUUAAACAUGUGCCUGCUUGGAACAGGAAGGAUUAGGCUGCAGAGUUGUUAUAUAUUUUGACAUGCUCUAGUCAUUGCACAAUUUGUUCACACUGGAAACUAGAAUGAGAAAUUUGUUGCAUUCUAUGCACAAUAACAUGAUUAAUGAAAAUGGAUUGUAGGACUGGAAAGAUCUGUGGCAGCCUGAGCUCGCAGGACGAAUUUCAAUGGUUAAUUCUCCCUGAGGUUAUUGGUUUAGUUUUGAAGUAUAUGGGAGCAUCAUACAAUUCAAACGAUAUUGAUUCAAGUUGCUGGUGGGAAGAUUGCUGCUGCUCAGCAGAAUCUGGCAUUACUGGCAAACCAGGUACUCUCAAAGAAAUAUCUUUGCAUGUUAUUACCUGACAACUGAUUUUGUUUGUAAAAGUCUGCUUCUUCAUACAUAUGAAUGCAUAUGUUAGUGUUUCUUCUCCUUUUCAUACAUAUGAAUGCAUAUGUUGCUUCUUUUCCUUUCCAUACAUAUUAAUACAUAUGUUGGUGUUCUCUCCUGAGAUGGAUGCAAUAAAGGUUUUUCUGAAGAAAUGGCAAGGGAUGUGAGAUUCUGUCUCAUAAAAUUAACAAAAACCCAAAACAAUGAAAACCCAUAAUAAUGUGGUGUGGGUAAAUUGACGCCAUUUGGUUCGUUUCCUUGAUGUGAAUACGCGGGCAAUAGAGACUAACAAAAUGAAGUGACAACAAGAAGUCAGUGUCCUUUGAUGGAUGCAUUUUUAGGCAGAAAUAGGUUUGUAAUUGACCAAAUUUGUCUGGCAUGCCAAUUUCAAAAAAAUUAAAUUAUGUGGUUAUUAGCUGUAAUGAAGGGGGAUUGUAGGUCCAAUCAGGUGGAUCCAUGAAAGUUCAACAAAGUUCUGGUAUGGCGUAGAAAUUGGUUUGUGGCAACUCAAGAGUCUUUCUGGUGAACGAUGAUGGGUUUGAUUUAUAAAUGUUAUAAAUCUACUGUGCAUAGUAUUCUAGUAGAAUCAUCUAUAAGUUCUAGUUAUUGAAAUUGUCUACCUUGUUCAGUUUGAGUUAAGGGCACAUGUAAUAUGAAAAAUAGUUGUUGCAUCUUUUAGGUUACCUAACAUUUGAUCAAUCCUAUUAUGAGGGCUUCAAGAUGUCUAACAAUAUGUGGAAUGCCCAUGCUCCUCCCCAUUGUUUAUCUUAUAUAAUAAUUUGUUUUAGAUGCUAAUAUCUUUGUCGAUACGGUAACAAUAUUACAAUAUCUGCGUUUAUUGGGUUUUACAUAGGUUCGACUGUUUGACAGUACACACUCUCUGAAGGCAUUUGGAAAUGGAAUGUAUGGAUUGCUGUUGGGUGGAGUAGUGAUGUUCUUCCUGCUGUCAAACGUAUGUCUAAUGUUGCAGUUGUUGUUCCCAGUCUGGUGCUAGCUUAUGGGCUGAUCUUUGGGUAUACCCAUGCCUGCCAUUCUACUUCAAUAUUCACAUUGUUAUCUCCUUCAUAUUAGUGAUCAGUAACACGAUAAUGUGACUAAUAAGUUCGUAUUCUCUUUAUAGGCAAUCCCUGCUGCCUCAAGACUGAAACAAAACAAAUUGGAGGCGAGUCAGAGGUGCAUUUCCAUUAAUCCAUCAAUGGAUAGAAUUCUGCUUGCAAACAGCGAGAGCAUUGCCUUUCAAGCAAGAGGUUAUCCCGAGCGCAUCUCCCUCUGCCCUUGAGAGUACUCUGGUUAAGUUGCCUGAAGAACUUUUGAAGGGUAAACCAAGUCUGGAUACUAACUUAAUUGCUGAGUACCCUGACGGAAAUUCUGGCCAGAUGUGAGUUUUUGGAGCCAUUAUCUGAAGCUACAUUGUCGGAUUAUGAGUGGCUGGUUGCUAAUCUGCAAAAAUCCACUCCUGUACUGAUCAACAAGAUGCAACAUUACAUGUCAUCAUUGAUCUUUAGCUAAAGGUACAUUGAAAAGUUAAUGGCACUGCAUACCAGUCAUUAUAAUUGGGUCAGGCAAUUGGGUCAGGGCAAUUGGGUCAGGGCAAUUAGGUCAGAGCAUAACUUCAUUAGGAAAAGAGGCUUCAGCUACGUUAAAUAUUACAGGAUGUACUGAUGGCUGAAGUUGUUGACGUUGUACGAGAAACGAAAGAUGAGUGUUUGUUUUGAACAAAGUUGUUGCCAAUCUUGCAGAGUUCGAGAAGAAAGAUCACGAAGCAAAUGCCACCGAUUUCUUCAUCACUGUAGCCUCCAUAGUUGAAGUUUCCUCAUUUGAAGCUGUUUAUGCAUAUGCUUUUUCCCUUCUCAAGUACAGGAAAUUGAAGAAUUAACCAGAUGUGAUAUGCUGAAAGAGGGAAGUUUCUCCCUUGAAUGUGGCCUUGUGAUUUGUCUUGAAGGAAUAGGAUGAUCACUGGCAAGAACCCUAUCAAGGUAGAUUUUAUGAUGUUAACAUAUUAUUAAGCAUUUUGUUACAUCAGCAAUGAUGCUUUCAUAGCAUGAAAGUGUUUAAAUUUAACUGAAUGAUCUUGAUUGAUCAAUUAUGAGUUUUAAUCGAGUAAAAACUAAAUACAAUAAUCGUUAACAAAUAUUGAAAUUGG
rnacentral:lncRNA from 1 species